rnacentral:lncRNA from 1 species
AGGAGUUGGAGACCACCUCGGUGUGUCAUUUGCGGCGACGAGCAUCGAGCGUCAGCUUGCCCACAACGAGAGGGAAGGUAUUUCAAGUGUGGCCAACCGGGACAUCUUAUCCAGGAGUGCCCGGGAUGGACGUCGUCUGCACUGACCGCGGCAUCAGCACCUUCUACCCCGAGACAGCUCGCGGGGUUACCACCGGCGAUGUCGUCUGGGCGCGCGUCAUCACCGCGUCAGUCGGAGGGGUUACGAGCACCUAGUGGACGGGUUUUCGCCACUAAGGUGGAGGAGCAGCCUGCAGCACCAGAUGUGUUGUGGUAGGUAUUAUUUUGAUCAAAGGCACUAGAGCUAGAGCUUUAUUCGAUACAGGUGCAUCUCAUUCAUUCAUUGGUGCAUCUUUUGCGAAAACUCAUGGUAUCGAAAUAGUGCAUAAUCACGACUAUUGGUGGGUCAAUGCACCGGAACAUUCAUUCAGUGUUCAUGAGGAGUGUUUGGCAUGUCCAGUUCAAAUAGGAGAUUGGAUUAUGCUGAUAGACUUAUUGGUGCUAGACAGAAUGUGGGGAUUCGAUGUAAUCUUGGGAAUCAAUUGGCUCUCCAAGUACUAUGCGGUCAUAGAUGGUGAUCACGUUUCGUGAGCCUAAUCAAGAAGAGUUGGUAUAUCGAGUAUGUAAAAGCUCGCGCUUCGCGGCGACCGUAUCGGCAGCGAGGGCGAGGAAGAUGAUCAAAGGUGGAUGUAAGGCCUAUUUGGCAACCAUCGUAGAUGCUCAAAGGGAGCACUCGGAACUUAUGAAUAUCCGAGUUGCGUGUGAAUUUCUGGAUGUGUUUCCGGAGGAGUUACCGGGAUUGCCACCAGACCGGGAGGUCGAGUUCGUCAUUGACUUGAUUCCCGGGGUGGCGCCAAUUUCGAAGGCUCUGUAUAGAAUGGCACCGGUGGAGCUAGUGGAGUUAAAAGCACAACUACAGGACUUGCUAGAUAAAAGCUUUCUGAGGCCGAACGUGUCACCGUGGGGAGCUCCGGUGCUAUUUGUGAAGAAGAAAGAUGGUACACCUCGACUCUGCGUGGAUUAUCGCGAGUUGAACAAAGUGAUAGUCAAGAACAAGUACCCGUUGCCAAGGAUUGAUGAUUUAUUCGAUCAGUUGCAAGGGUCAAAGGUGUACUCAAAGAUCGAUCUUCAAUCAGGGUAUCAUCAAUUAAAGAUUAGGCCGAAGGAUAUGCACAAAACGGUGUACCGUACGCGGUAUGGUCAUUAUGAGUUUACAGUAAUGCCGUUUGGGCUUACUGAUGCCCCGGCAGCGUUUAUGGACUUGAUGAAUCGAGUCUUCAGGCCGUUGUUGGAUCGAUGUGUCGUGGUGUUUAUUGAUGACGUGUUGGUCUAUUCGAAGAGUGAGGAGGAACACUAGGAGCAUUUGAGAACCGUGUUACAAAUACUCCGACACGAGAAGCUUUAUGCUAAGUUGAAGAAAUGUGACUUUUGGCUUACGGAGGUCACAUUCUUGGGCCACGUGAUAUCGGGCGAUUGAGUCUCGGUAGAUCCGAAGAAAGUUGAGGCAAUUAAAGAUUGGCCUCGCCCGACGAGUGUAGCGGAGGUCCGCAGUUUUCUUGGAUUCGCGGGCUACUACCGGCAGUUUGUGGAGAGGUUUGCCAAAAUAACUACUCCACUAACUCGCCUUACCCACAAAGGAGUAAAGUAUGUCUGGAGUGACGAUUGCGAUCGGAGCUUCGAGGAGUUGAAGAGCAGGUUGACGUCGACCCCGGUGCUUGCCUUGCCGACUUCGGGGGAGACUUUCGUGGUGUACAGUGAUGCUUCAUACAUCGGUCUCGGGUGUGUCUUAAUGCAAAAUGGCCGAGUGAUAGCUUAUGCUUCACGCCAACUGAAGAGUUAUGAAAAGAAUUACCCGAUUCACGAUCUUGAGUUAGCCGCGGUGAUUUUCGCGCUAAAGUUAUGGAGGCAUUACUUGUACGGUGAGCAUUGUGAGAUUUACACGGACCAUAAGAGUCUCAAAUACUUGUUCACCCAAAAGGAAUUGAACAUGCGACAGCGGCGGUGGUUAGAGUUGUUGAAGGGCUACGAUGUCACCAUACUAUACCGCCUUGAAAAAGCCAAUGCCGUAGCCGACGCGCUAAGUAGGAAAUCAGUAGAAAACUUGGCGACGACAAUCACAUCACAACCGUUAUUGCAAAAAGAGAUGCAACGGUUGGGUCUUGAAGUAGUAGCGCCGGGAGUGCCGGCAACACUUGCCAUGUUGGUAGUGCAACCGACCUUGUUGGAGAAGAUCAAAGAGCUGCAAGCUUCGGAUUCUUAUCUUCAAAAGGUGCGGAGUGAAGUUGAAAGCGGUAGUGCCGAAGACUUUGGCAUUGGGAUCGAUGGCGCACUUCGAUUUCGGAAUCGUUAGUGUGUGCCUAAAAAUGAUGACAUUCGAAAGGUGAUCAUGCAAGAAGCGCAUCAAUCUCCCUAUAGCAUACACCCGGGCGGCACUAAAAUGUACCAAGAUGUAAAAGCGCAUUAUUGGUAGCCGGGCAUGAAAAAAGAUAUUGGGGAGUUCGUGGUGCAAUGUCUUACGUGCCAACAAGUAAAAGCGGAGCGCCGGUUUCCGGCGGAAAAGCUUCAAAGUCUAUCAAUACCCGUUUGGAAAUGAAAAGAUAUUGCGAUGGACUUAAUUACCGGUUUGCCUCGAUCUCAAGGUGGACACGAUGCAAUAUGGGUGAUAGUGGAUCGAUUGACAAAAUCGGCACACUUCUUGCCGAUACAUACUACGUGGUCGGGAGACAAGCUAGCUCAAGUAUAUCUCGACGAGGUUGUGAGACUCCAUGGGGUUCCGGUGUCAAUUGUAUCGGAUCGAGACCUAGGUUCACAUCUCAUUUUUGGAAGAGCUUGCAAGAUGCAUUGGGCACACGGCUCGACUUCAAUACGGCAUUUCAUCCUCAAAGUGACGGUUAAUCGGAGACGACUAUACAAAUCCUUGAGGACUUGCUUCGAGCGUGUGUACUCGAUUACAAGAGUGGAUUGCAUGAUUUCUUGCCGAUGGCGGAAUUCGCGUAUAAUAAUAGCUACCAAGAAAAUAUCGCAAUGGCGCCAUUUGAAGCAUUGUAUGGAAGAAAGUGUCGCUCUCCUAUUCAUUGGAGCGACGUGGGCGAGAGAGUUGCUCUCGGCCCCGAUGUAUUGCGGGAGGUGGAGGAGAAAGUUCGCCUUGCCCGCCAACGGUUAGCGACAGCGCAAUCUGGCAAAAGAGUUAUGCCGACAAACGAAAAAAGGAUUUAGAGUUUGCGGUUGGAGACCGCGUGUUCUUGAGAGUAUCGCCCAUGAAAAGAGUAAAGUGUUUUGGGGUCUGUGGGAAGCUAAGUCCCCGAUAUGUUGGACCGUUCGAGAUACUAGAGCGUGUGGGUGCGGUGGCAUAUAAGUUCGCACUACCACCGAGGCUCGCGGGUAUUCACAAUGUGUUCAAUGUGUCAAAUCUCCGAAAAUAUAUUCGCAACUCGACACAUGUAUUAGAGUAUGAGCCUGUGGAGUUGCGUGAAGAUAUGACGUAUGAGGAGUACCCGGUGUGCGUCCUUGAUAGAGAAGAAACGAAGUUGCGGAGUCGCAUAAUUCCAUAUGUAAAAAUCUAGUGGAGCAACCAUGCAGUGCGUGAAGCCACUUGGGAACUUGAGGAGACUAUGUGGAGGAUGUAUCCUCACCUAUUCGAGUCGACAAGUUGAGAUAUGUAUUUAGUUUCACAGACGAAACUAUUUUAAGAGGUGGAGAAUGUAAUAUACCGAAACUUCGGUAAAAGUUAUCGAACUUUAGCCAAAAUGGUUAAAGUGCGAAGUUGGGAUGCUUCGGAAAGGCCGAAGGCGUCUAAAAUGCAAAAAAUGCAUUGUAGGAGGUCUUCGAGAGCAUUCAAAGUGAAAAUCUGCAAACUGCAGUUUUUGAGCUCUCGAGGACCGAUCCCUGGUGGGAGAGACCGGUCCCCGUACGUGUAUGGGGUGCAACAACCAGUCUGCACCAAAAAUGUGCUCUCGGGGACCGGUCCCUCAAGAGAGACCGGUCCCUGAAGGUACGGUCCCUCGGGGGAAGAUUGGUCCCCGUACACGUGAAAUUGAGCAGAAAGGCUGCUCUGCUAAAUGGUGCUCUCAGGGACCGGUUCCUAUUAGGGAGACCGAUCCCCGUGCCCGAAAAUGGCCCAGUCUGGGCAGUGGAUUGAGGUGAGAGUUGAGGGGCUUAAAUACAUUUAUGCAUUGUGUGGGCUAUGUAUGAGGGGGUAUGAGACAUUUCUCUUAUUUCUCUCCCUCACAAACACUCAAAGCUCUCCCUCUCUCUCUAGAAUAUCUCUCUCUCUCAAGGAGGUGCAGCAAGAGGUGGAUUUGGUGGAGAAGGAGACAAAGAGGUAGAGUAGCUUCUUCUUCUUCUUCUUCUCUAGCUCAAGUAAGGAAGCUUUUAGAGGUAAGCUUCAACCCCUUCUCAUGGUAGAACCCUAAGAUGGGUUUGAAUGGGCCUAGAAAUGGUUUUGAUGGAAUCCCUAGGUGUUAAUAAGUUUACUUUUGCUUAUGGUAAAGAUCAAAACAAGGGUUUUGUAUAUCUGUUGAAAGUAGGGCAUCCAAAUUGGUGCUUUUGCAUUGGAUGGUUCUAAAGGCCAAUUGACCUUAUAGAAACCUAAUUGAGGGUAUUUUCCACACAUUCGUGCGCUCGGUUUGUCGAAAUGAAAGGUCUAUGUGAAGUUAUGAGCGAAAAAGCCUAAUUUGGCUUUGUUUUGCCGCAGGCAAGGAAAUAGGCGGCUAAAAAUCGUGAAAUUCAAACCCGAGCACCUUAGCAAGCCUACGACGUGGGUGGUGCUUUCCAAACUCUUUGGAAUUUUCUUUAUGUCUAAUGUGUCACUCAUUGAGCAUAUAUACGUGUUGUUGCAUGCAUAGUAGGGUGAUUGUGAUCGUAAUUGUAUAAAUUGUUGCAUGUUGUGAGUACAAAUGUAUUAUGAGAUGGUUGAGAACCUAUGAACCCUAUGUAUGCAUGAGAUGUGAUAUGAAAACCUAGUUGGGGCAAAGAACAAUGUGACACAAUGACAUGUAGAUCGAGUGGCAUUAGUAAAUGCAAUGAUGAACACUAGAGUUAGUGUGUGGCAUGAAUAUGAACAUGAAUGCUAGAGCAUUGGAACACUAAAGUUAGUGUGUGUGGCAUUUAGAGAACAAGAGUGGCAUUAAUGAAUAUUGAAUGCUAGAGUUGAGAACAAAGAACAUGUAGUGUAAAUGACACUAAAGAAAGUAGAAAAUGCAAGUGCAUGUGAGAGAUUGGCAUUAUGACAUAACAACCUUAGAGUUAAGGAUCAUGAAUGCAUUGUUUUCUUAUAGUUAAGGAAUGGAUUGAACUUACAUCCUUAUAGUUAAGAAUUGGAUCAUACUCGUCUUAAGUCCUUGCUCGAAUGGUGGUAGCUCCCCCUCGAGCGAUGAGCUCCGGAGUUGUCAUCACUGGUUUGGUGUUGUUCCCCAAAGGACGGUCCCGUCGGGUCGUAGUAGUCUCCCCGACAAUUAGGAUUAUGAGUUGGUGAGUUGCUUUGGGGCGAAAACUACGGGUUAGCCAUGAGAAUGAGUAAGGAGAUUGAGAUCUUGCAUUCAUCAUAAAUAUCUGUUGAGCAUAAUCAUUGAGUAUUAUUUGUUCAGGCAUAUUAGCUGCAUUGUUUAGUUUGGUUACUAUCUCUCUCUAUUCUUCUAUUAUGCCUAAGUUAGACCUAGUGGGAAAGUCGGCGAGCUUGGGGCCGAACCCACUGGAAACUUCAUUGUAGUUCUUACCCCACUAUUUCCACAGAGCGGGGACCGAGCGAGCCGGCGGACGACCGCGGUAAAGGUAUCGCGCCGUAGACAGUGACCACCCCAGUCGGGUUUCAUAUUUUGUUAGUAGCAUACCCUUACAUCAUCUUUUGUAUUUGAUGAUUAGAGAUGUUAAAGAAAUGAGUGUAAGCUUUCUAUUUUCAAGAAAUGUGAUGUAAAAAGAAAUGAUGAAAAGCAUGUAUAUGGUAAAAGAAUCGUGAAUGUAAAGGUUGAAUGCUUGUAAAUGGUUUAAAGAUAAUCAUUCUACUUGUAUGAUGUUUAGAUUAGUAUUCUUUCACUCUGGCUAUUGCUUACCCUCGUGUAAGCCAUUAUGUAUGUUUCCGUUUGUGCAUUCUCUUUGUUUGAAUUGUACAUGUGUUGAGCCUUGGGCGGACCGGGGAGGUGCCGUCCGUUCGGCGUCUGUUCGACGUGCCCGGAUUGGCAAAAUUGGAUCGGGCCUGGGGUGUGACAGUGUAUGUAUAGAAUUUCAUUUCCUUGGCAAAUUCUUGUACAUGAUCUGGUUGUUUAGCCUUGGGCGAACUGGGAAGGUACUGUCCGUUCGGCGUCUGUUCGACGCGCCGGAACUGGACCAAAUUGAUAGCGGUCUCGGGGCGUGACAGUCGACCUGCCCACAUGUGAACAUUGCUUAGCGGGAAAAGUGACCUGAAAACCAUUUAAUAAAGCUUGUAGGGCAGAAUUUCCGUUACAAUUGAUCCAUUCCGAUAUUUGUGGCCCAAUGAGUGUGAGGGCAAGAUAUGGUGCUUUUUACUUCAUCACAUUUCUAGAUGAUCAUAUGCUCUUCGGUCAUGUUUAUCUGAUCUCCCAUAGGUCUGAAGCAUUGGAUUGUUUUAGACGUUACAUUAAUGAGGUUGAGAAUCGGUUAGAUAUGAAAACUAAAAUCCUAAGAACUGAUCGAGGCUGCGAGUAUCUAUCUGAAUAAUUUAAGAAAUUGUGUGAUGAAAAGGGAAUAAUCAGACAGUUGACAAUUCCUGACACUCUGCAGCAAAAUGGCAUAGGGAGAGAAGAAAUCGCACUUUACUUGACAUGGUUAAGUCAAUGAUGACGCAAGCAAAUUUACCUAUCUUCUUUUGGGGAGAUGCAUUGUUAACUGCUGCCUACAUUCUUAAUCGUAUACCCUCCAUGACAAUAUCUUUCACCCUUUAUGAAUUAUGGACAGAUAGAAAACCAAAUUUGGAGCACCUGUGUUCUUGGGGUUCGGCAGCUUAUGUACACAACACUUCUUGUACACAACACUUCUCACAAGCAUGAAAAGUUAGGUCCUAGAGGGAAAAAAUGUAUCUUCAUAAGAUACCCUGAGCACUCUAAGGGAUACGUGUUCAUCGAAAAGUAGCAAGAUGGAAGUUUGACUGAGAUUUAGUUACGAGAUGUUGAAUUUAUCGAGAAUGAUUUUCCUUAUAAAAGUGAGGUUCGAAAUAAAAUAGAGUUCCAUGAGAUGGAUGACUUUAGUAUUGGCGCUUCUAUUCGUUCAGUUGAGGCAGAAGAGGUGACUCCAAUACCUCCUAGGGAUAGUGGGAACGAGUUACCUUUAGAUAAGCAGUCUCAAGUUCGUAGGAAUGGGCAUUUUCCGUCGUCGUUUUGAGAUUAAGGGGGAAGCUUUCAUGGUUGCUGCACAUGAUGAUGAUGAGCCUAGGUCUUUCCAAGAGGCUCUCUCAUCACCUACUUAUAAAAAAUAUUUGGAUGCAAUGGUAGCGGAAAUAGAAUCGAUGAAGUCAAAUCAUAUCUGGGAUUUAGUUAACUUGCCACCAGGGCGCAAAACAAUCAGGAAUAAAUGGGUUCUCAAGAUUAAGCACAAGGCAGACGGUUCUAUCGAUAGGUACAAAGCUCGCCUGGUAGCAAAGGGUUUUACCCAACGAGAAGGCGCUGAUUACGAGGAAACCUUCUCUCAUGUCGUAAGGUUUGCUUCGAUCCGCCUAAUCUUGGCCAUUGUCGCCUAUUUGGAUUUGAAACUUUACCAAAUAGACGUUAAAACUGCAUUUCUCAAUGGAGAACUGGAUGAGUAGAUCUAUAUAGAUCAGCCUACUAGCUUCUCUAUAAAGAGUGGGGAGUAUAAAGUUUGUAAACUUCGACAAUCCAUCUAUGGAUUGAAGCAAUCCUCCAAACAGUGAUAUAUUCGAUUUCAUCGAGCCAUCACUGAAGAUGGGUUUACGAUGAUUGAAUAAAAUCACUGUUUGUAUAUUAAACGGUCCAAAGAAUAUUUUCUAAUCCUUUUCUUAUAUGUUGAUGACAUCCUAUUGGCCGGGAAUAAUAAGGAAAUGAUUGUCGCAACUCAAACGUGGUUGUCCUCUAAUUUUGAGAUGAAGAAUAUGAGUGAAGCGAAUUAUGUGCUCGGAGUCAAGAUCCUACGAAAUCGUUCAAAAAUAUUUUUAGGUUUGUCUCAAGAGACUUACCUAAAAAAAAUUUUAAAAUGAUUUCAGAUGCACAAUUACAAACCCAUUGACACUCCUAUUACUAAAGGUGAGAGUUUGAACGUUAAACAAUACAUAGAAACUUCUGGAGAGAAAAAUAAGAUUAAUCAGAUUCCAUAUGGUAAUGCGGUUGGGAGACUGAUGUAUGCUAUGAUGUGUACUCGGCCUGAUAUAUGCUUUGCUAUGGGCCUAAUUAGCCGUUUUCAGUCCAAUCCGAGUUUAGACCACUGGAAGGUUGUUAAGAGAAUACUUCGUUAUCUCAGAGGUACAAUAGAUUAUGUGCUGUGUUAUCAAGGUACGGAUUUACGCCUCAUCGGUUAUAGCGAUAUGGAUUGGGCUGGUGACCUAAAUGAACAUAAGUCGACCUCAGGAUAUGCAUUAUUUCUUGAUAAUGGCGCCAUAUUUUGGAAUAGUAAGAAACAAACCUCUGUAGCUCUAUCCACCAUGGAGGCGGAGUUCGUGGCGUGUUCUGCGCUAUUAAUGGCGGAGAAAGACAUGCACUUACUGAGAUUCUCUGUUAUAGCAUAUAUUUCAUACUACAUGCAAUGCUGGGCGACCAAAUAAAAAAGAUGAGUGAAUGGAUCCCUGCUUCCUCAUCGUGUGAGUUCUUAUGGACAUUAUUUUGAGACGAUGUCCUAUAUAUGUUAGAUGCCCUUAGUGACUUUUGACUCUGUCAUUAAGUGAAAGAAUUGGUGUUGCUAUUUUGGCAUGUUUCCUACAGCUGUGAGUGAUGCAACUUUACGGGGCAUUACUGGAAAAGCAAUCGGUUCUCAACUUAGUGGCAUGAGGGCUCAAGGAAGACUAGUUGAAUUACAUUCAGACACUUUGACUUAUUGUCGACAGAUUGUGUUGCUUUAGCAUAGCGAAACAAUCAUGAGUAUAGUGUUAUAAUGUGCACAAUAGAGGUUAGCAUGGCUCUUUAAGGGAUUAGAGAUGUUGAAUCUAAUGUAAUUCAAUGGUCUAAAAUAUCACGAGUCUAAUUUUUUCUUUUGAGGGUUGAUAUCUCUAUGCUGGCCGUAUGCAGUUUCUAAUAUAGAGCUCCCAAAAUGCAGGUUGACCCUACGGUCGCACUGUUUAUUCACUAUGAAUAAAAUCAAUAGUGAUAUAAUGUUAAGGAAGUGAUUACGAUGGCAUCAAUCCCGUCAUGUGCGAGUGGAAUAUGUUGGCAUUCGGUUAAAUUAAUCGGGUGUGUCCAUAAUCGGGCUCGAUCCGACGAUUAUUACGUUAUCUAAUUGGAUUAGCAUUAAUCUCGUUUUUAAAUUGAAAAACUAAUUAGAGAUAAAUUCUAAGCAUAUUAGGAUAACAAUUAUAAACCGAUUUGGCCUUAUCUCUUACGUACUUAUUAGGAUUUUAGAAUCCCUAAUAAAUAUACGGACAAUCUCACAUAAGAGACAAUAAGAAAUAUAACAAGAAAACCAAGAGAGAAAGGUAAAAACCAUAUCCUUCAUUAACCUAUUACUCUAGACGAUCUUAAACGGUGGAUUAGAGAUCGUGCUCGUUUGUAAUUCGAUCCAUCGUGAAUUUGGAGCGAUAGAAAACCUUCGUAGAAGAUUCAAAGACACAUGAAUCAACCUCUGCGAUCCGGGUUUGUUACGUUCUAACGCAAGUUGCUUUCGUUAAAAGGUACGAACGAAUAUUUCCGCUGCGUUUUACAUUAGUAAAGCAAUCAAGUAACCCUUUUCAAUAACACAAAUUGAAAUGUGCCAUAAAAAGGACUUCGGGAUCCCAUAGAUGAUCGAAAACCAACCAACAGAAUAUUGAGAGGGUAAAGAAAGAACGAAGAGAAAGAUGGGAAAAGAGAGUACGCUACAAACAUGGUGUUCCAGAGUUCAACAUCAAGUCAACACAGUAAAUAUACCCAAAAGGUUGGGAGGAGAUAAUAAUAAUAAUAAUAAUAAUAAUAAUAAAAAAAUUAAAAAAAUGGAAAGAGGAAGAAGAAGAAAGAAAGAGAGAACAUCCAACUCGAUUAUCUACCCAUCUGAGCCAACCUCUAUUUUUGUUCUGUGGGAGGAAAACAUCCAAACCAAUUCUCACUUGGUUCAUAAAACUACAGAACGUAGGAAAGAAAGACAAACAAAAAAAUCUAUGCUACAUUCCAUAAGCACGCUAUCAGAGCCACAAAAAGAAAUGUGGCAUCAUCACGGAAUAUACAGCUUAAAUCUGUUCGACAAAACAGUGGAAAUUUUUUUACAUAGGUACACUACUUAUCAGUUAAUUACAUAAUAUACAUUGGCCCUAGCAUAAGGCACAUACGCCAUUUUAAGAGAAGCUGCGUUUUAGUCCAAAGCUUCAAUUGAAACUGAGCGAAGACAAAAUUAGACACACCUUAACAACUUCUGAGUGAAGAAAGCAACCACUGGAAAUUUAGAAUACCAUCCCAACUUCUUCACUGAGCACAAAGCGUGGCAUUUCUAUUACACGGCUCCUCUGAAGGGAAAUAAGGUAACGUCAAUUUUAAAAUCACAACAAACAAGGAUUAAUCCUAGUUCCCUUCUUCCUGUAGUUAUUAAAACACAUUCAUAUGUACCUCACCGAAGCACCCAGCAUCACUUGAUGGUGAUAUAGCGGUUCGUCCCAUGCUUCGCCCAGUGGUCCUUGAGGUCCACGGGCAUCGAGAGAUCGUGACCUUCAGCUGCUACCCGGCUAAGCAGCUUCGAGAAAGCACUGCCACUCAUCUUCCUACCGCCCAUCCGAGCGUGACGUUUGUUGGCCAUCACUGGGAGAGGGUACAUGGACAGUGUCGUGGUGCAGCAUGACGACUGCCAACCGCCGUUCCCCCAUUUGUAGCAUGGGCGGAACUUACCUGUGCAGGAGCAAACAGGCACCGGCAUCGUCGACUCGUCGAAUGUCACCUGGUUCAACCCGAGGUCUUGGUCCUUCCACUCAUUCUUCUUCUUUACGCCACCACCUCCAUUGUGGUGGGUCUUUGCAAUUGUGACCUGACUACUAUUUAGAUCGUCACCACCAACCCUCUUGCUUUUCCUUUUUGAUGAUGACUUCAUGGAAGGGGAAGGAGCAGCCUGGGCUUUACUCUCUUUCCUAGUUUGCUUAGGUUUUCUGGCCUUCAUAUCAUUCUCCAAGGCGGCUGAUAUUGGGUAUGCCUCCAUUAUGUGCAUCUCUCGUACGUGGUCAUACGGUGCGUCUGAGAGUUGAGGCGGUGAAGGUUGAACAACGGAAAGGUUGUUGUGGUGUUGGUGGUUGUGCUGGUGGUUGUGGAGGUUCUUUGCAUUUCCAUUCAUCCCACUUUCACGAGCAAGCUCAAGGGCAGCGAUGGCAUCGUCGCGCUCAAUGAUGGCGCUAUCCCGCUCAGCUAUGGCAGUGUCACGCUGCAUGAUGGCCAUGUCACGCUCAGCCAGGGCAGCUUUCUUCUCAGAGAUAGCAAGGUUCCGUUCUUGGAUGGCGGUGUCCCGCUCGGUCAUAAGUGCAAUGAGUUUCAUUGUGUGGUGCUCCUUCAUCUGGUGUUGAGGCAUCAUCCACUGCAAUAUUGAACAAAAUUAGGAGCAUCCAGAAAAGAAAUCCAAGUAGGUUUUAUGGAAUGCUUUACUGUAGGCAGUCUGUUUACAGAGUGAUAGUUUGCUUUCCAGGCAUGCAACUUGAAAUUAUAUGGGAAUUGCAAUACAUUCCAUUUAAUUUACAUUGCUGAUUAAUCAGCACAGAUAACAAAAAUAUGAUUUUGAGUAAAAACUUUCAUACAAAAUAAGAGACUAAACAGCAGAAUAGAAGAUGAUAGGAAAAUAUAUAUUUGCAUCAGCGUAUAUUCCUCACAUUUGUAAUGGAACUCAAUACCAAAUUUCAAUCUGUUAGAAGAUUUUUGGCAUGCAUUAUUUGGACCACUUUUCUACUUAUGGUCGACCAUUAAGUACUUGAAAGCUCUAUUAUGGUAAACAAAAAUGGGCCUCCUGAGAGCAAAAGUAAACAUAACCGACUGGUUUUCUGAUCUCUCACCAACUUUGAGGUCGAAGGAGCAACAUUCUCUUCGGCCAACUAGAUUAUAUUGACUUAUCUUUCAUUUCUAAGCCACUCAUAUUUAGAAGAAGCACAUGAAUUUCUACUUUAAAUGUGAGAAAAGGGGAGUACAAUUUGUGUCGAGAUUGACCAUGACUAGUGUUCAAGCAAGAAAUCAAUUAGAUAGACGGACCUGAGAGAGGGUAGACAGCAAACUACAACUCAAUAAAGCAAGACCAAGUAAAUUUAUUCUUGCUAAUGUUGUCAGAAGACCAGAUAUCAGUUAAUAAGAAAAAUCUAAAAAUUUAUGAGCUAAUUAAUAGUGAAUAAAAAGAAACAGUUGGCUCAUGACCAUACCAAGUGGCAAAGGACGAUACAAAAAAUAGACCACGACGCCCUAAAAAAAAACAUCUUGUUUGCUUAAGCAACUUCACAAAUUAUAUUUAUCACAGGUCACUAUAAAUAAUUUCUAAGAAUAAUUUAUAGUCUCCUUGAAUUUGCUCAGUUUCUUGGAUAUUAAACAUCCAAAAUAGGAAAUAAACCUGUUCUUAAAAGUCAUUCAUUAUUUCUCUGUAAACCUCUCCUCUAUUACAGAUAGAACUCACUUCUAUAGUUUGAUAAGUAAACAAGAUCUAUACAGUUAUCAGAGUCUCAAACAUCACAUGGAUUCUCAUCCUUGCAAUAGUAAAAGAUGCCCAGCUAUAGAGCCAGUUAGCUCUCGUUUAAUCACACCCUCCAUGCAGCAUAUACCAGUAUUAACAUUGUAUAUCUACUCAACUUUUUCUUCUGUCCAGUUCUGAAGUUCGUUUCUCAAUAUUAAUUGGAAUGGUUAAUAAAAAUAUCCGCACAAUAUUUAUGUAUUUUCUUAUCUCUGCACCUUCAAAAGCUUAAUGUCACACACAUGCAAGACUCUGUAUCAUGUAUAAGCAACAGAGACCUUCCUCUAUGAUACCUCAAUACGUUCACUAGCUUCUGCUUUUAUUUCGAGGAAUUGGUAACAGCAUGUGCCCAAAAUAUUGUGGCUAAUAUACAAGUCUCAGAGAUGAAGAGUUGACGACAUAAGAAUGCUACAGCUGGAUAAAAAUUUUGCAACUCUAGUCAAUGCAUAUUUACUGAAAACCUAUGAUGUAAUAUUUAAAUCACAACUUAAAAGCAUGUUUUUUGUGCAAAAUUUUACAAACACAAGUGUAUGAAAUCACACUCAUCACAUGCAUGCAGGUUAUAUAACUUGGAAAAUGUUGCUAAAAAUGACAAAGAUGAAGAUAACUUGCAAAGAGUGUAGAAAUUAUCCCCUUUUUAUUGUGCCAAGGCUUGAUCUAUCAAAAUCUAGGACUUCGACUAAAGGGAUGGAAGAAAAAAACAUAAAGGGAUGACCGAUAAGGGCAAAAGCCCUAAUAAUCCACAAUGGGGCAAUGAUAAUAAGAUAUGAAAAAUACAAUUCAGACAUGUAAGUCAUGAAGACUGACAUUGAGAACAUUAUUUAUCAAUAAUCUCAGGAAAAUGAGCCUUAAUUUCUCAUUUUUCAGGCUAGCUACAGUAAAUUGGCUAAUCAAAUAAGGCCACCAACAACUUUAGGAAAAGAGGGUUCCCAAAUAUUGUAAAUCUACAAACUUAAAAAAUACAUACAUGUAAAAAACUACAAGAAUUAGAAAUGCUUAUAAAAUUCAGCUUCUUUCCUUGAUUAGGUCUGCUAAUUGUUGAAACCAAGUGUCUCCAGUGCACAUGUUAUAAUAUAUUGUGGGUGUUUGGCCCCACAGUUCGCCCGCAUUGGCGGCACGCAACCGCGCAUUUAUGAGCUUUUGAGAAAGCUCCACACGUGGAGCUUUCUCAAAAGCCACGCAGUGCGGCCCGCUCAUGGGCCACACCACAAGGCCAAACAGCCCAUUAUCAAACUAUUAAUAUACCAGUUGAAAUGCAUGUGUAAUGCACAGUUCACUUAUUUUGUGAAGAAGCUUAAUGCCUGCUGAUGUGUGCUUUCUACAGUCAAAAAAGCAGGUCGCAAGUAGAGUCAACUUGUGCACACUAACAUCGGAAGGCUGUUCAAGAAUAGAGCUGAUCUUUAAAAGCUCAACCUCAUAUUUGUACUUUACUAUCUUGUUACUUGUUUCUCAUUCCCUUUUUGACAAAUUGUGAAUGUCCUUUCGCAUGAGACUUUAUUACUCGUAGUGUAUUUAAGAAAACCUAUUCUUUAGCAUACCAGGAGAUUUUAUUUUUCUUUCCACAGACCAAAAUUCUUUGAUAUCUCACUUAUAUAACGUGAUCUAAUCAGCACUCAAAGACAAAAUAUAGUUAAUGAUGCAAAAGAAGAAUAUAUGUGUGUGUGUGUGUGUGUGUGUGAGAGAGAGAGAGAGAGAGAGAGAGAGAGUGAUCCGGCUAAGGAGAUUUUAGAAGCACCAAGGUGUUGGUGCUAUAACCUUUUUGGCAAGGAUUAAAGUGUUGUAUCGUGGCACAGGGGCGUGUCAGCUGUUGCCUAGCACAGUACGGCAUCAGCACGGUUGCGUGCCAACACAUGGCACUAUUGCGUGCCAACCGGCACACACAACCUCCUAAUGGCACGCUUUGACAUAGUUAUUUUUGUUUUUUUUUCCUCCAUAAAGCCCUAUAAUGUUAUAUCGAAAGUUUUAGGGUCAUAAUUAUAAUUUUUUGGCUAUGUAUUAAUUUGUCUCGAUCUAUUGGCAAUAAUAGCUCUCUACACUUACUAGUUAAUAACUUAAUAUAGUGGCAGUCUUCUUUAUAUAUGAAGAAAAAUAUAAAUAUAGCUCAUAGAGAAAAUUAUUUUUUCUUUGAAUUUUUAAGAAAAUUUGUAAGAUCCAUCUGUAUUGAUUCGAUAAAGGACCGUAUGAUGACGAGACUAACCAUAUGGCAAAUCAUAAAGAAAAAUUAAAUACCUAUUGCUCUGAUUUAGUUUUUGAUUUUAUUAGAAUUUUCAUGUUCCUAAAUCCGAUAAUAUAAUUUUCAAACUUAAAAAUAUCGUAAAUCUCAUAAAAAAGCUAAAUCCACCCAAGAAACUAAAAAUCGGACCAUAUAAUAACUACAUUAAGUGUAUCUAUUUUCAGAUUUUUGUAAAUUGUAAAUAAAAAUCUAUCUAUACAAUACAUAAUUUGACACCCCUUCAUGUGCCACGUGGCGCCCUCAUUCCACCUCCCUCAACAAUCUUAUCCCUUCUCUCUCUCUCUCUCUCUCUCUCUCUCUCUCCCCAUCUCAAUUUUAUCCUUUCUCUCUCUAUCCUCCUCCAAUGCCUCAUAAAGCCACUCAAAUCACUCUAUUUCUUUCUCUCUCUCUCAUAUCUUUCUCUCUCUCACACAUAUCUUUACCAUAUACAUCUCAUAUCUUUCCAUAUCUCUUCCUCUCUCUUGUAUCUAUCUCUCUAUUUCGAUUUUCUAAUUUUUUCUUUUAUUUUUUUGUCUUCCUAUCUCUCUUAUUUCUUGCCUAGUUAUCCAAGAGAUUUCCUGCAUCUCCUCUCCUGUAGCCCGUUGGCGGAACACCUACGAUAAUUUCCACUCAAGAGGUGGCGGCGGCGUUCGCGCUCUCCCCGGCCCCGUUCACGCUCAUCUGUGAUCAAGAUCACGGCAAGAUCGACAAGCAUAUCAACGAUCGGGACAAGGAUCGGAGCUUGCGAGAGUGCGAGCGAAGGGACGAACCGAUCACCCGCGAUGGUUCGCCUCCGCCAUAGGAGGGAUAGGUAUGAAGUUGAAGACAAAAUAUACCUAUAUUCAUUUCAUUCUCAUGAGAAGAUAGUGAGAAACAGAAAAUAUAUCCAUCAUGGGCACAGAGUUUAUGUAUGCAUGCAUAGCUAAGUUUCUUUUUUUUUGGUGUAGUUACCUCCUUUUUCCUUUUAUUUUAUCAUUUUUUUCUACUAAGUUUGAUUUCUUUUCUUUUUUUAAAAUCUUUGGCCUUAAUAUAUUUAAGGACUUCGAAUUAUUGGAGGGAAGGAUCUUGACUUGCAAAUUUUGUAUGUGCAAACAACCAAAAUAAGUUGCCUCGAAAAGGUUUGAAUUAAUUAUGUUAUUACUAAUUAGAUCAUCAGUACUGAUGUGAGGUAGUUAUAGUAAAAAUAUUUAUUUGUUUGUUAUUUUUGUUAAAAUUUUUUGAAACUUUAUGGAUGCAUAAAUUAUUUUGAUUCAACUAUCUAACCUUUAAGAAUUUAAAUUUUGUGCAUCUAUAAUUUGGCGGAUACGCCAUAUCAAAAAAAUGGUUUCGUCAUGGACCAAUAGAAGCUUUCUACAUGACCAAUAAAAUUUUGGACGCCCUAUUGCACCGUAAAGCGACUUUAAAAUGUGCAUUAAAAAUAAAUUUUUAUAGUGUAAUAAAUUUUUAAAAUAUUUUAUAUUACACAUAUUAUAUCAUAUUUUAUUUUAUAGUAUUAAUUAUCAAAUAUUCUAUAAUCAUCUAAUAUUCUAGCUGAUGUAUGAAGCAUUGGAAUGCACCAUAUGCACAAGCAUCCUAUUAAAUAUUCUAUACACCGGGUGUAUAUCUAUACAUACACCACAUACUUAAAACCCUUCAUUAGAGAUUUUAAAUUAAUUCAUCAAACAUAAUUUAAAUUAUUAGACUUGUAAUCAGAUAUAAUUAAUUAAAUUCUGAUAUUAGAAUAUUAGUCAUCUAAUAAAAAUUACAGUGUCACGCCCCGGAUUACACGUUCCCCGGGCACGCCGACAGAUCCGCCGUAUACAAAGAAAUUUUCCCUGUAUACGAAGCGAUAGCUGUACCUGUAAAUCAAACACUACUACGAACAGUAGUAGAGAGCUGCUAGAGAAAACUGAAGCUAAAUAAAACAGAGUUUUAUNUGGUGAUACAAACGAGGGAGAGAAAAGACCAAAACACCCUCUCACCUACCCUGGUGUACCGGUACACGGGAUUGCGUACCGGUACAGGAAGCAACCCGAGAGCAGAUUGCGCGGCAUCAGUAUAGUGUACCGGUACGCCAUGAUGGCUGUACCGGUACAGCAAGCAGGAAAAUCUGCUAUUUUGCAGAUUUCUUCGCUGAAGGCUGCUCUCGCGUCGCACGGAGUCCGUUUUGCGUCUCUUUGACGCCAACGCGACUCGGACUUGUCCCGACACUCACCAGAGCUGUCGACAAGCCCCCACAACCAGACACCAGGGAUCUCACAUACAGUGUAUGGAGUAUUAAUAUUCACCAGGUGCAUCUAAUAGUUGCUUCUUUUUUCAAUCAAUUUUUCAAAGUAAAGACACCUAGCCUCUAUUCUUCAAUUUGAAAUUAGUCCUCCAACUUUUAACUUUUUAGUUAAAAAAUAUAUUUAUAGAAUAACUAUCAAAACUAUUAAUUUAAUUAAAUUUUUAAAUAAAUUUAUUAAAUAAUUUAACUCUACAAAUACUGAAAGUAAAAAAUAUUAAUAAAAAAUUUAUUUUUAAUAAUGUACAUAAAUACUACUGUAUAGUCUUUUCUUUGGGUUUCUUUAGUUAAUUUCUUUUAAUCUUAAAAACUUUCAUAAGUAUAUAUCUUGAUUGGCUGAAAUAUUACCUACCCGCCGCGAAGUGCGGGGCCCUAUACGAGUUUGAAUAAUUUAAUACUUCUUCACAAAAGAAACUUUACAAGUUAAAUAUAUUCUAAAUGUAGGGAAAAACAAUUAGGUUGUGAAUUUUUUGACUUAUCUAAUAAGUAGAUUUUUUAUUUUGCUAUUUCUUUUCCUUUUCUUGUAAAAAUUAAGAAGGGAUUAGAAGAAGAAAUUAGAGAAAAAAUUAUGAGAAAAAAAAGAGAGGAAAAAAUAGAAAAGGAAAAAAAAGUAGAGGAAGAGAUAUAAGAAGAAAGGGAAAGAGAGAAUAGAAGAGAAGAAAAGGUAGAAGGGAAAAGAAGAGAAGAGAAAGGGAUAAAGGUCUAUAGGAGAACCCUCUAGGCAUCAUCGUCUCUAGCGAUACCCAGAGGAUAUCACGACACAAAAGGGGGGGUCCAAUAGAGAUCACCCACUGUACCAUGCCCCCUAUUGGAGGCAAGGAAUUUAAGUAUCUCUUUGUACUGUAUGACACGGGGCGAUACUUAAUUCCUUUCUUUUGACCAUUGGAUCAACGACACAGGGCGAUACUUAAUUCCUUAUUUUUUGGCCAUUGAAUCAACCCUAACGGUGUUUGAAUUAUGCACAAUGAUGAGCCCCAUAAAUAACCACCAUUGUUAACUUUCAUCCAAUAGCCAAAAAGAUAGAUCCAAGGGCUAAAAAAGUAAAAGCACCAACACCAUAUAUAUAUAUAUAUAUAUAUAUAUAUAUAUAUAUAUAUAGAGAGAGAGAGAGAGAGAGAGAGAGAGAACUGCGCAACAAUACUUCUAAUAGCACCAAGUCAUUGGUGCUUGUGGGUUCUCGGCACUUGGAUGAAGGGUUGUGAGGUUAGGACAAUAGUGAUCCCCGUAGGAUUUGAAAAGAUGGUUGGUGGAAUAGCAUGAUCCAAGAGGUAGAAAGAGUCAAAAGGAUAGAUCUAAUGGUGGAGAAGUAGAUAGCACCAAGUGUUUGGUGUUUAUUAGAAGCAUCCCAGCUGAACUCUCUCUCUCUCUCUUUAUAUAUAUUUGUGCUGGGAUAUAGUAUUUAAAUAGUGUUUAUCUUUUACCAUUGAAUACCUAGAGUUUAGUGGGGGUUGGUGGAAUAGUAAUAAUCCAAGGGUGGAAACUAUUUAGAAAAAGAGGGAGAGAGUACAACUUAUGUGCUUUCUAAAGUACGGGGGCCUCUGUACUUUCAAGUUGUUUUCGAUAAUGGAACAUCCGAUUCAAUAAUCAGCUCCGUUAGAUAUAAUCUACUCUAUUGAAACUAUUUAGAAACCAAAUUUUAUAAUUUUUCGCCAUUAUUUGCUAAGUAAUCAAAAUGUCUCAAAAAUGACUAUUUAAUGGCCGGCAUAGCAUGUUUGUAAGUUCAAAGGUUUAAAACAAUCCAAAUUAUGUGAAAUUUUAAUAAGAAAUUCCAUUUACCAUCAAGAGCAAGAUCAUUUCUUCCGAUCUGAAAUUUUAAGUCUUCUAUCACUAUUUUUUAUGAAAUUUUUAUUUUCAGCCGUUCAUUUUUAGACUAUUUGUUCACUAAGCAAAUGAAGUCGAAAAAUUAUAAAAUUUAAUUUAUAUAUAGUUCCAAUACUUUAGAUCAUUUCUAAUGGAGCCAAUCGCUGCAUCGGAUGUCCCAUCAGCGAAGACAACUUGAAAGCACAGAGGUUCUGUGGUUUCAAAAGCAUAGUAGCCUAGUAGCCUAGCUCUCUCCCUCUCUCUCUCUCUCUCUACAUAUAUGUAUGUAUGUAUAUUCCUAUUGAGUUAAGAAGCAUCACUAAAUAGUAUGCAUGGUUUUUUUUCAAUAAAUAGAGACUGUAAUUAAUUAAAUGUGUUGCGUCUUCUCAAUUGCUUAUGAUGCAAACCAUUGGUGCCUGUAUAUUUUGGCAAUGUCAAGGCGAACCAUUAGUGCAUUCACCACAAAAAUGGUGGCUCAUGAUACAUCAUGUGUGCAUAGGCUCUGUGGUGUAUACGAGUAGAUAGACAUGAUUGCAAGAGCAUAGACCAUGUGUGAACCAUGACAGCAUACCAUGAAAAUGGCAUGUGAAUCAUUUAUGACAAGGAAAGCUUUGUUAUGAUAGAAAGUCCAAGAAACGAAAGUGGUGGAUGGUUACAUGAUUGCCAAUUUGACCACCAAGACGGUGUAUGAAAAGGCAUGCCUUAGCAUCUCAUUGCGCCAGAAGCAUAGUGCUAUGUUUGAGGCGCACGCCUCAAGUAAGGCUCGAGGGAUAUGUGAGGCGCACGCCUUGUGAUAUCUCAAGUUUAAAUAGGUAUUUGAUCUCUUAUUAGAAUUUAUAUUCAUUAUGGAUACUAUAUUUCAUCUUUUAAACACUAUCUGUUCAUGUUGCAUUGCAAUUUUGGUAGUUUACUACAAUAUUCAACAUUACAUAUGUUAAUGCUGACUGUUUUCUUUCGAAGUGUGCUUACUUGUGAAUGAAUAUAGUAGUAAUUCAUUAUUAAAGUGUUGUUAGGUAAUAACAAAUUGUUUCUUGUUUCUUGGUUUUUAUAGAGAAUUUUAUCUUUCUUAAAGAUUUGUGUUAAUAUGUGCCUCGCCUUCUUGAGGCUCGCGCCUCACAAACGGCUAGGCUUCAGGAGCCCUUAAGUCUUGUAGCACCUCAUACCUUUUAAAACACUUCUGAUCAUGAAGUAUUGGACUGUUGGUUAUUGUAGUGGCGUACAGCACAUGCUGUAUCAUGCAAUUUUUCAUUAAAAAAUCAUGCACCACAUGACAAAAAGGCACCACAUGACAGAAAGGGUUGUAUAAAAUCCGACGGCAUAAAAUCCCUUGCAAUUGUUUCAAUCCCACAAAACCAAGUGAAAAUUUUUUAUGCGAGUCUUGUUUUUCAUGAGCAAUUAGUUUCCUUAUUAGUUAAAUUUAGUAAGAAUUCAUAUUGACUAAUAGGUAUUACAUUAGGCCAGAGAGACAGAUUCAAGAGAUUUUGUUACAAUGUAUCGGACCCCCUAAAGAAUAGGCCAUUUCGAUGUAGACCUUUUAACUACUUUUCUUUUGAUUUACAUUCUAUCAAUUUUUUGUUCUACCAAUUAAAUUUAACAAUAAUUUUGUAAUUUCACUUUUCAGAAGAAUUUUUUUUAUUAACAAACUUAAACAAUAUUAUAAUUAUAAAAAUAGUCCUCUAAAAAAUUUAUUUACAAAAAAUAGGCCCAUGCGGUAAAUAAACUACCGCUUUCUAAAUGCGGCAAAUCAUUCAUAGCUUUCUUCAAAGGAUUAAAAUUAUUUCUAGUGCUUAAUGUUAUACAUCUUUUGAAGUUUGGAUGUAGAAAAUAUGUAAGUUAGGUAAAAGCGGUGAUCACUGCUUUUACAGGCCUACAUUACAAACAAAAAUUUUGAAUGACUAUUUUUACAAUUAAAAAGUUCUAUAGGCUUAGUACCCCAAAAACCUCCAUUCCCGAAUACUCUUUCAUACUGAUGUCAAUGUGGGUUUUGUUAUCUGUCAAUGAUUGACAGCUAAAAAGUUAAUUUAUUUUAAUAUAUUUCCUAUUCAAAUCAGAAAAAUAAUUCAAUUUUAAAUAAUUCAAAUUAAAUAAAUAUGUAUUAAAAAGUUAGUUGAGGGGACUUUCAAAAUAUCCUAUAGUGGAGAGGCUCUCCAUUUUUAGCUAACUAAUACGGACAUGUCUCAUUAGCAGGGUUACUAUCUAUAAAUGUAUCCAAUCUAAGGGAGACCACAUACCACAGAGUGCUCACUGCUGAUGCACUUUCUUGAUGUUCCAUGGUGGAAAUGCAGUUGGCGGCAGUGCGCAUGGAAAGUUCCAAGUUUUCUCCAUUUUUUUGCGCCAAUAGACUUUUUAUGCCCACUAUAAGUUGCACGAAAGAAGGGAAUAUAUAAAAAGGAUCCGGGAAUAGUGAAAAAAAGUUUCCUGCUGACAAUACCUCAAAUUAAAAAUGCAUGCUUCUUUAUAUAGUAUAGAAACACAGAAAUUGUAACGGGGCAUUAGAUAAGAAAUCUGAAAGAAACUAUCAGAAAUAACAGUGCAGAAAUCAAAUUUAGCUGCACUAUUACCAAAGAUAUAAUCGCGAAAGUGGUGGAAUAGGCGGAUAGAGUUAACCCAGUUCUGGAAGUAGUAAUUAGAUAUGACGCUUGUCAACAAGGAUAAGAAAAUUAGAAAAGACAGCACAAACAUGGAAAUAGCUCCACAUAGUUUUCUCCAAAAAGAUAAGAUAAGAAAUGAAAUGACACAAAGAAACAAAAACUUCAUUGUAAAACAAUAAGCAAGGAUAAGUCUAAUUGCUAAUGCUUCAAUGAGUAACAGGAUAUUUCAAGUAGCCACCCUCUUUUAAGGGUUUCAACAUAAAUAACAACAAAAGAGGUUAUCACACAAUGGUUAUAGCAGAUAUUUCUCAAUCAUAAAGUGGAUACCUGUGUGUGAACUGAUUUAUAUUGGUCAGGCCUCUGUCUCCCGUUCUCCCUAUGUCCGCUGUCAUCCAUAUCUACAUCUGCUUUCAACAAUAAAGGAAAAUAAUCUGAUAGCUGCUGCAAAUCAAGGAGAACUGGGCCACAUGAGCUGUCCAAAUGUUAAGAUCAACUUUACACUAAAAUAGUAGAAGAAACAGAUUGAUGUUUGAGUCAUAAUAAAAAAUUAGCUUCAAGGGAAAGCUUAAAAGCAUAGAGAAAAACCAAAAGCAUAAGAAUGUUAUGUGCAUAGCUCGCAGAGAAAGUAUAUUGAGUUCCUCAGUAUGCAGAAGGAAAGGUGACAGAAAAUGAGCUUAAACAUUUAGAAUCUAAAUAUGUUUACAUGAAAAUGGUUUAACAUCUAAAACAAGAAUCCAGAAAGAGAUCUAUAGUUUAUAACACUAAAAAUUGUCAAGAAGCUAGAUGGCAAAUAUUUCUUAAAGAUGACUCAGCAGCUGUAUGAUAAUUGUACAUUCCACUUAAAUAAACUGAUUUGAAUCAUGUUAUUUAAUGCUAAUCUUCUAUAUAGAUAGAUGGCAAGAAACAAAAUCAUAUCUCACUAUGGAAUUGGUAAGCAAGAUAAAACUGCAGGCUACAGUAUAAAUCCAAAAAAAUAUGCUAUCAUUUAAAGGAUCUUAAAAUACCAGGAAGAUAGAAACAUGACAAUGAUUUAUAGAGUUAAAAUAUUAACAUAAGCACAUAGUUGACAGGAACUGGAAUAAAUAUCAAUAAUGACAAAAAUGUCACAAAUGUAAGAAACUUCAUAGAAGUGGGUGUAAUAACUGUGCUUUUGAUUUUGGAAAAUUUAAAUUUGAAUUUGGAUUUUUCAUUCAAAAUUUUGUUUUCAAAUUGGGGGUCAUCCAAGAGAGAUGGAAUUAUCGCGAAUCAGACCUCAUUUCUGACGAAACAAAAUGUAGAUUUGAUGGUCCGACAAUGCCGGAAGUACUGGCGCAGUCCGUUCUCAAAUCCGGCGAGCCGAUUGUGCGAAAUUGCUCGAAACACAAGAAGGGGUUUUAUGUGGAAAAUUCAUAUCUUUGAAAAAGUCCCAAAUUUUAUGCGAUGUUUCACGCGAAAUUGCACGUGGAGGGGCCAUUACGCAAAUUACACUUGCGGCAAGGGACUCGGUUAAAAAUAUUGUAGAUUGAGUGGGUUUUAAUGCAAUUUUGGCCAACUCUACAUAAGAACUAGGGUUUCUCGAAACAAAACACAACCCUAAAUCUCUCUCUCUGCCCUAGCCGCCACAGUACCCUCCCCUCUUCGCCCUAGCCCACUUUUCGAGCUCCGGCGAUCCUCUCCGGCAGCAAGAACCCCGACCAAGCCCCCCCAAGCCUUCUCCCUCAAAUUGGUUGCUGAACCCGAGCACGCUCUCCCUGGGCCACCACCGGCUUGGGACCUCGCCAUCGACACCUGGGGAGUCCGACGACACCCCCCUCCCCCCCGCCCGCAGCCCCGGUGCCGCCAUGCACCACCAUAGUUGCGCUCCAACUCGGGAACCACCUAGGGCUGGGGCGGCCGCAGCAUCUUGUGCGACCGCCGCGGCCGCUGACACCUCGGACUCAAGUGGGCCCCAAGAGUCCGCCGGUGCUGCCCCGACAUCCUCGGGCCACUACUUUGCCGAAACCCUCGACUUCAACCUGAGCCCCUCUUAUUUCGGCCGCGACUUCUUGAAUGUCGCAGCCGCUGCCUCCCACCGCUAAUCGUCCCCCGUCAGCCGCGCCUUCCCCCUGCCGGCGCUCGAAUUCCUUGGCCGCCGAAAUCCUGUUGGAAGGUUCCCUGCUUUGGAUCGAGCCCAACCUAGGGCUUUUUUGGCUGGGCUUCCCUAUUCCAAUCAUCCGAGUGGUCAUCGAUCCUCCAGAAGGUGAGCAUGGACAUCCUGAGGUGUCAUGGACACUUGUGCUCACCUUCGAUUCUAUCGGAGAAGUCCCGGUUGAUAGCUUUGGCAUUGUCGCUCUCGGAACCCUUCUAACCCGGUGCGCUCCCCAACUUUCGUUUGCGCUCCAGACAACGAACACGAGCCUCAGCGCGUCGAGACCUAUCGAUUUGCACCACUGGUUGGUCUCUAAAUCCCACGAUUGUCGGUAACAGCGAAAAUCCCUAUUUUAUUUAUAUAAAUGCAAAUAGAUAUAGUGAUAGGGACUUCUACGCAUUAUGGGCCUUGUGUGCUGCCUCGGGCAGUGUGAGAUCACUGUUUGUGAUCUUUAGAUUGGUCAUCCAAAGUCCAGUGGCCCUCGCGUAGCAGAAUUUGGAUUUUUAGUGCGUUUUCGGACAAACCGUCGGCGAAACGCAAUUUUCGGUAUGGAUUUCGCCUUUUAUUAAUGUGAAUGCCCCUAGAUUGUUGGUGAGCGUUGUUGGCUGGUUGCUCUCGCUGUCUCAGAUAUUCGGAGACAACGGAUAAGCGGCGGAGAGUUCUGGUGCCAAAAACAAUAUUUCCGAGAACUCGAAACGGCAUCAUUUCUGUUAAAAUUAUUUAUAACACAGUAGUGUGUGUUCGCUGCCCGGACACCUAAAUGGGUGCAUUUCGGGUCAGCUAGUCGUUUAUAGUGUAAAUCAGUAUCUUCCAGCUUACUUCAGUGCUUUCGAAAAUGAUCCAGUGGAUUUUUCGAAAAUUUCGGUGGUUUCGAGAUUGUGAAAUUGGUAUUUUCGAUUCACCUAGAGUUAGGCCUUGACUUGUGGAUCUCUCGUAGGUCUAGUCGACGAUCUAAUGCACCUUAGGUGUUAGGUGCUUCAACUAUUAGAGGUUGGUGCGGUAUUGUGGUGCUAGCUCAGUGAUAUUCUUCUCCUUCUCCUUUUACCUACUUAUAUACACUCGUUGCAUGUUGAGCACACUUCACCACUUGACUUUGCUUUUGUUGCUCUACUUUAGCUUUCAUCCAUCCUUAUUGUGAUUCGGUAGUAGAGUGAUACUAUGUGUUGACUUCGUAUGAUUGUGUCACGGAUUGGAUUUGAAUAGUCGACUUGUUGUGAGAUCUAUGAGAUUGGGUGACCUAGUAGGUCGGUAUACUCUGUGGAUUCCGUGUCGGCUGUUUACCGAUAGAUGGCUAUUGAUCAUAUCGCAUCUAUUGCUAGGGUCACAUGCCAAGUAGAGCAGGCAUGACAUUUGCCUGAAAUCUCUAGACCAACAUAGCAGAUGAAUUGGGUAUUCUUGGACUAUUCGUCCGAUUGACGCAUGUUUUAUUUUUACAAUAGCGACAGUUGCAUACUUGUACUUAUUUCCUUUCAGUUCAUACUUGCUACUUUACGUUUACUAUCAUGCUAUUAUAUCUCUCGGUCGCCAGUGAGUACGCUUGCCCCCGUCGGCUUGCAGUACCCACUGGGAGACCCCUUGUUUGUUUCUCAUCCCCCUAUUUCAAGUGAUCUUGGCGGUGAGGAUCGGGACGGUGUGUGAAACGCGGUUAGCUAGCGAGCUUAGAGGUCCCGUGCAUCCGUCAUUCGACUCUGGUUAUUCUAGUCUUUUCCCUCUUUGCUUAUUCGUCAACAAGUAGACUAUUGUGUUUUAGUUAAUUGUUUGUUCAGUUUAAUUGAAUGUUAUUUUGGAAAUAAAUGGAUGGUGAAUUUUGGAUUACUACCUGAGAUAGUGGCAAUGUUUUACUUGUGGUUUUAUGAUGAAAACGGUUUUCUACCUGAUGCGGAUCGGGCCUUUCGGGUGUACGAAUGUCAUCGAUGCCGCAACCGCAAUUGGAGCAUAUGGCUUGAUCGACCCGAGAUAAGUCCGGAUUGAAUCGAACCUACAAAUUUCUAGAAGCAUCGUAGGUUCUAGAAGCAUCUAGGGAUAUUUACUUCUCAAUUAUUUGAACCAAGGAUUUAAGUGUCGUGGCACGGGGUCGUGCUGGAAACUUGCCGGCACGGUACGGCACGCUGUGUGCCGAGCCGUGCCGAUGCGUGCCGGUCAAAAAAAUUCUUGUGUGCCAACAUAUAAUAGCAUGAAAUAUUUAUUUUCUUUAGCAACAAAAUAUUUUUAUCACAUCUUUUGAACUUUAUUGAACUUAUCUAGUUGUUAGGAUUUUAUCUAAAAGUUGUUAGGAAAGUUGUUAAUUUGGUAGAGAUUUUAUUGUUAGGAUUUUUGUUUUGAGCUUAUCACUNAUCUAGUUGUUAGGAUUUUAUCUAAAAGUUGUUAGGAAAGUUGUUAAUUUGGUAGAGAUUUUAUUGUUAGGAUUUUUGUUUUGAGCUUAUCACUGUCAAAAAAAGCUCUUUAAAUAUUCUAUGCAUUGGACGAUAAAGAAUUAAUGAAGAAGAAUGUUUUUUUUUUAAAUAAGAUGUGUUCUCUAAUUUUCCUUCGCAUUUAUGCGUAGACCGGAGCGAGUCCGCAGGGAGCUAGUCCCUUUAUCUUUAUCUUUUCCUUUUGCAAUUUCUUCUACGACUUGAAGUAAAGCACCAUCAACGCACCUGCUGCCAGCACAUCACCGUCGCCCGUUGCCAACGUCAUCAACACCACCCACUGCUAACACCUUCGACGCCACCUACUGCUAGCAGCGCCAGCUCCAUCCACACUUCCUUCACCUCCCAUUAUUGUUGCAUGUCGCCAAGUGUGUCCACCGUCGUCAUCUUCUACCAUCGCCCGAUUGCUGCGCUUGAGCCUUCCGAGAUCGAUUUGCCGUCAAGAACUCGCCCUCAACUUCUUUAACUGCCAAAACUUGAACCUAUUCCUAUUUUUUUUACGCUCUUUCCAUUUUAUCUUCUAAUCCUUUUGACCUCUCCCUUUUGCUUGGUUUGCUCGACCCAACAGGUUGCAACCGUCGGAUAGGCUGUGGACCCAACAACGAAUCGAGCAUCUUGCGGAUCCCCUGUGCGCUUGUUCUUAGUAACAUCUCUUGCCGAGCCUGACAGGUUUGAUCCGAACAUCUCAAACCCUUAGUUAAUUUCAAUGCUGGCCUUGCAUUGCCUCGCUCUUUAGGUUCAUAUUAAAAUUAUUUAAUUUGUUGAGUAUCGAAUAUAAUUCCCACUGUGCCUAAUUACAUUUAAUCUCCUAAUCCUUUAUCCACAAAUCCUGCAUCACUACCCCUCAUGAUAGUCAGAUUUCAAAAGAAUGGGUUUCCGUGUGGAAAAAACUUUCAAAAUGAUUUUCUGAAUUUACUAUGAUAGAGCUGAUUGGUGUAUUAUGCAUCCACAUCGUCCUUUGCCUAAGGAGUGCUUAGAGCAUGCAUCAUCUUAAAGAUGGUUAGCUGGUUGAACACAUCGGCAUCUGUAUUGUGUUUGCUGAUUUGUGUGAGUGAUGUUGUGUGUUGUGGGUAUUGUAAUAGUUGUUGCGCCGUGUAAAUACAGGGAAGACUCUGACCGAGUGGAUAGAGGAAUCCCUGUGUUUGUGGCAGAUCUGUUCCGUCCCGUAGGCAAUGUUAUGUUUCAAAAAAAUAUGACACUUUCCGCCGACUCUGUUUUCAAACUGGCCUUUCUUCAAAAAUUUUAUAAAAAAGGCUCCAGAGCGUGAUAGAUUAAGAUGGUAUCAAAGAAAGUUACAACCACAAAUUCACUCAUGGGCUAUGAAGCACGGAUACUUCAAAUUUCAUGCCGUACUCGUAUCAGAUACGUAUCGGAUACCGAUACGCGCCGAUACGCGCCCGAUACGUGUUCGAUACGGUAAUGAAGUAUCAAGCAUUUUUAAAAAAUAAAAAAAUAUCGGAUACGGCUCGGAUACGUGAGGGAUACGGGGGGAUACGGGGGGGACACGGGCAAGUUCUUUUUUGAUCUAAAAUGAUCGAAACUUAAAAUUUUUUUAAAAGCUCACGUCCAAACCUAUUCAAAAAAAGGAAAAGAGUGAGAAAAACGUCAAUCUCUGUUCAGUUUGUCAUUUCAUCUAUCUUUUUGCUUUUGAAUGGUAGAAGGCGCUCCCUCUCGUUCUAUCUUCACACAGUAUUUACUCUUUUUCAUCUAAUUUGUCAAUCUAUCAUUAAGCAACAAAGGCUAUAGAAAAUAUAAUUUUUUUUCCUUCUCUAUUAAAUUGUUAGCAUAUUUUUUUGUUACUAUUUUAAUAAUAGGACUAACAAAAUAGACAUAUAUAUUGAAUGGCUAAUUAUCUAGUUUGUACGACUACAUAUCUAUUUUUAUCAUUUGAUCAAGUUAGAUGAUAGUUGGUUUGAUACUUUUUGAAUUAUUAUUUUAUAUGAUUGAUUAUCUUUUUUUAUGAACAUAUGUAGAACAAUUAUACAAGUUAAUGCAUAUUAGAAUAUAUUCCGAAUAUAGUCCAGAUAUUCUGAUUGUUCUCAAUAUAUCAUUACAUAUAAUCAACAUAUAUUUAAAUAUAUUUAAAUAUUUUAUUCAAGUAUAUCCUGUGUAUCGUAUCCUAGAAGUUUUAGGAAUUGCCGUAUCGCCGUAUCCGUAUCGUGUCGUAUCCGUAUCCGUAUCUGUGCAACAUAGCUCAUGGGUCUUUAACUGAACCACAGGUUAGGUUGAUCCAUAAGAAGACUUAAGGUGUAUAGGCACGCAAGGGAAAUGUUGGGCAUGUAUCCUGGUGAGUUAAGUCGAGUCGGUUAAUUUUACUUGAUUGUGACUCUAUGUUGAUACAGAUAUGGCUCGUGGUAGGCCUCCCUGCAGGGGCCGAGGUGGUAGUUGUUCGCAUAUAGAACCGUCCAGCGGUAUGCAGACGCGUGCAUCUACCGACAAAAGUGGCAGUGACUAGUCGAGCACCAAGCAGCUAGGCGAUGCCCGCACCCAGCAACUCGAGGCCCAAGUGGCAGAUCUGACGAGCCAAGUGACAACCCUCACUAGAAUAGUACAACAGUUUAUACAGCAACAGGCUACGACUGCUGCCGCUUAGGCUCCACCUCCUGCGCAGGGCACGGCUACUACCACGGACCCUCCAGCGGCGACGACGCAGCUAUGAUUACGACCACGACCUUGACAACGACCACGACCACGACCACGACCACUACUGUUGGGGGUAAUGACCCUCUAGCACCGUAUGUGGGCUAGUUUGGCGGAGUUCAGGAAAUUUGAUCUGCCGAAGUUUUCUGGCAAGAGCGAUGAUCCAUGGGAUGUCGAAAAAUGAGUCACGCAGAUGGAGAAAAUGUUUCGAGAUCUGUAUAUUGAGGAACAAGAGAAGGUUCCUCUGGCCGCCUAUUUCUGGGAGGUCGAGGCUUAUAGCUAGUGGCUGCAGCUUUUGAAAAAGCAAUAUACCGCAGCCUACCUAUCCUGGAGGGAGUUCCAAGAACUCCUUUACGGCCACUAUUUUAAGGAAAGCACCAAAUAGAGCCUAGAGCGGGAACUUGAGCGGCUCAGGCACGGCAAACACACUGUAGCAGAGUACGAGCGGGACUUCCCUCAUAUCGUCGGACUGACACCUUACGUGGUCCGCGACGAGUAUCACAGGGCGAGGCUACUUGCCAAGGGAUUAAAGCAUAGUAUCCGAAGACUGAUCGCAUCCACGGCGCCUUGACCUUCGACGAGUGCCUGGAUCGGACCCAUAUGAUCCAGAGCAACAAAGACGAGGCGCAAGCCGAGCGAGAACUAACAGAGAAGAGAAGGGACAAGAAGCGUCCUUAUUCCAAAUCUGCAGGUGGCUCUUCCUCCAAUAAGAGGCCACCUAAGCACCCUUGCGCCCAGCAGCCGGCCAGGAGCGCACCUUCCAGUUUUAUUUCUUUUUUUUAUGUAAUAGGUUUUUUUUAACAGUCUUCUAUUGAAAAAAAAAAAGAUGAGUUCUAGCUCCCUUCCCUCCAAAAAAAAAGGAGAUUACUAAAUCUAUUAAACUAACCAACCAUUGAUGUAUUGUUUCAUUGAUAUUAAAAUCACAAUGUCAUUGUCUUGUUCCUGAAUGGACCUUUUCAAUUCUUUUAGGUUCAUGGUUUACUCCGGAAAAAGAUCUAUAGGGCAAAUGGUCUCAGUACCAAUUUUUUUCCGCUCGUGCUUCUUAGCAACUUUCUAGGAUUGGGUAUAUUGGGACCUAGAAAUAUUCUGUGAUGAACGUACGGGAAAACCUUCUUUGGAUUUGCUCUUUGGAAUUCAUGUAUUUCUCUUAGGGGUAGCUUGCUUUGGUUUUGGCACAUUUCAUGUAAUAGAUUUGUAUGGUCCUGGAAUAUGGGUGUCCAAUAUUUAACUGGAAAAGUACAACCUGUAAAUUCAGCGUGGAGUGCGGAAGGUUUUGAUCCUUUUGUUCCAGGAGGAAUAGCCUCUCAUUAUAUAAAUACUCUCCUAUAAAAUACUACAAUUUUAUCACUAAAUAAAGAAAAGAUUCAAACAACUGAGAAUCCACGAAUAUUAACAAGAAAGUAUCAACCAUUCAAUCAACAAUGCAAUAAAAAUACAAACAACAUAGAGAACCCAAAUCAUUGUUGUAGGCAUUGCAGGCAUCACAUACAUAAAGCUAAAUAAAGUUUGAACAACGCAUACUGUAGAAAAACCAUUUAAUUUUUCAACAUGAAAAAGACUAGGAGAAAAAACCAGUAAAAAGAGGUGAAGACCAAUCAACUAAAAGCAGAAUAAAAAAUAAACCAUAAAAAUCAUUCUUUUAGAAAUCAGAAUCAUUAAUUUAAUUAACAAAUACUCCACUAACCUGAUGAUUCAACUCAAAAACUGAAAAAACUAACAACUCAUGAUGGAAACAGUGCCUCAAAUAUAAGAACAGAAAUAUUUGCAAAAUUUGCAAAAAUUUGUACCAAUUCCCAGCAGGGACGACGCGAAUUAAAGGAAAAACUUAUGCCUUCCCUCACUUUCUUCAAUAUAAAACACCUUACAAUCAGUUAGCUAUCGAAAUUAAGCCCUUUUUACAUGUAAAUUGGUAUGGAGGAAACUACAAGUAACCAAAAUAUUCAAUUCAAAAUCACAUUAUUUGUUUAAUUGGCUGUAGAAACUAUACUGUGAAAUCCAAACUUCAGUAAAAAGUUUGGCAAAAAUAAAUAGGUAAAUAUAAUGUAAAAAAUGGAACACCUCUAAAGUUUAGUGCAACGUAGUGUAAUUCAGUUGACUGUAUUUAUAUACAAGUCAUACUUUAUGUUUGAAGAUUUGAAACAACGCUACCUACAAAACUAAAGUACUUCUCACGCACAUUCUAGCUUGGUUUGGAUAGAAACAAGGAAACAAGAAUAAACUUGCUAUUCAUUGAUAAAGCUAUCCAAGAUUUUGUUAAUCAACUCUUUACUACAUAAUUUCCCUUUUUCUUUUUUUUCGUACCUUAAAAUUGGUAAAUUACCUUUUUUUUUCUUUUUUGGAACAACUCUCUUUAGGAGUCUCAACUGCACAUCUUUUACUACAACCACAACCUUCUAAUACAUCAAUUAUCCCAUCUGCUCAAGUAUACAAUGGGACUCAAUUGCAAUUGAUCCUUAAGCCAUUGCUUGGGCUCAUUCCAAAUUCAUGUCCAAAAGAGAAAAGAAGAACCAAGUUGUUCAUAUCUAGAGCGCAUAUGCCUUCUUAGCAUAAAUACUGCUUCGCCCUUACAUUCACAGGGGUAUAUGCGCAGUAUCACUAAAUCAAUUACACAGGGAUACUAAAAUGUAGAGUUAUUUGCAAAUUCAAUUCUAGGAGAGAGCAUCGGUUAAAACUGUCUGCUACACAUUUGCUUCAGUAAAACCCUACCCUCUUCGUUAUCAAAUUCCAACAGUCUCUUCUACAUCCAACCUAUUCAUUUUGGCCAAUCUCAGAAUCAGAUUAUGCCCAACAGUCUCUUUAAAUAAUCACCUUUCACCAAAUAAUUGCUUCUUCUGUGUCACUGUUAUCAAUAUAUUUGCAUUUUAAUUGAUCUUUUCUAGGCCUACUGCUUCACCUUCUUCAUUUCAGAAAAGAAGAACCAAUUUCACAGGAAUACAUUUGCAUUUGUCACUAAACAUAAACGUUCAAUAACAAAGCAACCGCUCUGAUCAAGCAACUCAUCAAUACCAAAUCUGCCGACUACAAUUUCACAUGUUACGAUUAUUCUCUAAUUCAAACAAGUCCACCACAAUCAAAAUCGCAAUCACAAACAACACCACCACAAAAUUUAGCACAAACGCGAUAAAAUCGGAGCGUGCGAUUCCACACCUGAGCAAGCAAUCGGUGAGUGUCAGCUCAUCGGUGGUGACGGUGCCCUUGAGGACGAUGGCGGCGCGCCACCACGAGAGAGUUAGGGCUUGGCAAUGGCUGCACCAGGGCGCGAAGAGCUCCACCAAGAUGACCACAUUGGAGUCCAAAACCUAGCACAAAAACUCUUGACUCAACACUCAAAUCGAAGGGAAGGAGGAGAGAAAGAGAUCGAAAAGCUUCGAUUUAAAUCUAAGGAAGAGAGAAGGGGAUUGAGGGAUCAGCUUGGAUUUGAAGUCGAGGUCACUGUGUCUUAGUUUAGCCUUUGGAGGAGAGAAUGGGAGAAAGAGAGAUGGAGAGUGAGAGUGGUGUUAGGGUUGCGGUUUGGGAGGCGCGAAUGGGCGAUCAGAGGGGAAGCGGGGUGUCGCAGAGACCGCGGUGGGCCCGGGGCCGAUCCAGAGGGUCGGGUUAGUGGGUUUACUCCAAUCCCAUCUAAUCCUAUAUCUUCAGACCGGGAUUAGUUAAUCCCUUAUUAAUAUGCCCGAUUAAUUUGAUUUGACUUAAUUUUCUUUAUUCAAUUCAGUAUAGCUAUUCAAGUCCCGAAUCCAUACAUACAUAUAAUAAAUCUCGAAGGACUACGUGUUACUCUCUCCUCACUCGCCCAUCCUCUCCCAUAAUUCUCCUCUCUCGUUCCGUUGCAGCUAAGAUCGGAUGACAUUUACCGAGUACUCUAUUGUCGUACGCCGAGGUCGCGCUCCGUCCCGCAGGUCCCGCAAGCCACAAAGGGUUAUCGCGCUUCUAUAGUAGCCCUCCUUCCCCCUCCCUAUAUAGGAACCAAAGGGUUGUCGAGGGGUAUCGAAGUACGAAAACCCAUGCCCCCAACUUUCCCUUUCUACGAUAGCCCUCCUCCCCCUUUUCUCUUCUUCACCACCUUUCUCCCUUCCUCUCUCUCAUCCUCACCACCCGUCGGAGUUUGGUCACCUGAUCUCAAUAGGUAUGGAUAGCCAUCACGGCAACAUACUUUAUUCUCUCAUAUGCCCUACACCCCCUCCCCCUUCCCUUCUAUGAUGGCCCUCUUUCCUUCUCUCUCUGCUUCACUGUCCUUCUUCCUUCCUCUCUCUCAUCCUCCCUUGCCACCAGAGUUCUCGAUGGCUAUCAUGGCAACCUACUAAAUGUAUGCCCUAUCUUCCUUUCUCUCAGCACUUGUCUAUAAAUACUCUUACUUCUAUGUAGAGAAAACUCAAUGGCCUCCUAGCUUCCAUUUCCAAAGUUUGCAUUAGGAUUUAAUAUUUUUCAAAAAAAAAUUUGUAUAUAUAUAUUUUUUUAUAGGUGCAAAAAAUUAAUGUUUACUCUUCUAAUGUUCUUCUAGGUCGUCUUCCAAUGCUCUUCUAGGUUUGUAUUACCUACCCCUACUGGAUGACCAGCACUUCUCUUUCUGUCUCUACACUCCUGCUUUGUUUCCUCCUUUGGCGAGUAAGAUGAUUGUCUCCUUGCAACACUACUGACCCUAAAUUAUGAUAUAUUUUGCUGUUAGUAUCUUUUGCUAGGAUUUUCAUAAAUGUGGCCCAAUUAAUCAUAUUCAAAUCUAGAUUUACUAUAGAUGAAGGUCAAUCCUAAUAGAUAUAGAACUACUUGAUAUGAUAUAUUUUAUCCAUAUCCCAUCUAUUUAAAUUAAAUUGAAUCCUAAUUAGACUUUGAUGGGAAGUUGAUAUGAACUCUAUAUAAAGGGGUAUUGGUUCUACUACCUUUUUCAUUCACAUUCUAAUAAAUAAUUACUAUCGGUUCCACACUAUAAAAGAGAGUGCCUGAGAUAAGAGGAGAAACCAACUUACCCGAAUUUGGUUGGUGACGUUCAUAUUGAUACUGGACUUUUCGCUUCCACAAAUUGAUUAAAAAUUUUUUUUCUAUGGCAUUUCGUAAGCUAUUUUAUUUUAUUUGUCAUCCUGAAUUUUGGUAUGCAUUUAUUUUAUUGUUGUUUUACAUGCCUAUAAAGAUCUAUCAAUUGGUAUCAGAGCUAUGAUUGAUAAAAUUAAAUAUUGUAUGUAUUAAGUAAUUGGAUCGAAUUAUGGUGAAUUCUGAAUUUUCAUAAUAAAAAGACUUUACAGUUUUCGAUCCUAAUUAAGGGGACGUAACGUCAUCAUAUGUACACGUAGGAUCUUACAUAUUGAUUUAAUCUUUGGAACCUUAUAAAAUAUGAUCUUAAUUUGUGUGCUAAUUAAGUUCGGGUAGCCUUCAAUGAUCACAUGGCACGUGCUCAUGCUGCAGGGCCGUGGCAAUGAUCUAAUGCAUGGUGCUUGAUAACUCUUACGAAGAUUGGGUUAAUAAGGUAUCAAAGGCCGCGUAUGUCAACUGUGCUUGUCUACGUACAUGCAUUGGAUCCAAUUGUUAACCCAUAUAUGUUGGGCGGUUUUCUUUUCGAACCUGAUCUUUCACAAUUUUGUUGACUCGGUCAUGGAAUUCGUCACAAUAACCGAGGGAUCUCUUCCAACAAACGAUUUGUUCCAUACCAGAAAUCUGACUCCCCUCCAUGGAUGAUGUCAUCCAAAAAGGGAGAAUGAAUCCCCUUAUUUGGAGUAACUCAUUGAGACCGAGCCUUACAAAUAUCAUCAAUAUUUAAAAAUUUGCAAUCAUCUUUUGCGUAGAACAAGCACCAAUGACUUGCUACUUUUAAAAGCAUAGGAGCUCAAUUAUUGGGCAAAUAUUGGGCAAAUAUAUAUAUAUAUAUAUAUAAUUGAGCUCCUAUGCUUUUAAAAGUACCAAGUUAUUGGUGCUUGUAAGUUUUUGGCCUUUGGAUUAAGGGAUGUGCGGUUAGGAUGAUGUGGGCCCCUAGGGUUAAGUGGUUAGUUGGUUGAAUAGUAUAAUCUAACGGGUGAAAAUGAUUAAAGGCGUAGAUCUAACGGUAAAAAAUUCACAAGCUCCAAGUGCUUAGUACUUUUACAAGCACCAUAGCCGGACUCAUAUAUAUAUAUAUAUAUAUAACCUCUAAAUAUGUACGAAAUUAUGAUCAUGCUUGUAACUACUUGGCCCACUAUUCCCGCCUUACAGGCAACAAACUUACCAUGCAUCCUCCUCUGUAUGAUAUUUUGAUCCCUUCAACAGCAAACAAAAUAAGGAACAUCCAUGAGAGAAAAAGAUAUUUUGAUCCCUUCAACAAGAAACAAAUUAAGGAACACCCAUGAGAGGAAAAGAGAGUAGCAGUAGUAGUCGCAGUGAUUAGAAUUAGAAUGGCAUUGAUGGGGAGUGAGCAGCUGGGGAGCCUGGUGGGUGUGAUAAAGGAGAAGCUGAAGCAGAAGCUGAAGCAGAGGCCGUACGCGAGGAUGGAGAAGAGCGCGAGCCUCAGGACGGAGAUCAAGAGCAUGCAGGCGCGACGCCUCAUCGACCGCACCCUCAAGGCCGCCGACCGCCCCGGGAAGGUCUCCCUCCCCUCUUGAUAAAGACAACAUCUUUAGUACUAGUAGAGGUAUAUANAUUUAUUUUUUAGAAGUUUCAAAUACUCCAGAUCAUAUUUAACGGAGUGGAUCGUUGAUUCGGAAACUCUAUCAUUAAAACAACUUAUGAGUACGAAGGGUUCUAUACUCAUAAGAGUAUAGUAGCCCUACUCUCUCUCUCUCUCUCUAUAUAUAUAUAUAUAUAUAUAUAUAUACAGAGAGAGAGAGAGAAAGAGAGAGAGAACUAGGCUGGUAUACUAUCGGUAGCACGGAGGCCUCUGUGCUACUAAGUUGUUUUCGAUGAUGCGGCUUUCAAAUUAACGAUCGGCUCCGUUAAACUUGAUCUACACUAUUGAAAAUAUUUGAAAACUAAAUUUCAUAAUUUUUCGAUAUUAUUUGGCUAGUGAUAAAAAAGGUCUAAAAAAUGACAAUUUUUUAUUUCUACUUUCUCCAAUUGCAAUUUUUACUUCUACUUUCAAUGAGGCUAUCACUUCCAUUGUCUUUUAUUUGCUUUCUUUUGUUAUUCUAUUACUUUCCAUGUUGUCUUCCUGUGAAGUUUAUAUCUCAAUAUGUGAGAAAAAACCAUGUUUAACUGAUGAUCAUUUUAUAUCUCAAUAUGUGGGAAAACUUGUGUUUAACCAAUGAUUGAUUAUCGACGAAUCUGAACCUUAUAUAUUUAAGUAAUAUACUCCGACUUUCUCUUUAAUUCUCUGCUGACAUGGCGUGUCCCUGAAAACUUAUGAAACCUUAGUUUUCUACUGAGGUGGCGUGUUCCUGUGAAGUUUGGGGAAGGUGGGCGUGCAGACCUUCUCCCUUGCCUUCGGCUUCCUUUCUAUUAUUGCGUCCACACUAACCCAGAUGCACCGCCCACCUUUCAUUUAAUGUGUUCACACGGUAAACCCAUAUGGCCUUGACCAUCUACGGUUCUUGCCCCCUUGAUAGCGGUCCUGUCGCCGUUAAAUUGCCGUCUACAUCGGCGCCAUGCCCGGCAACGUCAUCCUACGUUGCCUGUACAAUUCUAACAGUACGGUGUGUAGUGGAUUUGCACAGGAACCUUCCUGCACUCUUUUAGUUUGCUGAAUUGUGCCGCUCACCUUUCAGUCGCCAGUUGUGUGAAACUUUCCAACUAUGCAACUAUAUAGAGGUCUUGUGCUUCUUUUCUCUGAUGUCGGCUGUCCCUUCUCCUCCCUUGUGUGGGUGCAUCCUGUCCCCCUACUAUCUCUGAUCACUUGCUUCUUCCUUUCCCUUCUAUUAUCUCAAUUCACUUGCUACAUGUUGAGUGCGGUCGCUGUAUUGCUGCUUCAAUCGCGUGUUUAUAUAGACCCUUGAACUCCUUUUACCACUCGGCUAUUGUGUUGUAAGGAGAUGAUGAUCAAUAAUCCAUAGUCUUGAACAAAAGUGCUUCUCCUCUAUUCUAGCAAUUUCUAAAUCAAUAUUAAAUGUGUUGAUGGCAAAGCAGCUUGGAUGGCCGGAGGCAACCGUUGCAUCCAUUAACACUUCAACCAAUUGAUUUGCAUUAAAAGGGAAAAACGCCUCAUGACAAAAGAAUAUAUUAUGAUAUGAGCAUUUCUUUACUAUUUUCAUUCGUGUCAUUUGAUAUGCUUUAUGUAAGAUGAGCAUUUUUUUUUUCCAUUGAUUAUGUAAGUUAAGCAUAAUUAUUAACUAUUAUCUUGACUUUUUAUGUAUCUUAUAAUUCUUGAUUAAUUAAUUUUUUCAUUGAUUAUGAGGUAAACUUUCAUUUUUUUAAACAUUUUCUCUUUUCCAUUAUAUACUUCUCUUUAUGGAGUAAACUGAAGGAGACAUUUUUUUUCAAAUAAAAAAUUAAUCCUUUAUAUUUCUAACUAAUCAUUGUAGUGAACAAAAUCUAUAGACCGAAGAAAUCUAGUUGUACCCUUUCUCUACUCCUAUUCAGUAAUUAGACUUUGCUCAUCCUGCAUAUUUUAUUGUUUUCUCUUCUUCUUUUCCUCAUAUUCUUUCUUGCUGCUUUUAUUAAGGUUGGUGGUGAAAAUCACCAAAUCAAGUAUAAACAAUGAAAUAGACGUGCAACAGGCGUAGAAUAAAAAACAACGGUAAUUCAACAGGGACAACAGCAACAGCAUAUACCAACAAUGUCAGAAGUAGCAACACAGCAGCAACAGUAAAUGAUAGCACCAAAUGACAGCAAUAGUAAAAGUGCAAGUUUGGGAUGAUAUUCUUAUGAUGUUCGACAAAUUUGGUAGUGAAAAAGGUUUGUGUCACGCUCCGCGACCGAUCCUAUUUGGUCAGUUCGGGCACGUCGAACAGACGCCGAACGGACAGCACCUCCCCUGUCCGCCCAAGGCUCAACAACAAGUACAAAUCGAGUAGAGAAAUUUGCACAUGCGGAAAUAUACAUAAUUGGCUUGCACGAGGGCAAGCAAUAGCCAAAGUGAAAGUACUAAACAAAACAUGCAUACAAGUAAUAUGAUUAAUUUUUUUUACCACAUACAUUCAUUCAACAUUUGAAUUCUAUUACAUUCUUUUGCAUCAUUUCUUCUCUUUAUACAUCAUAUGCUUACCAAAAUAAACCUUUACAUUUAACAUUAUUUAAACAUCUUUAAUACAUCUAUAUCAUCAAAAUACAAAAGAUGAUGUAAAGGGUAUGCAACUAAACCAAAAUGUGAAACCAACUCGGGUGGUCUCUGUCUAUGGCGCGAUACCUUUACCGCGAUCGUCGGCCGGCUUACUCGGUCCCGGCUCUGUGGAAAAAGGAGGGUGAGAACUACAACAAAGUUUCCAGUGGGUUCGGCCGCCGACCUCGCCGACUUUCCCACUAGGUCUAAAUCAAACAUAGUAGAAGAAAGAAUAGAUAGUAACCAACUAAACAAGUGCAGCUAAUAUGCCUGAACAAGAUAUAAUCAAUGAUUAUGCUCAAAUAGAAUGCUCAUAAUGAAUGCAAGAUUACUUUCCAAUUCCCGGUCCUUUUGGCUAACUCGUAGGUUUUGCCUCAACCAACAACUUACCAACCCAAGUCCCUACUAUCGGGCCCUAAGCUUCCUCCCGACGGGACCAAUAGACUCACCAACCAAAUCCCUAGUAUCGGGCCCUAAGCUUCCUCCUGAUGGGACCGUCUUCUGGGGCAAACACCUUUCCAGUGAUGACAACUCCGGAGCUCAUCUCUCGAGAGGGAGCUACCACCCUCCGAGCCAAGACUAUAGGUGAGUAUAAUCAAUCCUUAACUUUAAGGAUACCAAGUUCAAUCCAAUCCUUCACUAUAAGGAUGUUAUGCUCAUAUGACCCUUAACUUUAAGGUUGUUAUGUCAUAAUAUCAACUAUCUCACUUUACUUGCAUUCUUUAACUUUCAUUAGUGUCACUUACACUACAUAUUCUUUAUACUCAUUCAUUAAUGCCACAUACACUAAGUGUUGAACACUAGCAUUCAAACUCAUUGAUGCCACUCCAUGUGUUUAAUAAUGCUACACCAUCCAUAUGUCAUAAUGUCAUUUUGUUCUUUACCUCAUCUAGGACUUUGUCACCAUUCAUGCACACAUAAGGUUUCCACUUUGUUCAACAUUCUCAUAUGCAUCUUUAUACUACAAGCAUGCAAAUAUAUAUCUCAAUCAACCUUACAACGCAUGAAGAUACUAUAUAUACAUAUGCUCAAAAAUGACACUUUAGACAUAAGAGAAAAUUCAAUGAUUACGGAAAGCACCACCCACCUUGUAUGGUUGUAAAGGUGCUACGGUUCAAAUCUCAAAAUUUUUGGGCUCCUAUUUUCUCGCCUGCGGCAAAAACGAAGCCGAAUUAGGCUUUUUGCUCAUAACUUUGCGUAGACACGUCGGAUCGACGAACCAAAUCCAUAAACGAGUUAGAAAUACCCCCAAUUUGGUUUCUAUAAUGUAAUAUACCGAAACCUCGGUAAACGAAUAUUGGACUUUAGUCAAAAUGACCAAAGUGCGAGGUUGGUACGCUUCGGAAUCCGAAGGCGUCAAAAAAAACAAAAGUGCAUUACUGGAGGUCUUCGAGAGCAAACUGGAGCAAGUCUGCAAGACUGCAGCCUUUGUGCUCUCGGGGACCGGUCCCUGAGUUGAAGGAUCGGUCCCUGUACGCGUGAAAAAUGGGCAAGUGCCCAUUCUGUGCUGAAUUGCUCUCGGGGACCGGUCCCUGGUGGGAGGGGCCGGUCCCCGUAGCUGAGGUUGUGGCAGACAGCUGAUGCAACCGGUCCCUGGCCAGAGGGACCGGUUCCCCUACGCGUAGCCAAGUUGAAGGCUCUCGGGGACUGGUCCCUCGUCGGGAGGACCGGUCCCUCUGCACGAAAAUUGCCCUGGAUGGGCAAUGCACUGAAUGGAAACUGGGAGGGCCAUGUUGCAAUUAUUACAACAUGUUAUAGGCCCUACACCCUCUCUCCUUCUCUCCCACAGCCAUUCACACUCCCCCCUCACAUUUUCUCUCUUUCUCUCUCUAGAAGCAAGCCCUAGAGCUUGAGGAAGGUGGAGAAGAGCUUGGAGAAUGUGGAGUUUUAGGGUUUUGGUGGACCUAGAAGCUCUUCAACAAAAAGGCUUUGGAGGAGCUUGGGCAAAGGUGAGUCCUUAUGCAAAUAUGAGUCUAGGGUUUGGGUUUAGAUCUUAGAUUUUUGGGUUUUAAUCUCUCUACAAGUGAGAAAACCCAUAGAGACCUUGAAUCCAUGAAAUACAUGGUUUUCUUGAGGUGCUCUCAUGGUGAACUUUUAGGGUUCAUAGUAGAUGCCCUAGGAAUGGUUCUAGAGGCUUAGUAAUAAUAUUAGAAAGCUUCCUAGAUGAUUCUAAACUAUCUUUUGCUUAGAAGUGAGAUCAAUCUAGGAGAAAACCUAAAGUGGCAUUGUUAUGGCUCAAAAUUUGGGCUUUUGUCCUAGAAUUUUUUCAAGACAAAUUGACCUCUUGGAAACUUAAUUGGGAGUAUUCCCGACGCGUUGGACAACUCUGUUCGACGUUACGAAAAUGUCUAAGUAUAGUUUUUGUAUAUAGGGCCUAAUUUGGCACUAUUUUGGUUAUAGGACGCGGAUUCGGCGUUCGUAAAGUUCGGGAGUCGUCAUAUUCUUCAUCUACUACCACUCGAGGUGGGGGGUGCACGCAAGAAUCGUUGGAUUCCCUUCUAUGUCUAUUUCACCUUUUUGUUGAGCAUAUUGAUGUAUAGUCAUUCAUGCAUAGUAGGGUUAAAUUACAUGUGAACCUUGGUUUGAUUUCAUUUACAUGCUUCUAAUGUAGUUGAACAUAGAGAAUGAUAGAACCAUAAGGGACAUGUAUGGUAGAACCCUAGAGUUGUAUGAAUGUGAGACUUGGACUUGGACAAUAGUAAACAAAGGUGACAUUCACAAUAGAAACAUGAUUGGCAUUGAGAAAUAUUGGUUGUUAAACAUAGUUUAACCAUAGUAACAUUGUGACAAGUAUGACUUGGAAAGUAGCAUGGACAAAUAGGUAGAAAUCUAUUAUGACAAUGGCAUUGUGACUAGUGGCUAUGUAUCCUCAAGUUGAGGGUUGGAUCGAUACUCACGAUAAAUCUUGGCUUGAGGGAGGUAGCUCCCCUUCGAGCGGUGCGCUCCGAAGUUGGUCACCACUAGGCGUGGUAAAGUCCCCCCAGAGGACGGUCCCUAGGGAGGUUCGAGUCCUCCGUUAUUAAGGGAUUUCGGGUUGUGAGUUAUUGAGGUUAACAAGGUUAACCGGCAAGAUUGGGUAAAAGCCAAAGUAAAGUUAUGGAACAAGCAUGCAUGCAUGAGCAUUCAUUAUUCGAUUAUAUAUCCACUGACAUCUUUCUUGCAGGCAUAGUAUUAGCAUUAGCAUUGGUUACAGUUUCCUUUCCUUUGAAAUACUUAUGCCUGAAUAGACCUAGUGGGUAAGUCGGCGAGGUCGGUUGCCGAACCCACUGGGAACUUCGUUAUAGUUCUCACACCACUAACCCUACAGGUCCGAGCGCGAGCGGGGCGACGGAGGACCGUGGAAAGGGUAUUGCACCAUAGCUAGUGGCCACCGGGACUUAUGCAUUUUUAGUCAUUCCUUUUGUACAUAUGUCAACUUUCUUUUGUUGAUUUAGAGAAAUGUAAAGUUGUAAACAAUCAUGUGUUUUGGUGGAAUGAUUAAGUUGUAUAAGAAUUUAUGGUUGAAUGGAAAAUGAAUGUAAUAGUUUUAGCUCACUUGUAUUUGAUUUAAAUUUAAUCAAAUAUCAUGUAUGGUUAUAUGUUUAGUUUAGAGCUUUCGCUUCCGUUGUUGCUUGCCCUCGAGCAAGCCUUGUAUUAUAUAUGCAAUUCGCUUGUUAAUUGCUUAAUUAUACGUGUUGUUAGAGCCUUGGGCGGUCAGGGGAGAGGCUGUCCGUUCGGCGUCUGUUGACGUGAUCCGAACCCGACCAAAUUCGCGGGGAGUGGGGCGUGACAUAUAAGGUCAAUUUGUCUUUAAACCAACCUAGGGCAAAAGUCCCAAUUUUGGUGCCCUAACAAUGCCAUAUAACCAUAUACCUUGGUUUGAUCUCUAAAAUAAGCAAAAACAAGCUUAUUGAACCUCUAGGAACUCAUCUAGAAUUAUUUCUAGGUCAUUCAAACCAUCCCUAGGGUAUAUAACCGAACCCUAGAAAUCCACCAUGAGAGUACAUGAAGAAAACAUGGAUUUUCAUGUGUUCAUGGCCUCUACUAGGUUUCUAGCCUUGCAAGAAGAUCAAAACUCAAAGAUUUAGGGUAUAAAACCAAACCCUAGCAUCAUUCUUGCAUAAAAACUCACCUUAGCCCAAGAGCACUCCAAGGUCCACCUUGUAGGAGAGCUCUAACCCUUCAAAAAUCCCAAAUCUCCUCCAAAAUCCACCUCUUGAGCUCCUCCUUUAGCUUGGGAGAGAGUUUCUAGAGAGAGAGAGGGAGAGAAAUGAGGAAGAGAUGUGUUUUGGCUGUGAAAGGGAGAGAGAGGGAGUGUGGGGUCUUAUAUAGGCUGCCAAAAUUGCAAAAAGACCCUCCCUCAAUUCAUAUUUGCAGCAGACCAAACUCUGCUGCGAAGGACACUUGGUACCGGUACUACCUGAUUUUGUCACCGGUAACACGAUCACGCAGAGACUAACCCGAGAGCUGCUUUUCUCGGGUAACUGACUUGCUACCGGUACACACCAGGGGUGUCACCGGUUCAACAGCCUUCUUUUACUCAAACCCGAGAGCUGCUUCUCUCGGUCUGAUGCAUGGUACCAGUACAAGUUCAAUGCAUUAUCGGUAACAGAAGUUCCAGACUUCAAUUUUGCAUAGUUUCGACUCCAAUUCGCGCCGAGCAAUGUUAAAACCUUUCUAACUCUUUUGGAACUCAACUUUAACUUUUCCAACCUUGUUGGAAUGUUAAAUGGACUUCGUCCAACUAUUUCUUUCGGAAACUUUAGUCAAUUUGACUAAAGUCCGAUAUACUCUAUCGAGGUUUCGGUAUAUUACAUUCUCCACCCCUUAAGAUUAGUUUCGUCCGCGAAACUAACUUAAUCGAAAUCUAAUUCCAUACCUGAAUUCAGCUCUUCAAAGAGAUGAGGAUGACGCUCUCUCAUAACGUCCUCAAGCUCCCAUGUAUCUUCUCGAUCGCCGUGGUUGCUCUAAUGGACUUUAACAUACGGAAUUUUGCGGUUUCGUAGUUUCCUCACCUCUCGAGCGACGAUAUAAGCCGAAAACUCUUCAUAUGUCAUAUCCUCUUGAAGCUCCAACGGUUCAUACGAGAGAAUAUGUAACGUAUCUGUAACGCCCCCAAUAGUCCCACAUUAGAUAGGAUACUGAUUCCGAUCAGUUUAUAUAAGGCCUACACGCUUGUAAUAAUAACUGGGCUUAAGCAUUUUGGGCCGGUGGUUUGGGCCCAACGAGUUAUUGUUGCUAGCGGGUCGGGUCGUUGCAGUAUCGCAUUCCCGUGAAACGUGCCGAGUUCCGUCGAAACGAGCGGAGCGCGGAAUCGGACGAGUUGGAAUGGGUUCUAAGUGCAUUAGAACCUAUGUACAGGGUAUGUGGACCCAUGAGAGCAAACCUGUGAAAAUUUGGCUAAGUACCAGAAAUCAUGCUCUCGGGGUCCGGACCCUAGUUGCAGGGUCCGGAUCCCAUAUGUGUGAAAUGCCCUGCGCGGGCUGACUGGGAGUGGUAUUGCUCUCGGGGUCCGGACCCUAACUUCAGGGUCCGGACCCCGUAUGCGAAAACUGCCCAGUGAGGGCUGAUGUGAAUAAGUGAUUUGAGAGGGGCUUUUGUGCAAAGUUGCAUGAUGAAGUGUUAUAUGUGAGAGAGCUUUGGGCUAGGGCUCAUUUCUCUCACACCAAAACAAAAUAUCUCCCUCUCUCUCUCUAAAAUACUCUCUUCUCUCUAUCCUUCUCUCUAGAUCUUGGACAAAAGGAGUUUAGAGGAGCUUGGGUGGAAAAGAAGGCAAAGUUGAAGGUGUUGCUUGCAAGAGUGCAAGAGAACAAGGAAAGCUUUGGACUCUAAGGUGAGUUCCAUGGAUUUAGGUUAGGGUUUGGGUUUGUUUUCCUUCUAGCAUGCUUCUAGGAGGUGAAUAGAGGAUUUCCUCGAUGUUUCUUCAUGCCAGGGACUUGUUAUGGGGAAGAUGAUAUUGUACAAGGGCCUAAAGUUAGGGUUUUGAGAUUAUGAGGUCUAAUCUUGGGAUUUAUCUCUUUUUAACCUAAUUGGUAGGUCAACGAACGCGUUGGUGCGCUCGGUUCGGCGAUACGACGAGCGUACGCGGAGAUAUUGAAGAAACAGAUUAAAUUGGUACAGAUUGCCGUAGCAAUCGGCGUAGAAGUCUAAAAAUCACCAAAAUUGAAUCUUGGCAUCCUUGUAUCACUAAAAAAUGGGGGGUGCUAUCCGAAAACACCGAAUCUCUUUCUAUGUCUAUGUCAUCUUAUUUGAGCAUAUUGAUAUUGUAGCAUUCUUACAUGUAGGGUAGUGUGAUAUGUGUUCUUGGUUUAAAUACAUUUAGAUGCUUAAAGAAUAUGUGAAUUGAUAAAGAACCAUGUGAACUAUAUGUGAAUGUAAAAACCCUAUGUGUACGUGAAUGCGAGAAAAGACUAUGACAAUAGUAAACAAAGGUGACGUUGACUAUAGUGACUCGAUUUGGUAUCGAAAAGAUAACAGUUAAACAAGGUUUAACCUAGAGUGGCAUUAUCAGUAGUGUGAUUCAGAUAUAGUGGUAUGCAUGAUAUGGUAAUAACCUAUCAUUGGCAUCGAGGUAUUGUGGCAUUGAGAUAGGUUUGGCAAACUUCCUCAAAAUGAGGAUUGGAUCACACUCACACUAGCUUGGUUUGAGGCAGGUAGCUCCUCCUCAAGCGGUGUACUCCGGAGUGUUGACACCACGAGGAGAGGCCCCAUUAUUGUUCCCUCGGAUGGUAGUGCUAGUAGCCUCCCCCGGUAGACGGGAAUUAUGGUUUGUGAGUUUGGGGUGAACCAUGAGUACCCCCGGAUAAUUGGGUAAAGGCCAAAGAGAAUAAGAACAAGAACAUGCAUGCAUAAUAUCAUGAAUAUGAUUAUUUAUCUGUGGAUUGUUUUCUCGUAGGCAUUGUAUUAGUAUUGCAUUAGUUGGUUUGUUACCUUCCUUUAUUGAAAUACAUAUGCCUGAAUGGACCUAGUGGGCGAGUCAGCGCGGUUGGCAGCCGAACCCACUGGGAACUUUUUUUAGUUCUCACACCACCACUAACCCUGCAGAUCCAUGCGCGAGGGGGGCGGCGGAGGAUCGGCAAGGGACUAGCGCCGUAGAUAGCGGCCUUCGGUGUUUAUAGGCAUACCCUAUAUGUACAUUCAACUUUUGUAUGUUGAAUUAAGGAAUGUAAAUAAUGUAAACGUUCUAUUUUGGAUGAAAGCCUAUGUGAUGUAAAUGUGAAUGGAAAAGCAUGAAUGUAAAUGUAAUAGUUUACUUGUGUUUGAUUCAAAUGUAAUCAAAUGACAUGUGUUGAAUGGUUUAGUGUAAUAGCUUAGAUGCUUUCAUUCAUGGUUUAGUUGUUGUUUGCCCUCGAGCAAACCUUGUAUAAUUGCAUUCAUCUUGUUGAAUUGCUUGUAUUAUACUUGUUGGUUUGAGCCUUGGGCGGACAGAGGAGAUGCUGUCCGUUCGGCGUCUGUCGGCGUGCCCGAACCGACCAAAUCGGCGGCCUCGAGGCGUGACAGAAUAUGCUCGGGAUCGUGAACAUACUGUCACGCCCCGGGGUCCCUUUAGGUUAAAAACACAGCGGAAAUUUUUUUUUUUUUUUUUUUUUNGAGGACAAGCAAUAGCGAAAGUGAAAGUACUAAACUAAACAUGCAUAUAAGUAAUAUGAUUAACUUUUAACCACAUACAUGUAUUCAACAUUUGUAUUCUUUUACAUUCUUUUGCAUCAUCUCUUUUUACAUCACAUAUUUCCAAAAUAUAACCUUUACAUCAUUCAUUUAAACAUCUAUAAUCAUCAAAGUACAAAAGAUGAUAUAUAAGAGGUAUGAAACUACAUAAAAUAAAGCCCACUCAGGUGGUCAUGAUGAAUGCAAGUUCACUUUUCAUUACUCAAUCUCGUGGCUAACCCGUAGGUUUCGCCCACAAGUCCCUCAAAUUGGGCUCUAAGCUUCCUCCUGACGGGACCGGACUCACCAACUCAAAUCCCUAUUAUCGAGCCCUGAGCUUCCUUCCCAGUGAUGACAACUCCGGAGCUCAUCGCUUGAGGGAGAGCGACCUCCCUCAAGCGAAGACUUAUAGGCGAGUGUAAUCUAUCCUUAACUUUAAGGAUUUCUAAGUUCAAUCCAAUCCUUCUCUAUAAGGAUGCAAUGCUCAUAUGACCCUUAAGUUUAAGGUUGUUAUGUCAUAAUGUCAACUAUCUUUCUUUACUUGCAUUCUUUAACUUUCNCGACCUUUUCGUCAAUUUCUUCGCGUACACUGGUCGGAUCACCGAACCGAGUUUAUAUUCUAGUUAGAAAUACUCCCAAUUAGGUUUCGAUAAGGUCAAUUUGCCUUUAAACCACUCUAGGGCAAAAGUCCCAAUUUUGAUACUCUAACAAUGUCAUUUGCCCAAUACCUUGGUUUGAUCUAUAAAACAAGCAAAUGCAAGUUUGUUGAACCUCUAGGAACUCAUCUAGAACCAUUUCUAGGUCAUUCAAACCAUUUCUAAGGCAUACAAACCGAACCCUAAAAUUCUACCAUGAGAGCUCAUGAAGGAAAUAUGGAUUUUUAUGUGUUCAUGGCCUCUACUAGGUUUCUAGCCUUGCAAGGAGAUCAAAACUCAAAGAUUUGGAGUAUAAAACCAAACCCUAGCAUCAUUCUUGCACAAAACCUUACCUUCUCCCACUAGCUCUCCAAUGUCCACCUUGUAGGAGAGACCUAAACCUUCAAAAGCUCCAAAUCUCCUCCCAAAAUCCACCUCUUGAGUUCCUCUUUAGCCUUGGAGAGAGUUUCUAGAGAGAGAGGGAGAGAAAUGAGAUGGAGAUGGAUUCUCAGCUGUGAAGAGAGAAGGGAGGGGUGUGGGGUCAUAUAUAGGUUGCUACAAUAGCAGCUAGGCCCCCCAAAUCUUCAUAUUUGCAGCAGACUAAAAUCUGCUGAGAAGCAAACUUGGUACUGGUACAAGGUGGAUUUGUCACCCAUUACACGAUUUCAUAGAGGCUAACCCGAGAGCUGCUUUCUCGGGUCACAGGGCUGGUACCAGUACAAGCCAAUGUUGUCACCGGUUCAACAGCCAAAUUUUCUCAAACCCGAGAGCUGCUUCUCUCGGUCUGAUGCCUGGUACCGGUACACUCCUGGUGUUAAACCGGUAACAAAAGUUCCAGACUUCAAUUUUCGUAUCGUUUCGACUCUAAUUCGCGCCGAGCAAUGCUUAAACCGUUUUAACUCUUUUGGAACUCACUUUUAACCUUUCCAACAUUGUUGGAAUGUUAAAUUGACUUUGUCCAACUAUUUCUCUCGGACACUUUGGUCAAUUUGACUAAAGUCCGGUAUACACUACCGAGGUUUCAGUAUAUUACACUUGAGGAUUUGCACGGCCUCAUAGAUCGUCGGCCGGAGUCCUUGCAAGAACCAGUCGGCCCGGUCCCAGUUAUCUCGAACAACAACCGGGAUGCAAUCAAUGAUGUGGGAGAACUCCCGCUCGUAAUCCUCUACCGAGCGAUCUCCUUGCCUAAACUUGCGAAACUUUUCUUAUAGCUUCCGCUUCACCAUGUCGGGGAAGUAAUUUGCGAACAUCGCCCUCUUAAACUCCUCCCAUAAUAUAGGCGGAAGGUCAGAAGGCCGAUCCCGCUUCACCCGCUUCAACCACACCUUCGCCGCCUUAUCUAGGCAGUGGGUGGCGAGGUGCACCUUGUCCUUCUCCAAGGUGUAAAUAUCUUCGGAUAGCGUCUCCAUGGCGUCGAUCCAUGACUCCACCAUCGCCGGCUCCACCCUUUCCCGGUCAAAUGUAUAAACUUUUUGAACAUCACGAGAGCCGCAAGCGCACACUCCCACUCCGCCUCUACCGCCGCACUAUCGGGAUUUGAGGUUCUCAAUCCGGCCGGCACCGCCGUGACUGGCACAGCCGCGACUGGCUCUGCCGCCACCGCCACUCCUUCGGCCGCACUUGACACCACUGCAGGGGGCGCAGGAUGCUCGGCCCCCACUUGAGCCGCCGCCGCCUGCUGCCGUGGAGCCUUUGGAUUUGCUCCCCUUGACGCUGAACGGACUCCACUUGCUGUCGCACUACACUAAUAAGCGCGGCCAUUUGCUCCCGAAGCUCCCCGUCGCCACUUGCUCCAGAUUGCAUAGGACCGGGUUGCGUAGGAGCAACACUCGAUUCCUCAGGCGUAGACCUCGUUCAAGGUUGUCCACGAGGCAUUGCUUCCUGAAAUAAAGCAAUUCACAUUAGUUACUCAACCAACAUACUCGAACAUACCCAAUCCAGCGAAACCAAACAAAUGUAUUUAUUUUCUUUCCAAAGUAUUAUGUCGUCGGCCGACGAUCACAACAUAAGGAAUAGAAAACAAAUAUCAACUUGAAUUAGUCCCUAACCACAUUAGAGACUUACUAACAUUAACCCAAUCACAAGCUUUCGCUAUAUUUUGAUCCCACGUCACUCACGUUUCCUGGAUCCUUAAGGUUUUCCAUUUCUUAGGGUCUCUAGAUCCAUUCUAUACUUUCACUUUUAGGCUCUGAUACCAUUAUANCCAAUAAGCGCGGCCAUUUGCUCUCGAGGCUCCCCAUCGCCAUUCGCUCCGGGUUGCGCAGGAGCUGCACUCGGUUCCUCGGGCAUAGAUGUCGUUCGGGGUCGACCACGAGGCAUUGCUUCCUUAAAUGAAGCAAUUUACAUUAGCUAUAUAACCAAUAUUACUCAAACAUACCCAAUCCGGCGAAAGCAAACAAGUAUAUUUAUUUUCCUUCCAAAGCAUUAUAUUGUCGGCCGCCGAUCACAACACAAGGAAUAGAAAACAAAUAUCAACUUGGAUUAGCCCCUAAGCACAUUAGAGACUUACUAACAUUAACCCAAUCAUAAAGCUUUCGCUAUAUUUUGAUUCUACAUCACUCACGUUUCCUAGACCCUUAAGGUUUUCCAUUCCUAAGGGUCUUUAGGUCCAUCCUACACUUUCACUUUUAGUCUCUGAUACCAUUAUAUCUGUCACCCCCGGCGACCGAUCUUAUUUAGUCGGUUCGGGCACGUCGAAUAGAUGCCGAAUGGACAGCACCUCCCUUGUCCGCCAAAGGCUCAACAACAAGUACAAAUCGAGUAGAGAAAUUUGCACAUUCGGAAACAUACAUAAUUGGCUUGCACGAGGGCAAGCAAUAGCCAAAGUGAAAGUACUAAACUAAACGUGCAGACAAAUAAUAUGAUUAAUUUUUUUAUGUUGUCGGCCGCCAACGUAACCCUCCGCGAAGUUAGAAGCUAUAUACUUCGAUUUAACUCCAACUUUUUAGAGUUAUAAUAAAACCAUAAUACUUUCACUUACAAAUCAAAUAGAUCUCGUCUCUCACGAGCCUAUUUCCUAUAGUCCAACAGGCCUAAGGUUUGCUAGGUCCACUAAGACUCAACCCUAGGCUCUGAUACCAAAUUAAUCUGUCACGCCCCGGGACCGGCGGAGGCCCUCCUGGUAGCAUGCCCAGACCCGUCAUAUGCUUGCAUAUAAAAGGCGUCUACAACAAUAGCGAUGAAUGAUAAGAAUAAAUAAGUAUCUAGAGAUAUCAGAGCAAGUAGCAGCUAAAUUCUAACAAUAAGUAGAGAGAAAGGAAACUAACAACUAAGAUAAAACAUGGAGUGAAUACAACAAACUAUCACAAAUACAAGCACUAUAAUAUCCAAAAUGGUAGUCUCUAUGUAGGGUACAAACGCUCUCAUUCUCUCCAACUAAAACAAGAAAAAAAUGAUCCACCAAGCAAGAUCCCUCGCUCGCUAGCUCAAAGCGACACCCUUAUCGCGAUCCCUAGCCUCUCACGGAGUGGAAGGCUCUGAAAGAAAACAUAAAACACGGGGGCGUGAGAACUAUAAUUUAUAGUUCUCAGUGGGCAAUUACUGACCUUAGCAAAAUACACCACUCGGCCCAAAAUAAGGUAAACAUGAUAAGGAACAAUAAUAAACUGCUGAUAUGAAAGCAUGUAUAAAAUGCUAAACUAUUAUGCUGCAAGAUAACAUGAUGUCAACAUGAUGUACAUCUAUUCUAUCAUAGAGAAGUAUGUCCAAUACAUAGCUUGUAUGUUCUAUCAUGGCAAAAAGUAUGCUACUAUGCAACGAGCAAUAUUAACAAAUAUACUAUAUAUCCAAAUGUGCACAACUAUGCUACAAGCAUGUCCAAGUAAUCUAAUUACUGAAAUCUAUCUAGUAGUGAUUGUCAAAUACCGGAUCAAUGUCGUUAUCCAAUCUCAAUCUAGGAUCUACACAAGUGAAGUCCGGCUUGUGCCGCCUAAGUGCCGUGGUAGCCCUAAAAUUUCCCUUGAGGAAUGAGUCUAUCCCAUUCGGUCCCGUAGGCUCCUCAAUACCGCACGAGCGAGCAUAAGUCGUGUAGGCUAACUCCGGAGUGCCGGCUUGUGAGCGACCCUCACAAGCAUGUGCGAAUGAGCACAAAUGGCAAGCAAGCGUAGUCAUCGUCUCAAGUACCCAAUCAUUAUGUCUCUAACAUGGUAACAGCCACUGGCAACCCAAUGGCCUAGUUCUAUGUCUCAAUGUGAAGCUCCAACAUUCACUAAGUCUAGUGCCUCUUUAUGACACUAGCAAGUUGCUAUACCCAACCGUAUUCCAAAUUCCAUGCCUCUUCGUGGCAUUAUUUACUAGGUUCGCACAUAACCCAAGCUCAAUGUCACUUCAUGACAUUAGCUCACUAAUUCACAUAUCAUUCUAGUCUAAUACCUCUUUAUGGUAUUUUACUUGCUCUUAUGUCCAACAUGAGAAUUAUAUCCAAUAGUACAUUACACUUAUCAUUUUCACUAUAUGAAACAUGAUCUCGAGUCACAUCUAGAAUGCUAGUCACAUUCAUAAGCCCAACCUGAAAACCCUCUACUACAUAGGGGUCCAAAUAUACAUUGUAUAUAAUAUAUGCAUUCUAAGCAUUCUGAAAUUCACAAAGAAUGCAUCUAACACAAAUAUGCAUGAAAUUCCACUUUACGACGAGUAAAACCACCAUAGAGGGAAUUUUAUCCCAUUUUGAUGAGGCCAAACCCACCUAGAGCUCCUCAGAACCCUUCGUUUCGCUGAACGAAGUUGCCCACUAUUCUCCUAGCACCCUAAAGGUAGUAAAAGGAGAGUAAAACGACCAUUACGAACAUCCCUUAGGUCGAUCUUUAACCAUGUUAAGAAAAUGGGCAAAACUCACCUAAGAUGGUGAUAGCCUCUCUCGAUCUCCAAAUGGGAGCUAGAACUCUUCCAAUCCAAUCUAGAGGAAGGUUCUAAUCCAAAAAAUCAGCUCCAAAAGCCCUAAAUUCAAAACCCCCAAAUAAACCCUAAGUUCACAAUUCUAGGGUUCCAACACCAAAAAUCAUGAGAAUCAUGAUCUAGAGAGGAGAAGUAUGUAACUAACUUUUUUAGAAGUCUUACACAAGGCCCAAAACCAGCUAGGGUUGAAGAUCAAUCCUCAAGCAAACUCCAAACUUCCUUCCAAAGCUUCUCCAAUGGUGAGUAGGUCACCAAAAUACCAAAAGAAGCAAAAAGAGGUGAUUAUUCCUCUAAAAAUUCAAGAAAAAAGGGAAGAAAAUCAAAGAGAGGAAGUGGAGGGGUCCUCUACCUAGUUCUCCUCUGUUCUCAGCACAGGGAAGCCUCCAAGGGGCGUGGGGUGACAUAUAGAUAAGCAACAAUUUCGAAAACACCCAUAAAAAACUUCUAGAUUACAGUUUGGCAAAGUGUACCGGUACACAGGAAAGUGUACCGGUACAAAACCCUGUACGCGCAAACCCGAGGCUCGGGUUGGCUGAACGGCCUUCUGUACCGGUACAACCAUCAAGGUGUACCGGUACAACCAUCAAGGUGUACUGGUACACAGCCCUCUAGAACUAAACCCGAGAGUAGACCAAAAAUGCAAUCUUUUGGAUUUUGGUGCUAAGUUUUAAAUCUCAAUUCUCGGGAUGCGAGCCAUGGGUCGGAAUGCUAUCUACGACCCUCCAGAAAUUGUGGAAAGGCUCAGAACACAGAUCAAACACUCGAAUCUCGCAAUUUGCAAAGGUCCUGUGUGUUACAUUCACCCAUCCUAAAAAAGAGUUUCGUCCGCAAAACUAAAAACCAUAAUACCUCAAGACCCCAUCUAGAAAAGAUGGGGGUAGCGCUCCUGCAGUGCGCUCUCCAGCUCCCAUGUGGCCUGCCGCUCAUCAUGGUUGCUCGAAAACACCUUCACAUANAGGCGUGGGGUGAUAUAUAGCUAAGCAACAAUUCCAAAAACACCCCUUAAAAACUUUCAAAUUGUAGUCUGGCAAAGUGUACCGGUACACGGGAAAGUGUACCGAUACAAAACCCUAUACGCGCAAACCCGAGGCUCGGGUUGGGUGAAUACGGCAUUCUGUACCAGUACAACCAUCAAGGUGUACCGAUACAACCAUCAAGGUGUACCGGUACAUAUCAAACACUCGAACCUUGCAAUUUGCAAAGGUCCAGUGUGUUACAGUCGACCUUGCCGACUUUCCCACUAGGUCUAAAUCAGGCAUAGUAGAAAAAAGAAUAGAUAGUAACAAACUAAACAAGUGUAGCUAAUAUGCCUGAACAAGAUAUAAUCAAUGAUUAUGCUCAAAUAGAAUGCUCAUGAUAUAUGCAAGAUUACUUUCCAAUUCCUGAUCCUUUUGGCUAACCCGUAGGUUUCGUCUCAACCAACAACUUACUAACCCAAGUCCCUACUAUCGGGCCCUAAGCUUCCUCCCGACGGGACCAAUAGACUCACCAACCAAAUCCCUAGUAUCGGGCCCUAAGCCUCCUUCCGAUGGGACCAUCUUCUGGGGCAAACAUCUUCCCAGUGAUGACAACUCCGGAGCUCAUCUCUCGAGGGAGAGCUACCGCCCUCCAAGCCAAGACUGUAGACGAGUAUGAUCAAUCCUUAACUUUAAGGAUACCAAGUUCAAUCCAAUCCUUCACUAUAAGGAUGCUAUGCUCAUAUGACCCUUAACUUUAAAGUUGUUAUGUCAUAAUAUCAACUAUCUCACUUUACUUGUAUUCUUUAACUUUCAUUAGUGUCACUUACACUACAUAUUCUUUAUACUCAUUCAUUAAUGCCACACACACUAAGUGUUCAAUACUAGCAUUCAAACUCAUUGAUGCCACUCUUUGUGUUUACUAAUGACACACCAUCCAUAUGUCAUAAUAUCAUUUUGUUCUUUACCUCAUCUAGGUCUUUGUCACCAUUCAUGCAUACAUAGGGUUUCCACUUUGUUCAACAUUCUCAUAUGCAUCUUUAUACUACAAGCAUGCAAAUAUAUACCUCAAUCAACCCUACAAUGCAUGAAGAUACUAUACAUACAUAUGCUCAAAAAUGACACUUUAAACAUAAGAGAAAAUUCAAUGAUUUCGGAAAGCACCACCCACCUUGUAUGGUUGUAAAGGUGCUGCGAUUUAAAUCUCGAAAUUUUUGGGCUUCUAUUCUCUCGCCUGCGGCAAAGCGAAGCCGAAUUAGACUUUUUGCUCAUAACUUUGCGUAGACUCGUCGGAUCGGCGAAUCAAGUCCAUAAACGAGUUAAAAAUAUCCCCAAUUUAGUUUCUACAAGGUCAAUUUGCCUUUAAACCAACCUAUAAAAGUUCCAAUUUUGGUGCCCUAAUAAUGCCAUAUAGCCAUAUACCUUGGUUUGAUCUCUAAAACAAGUAAAAAUAAGCUUGUUGAACCUCUAGGAACUCAUCUAGAACCAUUUCUAGGUCAUUCAAACCAUUCCUAGGGUAUAUAAACCAAACCCUAGAAAUCCACCAUGAGAGCACAUGAAGAAAACAUGAAUUUUCAUGUGUUCAUGGCCUCUACUAGAUUUCUAGCCUUGCAAGAAGAUCAAAACUCAAAGAUUUAGGGUAUAAAACCAAACCCUAGCAUCAUUCUUGUAUAAAAACUCACCUUAGCCCAAGAGCACUCCAAGGUCCACCUUGUAGGAGAGCUCUAGCCCUUCAAAAAUCCCAAAUCUCCUCCAAAAUCCACCUCUUGAGCUCCUCCUUUAGCUUGGGAGAGGGUUUCUAGAGAGAGAGGGAGAGAAAUGAGGAAGAGGUGUGUUUUGGCUGUGAAAGGAAGAGAGAGGGAGUGUGGGGUCUUAUAUAGGCUGCCAAAAUUGCAAAAAGACUCUCCCUCAAUUCAUAUUUGCAGCAGACCAAACUCUGCUGCGAAGGACACUUAGUACCGGUACUACCUCAUUUUGUCACCGAUAACACAAUCACGCAAAGGCUAACCCGAGAGCUACUUCUCUUGGGUAACUGACUUGGUAACGGUACACACCAGGAGUGUCACCGGUUCAAUAGCCUUCUUUUACUCAAACCCGAGAGCAGCUUCUCUCGGUCUGAUGCGUGGUACCGGUACAAGCUCAAUGCAUUACCGGUAACAGAAGUUCCAGACUUCAAUUUUGUAUCGUUUCGACUCCAAUUCACGCCGAGCAAUGCUAAAACCUUUCUAACUCUUUUGGAACUCAACUUUAACUCUUCCAACCUUGUUGGAAUGUUAAAUGGACUUCGUCCAACUAUUUCUUUCGGACACUUUAGUCAAUUUGACUAAAGUCCGAUAUACUCUACCGAGGUUUCGGUAUAUUAUAGGUUAAUGAAUAUUUAAUAGUAGCAAAAUCACAACAUUGAUGUGUAUGUGUAGUUUUUAUGUACUUAAAGUUUUAAUGUCGCAAAGAAAAUAACUUAUAGAUUUCAAAACUCUUUACUUCAUUGCUUACACCUACGAGUAUCUUUCUUUUUGAAACUCAAAUCUUCGUGAUCAUGCUAUUGUUGUGCACCUACAAGUAUAUUUUCUGUCUUUAUUUUGUUUUUAGCCUUAAUCAUGUUAUUUACAGUGAACUCGAAAUAUAUAAAUGUUUCGAACUUCACCUUGAUUUUCAAUUAUGCACUUUAAUUUUCAACUAUUUUCUCAACAUAAUUUUAACUUCAUAGUGAUUUUUUUCUUAUAAUUUGUUUCCCAUACAUGUGUGAUUUCUUCAUCCAUCACCUGCACAAAUGGCCCGCGGCAACGUGCGGGUCCUACACUAGUUGCAUAUGAAACUGGCAAUUCAUUAAUUUAUAUAGAUAGAUAUAGAUAUAGAUAUAGAUAUAGAUAUAGAUAUUGCUAGAUAGAUAGAUAUAGAUAUAGAUAUAGAUUAUAUAGAUGACAAGUAAAACACUUCUAUCCAAUGAAUUGAGGAUGAACAUCAAACAUUUAUAUGAUAAGUAUCACUCAUCUUACAAUGUUACACAAAAUUUGAAAAUUUGUAUCUUAAAGAAAAAACUUAUUGUAAAUUUGCAUAGNGUGAUCCGUCCUUCUUCUUAACAAAUAGAACCGGUGCUCCCCAAGAUGAAACACUCUGCCGCACAAAACCCUUGUCCAAAAGAUCUUGCAACUGUGCCCUCAGCUUCUUCAACUCAGCUAGUGCCAUCCUAUAGGGUGCUUUUGAGAUUGGAGUAGUCCCGGGGACGAGAUCUACCACAAACUCAAUCUCCCUAUCAGGUGGCAUUCCUAGAAGCUCAGCUGGAAACACAUCUCCAAACUCCCGUACUACGGGGAUAUCCUCAAUCCUAAGGGUGUCGGCAUCACCCCGCAACACGAUAGUAGCCAAAUAGGCUCCGCAGCCUCUGCUAAUCAACUGUCUAGCUUGAGAAGAGCUAAUUGUCAUCGCAAACAGCGAACUCUGGCAUCCACGGUAUAUAACCUCCGCCUGCCCCGGCUCUCUAAAGGUCACUGUUCGAUUCUUGCAAUCGAUAGUGGCGAAGUACUUGGUCAACCAAUCCAUGCCCAAGACAACAUCAAACUCUCCGAGUUUAUGCAAAGCUAGCAAAUCCACAGACAUAAUCCAGUCUCCUACCCGAACAGGGCAACUGGGGCAAUACUCUCUAAUAUCCAAAGUGUGGUCGGGUACUACAACAUGUCUCGGAUGCAACAAAAAANNNNNNNNNNNNNNNNNNNNNNNNNNNNNNNNNNNNNNNNNNNNNNNNNNNNNNNNNNNNNNNNNNNNNNNNNNNNNNNNNNNNNNNNNNNNNNNNNNNNNNNNNNNNNNNNNNNNNNNNNNNNNNNNNNNNNNNNNNNNNNNNNNNNNNNNNNNNNNNNNNNNNNNNNNNNNNNNNNNNNNNNNNNNNNNNNNNNNNNNNNNNNNNNNNNNNNNNNNNNNNNNNNNNNNNNNNNNNNNNNNNNNNNNNNNNNNNNNNNNNNNNNNNNNNNNNNNNNNNNNNNNNNNNNNNNNNNNNNNNNNNNNNNNNNNNNNNNNNNNNNNNNNNNNNNNNNNNNNNNNNNNNNNNNNNNNNNNNNNNNNNNNNNNNNNNNNNNNNNNNNNNNNNNNNNNNNNNNNNNNNNNNNNNNNNNNNNNNNNNNNNNNNNNNNNNNNNNNNNNNNNNNNNNNNNNNNNNNNNNNNNNNNNNNNNNNNNNNNNNNNNNNNNNNNNNNNNNNNNNNNNNNNNNNNNNNNNNNNNNNNNNNNNNNNNNNNNNNNNNNNNNNNNNNNNNNNNNNNNNNNNNNNNNNNNNNNNNNNNNNNNNNNNNNNNNNNNNNNNNNNNNNNNNNNNNNNNNNNNNNNNNNNNNNNNNNNNNNNNNNNNNNNNNNNNNNNNNNNNNNNNNNNNNNNNNNNNNNNNNNNNNNNNNNNNNNNNNNNNNNNNNNNNNNNNNNNNNNNNNNNNNNNNNNNNNNNNNNNNNNNNNNNNNNNNNNNNNNNNNNNNNNNNNNNNNNNNNNNNNNNNNNNNNNNNNNNNNNNNNNNNNNNNNNNNNNNNNNNNNNNNNNNNNNNNNNNNNNNNNNNNNNNNNNNNNNNNNNNNNNNNNNNNNNNNNNNNNNNNNNNNNNNNNNNNNNNNNNNNNNNNNNNNNNNNNNNNNNNNNNNNNNNNNNNNNNNNNNNNNNNNNNNNNNNNNNNNNNNNNNNNNNNNNNNNNNNNNNNNNNNNNNNNNNNNNNNNNNNNNNNNNNNNNNNNNNNNNNNNNNNNNNNNNNNNNNNNNNNNNNNNNNNNNNNNNNNNNNNNNNNNNNNNNNNNNNNNNNNNNNNNNNNNNNNNNNNNNNNNNNNNNNNNNNNNNNNNNNNNNNNNNNNNNNNNNNNNNNNNNNNNNNNNNNNNNNNNNNNNNNNNNNNNNNNNNNNNNNNNNNNNNNNNNNNNNNNNNNNNNNNNNNNNNNNNNNNNNNNNNNNNNNNNNNNNNNNNNNNNNNNNNNNNNNNNNNNNNNNNNNNNNNNNNNNNNNNNNNNNNNNNNNNNNNNNNNNNNNNNNNNNNNNNNNNNNNNNNNNNNNNNNNNNNNNNNNNNNNNNNNNNNNNNNNNNNNNNNNNNNNNNNNNNNNNNNNNNNNNNNNNNNNNNNNNNNNNNNNNNNNNNNNNNNNNNNNNNNNNNNNNNNNNNNNNNNNNNNNNNNNNNNNNNNNNNNNNNNNNNNNNNNNNNNNNNNNNNNNNNNNNNNNNNNNNNNNNNNNNNNNNNNNNNNNNNNNNNNNNNNNNNNNNNNNNNNNNNNNNNNNNNNNNNNNNNNNNNNNNNNNNNNNNNNNNNNNNNNNNNNNNNNNNNNNNNNNNNNNNNNNNNNNNNNNNNNNNNNNNNNNNNNNNNNNNNNNNNNNNNNNNNNNNNNNNNNNNNNNNNNNNNNNNNNNNNNNNNNNNNNNNNNNNNNNNNNNNNNNNNNNNNNNNNNNNNNNNNNNNNNNNNNNNNNNNNNNNNNNNNNNNNNNNNNNNNNNNNNNNNNNNNNNNNNNNNNNNNNNNNNNNNNNNNNNNNNNNNNNNNNNNNNNNNNNNNNNNNNNNNNNNNNNNNNNNNNNNNNNNNNNNNNNNNNNNNNNNNNNNNNNNNNNNNNNNNNNNNNNNNNNNNNNNNNNNNNNNNNNNNNNNNNNNNNNNNNNNNNNNNNNNNNNNNNNNNNNNNNNNNNNNNNNNNNNNNNNNNNNNNNNNNNNNNNNNNNNNNNNNNNNNNNNNNNNNNNNNNNNNNNNNNNNNNNNNNNNNNNNNNNNNNNNNNNNNNNNNNNNNNNNNNNNNNNNNNNNNNNNNNNNNNNNNNNNNNNNNNNNNNNNNNNNNNNNNNNNNNNNNNNNNNNNNNNNNNNNNNNNNNNNNNNNNNNNNNNNNNNNNNNNNNNNNNNNNNNNNNNNNNNNNNNNNNNNNNNNNNNNNNNNNNNNNNNNNNNNNNNNNNNNNNNNNNNNNNNNNNNNNNNNNNNNNNNNNNNNNNNNNNNNNNNNNNNNNNNNNNNNNNNNNNNNNNNNNNNNNNNNNNNNNNNNNNNNNNNNNNNNNNNNNNNNNNNNNNNNNNNNNNNNNNNNNNNNNNNNNNNNNNNNNNNNNNNNNNNNNNNNNNNNNNNNNNNNNNNNNNNNNNNNNNNNNNNNNNNNNNNNNNNNNNNNNNNNNNNNNNNNNNNNNNNNNNNNNNNNNNNNNNNNNNNNNNNNNNNNNNNNNNNNNNNNNNNNNNNNNNNNNNNNNNNNNNNNNNNNNNNNNNNNNNNNNUCGGCCCACAUGGCCUCCCGCCACAGGGCAGGAUGCUGGUCCAUUUAAGCCAACAAUCCCCUCUCCAGCACCUGCACACAUUUGCAGCAUGUAGGAAUCGAACCCGUGACCUCUGACUCUGAUACCACUUGUCGGAUCGUUGGCGCUAACCAUUAAUCCCAAAAGCUCGAGCUAUUAGAAAUACGCAACCAAUUCACUUAAAGCGUACAAAAAUAGCGCCCACGGGUCUCGAUUGUGACUCGGCCCACCUGGCUUCACGCCACUUCGAACAUGACUCGGUCUAACCCAGCCUCACGCCAUUUCGAACAUGACUCGGCCCACAUGGCCUCCCACCACAGGGCAGGAUGCUGGCCCAUUUAAACCAACAGUGUAGGGACCUGAGCCUCCAUGGCUGCCGCCUGUUGCAGCAAAAGAUCCUCCAGGCGCUUCAUCCGCACCUCCUGCGCGUCGCGUCUGCCUACUGCUGGGCCGCCGCCGCCUCCUGCGUUACCAAGUUAGUGAGAGCCGCAAGCUGGCUCCUCAACUCACGGACCUCGCCGGAUCCGGAGGUAACGGAGGUCUCCACCUCCUCCAAAUUUGCCAUAUUGUCCGCCCCAACAGACUUAGAGCGUGUAAUCGGCAUUACCACUACAACAUCAUAAAAACGUAAGUUAGUGAAACCCACGCUAUCGCAACCCCGCUCAACAAAUAAGUACCAAAAUCAUGCGAAAGUAAGGAAGUGUUCUUUACUACUAACUUCCGAUGUUACGUUGUCGGCCGCCAACGUAACCCUCCGCGAAGUUAGAAGCUAUACACUUCGAUUCAACUCCAACUUUUUAGAGUUAUAAUAAAACCCAAUCAUAAUACUUUCGCUUACAAAUCAAAUAGACAUCGUCUCUCACGAGCCUAUUUCCUAUAGUCCAACCGGCCUAAGGUUUGCUAGGUCCACUAAGACUCAACCCUAGGCUCUGAUACCAAAUUAAUCUGUCACGCCCCGAGACCGGCGGAGGCCCUCCCGGUAGCAUGCCCAGACCCGCCAUAUGCCUGCACAUAUAAGGCGUCUACAACAAUAGCGAUGAAUGAUAAGAAUAAACAAGUAUCUAGAGAUAUCAGAGCAAGUAGCAGCUAAAUUCUAACAACAAGUAGAGAGAAAGGAAACUAACAACUAAGAUAAAACAUGGAGUAAAUACAACAAAUUGUCUCAAAUACAAGCACUACAAUAUACAAAAUGAUAGUCUCUAUGUAGGGUACAAACGCUCUCAUUCUCUCCAACUAAAACAAAAAAGAGAAAAUGAUCCACCUAGCAAGAUCCCUCGCUCACUAGCUCGAAGCGACACCCUUGCCGCUGUCCCUAGCCUCUCCCGGAGUGGAAGGCUCUGAAAGAAAACAUAAAACACGGGGGCGUGAGAACUAUAAUUUAUAGUUCUCAGUGGGCAAUUACUGACCUUAGCAAAAUACACCACUCGGCCCAAAAUAAGGUAAACAUGAUAAGGAACAAUAAUAAACUGCUGAUAUGAAAGCAUGUAUAAAAUGGUAAACUAUUAUGCUGCAAGAUAACAUGAUGUCAACAUGAUGUACAUCUAUUCUAUCAUAGAGAAGUAUGUCCAAUACAUAGCUUGUACGUUCUAUCAUGGCAACAAGUAUGCUACUAUGCAACGAGCAAUACUAACAAAUAUACUAUAUAUCCAAAUGUCCACAAUUAAGCUGAAAUCUAUCUAGUAGUGAUUGUCAAAUACCAGAUCAAUGUCAUUAUCCAAUCUCAAUCUAGGAUCUACACAAGUGUAGUCCGGCUUGUGCCGCCUAAGUGCCGUGGUAGCCCCAACAUUCCCCCUUGAGGAAUAAGUCUAUCCCACUCGGCCCCGUAGGCUCCUCAAUACCGCACGAGCGAGUAUAAGUCAUGUAGGCUAACUCCGGAGUGUCGGCUUGUAAGGAGCGACCCUCACAAGCAUGUGCGAAUGAGCACAAAUGGCAAGCAAGCGUAGUCAUCGUCUCAAGUACCCAAUCAUCAUAUCUCUAACAUGGUAAUAGCCACUAGCAAUCCAACGGUCUAGUUCUAUGUCUCAAUGUGAAGUUCCAACAUUCACUAAGUCUAGUGCCUUUUUAUGACACUAGCACGUUGCUAUACCCAACCGUAUUCCAAAUUCCAUGCCUCUUUGUGGCAUUAUUUACUAGGUUCACACAUAACCCAAGCUCAAUGUCGCUUUAUGACAUUAGCUCACUAAUUCACAUAUCAUUCUAGUCUAAUACCUAUUUAUAGCAUUUUACUUGCUCUUAUGUCCAACAUGAGAAUUAUAUCCAAUAGUACAUUAUACUUAUCAUUUUCACUAUAUGAAACAUGAUCUCGAGUCACAUCUAGAAUGCUAGUCACAUGCAUAAGCCCAACCUGAAAACCCUCUACUACAUAGGGGUCCAAAUAUACAUUGUAUAUAAUAUAUGCAUUCUAAGCAUUCUAAAAUUCACAAAUAAUGCAUCUAACACAAAUAUGCAUGAAAUUCCACUUUACGACGAGUAAAACCACCAUAGAGGAAAUUUUAUCCCAUUUUGUUGAGGCCAAACCCACCUAGAGCUCCUCAGAACCCUUCGUUUCGCUGAACGAAGUUGCCCACUAUUCUCCUAGCACCCUAAAGGUAGUAAAAGGAGAGUAAAACGACCAUUACGAACAUCCCUUAGGUCGAUCUUUAACCAUGUUAAGAAAAUGGGCAAAACUCACCUAAGAUGGUGAUAGCCUCUCUCGAUCUCCAAAUGGGAGCUAGAACUCUUCCAAUCCAAUCUAGAGGAAGGUUCUAAUCCAAAAAAUCAGCUCCAAAAGCCCUAAAUUCAAAACCCCCAAAUAAACCCUAAGUUCACAAUUCUAGGGUUCCAACACCAAAAAUCAUGAGAAUCAUGAUCUAGAGAGGAGAAGUAUGUAACUAACUUUUUUAGAAGUCUUACACAAGGCCCAAAACCAGCUAGGGUUGAAGAUCAAUCCUCAAGCAAACUCCAAACUUCCUUCCAAAGCUUCUCCAAUGGUGAGUAGGUCACCAAAAUACCAAAAGAAGCAAAAAGAGGUGAUUAUUCCUCUAAAAAUCCAAGAAAAAGGAAGAAAAUCAAAGAGAGGAAGUGGAGGGGGCCUCUACCUGGUUCUCCUUUGUUCUCAGCACAGGGAAGCCUCCAAGAGGCGUGGGGUGAUAUAUAGCUAAGCAACAAUUCCAAAAACACCCCUUAAAAACUUUCAAAUUGUAGUCUGGCAAAGUGUACCGGUACACGGGAAAGUGUACCGAUACAAAACCCUAUACGCGCAAACCCGAGGCUCGGGUUGGGUGAAUACGGCAUUCUGUACCAGUACAACCAUCAAGGUGUACCGAUACAACCAUCAAGGUGUACCGGUAUACAGUUUUCCAGAACUAAACCCGAGAGCAGACCAAAAUCCAAUCUUUUGGAUUUUGGUGCUAAGUUUUAAACCUCAAUUCUCGGGAUGCGAGUCAUGGGUCGGAACGCUAUCUACGACCCUCCAGAAACUGUGGAAAGGCUCAAAACACAUAUCAAACACUCGAACCUUGCAAUUUGCAAAGGUCCAGUGUGUUACAGUCGACCUUGCCGACUUUCCCACUAGGUCUAAAUCAGGCAUAGUAGAAAAAAGAAUAGAUAGUAACAAACUAAACAAGUGUAGCUAAUAUGCCUGAACAAGAUAUAAUCAAUGAUUAUGCUCAAAUAGAAUGCUCAUGAUAUAUGCAAGAUUACUUUCCAAUUCCUGAUCCUUUUGGCUAACCCGUAGGUUUCGUCUCAACCAACAACUUACUAACCCAAGUCCCUACUAUCGGGCCCUAAGCUUCCUCCCGACGGGACCAAUAGACUCACCAACCAAAUCCCUAGUAUCGGGCCCUAAGCCUCCUUCCGAUGGGACCAUCUUCUGGGGCAAACAUCUUCCCAGUGAUGACAACUCCGGAGCUCAUCUCUCGAGGGAGAGCUACCGCCCUCCAAGCCAAGACUGUAGACGAGUAUGAUCAAUCCUUAACUUUAAGGAUACCAAGUUCAAUCCAAUCCUUCACUAUAAGGAUGCUAUGCUCAUAUGACCCUUAACUUUAAAGUUGUUAUGUCAUAAUAUCAACUAUCUCACUUUACUUGUAUUCUUUAACUUUCAUUAGUGUCACUUACACUACAUAUUCUUUAUACUCAUUCAUUAAUGCCACACACACUAAGUGUUCAAUACUAGCAUUCAAACUCAUUGAUGCCACUCUUUGUGUUUACUAAUGACACACCAUCCAUAUGUCAUAAUAUCAUUUUGUUCUUUACCUCAUCUAGGUCUUUGUCACCAUUCAUGCAUACAUAGGGUUUCCACUUUGUUCAACAUUCUCAUAUGCAUCUUUAUACUACAAGCAUGCAAAUAUAUACCUCAAUCAACCCUACAAUGCAUGAAGAUACUAUACAUACAUAUGCUCAAAAAUGACACUUUAAACAUAAGAGAAAAUUCAAUGAUUUCGGAAAGCACCACCCACCUUGUAUGGUUGUAAAGGUGCUGCGAUUUAAAUCUCGAAAUUUUUGGGCUUCUAUUCUCUCGCCUGCGGCAAAGCGAAGCCGAAUUAGACUUUUUGCUCAUAACUUUGCGUAGACUCGUCGGAUCGGCGAAUCAAGUCCAUAAACGAGUUAAAAAUAUCCCCAAUUUAGUUUCUACAAGGUCAAUUUGCCUUUAAACCAACCUAUAAAAGUUCCAAUUUUGGUGCCCUAAUAAUGCCAUAUAGCCAUAUACCUUGGUUUGAUCUCUAAAACAAGUAAAAAUAAGCUUGUUGAACCUCUAGGAACUCAUCUAGAACCAUUUCUAGGUCAUUCAAACCAUUCCUAGGGUAUAUAAACCAAACCCUAGAAAUCCACCAUGAGAGCACAUGAAGAAAACAUGAAUUUUCAUGUGUUUAUGGCCUCUACUAGGUUUCUAGCCUUGCAAGAAGAUCAAAACUCAAAGAUUUAGGGUAUAAAUCAAACCCUAGCAUCAUUCUUGUAUAAAAACUCACCUUAGCCUAAGAGCACUCCAAGGUCCACCUUGUAGGAGAGUUUCCAAGCCUUCAAAAGCUCCAAAACCUCCAAAUCCUUCUCAAAUCUCCACCAAAACCACCUUGGGGAAGAGUUUCUAGAGAGAGAGAGGGAGAAAAGAGAGAGAAAGUGUGUUCUCAACUGCUGUGAACAAGAGAGGGGUGUUGGGGUCUUAUAUAGGCUGCUACAAUUGCAGUUAGGCCCUCCCCAACUUCAUAUUUGCAGCAGACCUCAACCUGCUGCGAAAUGCACUGCGUACUAGUACACGGGAUCCUGUCACCGGUUUAACAGUUACGCAGCAGCCAAACCCGAGAGCUGCCUCUCUCGGUCAGCAGUCUGGUAUUGGUACCACCCGAUUUUGUCACCGGUUCAACAGCCUUUUUUAUUCAAACCCGAGAGUUGCUUCUCUCGGCCUGAUGCCUAGUACCGGUACAAGGUCAAUACAUUACCGGUGACAAAAGCUCCAGACUUGAGUUUUGCACCGUUUCGACUCUAAUUUGCGCCGAGCAAUGCUAAAACCUUUCUAACUCCUUUGGAACUCAACUUUAACCCUUCCAACCUUGUUGGAAUGUUAAAUUGACUUUGUCCAACUAUUUCUUUCGCACACUUUAGUCGAUUCGGCUAAAGUUCGAUAUACACUACCGAAGUUUCGGUAUAUUACACACUUAGAUGAAAUAUAUCUCCCUUGUUAGAUAGGGUGUUAGUCCUAUGUGAUUUAUGAGACCUUAUUUAGAAGACCUUGGCCAGGGCAGAGUUAAUAGCGGAAAAGGGUUUCCGAUAUUAGAAACUCAAGUCGAAUAAAUUUAACACAUGACAGACGAUGGGGUUUGACGAGUUAUUCCAUGACCUCCGUCUAGUCGGGACUCUUGAUAGAAGGACUGUAUCAUACGGUAACUCCACCAAGAGGUUCAGUAUUCCAUUCUACUGGAAUGCCACUACAUGCUGCUAGGCGUCACUGGUGGAUUAUGAGACUCAUGAGGAUUAUUUAGAUGAUCGAUAAUUCUUAUUGGGCUGAGUUGGAAUUGUUUCGAUCCACUGAAAGGAGUUUCAGUGAUAUUGUUAAUAGUGAUCAAAAUAUAUCUCACUCCCAGAUAGAAUAGAACCUAUGGGGUCACACACAUAAGAGGUUGUGAUUGAUUGGAUAGCUAGAUUGCGAUUAUUGAAUCGCCGAAGGACCUAAUUGACAAUAUGUUGAUAAUUGGACUAAUUUGUAAUUAUUACAAAUUAGUGGUAUUAAGGUGUAAAUGUUACAAGAGAGGACUUACUAAUAGUUAGUAAAUUAUGAGAAGACUUAUGUGCAAAUAUUGCAUUAUUAAUUUAAUAUGAUCAAAUUAAGAUAAAUUUCAAGUCGAAUCAAAUUAGGAUUUGAUCGAAAUAAUCAAUUAAGGAAAUGAUAAAUUUAAAUCUAAAUUUGUAUUUAUCCUUAAUAGUCAUUAUGUUAUUAAAAAGAGGAUUAUAUAUUCCUCCAUAUAUAAUAUACGGGAGUUUUAAGAAAACCCUAGCCGUCAUCUCUCUUCUCCUCUCUCUUCCAUAUUUUAGCAAGCAAAUCCACAAGAUACACAUGUGAAAUAAAGAGAGUACUUUACUAACUAUUACAAUAGUUCCAUCAUUUUCAUUUACAUCAUUUUCUUUAAAUGAAUACAUUUUCCAUUUCAAAAUACAUAGCUCUCCCAAAUCCUCACCUACAAUGAAUCUCUCUCAAUACAUAGGUAAACUAAUGCAAAAAGGAAAGCUACUAUACUACCACGGUCUCACUGGUCGGGCGCGAUGCCCUUGCAGCGGUCCUCUCUCAGCAGCCCUGUACCUACCACUGGAAAUAGAGUGGGGUGAGAACUAUCUUCCAUAGUUUCCAGUAGGCUCGGCCACCGACUCUGCCGAUCUCCCCACUAAGUCCAAGUGGGCACAAGUAACAACAGAUAGAUAGAUAGAUAGAUAUCUGAAAGCUGUAAAUGCAAUAGUAGGAAAUUAUGCUACUAUGCCCAUAAUCAUGAAUAUGAAUGCAUGCAUCAUAUAAUAAAGGUUUGCUACCAUGCUAACAAAUUCGAUCCAUGUUCGAAUAGUAAUGUUCAAUGACAUUUUAAACCUUUAACUUUUCAUUUACCCAAUCUGUGNCCUACCUAGGGUUGGAACAAUGCUAUUCCAACCCUUAUCCCCGCUCUUGUACAGAGGGCAUGUCCGAAAAGCCCCCCGCCCCCCCUCGUCUCUUUCCUCUCUUUGUCUUCUUCUCCAUCUGAGGAAACUAGUAAUUUCUCCAGUGGUCCUCUUCCUCUCUUCGCCUUCUUCGUUCCUCCUCGCUUCUUCCUCCUCGUGGCUUGCAUGAUCUGAGGAGGUUCGUUCGUCGUGCCAAACUCUAGAUCUGAGGGUCUCACGUCGCCGCCGCUUUGUGCCCUUCUCCGCACCUCCUCUUAGAAUUUCUCCUCGUAGCUUCGGUUGCCGCCGCCUUUGGAGAGAAACUGCCGCCUUUGGGGAGAAAUCCUUGCCGCCUAUGCCCGAUCCCUAGAUCUGAGGUUGCGGGUGAUCUUCUUCUCUGUGCUUGAUCUUCUGCCCUAUUCUUCUUUGUGCUUCCUCUGUUCAACCCAAGGUAAGCAGUGUAAUUUUGCAGUGAAUGAUCUUCGGCUCUGUGAUUGAUCGUCUUAUCUGUUCUUCUCUGUGAUUGAUUGUGCUUCUCUGUGCUUUCCUUUGCUUCGUUGUGCUUCCUUUGUGCUUCUGUAACAUACCAGAUUUUGGUAUAAAAAUAGAAAUAAAUAAAAAUAGUGUGAGAAACUAUUUUUAUUGGAUUUGUGGGAGUAAAACAUAAGUCAGAAAUGACCUGUGCUGAAAUCGGAAUUAAAACAGAAGAUUUAGAAUUUUCUGUUGGAAACGGGACAGAUAAAUUAGCAGAAAAUGUACAGUCUCAGAAAAUUAUGAAAAUUGGCAGAGAUGUCAGAAAUAUUUUUAUGAGGCUAGAUUUAAGGUUUCAUAUUUUUCUGACACCCGUAGAGUGAGAAAUAAAAUCCGACAGUUAUCUGAUAAAGAUUACAGUUCGGUACAGUUUUCAGUGACCAAACGGGGUCGAAACUGAACCAGCGAUCGUCAGCUUGUUAAGUUAAGUAAAACCGAACAUGACUGUCAAGUUUGAGCUCAAACGGACACUCAGGGAGCUCCGGCGAAAGUUAUCAGAUUUCAAGCUGCCCGGGAGUGAAUAGUGUUUUGAGGUGUUGACUAUAUAAGAAGACUUCAUGUCUUCUUCUUCCCUCAAGCAGCCGACCGCCACCACCACCAUGCGUUCAUGGUGUGGGGAGAGAAAACCUUAUUUCUCUCUCUAGAUUUCUCUCUUAUCUCUCCAAAUCUCUCUCUAAUAAUUUGAGGGUUGGUGGAGAGCGAGCUUGCGAACGCAUUGGAGGCGUCGGUUCGGGCNUAUUUUAUAGCGGAACCCUAACGGAUCACUAACGGUAGGGGGUGAAGUAAACAUUUUUUAUUUUAUAAGGGGACAAAGUAUAGGUUUUUAAAUGACAGGGACAAAAAGUGAAAAAUCAAAUUUUGACAGGGGGUUUUUCUGUAAUUUAGUCUAAUCCUUAUAUUUAUAUACUAAGAAUAAAUUAUUACCUACACAUAGUGCACCUACAUAUACAUCUAUGUAUUAUAUAUUAUAUAUGUGAUGUACUGGAUCUUUACAAAUGAGCAAGGUUCUAUAUUUUAGAUGUUUACCUUAAUAGCCAACUAGGCUGACACAUAUAUUCUAUUUAGGAUAUAAAUAUAUAUUUGAUCUUUUACAUUAAUAUGAAUGGAUUUGGCUUUUUAUAUUCAUUCAUGUUGUAUAUAUGUUCUCAAAUCAUCCAAAAAAUUAAUAAGAUGAUAACACAUAUUUUCAAGAGUUGAGAAUUUGAGAUAUAUAUCACUGGUGGUUAAUUUCUAAAUGCUCUCGAUCGAUGGAUCAUCAUGGGGAUGGUAAUUGAUCUAGUGGGAUUGAUGCAUAGGUCGUUUUCCUUUUAGAGUAGACGAGUCUCGAAUCAACAGUGUAUGAACACUAGAGCAAAUGUGCAGAUGGUUGUCAGAGAACAAAGUUACCGAGCGUAACCAACUUAGGAAGUCACAUAGUGUCACACCCCAAUAAUCCCACAUCGGAUAUGAAAGGGGAUGUGAUUGUGUAUAUAAGAAACUUAGACAUUAAUAAUAAUAACUGGGUUUAAGCAUUUUGGACCGGUCAACGACCAAGCCCACUAGCAAUAAUAACUCGUUGGGCCCAACCACCGGCCCAAAAUUCUUAAGCCCAGUUAUUAUUACUAGGGUGGAGUCUUCUUAUAAACCCAAUGACAACCCCAUUCCCAUCCGAUGUGGGACUAUUGGGGUGUCACAAACUCCCCCCGUUUAGACCCUGACGUCCUCGUCAGCCCUAAAUACACACACAGCCCAGGAUCACCAAGCGAUGUGAGACUUGUCUCGCUAGUCUUUGUCAUACCGACCCUCACUUGGCCUGUCAAUCACCGACCCUGGCCUAGUCUGUCAUUCUGACCCUGGCUCAAUCAAGACUCACUCACACUUUCGGCUGGUGAAUUGGCUCUGAUAAAUGUAACGACCCAGCCCACUAGCAAUAAUAACUCGUUGGGCCCAACUAUUGGCCCAAAAUGCUUAAGCCCAAUUAUUAUUACUAGUGUUUAAGUUUUUUAUAAACCCAAUGACAACUCCUUUCCGAUCCGAUAACUCGUUGGGCCCAACUAUUGGCCCAAAAUGCUUAAGCCCAAUUAUUAUUACUAGUGUUUAAGUUUUUUAUAAACCCAAUGACAACUCCUUUCCGAUCCGAUAACUCGUUGGGCCCAACUAUUGGCCCAAAAUGCUUAAGCCCAAUUAUUAUUACUAGUGUUUAAGUUUUUUAUAAACCCAAUGACAACUCCUUUCCGAUCCGAUAACUCGUUGGGCCCAACUAUUGGCCCAAAAUGCUUAAGCCCAAUUAUUAUUACUAGUGUUUAAGUUUUUUAUAAACCCAAUGACAACUCCUUUCCGAUCCGAUAACUCGUUGGGCCCAACUAUUGGCCCAAAAUGCUUAAGCCCAAUUAUUAUUACUAGUGUUUAAGUUUUUUAUAAACCCAAUGACAACUCCUUUCCGAUCCGAUAACUCGUUGGGCCCAACUAUUGGCCCAAAAUGCUUAAGCCCAAUUAUUAUUACUAGUGUUUAAGUUUUUUAUAAACCCAAUGACAACUCCUUUCCGAUCCGAUAACUCGUUGGGCCCAACUAUUGGCCCAAAAUGCUUAAGCCCAAUUAUUAUUACUAGUGUUUAAGUUUUUUAUAAACCCAAUGACAACUCCUUUCCGAUCCGAUAACUCGUUGGGCCCAACUAUUGGCCCAAAAUGCUUAAGCCCAAUUAUUAUUACUAGUGUUUAAGUUUUUUAUAAACCCAAUGACAACUCCUUUCCGAUCCGAUAACUCGUUGGGCCCAACUAUUGGCCCAAAAUGCUUAAGCCCAAUUAUUAUUACUAGUGUUUAAGUUUUUUAUAAACCCAAUGACAACUCCUUUCCGAUCCGAUAACUCGUUGGGCCCAACUAUUGGCCCAAAAUGCUUAAGCCCAAUUAUUAUUACUAGUGUUUAAGUUUUUUAUAAACCCAAUGACAACUCCUUUCCGAUCCGAUAACUCGUUGGGCCCAACUAUUGGCCCAAAAUGCUUAAGCCCAAUUAUUAUUACUAGUGUUUAAGUUUUUUAUAAACCCAAUGACAACUCCUUUCCGAUCCGAUAACUCGUUGGGCCCAACUAUUGGCCCAAAAUGCUUAAGCCCAAUUAUUAUUACUAGUGUUUAAGUUUUUUAUAAACCCAAUGACAACUCCUUUCCGAUCCGAUAACUCGUUGGGCCCAACAACCGGCCCAGAAUGCUUAAGCCCAGUUAUUAUUACUAGUGUUUAAGUCUCUUAUAUACCCAAUCACAUUCCCAUUCAUAUCCGAUGUGGGAUUAGUGGAGUGUGACAAUAAUGAAGCCCGAUAUAACCUAUCUAGUCAAUAUCACUACUAGAAAAUUAGUUAUUAGUGGCUUUUAUUUAUGCUGUUAAAAUAUUAACAAAUGCCGCUAAAAGUUUUAGUAGUAUAUGACACCAAUUAUUGCCUAUGCUAAUAUUCCUAAAAGUAUUAGCAGCAUUUAUAAUGAAUGUCGCCAAUAUAAAUUAAUUGGUUUCAUUAGGAACAUGCCAUUAAAAGAGUUGUUAAAUGCUAAUUUUAAGUCGUUUAUUAGUAGCGCAUAAAUAUAAUGCCAAUACAAAUACCUGAUUUUGGAAAAACUCAAAUUUUAAAAUUUUAAUUUUAUCUUAGAUUCAAUUUUUAAAUUUUUUAAGAGAAAGGUAGUAUGCUACCCGUUUCAUUUAUUUCUUUUAGAAAUAAACUUCUAUGAAAAUGUGAAUCAACUAGAACUAGAUUUUGGUGCCAACCACCAAACCCUUUGCCACUUGUGCUAUGGACAGUUGAUUAUAUAUAUUUAAAUUUUUUAAAUUUUAAAUUUUAAGUUUUUAGUUAUAAAAUUUUAAAUUUUAAAUUCUAAAUUUAGAUACUAAAUUUAAAUUUUUAAUUUUCAAAUAUCAAAUUUUANNNNNNNNNNNNNNNNNNNNNNNNNNNNNNNNNNNNNNNNNNNNNNNNNNNNNNNNNNNNNNNNNNNNNNNNNNNNNNNNNNNNNNNNNNNNNNNNNNNNCUAAUUUUUGAGAAAACCAUCCAAUUUAAAAAUGGAGUUGCGAAAAACGUAUAAAUUUUUUUGUAAAUCCUGCCUGAAACAUGCACAGACCCGCCACACGCAUAGAGCAUCCUCUGUCCAUGUGGACAGAGUCUCCUCUAUACAUGCACGGCGUAGGAGCAUAGAUACAUAGUCACAAGCAAUCGGAACGAGAUAGUUUCAUUAAUCAACUACUAAUAAAUCUAAAAUCAUAAUCCAGAAUCCACUAAACCACCACCAAAGGAAAACCCAAGUAUCAUCACUAAUUCAAUAAUACAUGACUAAAUCACCAAACCUCCCAAUGAAGAUAAUCACAAUAAAUAGGAAUAGGUUCGAAACGAAGUCCACGGCAUGAGCUAUCUAGGCACUAACUAACUGCGUCCUCACACCCCGCCCCGACCCGCACUGUCAGCAACACCUAUAAAAACAGUGGGGUGAGAAAUAUAUAAAUAUGUUUCCCAGUGGGGGCAACCAGCCGACGAGGGCAAGCCGCACUCACUGGCAAACAAAGGAGGACGAUAAACAAAGUAACUGUAAACAAGUAAUCAACCAUAGUAGCAAAAAGUUUAGGUAUACAAAUAUCAUGAACUGAAUAUAAGAAUAGUGCCGCUACUGUAAUAUGAAUCAGAUACUGAAAUGAAGAAUAUAAGUCAACCACAGUAGCCAAGAAAACUAGCGACUAGUCAUCAUAAACAAUCAAGUACGAGAUACUGCUACUCUCAACAAAUCGUAUGCUAACAUGAAGGAUCCAACUACGGUAGCAAGAUAGAAAACGUAUAGCAACAUGACCCACUCAUGAUGGAAGCCGCUACCGUAGGCUAAACAACUACUAGAUACCAUGCAUGACUCAAAUCAAGAUACUAUGUAUCAACUGGACAUACGAGUAGUCCAAAGUAUACCCAAUCCCUAUGGCCCGUCGUAAGGACCUAGCUUAAGCUCGCCCAUAGGCCUCAAGGACCGCAAAUCAAGUACCACUCCGGAGGGACACAUCAACCCGUACUCAGAGUCGCUAAUUCUGUCUCAGUGCGGUGUAUAUCAAGUUUAGGGGUGAGAACUUAGGGUGGCGAACCCUGUCUAUGGAACACCACCUCCCACUUGGCUGGCAACUGAAGUACCCUAGGUUUGUAACCCUCUCUAAGAUUCCUUCUGUCACGCCCCAAACCUGGUCCUAUUUGGCCAGUUCAAGCAUACCGAACAGACGCCGAACGGAUAGAGCCUCUCCUGUCCGUCCAAGGCUCCACAACAAGUAUCAACAGAGUGUAAAAUUUGCAUAAACGGAAGCAUACACAAUGGCUCGCACGAGGGCAAGCAAUAGCCAAAGUGAAAGAACUAAUUAUCAAACAUACAAGUACUAUGAUUAACUUUAAAUCAUAUACAUGCAUACUACUUUAACCAAAUUCUUUUACAACUUUGCAUCAUUUCUUUUAUACAUCACAUAUUCCUCAAAAUACAACCAUUUACAUUUAAAUUGUAAUCCCUUACAUCAUUUCUUUAAAUAUUUUUGAUACAACUAAAAUUAUCAAAUACAAAAGAUAAUAUAAAAGGGUAUGCAACUUCAAAAUGUGAAGGUAUCUCGGGCGGUCUCUGUUUAGGGUGUGAUACCCUUACCGCGAUCGUCCGUCGGCUCGCUCGGCCCCGGCUCUGUGAAAAUAGUGAGGUGAGAACUAUAACAAAGUUCUCAGUAGGUUCGGCCCCUGUCACGCCCCGAGGUCCCUUUUAGGUUAAAACACAGCGAAAAUUUUUUUUNNNNNNNNNNNNNNNNNNNNNNNNNNNNNNNNNNNNNNNNNNNNNNNNNNNNNNNNNNNNNNNNNNNNNNNNNNNNNNNNNNNNNNNNNNNNNNNNNNNNNNNNNNNNNNNNNNNNNNNNNNNNNNNNNNNNNNNNNNNNNNNNNNNNNNNNNNNNNNNNNNNNNNNNNNNNNNNNNNNNNNNNNNNNNNNNNNNNNNNNNNNNNNNNNNNNNNNNNNNNNNNNNNNNNNNNNNNNNNNNNNNNNNNNNNNNNNNNNNNNNNNNNNNNNNNNNNNNNNNNNNNNNNNNNNNNNNNNNNNNNNNNNNNNNNNNNNNNNNNNNNNNNNNNNNNNNNNNNNNNNNNNNNNNNNNNNNNNNNNNNNNNNNNNNNNNNNNNNNNNNNNNNNNNNNNNNNNNNNNNNNNNNNNNNNNNNNNNNNNNNNNNNNNNNNNNNNNNNNNNNNNNNNNNNNNNNNNNNNNNNNNNNNNNNNNNNNNNNNNNNNNNNNNNNNNNNNNNNNNNNNNNNNNNNNNNNNNNNNNNNNNNNNNNNNNNNNNNNNNNNNNNNNNNNNNNNNNNNNNNNNNNNNNNNNNNNNNNNNNNNNNNNNNNNNNNNNNNNNNNNNNNNNNNNNNNNNNNNNNNNNNNNNNNNNNNNNNNNNNNNNNNNNNNNNNNNNNNNNNNNNNNNNNNNNNNNNNNNNNNNNNNNNNNNNNNNNNNNNNNNNNNNNNNNNNNNNNNNNNNNNNNNNNNNNNNNNNNNNNNNNNNNNNNNNNNNNNNNNNNNNNNNNNNNNNNNNNNNNNNNNNNNNNNNNNNNNNNNNNNNNNNNNNNNNNNNNNNNNNNNNNNNNNNNNNNNNNNNNNNNNNNNNNNNNNNNNNNNNNNNNNNNNNNNNNNNNNNNNNNNNNNNNNNNNNNNNNNNNNNNNNNNNNNNNNNNNNNNNNNNNNNNNNNNNNNNNNNNNNNNNNNNNNNNNNNNNNNNNNNNNNNNNNNNNNNNNNNNNNNNNNNNNNNNNNNNNNNNNNNNNNNNNNNNNNNNNNNNNNNNNNNNNNNNNNNNNNNNNNNNNNNNNNNNNNNNNNNNNNNNNNNNNNNNNNNNNNNNNNNNNNNNNNNNNNNNNNNNNNNNNNNNNNNNNNNNNNNNNNNNNNNNNNNNNNNNNNNNNNNNNNNNNNNNNNNNNNNNNNNNNNNNNNNNNNNNNNNNNNNNNNNNNNNNNNNNNNNNNNNNNNNNNNNNNNNNNNNNNNNNNNNNNNNNNNNNNNNNNNNNNNNNNNNNNNNNNNNNNNNNNNNNNNNNNNNNNNNNNNNNNNNNNNNNNNNNNNNNNNNNNNNNNNNNNNNNNNNNNNNNNNNNNNNNNNNNNNNNNNNNNNNNNNNNNNNNNNNNNNNNNNNNNNNNNNNNNNNNNNNNNNNNNNNNNNNNNNNNNNNNNNNNNNNNNNNNNNNNNNNNNNNNNNNNNNNNNNNNNNNNNNNNNNNNNNNNNNNNNNNNNNNNNNNNNNNNNNNNNNNNNNNNNNNNNNNNNNNNNNNNNNNNNNNNNNNNNNNNNNNNNNNNNNNNNNNNNNNNNNNNNNNNNNNNNNNNNNNNNNNNNNNNNNNNNNNNNNNNNNNNNNNNNNNNNNNNNNNNNNNNNNNNNNNNNNNNNNNNNNNNNNNNNNNNNNNNNNNNNNNNNNNNNNNNNNNNNNNNNNNNNNNNNNNNNNNNNNNNNNNNNNNNNNNNNNNNNNNNNNNNNNNNNNNNNNNNNNNNNNNNNNNNNNNNNNNNNNNNNNNNNNNNNNNNNNNNNNNNNNNNNNNNNNNNNNNNNNNNNNNNNNNNNNNNNNNNNNNNNNNNNNNNNNNNNNNNNNNNNNNNNNNNNNNNNNNNNNNNNNNNNNNNNNNNNNNNNNNNNNNNNNNNNNNNNNNNNNNNNNNNNNNNNNNNNNNNNNNNNNNNNNNNNNNNNNNNNNNNNNNNNNNNNNNNNNNNNNNNNNNNNNNNNNNNNNNNNNNNNNNNNNNNNNNNNNNNNNNNNNNNNNNNNNNNNNNNNNNNNNNNNNNNNNNNNNNNNNNNNNNNNNNNNNNNNNNNNNNNNNNNNNNNNNNNNNNNNNNNNNNNNNNNNNNNNNNNNNNNNNNNNNNNNNNNNNNNNNNNNNNNNNNNNNNNNNNNNNNNNNNNNNNNNNNNNNNNNNNNNNNNNNNNNNNNNNNNNNNNNNNNNNNNNNNNNNNNNNNNNNNNNNNNNNNNNNNNNNNNNNNNNNNNNNNNNNNNNNNNNNNNNNNNNNNNNNNNNNNNNNNNNNNNNNNNNNNNNNNNNNNNNNNNNNNNNNNNNNNNNNNNNNNNNNNNNNNNNNNNNNNNNNNNNNNNNNNNNNNNNNNNNNNNNNNNNNNNNNNNNNNNNNNNNNNNNNNNNNNNNNNNNNNNNNNNNNNNNNNNNNNNNNNNNNNNNNNNNNNNNNNNNNNNNNNNNNNNNNNNNNNNNNNNNNNNNNNNNNNNNNNNNNNNNNNNNNNNNNNNNNNNNNNNNNNNNNNNNNNNNNNNNNNNNNNNNNNNNNNNNNNNNNNNNNNNNNNNNNNNNNNNNNNNNNNNNNNNNNNNNNNNNNNNNNNNNNNNNNNNNNNNNNNNNNNNNNNNNNNNNNNNNNNNNNNNNNNNNNNNNNNNNNNNNNNNNNNNNNNNNNNNNNNNNNNNNNNNNNNNNNNNNNNNNNNNNNNNNNNNNNNNNNNNNNNNNNNNNNNNNNNNNNNNNNNNNNNNNNNNNNNNNNNNNNNNNNNNNNNNNNNNNNNNNNNNNNNNNNNNNNNNNNNNNNNNNNNNNNNNNNNNNNNNNNNNNNNNNNNNNNNNNNNNNNNNNNNNNNNNNNNNNNNNNNNNNNNNNNNNNNNNNNNNNNNNNNNNNNNNNNNNNNNNNNNNNNNNNNNNNNNNNNNNNNNNNNNNNNNNNNNNNNNNNNNNNNNNNNNNNNNNNNNNNNNNNNNNNNNNNNNNNNNNNNNNNNNNNNNNNNNNNNNNNNNNNNNNNNNNNNNNNNNNNNNNNNNNNNNNNNNNNNNNNNNNNNNNNNNNNNNNNNNNNNNNNNNNNNNNNNNNNNNNNNNNNNNNNNNNNNNNNNNNNNNNNNNNNNNNNNNNNNNNNNNNNNNNNNNNNNNNNNNNNNNNNNNNNNNNNNNNNNNNNNNNNNNNNNNNNNNNNNNNNNNNNNNNNNNNNNNNNNNNNNNNNNNNNNNNNNNNNNNNNNNNNNNNNNNNNNNNNNNNNNNNNNNNNNNNNNNNNNNNNNNNNNNNNNNNNNNNNNNNNNNNNNNNNNNNNNNNNNNNNNNNNNNNNNNNNNNNNNNNNNNNNNNNNNNNNNNNNNNUUUUAUUUGUGGUUUCUGCUUUUAGGGUUUCUUAGCUAUGGUUAGACCUACAGUGGACCCUCCUAGGUCCUGUUGACGUUCGUUUUGCAGUCAGGAGACAGCGCGCGACAAGUUGUUACAUGGUAGCGUACUUCGUAUCCGACGUCGGUACGUGGUGCACGCUCGGUGAUGCGUUUCUUAACCCUUGCUCUUCUAUGUUAUUAUCCAUGCAUAUGUUAUAUGUUGAGCUUGCCUCUAUUGAUUACAUUACCACCCACGUUUGUUUGAUUAUAGCUUACUCGUUGUUUGCAUGCUUAGUAUCCUGAGUAGGAGUAGAGUGUUCUAUUUCCGCAUCCGUAUCGUUGACCUAGUUGCGUCUGUUGUGCCAUUCCGUAUCUUAUGUUUUGACCUAGUUGGUCUUUCUUGCAUUCCUCUACUCAGUUAUUUCCAUUGGUUGAUAUCAUAAUUAGGAGUAGAGUUGACUUAUUUGCUUCACUAUAUCUGUGAUUUUGGUUGGGCGGUUCGCCCUAUUUUGAUAUCUAUUGACCUUUCGGUCGAGUUGGCUACAGUUCUUAUCUGACAUACAUAGCCGACUAGUUGCUAAUGGCCUAUACGGUCGGUGUGCCCUGAGGGGCUGGAAUUGUCGGCUAGUUGCCGAUGGAAGAUCUUUGGCCAUACAUACAUUUGAUCGCCACUUACAGGUCGCAUUUCAGCGAACACCAGCCGGUCUUGAUGCCACCGCAAGAGGGGUUCUUUUUCUUCCUUUUUUCUCUUUUUUUUACUUCUAUCUCUUUCUUCUUCCGGAAAGUGAGUUGGAUUGCCAACCCGAGCCCAGGAGCUUUAUAUGCGAGGGUGUAUAUGCUUCGACUAGGGGUUUACAUUUGCGGUAAGGGGUCAGGUAUCUAUGGCUCUGAGCCAGGGCUUUCAAUUGCAGGGUCAGCGUGCUUAGGUGAGCAGUGUGGCAUCGGGCCCUGAGGUCUUCGGACCAAUAGGCAGCGAGAUUGGGUACUUUUGAAGCUUAUCGCUUCAGUGGACGAUGUACAGGUAGCGUAGUGUUUAUUCCAGUAAUCCUUAUCUUAUUGUAGCUACUUGUUUUAUUUACCUGCAUUAUACUUUCAGUUCUUACAUAUCUCUUUCGUUUUAUUGUUGUUUGUACUAUAUUUCCACUGACCCGUGUUGUUGUAUAGCUCUAUCCUGAUCUGUGAGUACUCUUCGCUUCAUCGGCUUGCCGGUAACCCACGGGAGGGAGAAUGUUUAAAUGUGCUCACCUCCCCACCAUUUUUCAGGUAUCGCGGGCGGUGGGGUAGACGAGGCGUGAGUACGCGCUGUAGGUCGAUAGAGCUUCCGACCCAGCGUGAUUUCGGUUUAGUUCUUUACCCUUCUUGACUUCGGUUGCAUGGAUAGUUGUAGUGCGUUUCUUGUGGCUUCAGAUAUUGAUUUAACUUUGAAAUGUGGAUUUCUGGAUUUUGCUAAAUAAAAGGUUUUCUACCCUCGUUGUAGCGUUUUUAAGAAUAAAAGGUUUACGUGUACGGAAACAGUUUCAAAAGAAUUUUUCGUAAUUUUCUAUUUAAUCAUUGAUGCUAAACUUGUGAUGUGAAUGGUGAAUGUCAGUGAAUAUAGUUAGGGUAUCUUUAUAUUCAUUUGUUGUGGUGUUUCCUGGGCUAUACUCUUGAUACUUGUGCGACGCCGUUGCAAAUACAGGAGACUCUGUCCGCGUGAGCAGUGGUUCCCUGUAUUUGUGGCGGACUCUGGCAUACCCUGGGUCAGUUUCCAAUAAAAAAAAAAUUCGCGACGAAAUCCAUUCUCUUUCCAAAAGGCCACAAUGACGCACAAUUACAUAAGAAACAUGUAUUUUCAAAUUUUCUCGAAAUUCGUGCGUCAAAAUCAAAAUCCGUCAGCGCCAUUAGUUCCAGAAUAGCUGCAUCCUUCGAAACGAGCUAUUGGACUGCUAUGAACGGAGUCCGAUACGCACCAGAAGCCAACUCUACUCCGUGGCUUCUCCGGAAAAUCGGAGUUACUAUUCACUUAAGUGAAAACUAAAAAUCGCGUAACUUCUCCGUUUUAGCUCAUUUUCUCCUGAAACUUGACGAGUGCUUAUGUAAUUAAAUUACACACAUAAACAUCGUCAACAGAGAGUUUAGUUGCACUGUAAAAAAACUCAGUCCUUACAGCCCCGAUCUCGCCGACUUUCCCACUAGGUCUAACUCAGGCAUAAUAGAAGAAAGAAUAGAUAGUAACCAACUAACAAAUGUAGCUAAUAUGCCUGAAUAAUAAACUCAAUCUUAUGCUCAAUGAGAUACUCAUACUGAAUGCAAGUUCACAUUUUCCUUACAAAAUCUUGUGGCUAACCUAUUGGGCCCUCAGCCUGUUAGGCAUUCAUUCAGCUUCCUCCCGUAGGGUUCCAUAACUCACCAACUCAAAAUCCCAAUUUUCGGGCCCUCAGCUUUCUCCCGUUGGGACCGUCCUCAGGGGAUUUCCCUUUCCAGUAGUGACAACUCCGGAGCACACCGCUCGAGGGGGAGUGACCUUGUAACAUACCGGAUUUUGAUAUAAAAGUAAAAAUAAAUAAAAAUAGAGUGAGAUACUAUUUUUAUUGGAUUUAGAGAAGUAAAACAUAAGUCAGAAGUGACUUGUGCUGAAUCGGAUUGAAAAUAGAAGAUUUAGAAUUUUCUGUUGAAAACGGGACAGAUAAAUUAGCAGAAAAUGCACAGUCUCAGAAAUUAUGAAAAUUGGAGGAUAAGCCAGAAUUAUUUUUAUGAGGCUAGAUUUACAGUUUCAUGUCAUUCUGACAUCCGGAAGGUGGAAAAUAAAAUCCGACAACUAUCUGAUAAAUAUUACAGUUCGGUACAGUUUUCGAUGACCAAACGGGGUCAAAACUGAAAUAUUAAAAUUUAUUUGGACUCGUUAAGUAAAACCGAAUAUGACUGCCAAAUUUGAGCUCAAACGGAUAUUCAAGGAGCUCCGGCGAAAGAUAUCAGAUUUCGAGCUGCCCGAAGUAAAUAGUGUUGGAGAGUGUAAAUAUAAAAGAAGCGUUUGCCUCUUCUUCCUCUCCAUCAGCCGACCACCACGACACACACACACGCACGCAUGGGAAGGGAGAGAGAAACUCUCCUUUCUCUCUCUAGAUUUCUCUCUCAUUUCUCUAAAUCUCUCUCUAAAAAUUGGAGGGUUGGUGGAGAAGAUGCUUGCGAAUGCGUUGGAGGCAACGGAUCGAGCUUUCAUGCGCCCGUUGGAGCGGCGUGCUAUCGUCCCGGCGUUCACAUUUUGGUAAGCUUUUGGAAUUUUGUUUAAAUCCUUCAUGAAUGAUGUUCUAGUAGUAUCUAGAGUGUUCUAAACAUAUUUGCUCCAUUUAAUUUGGAUUAUUUGGAGGUUAAUUGCACGUUAGGGCUCCGAAUGGGAUUUUGUAAAAUAGUAGGGUUUGAUCUCAUUUGAUCCUCCAUAAACCUAAUUUUUAGGUAAACGAACGCGUUGGCGAAGUCGGUUCGGCGAUUCGUCGAGCCGUUGUAAAGAUAUUAAAGAAACGGACGUUUAGGCUUCAUUUCCGCCUGGAGGGCCGAGGCGACAUCGUAAAGUCAUGAAAACGGAUUUGGAGUACCGUGGCACAUAACCGAAGACCUAUAAUUUUCGGUGCCGCGAUUCGACGCACGGUUGGUGAGUAAUAGCAAAAUCGGGCCGAACCGGACACGGGUGCCGCGAGAGGCCGAUUGCAAGUGUCGACAAGCAAUCGGAAAGUGAUUUGAGGUGGGUUGUGUUUACCGAAGCGACUAGGUCGCCUGUAUGUCUAAGACGAGUGUUUAUCAUUGAUGCAUAUUAUGGUAGCUAGUGGUAGAAUGUAUAAAUGCAUGAAAUGAAUGCUAUGUUAGGCUACUAAAUAAUGCAUAUGGUCAUAAUGUGAGAAUGUUAAGUAAUACAUAAUAACAUAGUGUAAAUAAUGCUAAGUGAAAAGCAUAAAGUAAAUGACAUAUGUUAGUCAUGUUGCAUGUAUAGAAAUGCUAAUGUAAGAAUGCUAAGUGGAUGUAUGUAGUAAAUGCUAAAGGAUGAGGUAAUGAUGUAAUAUAGAAAUGCUAGAAUGCAUGAUGAUGUAAUAUAAAUGAUGCUAGUUAAAAGCAUGAGGUAAAUGACAUUUGCAUGUUAACAUAAAGUAGAGAACAUACUAGUUGUAAUGCAUAAUGAUAAGUUGUAAAGAAUGCUAGUUUGAAUAAGCAUGUUAUAUAAAUGCUAAAUAAUGCAUGUUAAUUAUCUAAAGAAAGAUGCUAAGAGAUUGCACAUGGAGUGACACAAUGUUAAUGCUAGAUGAUGCAAGCUAACAUAUAGAGGUUUAUGUUAAUGGAAAUGUGCAUAUGGACAAUCUAUAUACAUUAGAUCGAGUGGCAUUAAACCUAGUGUCUUGAACAUAGGUUGAACAAGUAUAGUGUGAACCUAGUGUCAUGAACCUAGCAAACACUUAUGCUAUUUGAGCAUAUAUAUUUUGUAUCAUUCAUGCAUGAUAGGGCUAAGUACAUUUGAACCUUAGUUGCUUUCAAUGACAUGUUCUAACGUAGUUGAACAUAGAGAAUGGUAGAACCAUAAUGGACAUGUCUGUUAGGACCCUAUAAUUGUGUGAAUGUGAGAGUUGGACUUGGACAUAGUAAACAAAGGUGGCAUUGACAAUAGAGACAUUUAUUGGCAUAGAGAACAUAGUUGUUAAAUAUAGUUUAACCAAGAGUGGCAUUGAGACAAGAAUGGCCUAGAGAGCGGCAUGAAUAAAUAGGUAGAAAACCUAUUAUGACAAUGGCAUUAUGACAAGUAACUAUGAAUCCUCAAGUUGAGGAUUGGAUCGAUACUCACGAUAAAUCUUGGCUUGAGGGAGGUAGCUCCCUCUCGGGCGGUGCGCUCAGGAGUUGGUCACCACUGGGCGUGGUAAAGUCCCCCCAGAGGACGGUCCCUAGGGAGGUUCGAGUCCCCCGCUAUUAAGGAAUUUUGGGUUGUGAGUUAUUCGGGUUAACAAGUGUUAACCGGUAAGAUUGGGUAAAAGCCAAAGUGAUUGUGAAAAAGCGUGCAUUAUGAGCUAUAGAUUGGGUAUCCCUGUUCAGUGGAUUUUGGGGCUGAGGUGUAUGUGAGACGUCCAUCACCUCGAGGCUAGUUUUUGUGCGGAAUUCCGCUGAUGAUUGACUCGAGACCGAGUCGGGUGGUUAGCUUGGCUACGGUAGAGGAAAACCUUAGGAGCAAAUAACCAAUGAUGUAGAGUGAUAAGAUGUAUAAAUUAUGAAAAAGUUAUGGAUAGCAUGAUACAAAGUAAAAUUAUUUAUUCUACUUGUAUAGUUGCAUGAUUUCAUAUUGCAUAUCGCGAGGCAUGACAUGUAGUUCAAUAUCGGAUAAAAGUUUAAAUAUCUGUUAUAUGUUAUUGAACUAACUUGUUGCAGUGCCUCAUUAGACCUAUUGGUUGAGCUUUUCCCUUGGGUGGCCGUACCCACUAAGAACCAUGGAGUUGGUUCUCACCCCACGUUGUUUUGGAGUGUUACAGGUUCACACGUGAGGGCGCGGCGGCGCGAGGCGAGGGCGUAGCUCCAUAGUUAGCGCCCUACCACCGAGACCAGAGAUAGCGGUACCCUGAGUCGGCUACUUAGGGAUGUAAGAAAAUGAAAGGAAUAAGAUUGCAAUAAUUUGUAAUAAAAGCAUGAUUGUAUUUGGAAAUUAAAUGUAAUAUGUAAUUGUGAUGUAAAAUGUAUCUAGUGAAUGUGAAUGCUUGUAAUAACAAGUAGAUUAUAUUUUUGAUACUUCCUUAUGCAAUCUUUGAUUGAAAUGUGUUCCUGAUUGGAACUUCGUACAUUGUAUUGAUUGCGACGCCUUGGACGUAUAGGGGAGACUCUGUCCGCGGUACAGGAAAAAUCCUGUCCUUUCGGUGGUCUAUUGGCGUGCUCGAAACCGACCAAAUAAGCGAGCUCGGGGCGUGACAGACCUCCCUCAAGCCAGGACUAUAGGCGAGUAAGAUCAAUUCUUAGCUUUAGAGAUUCCAAUACUUAUGUGACCCUUAUCUUUAUGGUUUCUAUGUCACAAUGUCACUAUCACUACAGGAAAAGGCGCUUGUAGAGGCGGUUUUUACUUAUCGUAGAGGCGGUUUAAACCUCCUCUACGAAUCAUAGAGGCAGUUCUAACGACCGCCUCUGGACCGCCGGCGUAGACACCGCCUCUAUAACAUAGAGGCGGUUUGACCGACCGCCGGGGAAGCUUAGAGGUGGUCUUGUAGAGGCGGUUUAAACCGCCUCAACUGAUUUAUUUUUUAAAUUUUAUUUAAUAAUUUUUUAUUCAUCUGAUAGCAGUAUAGAGGCGGUUCUUAAACCACCUCUACAGAAUAAUAAUUUUGUAGAGGCGGUUUAAACCGCCUCUACGACAUAUUAUUACGUAGAGACGGUUUGAACCGCCUGUACAUAAAGAAUAGUAUAAAAAAAAUAAUAAUUAUUUUAACCUACAUUUAUACAUAAAGAAUUACAACUUUGACAAUUAAAUGAUCUAAAAUACUAAUACAAUUAUGUAGAGAUAACUUAACAAUUUUUUCACAUUAUCAAAAAUUUUAGAAUUCAACAUAACAGAUAAUUCAAAAUACAUAAUCUCAUUCAAUAUCUAGCAUUUAUAGUAGCAACAUACUAAAUAAAAUAAAGUUUAAAUAGUUUCAAAUAUAAUCGACAUUCGAGUUUUCAAUAAUUUGUAAAAAUUUAAGCAAUUCUUUGAUAUCCUUCAGUCGUUAGCUUGUGACUUGCAUUGGAGAAGGACGGUUUGGAGAGAACGCAUCAUUCGCAUUAUUGUUGACAUCUACAACCUAAAAAUAUAUUGAACAAUAUAAAAAUAGUUAAUUACACUAAAAUUUGAAUGUUUUCAAACAUAUUAGUCAUAACUUGCUACCAAAUUAGUAUACUUGAUAGUUGAGAAAUCCAUUAAAAAGUAAGGCACUAGAAGACUGAGACCGAACCUGGUGCUUGGUGGGUGCCAAAUGAUAUCAAGAAAAUGUUCCCAAAAAUACUAAAAGUUGUGCCUGCAAAAACCCUACAAAAGAAGAAUAAAAAUUCUCAACAAUGAUCUCAAAGUAGAUAGGUCUCCAAAUAAGGUUCAUUAAUAACGAUUAACUUAGUGAUAAUAAAACUAAAAUCUUAACAAAAGUUAAGAAUAGAAAAAAUUAUUAUAAUGAAGACAGUAUAACUUACCUAAUCUUCAAACUGAAGAAUAAGAUGAGUAGGUAUAUAUAUUGAACCACAAUAUGUGAGGAGUAUCAUAAGAUAGAAGCUCAUAACUAUUCCGCACAAACCAUUCCUGAAAAAAAUGAGUUUAGCUAAAUUAAGCACAAAAAAAAAGAUUAACUUACUAUCUCAGUAGGAAUAUCAUUAAGUUAACCCCUAGAAAACUACUUCUACACUGCUAGGUUAUUGCUGAAACUGAGACAAGAAUAUUGCACAAAGUCGCACAAGAUCAUAUUGAACAAAAAGACAAUACUCUCUCCAUCUCUAUCAAACACACAAAGGAAGAAAUCUGUUCUUGUAAUUCAUGAGAGAUUACAAGAUCUUGGUGGAAAGCUCUACAUGGAAUAUUUCUAGUUUGCUCCUUCUGCAUAUCACUAUAUAAAAUAAUCAAGCUGUAAGGAAGUGAAUUCUCAAAACCCGAGGAUUAGACUUCGCUUAGAAUCGUAUGAUUGUCGAGUGCGUGAGCUUCGGAAAGUCCGAAGAUGAUUAAAAUGCAUAAAGUGCAUUAAGGAAGAGUCCGCGAGAGCAGCAAUGCAAAAUUCUGCACUGGAGCAGGAUUGCUCUCGGGGACCCGUCCCUGGCAGGGAGGGACCGGUCCCACCGGCUAGGCUGGCGGGGAUCCUUGAUGCAACCGGUCUCUGGCAAGGAGGGACCGGUCCCCGAACGUUAACCCAGCGAGAAAAAACGAAAUUUGGCUAAGUCCCGAAAAUCUAACUCUCGGGAACCAGUCUCUCAGGCAAGGACCGGUCUCCCGGGGACCGGUCUCUCAAGCAGGGACCGGUUCCCGAACGCGAAAUCCCCUCUGCCCGAAUGGGAGGCUCUCGGGGACCGGUCUCCCAGACCUGGGACCGGUCCCUCACUGCGAAAAUGCCCAGUGAGGGCUGUUUCAAAGGAUGAAAAGUUGAGGGGGCUUUUUGCAAAAUAGCUUAUAUGAGAGGUGGGGGACCCUCUUCUCUCCCUCACUACUUCAUUUGCUCUCUCCCUCUCUCACACUCUUUUCCUCUCUCUCUCUAGAAAGAAAAGAAGGAGAAGAAGAAGUAGAGGAAGAAAGGGAAGGAGAAGAAGAGAAGGGAGAAGGAGAAGACCGAGAAGAAGAAGAAGAAGAUCAUCUUCUUCUCUCCCUCUCUCAAGCUUGGAGCUUGGUAUAGAGAUAAGCUUUGAACCCUACAAUGGCAUUUCUAGGGUUUAGGAUUUUUGUUGCUUAGAAAUGGUUCGAAUGGAACCUAUGGAAGCUAAGGAGAUGGUUCAAACUCGAAUUUGAAGCUCGCACUGCGGAUUUCUCCAUCGUUGUCAAUCUAGGACACAUAAUUAGGAUUUUUGGAAAUCUAGGGUUUUGAUCUUGUUUAAUGGGUCGUAAACCUAAUUGCUAGGUCUCUGAACGCGUCGGCGAAGACGGUUAGUCGAUCCGACGAGCGAGCGCGAAGAUAUCGCCGAAACAAGUACUUGAGGGUUUAGCUUAGCCCGAGGAGUCGAGGCGACGACAUAGGAUCGCGACGACGAGUUUGCUAGCCACGCAGCACUACCAAAGGUCGGGGAGUGCCAUCCCGAAGCAGUCGAACUGCUCUCUAUGUCUGGGUUCUAUCGUCGAUCAAUUACAUAUUGUAAUAUAGUAUUAUAGGGUGUUAAAUGCAGCUGUUACAUAUUGUUGCAUGCUAGUGUUAGUUUGGUUUCGCGGAUAUAGUGAAUGAAAACCUAGUAUGCACGAGUUGAACAUGAGAUAGUUAACCCUAUAUGUGAAUAUGAACUUAGUAUAUUGCAAACUAGUGCAUUGAGAAUGAGUGGCAUCUAGUUAACUGUAAUCAAGAGAACGAGUGGCAUGAGAACUUUAAUGUAGUUGAAGCACUAUGAGAUAGAGUACUAGAACACUUGGGUUCUGUGAUGGGAUCAUCCUAGUUGGUAGGAUGUUUACUGUUCAUGAGAUUGGACCGAGCUCACAUUGCCUGUCUGCGCCUGGUGUGGUAGCUCCACACAGGUAGUGCACUCCGGAGUUGUCACCCGAGGAGGGUUAACGUAUUUACCCUUGGACUAAAGUAUCUGUCCGCAGGCGGUUUCGGGGGCAGUUGAGCCUAGGCUCCUCCCCUAUGAGACUUACUUACGUGAGAUUGUGAGCGAGCCUCGAGUUCGCCAAGAGAUUGGGUAACCUGAUGUGUCACAUUUACUGUUGUGCAUAGUAGCUGGGUACUUAGCUUCACCCUAUGUUGCAUGCAUGCAUAUUACAGAUUGAGGCAUAGAUAGACGUUCGUAUUAUUACUUGCUUAAUUAUUGCUUAUGCUAUCGAUUCCAUAUAUAUAUAUAUAUAUAUAUAUAUAUAUAUAUAUAUAUAUAUAUAUAUCUGUGCCUGCUUAGACCUAGUGGGGAGAUCAGCGGAGUCGGCGGCCGAACCCACUAGGAACUAUUCGUAGUUCUCACUCCCACCAUAUUGCAGGUCUAAGCUCGAGCGCCCUCGGUGAGGAUCACGGUAAGGGCGUAGCGCCCUAGAGGUUGUAGCAUCUACCUCCCUACUUGCACUAGAGUUACCUUGUACCCAUUUUGAGAGUAGAUUGAUGUAUAGGGUGAGGUUUUGAGAUGAUUGUAUAUAUAUUGUACAUAUGUUUUGGAAGAAUGUAAAAGAUGAGAUAAUUGUAUAAAGUUGAAUUAGUUUAAUAGUUAAAUAUAUCUCUCUUGGAUCACUUGUAUGCCUUACUCGUGUUGCUUGCUCUUGUUUGGUUAGCACUGUUUGUGCUCCGUUAUCGUUGUGUGAUCAUGUAUGUCAUCAAGUGUAUUUCCUGGGAGCUUGUGUACAUGAUCUCGUUGUUUGAGCCUUGGGCGGACAGGGGAGUUGCUGUCCGUUUGGCGGUCCGUUCGCCGCGCCCGAACCGGACCAAAUCGGUAGCGGACUCGGGGCGGGGGCGUGACACAAGCUUUUUUCACAAUUAAUUAUGUCUCCAUAGUAGAAUCUCUGAAAUUAGAAUUAAAGAGGAUUAAAGAAAGAAUGCAAACUAGAAUUUAUUUAUUGACAACGUAAACAUGACUCUGAUCUUACAUGCACAAUGUAAGGGGCUUUAUUAUUUAAAAUAGACAACAAGAAAUCUCUUCAAACAAACCAAACUGGUCUAGAUUUGAGAUGACCCCAUCUAGCAUUAAGAUUAACGGCCAAUUUCAUUUGAUUCGAAGUUAACUUGAGUUACUUGCAAUACCAGGACAAGCUACUGCAAUGGCGAACUUGAAUGAAAACUAGUUGAUUCAUUAUUUUUGGAAAGUACUGAGGGCGCUACCAAUUUACCUGAAUGAAGUCCAGAGUCGCCGAACCAGUUAUAAACUGGCUUGAAGUAGUAUAAUCGCCAAAAUCAACAUAACCCUAAAAUAUUAAAAUAAAGGACAGAUCAAUUGCACUAUGCAGCAUAGCAUAAUAAAAUAUAACUUAGAAUUAAUAAUCAGUAGUUAAACUAGAUGCAUCGUCAUAUCAUGCUAGAGAAAAUACAGAGCUUACAACAUUGUUGAGGAUAUGAAAAAUAAGUGCUGGGUAGUUAAAAUUCUCAUCCACUUAAUAAAAAAUAUGAUAGUUUCUGCCAUUAGUUAAAUAAUAUACAUGCAUUCUAUAUAUGGUCUAUUAUGCUUCAAUAAGACUUGCAGAUCUCAAUACUAUUGUUCUUUCACUAAGUUGACAAUGAUAUAUGAAAAAUGGUCAUAUAGUAAAUUCAAAAUAAUUCAUAGUUCAAAUAAAUUUUUCUGAACUUUUUUUUUAAAUCGAGAUCCCCUCAACACUUAAUUAGCAACAGAGAUUUGAGACUUUACUAAAUUGAGAGACAAUUCGACAAAAUUUAAUAGUUUACACUAUUCAUAGGGAGCAAAAAUAGAUUAUUACUUAACUGAUAAUAACUAAUUAAGCUAUAAAAAUGGAUAACAGAUUUUAAAGCAAUUAAAUAUUGAGUUCCAAUUCAACAAAAUUAGAAGUUAAAUUCAAGAAAAAAAAUAGCUAAGGACUUCUAAAGAUUUGAGGGGAUCGAGCCGGGGGUGCGCUGCAGGGGAGGGGGGUGGCGUGCCCUCGCCGAGGGGGAAGGGGGAGGGCGGACGGGAGGGUGCGGGGAAUGUGCGGCGGCCGGGGAGAGGGGUUGGCCACUGCACGAGCGGGUGCGGGGGGGUUUCGGGGGAGGCAGGGGGGGGGGGGGAGUUGCGCUGUGGCGAGGAAGGAGUGCGGGGCGACGUGCGCGAGGAGAGCUUGGAGUGAUUGCCCGCUGCCAUGGAAGGGCGGGGGGGAGGGGCAGGGGAGGUGAGGGCGCCACUGCAGAAAGAGGGCGAGGGGAGAUGACCCGCGCGAACGAGGUUCGCGUGGUGGCGGGGGAGGGGCGUGGGGGGCAUGCACGGUAAUGGGAGAGGUUGCUCUGCUGCCGAGGAAAGGUCGUAGGGGCGUGCGCGGCGGGGUAGAGGCGCAAGCACUUUGACAGGGAGCAGCGUACCUAAGCACUUUGAAGGGGAGAGUCCGCCGGAGCAGAUGCGGCACCUCAGCAGACGCAGCUUGGGAGUGGAAGGAGCGCGGCAGCCGGCGGGGAAAGACUGAUCAUCACCGCCAGGGAGGGGGUGGGUUUUUUGGAAGGAGAAGGUUGGAGGGAGGGCACAUCUGUUUUGGGGGGAAAGAGAUCUAGGGUUUUUUUUAGGAGGAGAGUUGGGGGGAAAGGAGAAAAUUUUAGAUUUUUUUUUUUCGGAUUUUAGAGGCGGUUUUAAAAAACCGCCUCUCAUAUGUCUCUAGUAAAUACUGUAGAGGUGGUUGUAACAACCGCCUCUACAAGCGCUUUUUUCUGUAGUGUAUUGUUCUUUACUUGCAUUCUUUAACUUAUACUAGUGUCAUAUACACUAACUUGUUCUUUGUACUCAUUUACUAAUGCGACACUUGUUCGCUAAGUGUUCAACUCUAGCAUUCUUGUCAUUUACUAAUGCCACACACUUUAGUGUUCAUUUGCAUGCUUGACAUUUACUAAUGCCACUAAAUUCGUAUGUCAUUUUGGUUCUUUACCUCACCUAGGUUCUUAUCACUUUUCAUGCAUACAUAGAGUUUACAAGUUCUCAUUCUUUACUCUCAUUUCACAUGCAUCUAUACUCAUAAAAUGCAACAAAAGCUCUCAAUUAACCCUAUUAUGCAAAUUACUCAACAUUCACCUAUGCUCAACAAAAUGACACUUUUAGACAUAAAGGAAAUUUCACCGAUUCCGGAUAGCAUCACCCACCUUAUAUGGUUGCAAAGGUGCUACGGUGAAUUUCUCGGGUGAAGUCCUACUUUAUCCCCCACGGCAAAACAAAGCCAAAUUAGGCUAAAUACUUAGAACUCCUACAUAGGCUUUUCGUAAUGUCAAACCGAGUUGCCCAAUGUGUCGGGAAUACCCCCAAUUAGGUUUCUACAAGGUCAAUUUGCCUUAGAAACAUUCGGAGGCAAAAACCCCAAAUUGGGUGCCCUGACAACACCAUUUGUUAAAUUUCUUGGGAUUGAUCUUAUAGCUAAGCAAAAUCAAGCUUAGAAUCACCCAAGGAGCUCUCUAAUACCAUUCCUAAAUCAUCCCAACCAUUCCUAGGGCAUCAAAAGCUAACCCUAAGGAUUCACCAUAAGAGCUCAUGAGAAGUACAUGAGUUUCACGUGUUUCAUAGCCUCAAGGCCGUUUCUAGCCUUGCAAGAAGUUCAAAUCCCAAAAACUUAGGGUAUAAAUCCAAACCCUAGACCCAAUCUUGCAUAAAACUCACCUUAGCCCACUAGCUCUCCAAUGUCCACCUUGUAGGAGAGUCCAAACCCUUCAAAUCCACCAAAAAUUUCUUCUAAAGCCUUCUCCUCCUUCUUCUCCUAGCUCUUGGAAGUGAUUUCUAGAGAGAGAAAGAGAGAGAAAUAAGGUAGAGUGGUGUGUGUACUGUGAAAGAGAGAGGGGAGGGUGUUUGGGGUAUUAACAUGUUGUAAUAAUUACAACAAAACCCACAACUUCUUUCUAUUUGCAGCAGAUUUCAUUGUUGCUGCCAGACCAAAGUGUACCGGUACACUUUGUUCUGUCACUGGUUACACGAUUACGCAAAGAGCAAACUCGAGAGCAGCCUUCUCGGUUUUUACCAAAGUGUACCGGUACAAACGGGUGUACCGGUACACUUCUGCGGAAACUCAAACCCGAGAGCAAUUUCUUCUCGGUCUGCAGAGCUGUACCGGUGACAACUCGAUGGUUGUACCGGUACACUUUGUCCAGAAUGCAAGUUUUGCGCCGUUUUCGAUUCUAUUUCGCGCCGAACGAUGCUAAAAUCCUUUUAACUCUUUUAGAACUCCUUUUUAACUCUUCCAACAUUGUUGAAACACUUAAUGGAACAUACCCAACUAUUUCUUUCGCAUUGUUCACUUUUAAAUCGUGCCGAGCAAUGCUAAAACUUGCUUAACAUUCUCAGGACUCGACUUUGACCCUUACAACAUUGUUGGAAUGUCAACCGAACUUUGUCCAUCCAUUUCUCUCGGCACUUUAACCAAUUUGGCUAAAGUUCGUUAAUCGCUAUCGAGGUUUCAAUAUGUUACACCUUCAGUGCCGUACAAGCUAUAGUCAUGUGUAUAUGCUCAAGCUCCAAUAACCUAGACUCAACGGUAAAAUCAUUGCCCGUAGGCGACAAUAAGAGCAAAGAGGUAAUCACACUGUAUGCCAAUGAAAUAUCAAGAUCCAACUAUCCGGGUUGACUAGCAUGCUACACUAAAAAGCAGGUAGGAAAGAUAACGAUAAUGCAACUGACAGACGUAAGCAUGCUAAAGACCCAAUCACGACGGAGUACGUCAUCCGACCCUUAGAUCAAAACUGCGGGAAUGAACACCGAUCGACUAGGUCAAUCUCAUACUAGAUAAAUCAACCGACUAAUAUAGUCACAACUCAUCAAGGAGUAAGCACCGAUCUAUUAGAUCCAAGCAUACACAGAUAUUCUACCAAAUCAUCAUCUACCUUACAUGUCACACACGAGCUAUAGGAGAGAGAGUUCAAUCAAAGGAUUAUUAAUCAAUACGAUAAACCACAUAACAAGUAACAGGCAUGUAGGGUAAAAACAUAAAUCCAUAUGAAGUCCAAAGAAGUUGUCCUACUCAAUUAAUAGAAUGGAUCAAGCAGUAAGGAAAACCGAGUAAGAUACAACUUUAUCGACUUCGGGAUAGAGCACCCACCUAACCAAGUACCCGAGUCCUCGACUCGAAACGAUAGUUCUAGAAGUCACCUGUACAUAGAAAAUAUCAACACGAUCAUCAUCAACAUCCUGCGUGUCAUCCAUACUAGCCCGACACAUUCCACUGAUACUCGUGUGUAUCGCAAGGUGAUCGAAACAUUAGUUCCUUAAACCGGAUUACCGAACUCACUCAACGAUGAAUCGAUCCACAAGAAGUCCAACAAUAAUUUCGUUGAUCCCAGAUGCACCAUUUAGGUGAUGGAACGACCGCAUACCGAGUGCUCGACAAGUGGAUAAUGAUUGCCGAACAAUGCCACGACGGAAUCUAUAGACACCGUACCGAUGAUCCAAAACCGCUUUGAUGUUGGACCAUUUACGUAUUGUAUAAAUCCCGAUGAUGCUCACAACAUUACAACAUCACCAAUUGGUGACAUAAAGUGACCCACAGUGCACCACAACACAAACGGAAUAUCAGACAUUUAUAUCGAUUUCCCGAAUCCACCGACUUCCGCAUAAGUUUACUAAGAUGCCAUUUCGGCUCACGAAGUGUCCCGGGUCUCACCGUACAACUCGAAGUCAUACCCGCUGUCCCCAAACACCUUAUUUUAGGUGUUGGGACGGCCGCAAACAAAAUGCACCAAAAUGGUGGCCAUCGCACCAAAAGCGACUCAAAAUGGGUCCGACGAUACCUAUUUCGGUAUUCAGACCACCCACAGCUCAUUCGCUACCACAAGGGGCACAAAACACGAAAGUAUACCAGUAAACGAGACUCACUAAAUAUUUCGGACAGCCACACAAUUGAUUUCAUGAUAACGAAACCGAAAACCGCACCAUCAAUCCGAUUUCAGCUCAACUUUGUGUCAUUUCGCACCAAAUCAGCCAAGGGAUGAUUCCAAACCUCGAACACUAAGUCCGAACACCAAUUCUCCACUAUUCUCGAUCAUUUCCUCCACUUCUCCAUUAUUUCCUCCACUUCUCCACUAUUCACUCCACUUCUCCACCAUUCCCUCUACUCCUCCAUUAUUUACUCUACACUAUAGACUUCCACCACCCUCUCUCUAUAUAAAGAGAAGUGAACAAAAAAAGAAAAGAAAAGAGGAUUCUACUCACAAAAAAAAAGAGAAAAGAAACUUGGAUAAAAAAAGAGCCAAAUAAAAAGGUGGGUAUAGAUUCUCUCACUUUCAUUUUCUCUCUUUCUUCUCUCCUAGUCAAGGUACUCUAUACAUUGAGUUUUCUAUGCACACUGGGCUACGUGUAAGGUAUUGGAUCCUCGUCGUGUUAAACCACUUUUGGUCAAAAUGACCAAAGCGUGGCAAGAGAGAUGGUUGGACAAAGUCCAUACGACAUCUCAACAACGUUGGAAGGGUUAAAAUUGAGUUCUAAGUGAGGUUAAUAGGUUUUAGCAUUGCUCUGUGCGAAAUGGAGCUAAAGCAUUGCCAAAACUGCAGCCUGGGUACUGCGUACCGGUACUGAAAAGAAGGUACCGGUACUGAAGAGGAGGUACUGGUACCAGGCAGGCAAACCGAGAAGCUUGCUCUUGGGUUCACUGGGGGGCUGCGUACCGGUGAUGGCCCUUGAUAGUACCGGUACCCCGCAGCAACCCGAGAACAGCUUCUCUCGGGUUGGCCUGCUGCUGAGCGGCGUACCGGUACCGGUGACGCAAGCCCGCAUACCAGUACCCUGCGCUGCGAACAGCAGAGUUUGAUCUGCUGCAAAUAAAAAUAUUUGGAGGGCUUAAAUGCAAUUGUGGCGGCUUAUAUAAACCUCACACCCUCUCCUCUCUUGUUCACAGCAGUGAACAUCCUCUCCUCUCAUUUUUCUCCUUUUUUCUCUCUAGGAGCUCUUCCCCAAGGUGGAUUGGAGGAGAUUGGAGGAGGAUUUGAAGGAAGAUUUGCAGCUUUGGAGAAAUAAGAGCUCACCUACAAGGAAGAGCUUGGAGAGCUAGUUGGCUAAGGUGAGGUUUCUUACAAGAUCCUUGCUAGGGCUUGGUUUUAUGCUCUAAAUCUCUUUGUUUUGAAUCUCUUGCAAGAUUAGAAACUUAGAUAACCCUAGAAAUCUCAUAUUGGAACCAUGGUGUUCAUGACAUAGAACCCUAGGGUUGAAAUUAGGAUUUUUGUGGAAUUAGGGUUUAUGGUUAAAUUGACCCUUUGUAUACCUAAUUGAAGGUAAAACCGACGGGAGUUCCUACGGGCAUGUGGCAAGGUAUUGAGGAAAAGGACCGUUCUUGCUUCGUUUCCGCCGGAUAGGGCCGAAACAACGUCUAAAAAUCCGAAGCUUAGGAUUCUCGCACCUCGGCAUCAUUUAGAGGUGGGGGUUGCUAUCUAAAACAUCCGGAUUUCUCUUUAUGUCUAAGUUACUUCAUUGCCAUGCAUUUGUUCAUAUAUAGUAUUCAUGCAUUGUAGAGUAGUUGUUGGUUAUUUUCAAUUCUUGCAUUCUCUUAUGGUAGUAUAUGUGGAAGCAUGAUAUGAUACCUAGUGGCUAAGAGUAUGAGAAUUGGGUCAAAAACAAAGAAACUCUAUAGUGACAUGAAUGAGAACUUGAACAUUGUGGCACUGGAAGUGACAUUGACAUGAAAAUGAAAACUUGUGACAUUGUGGCAUUAGUUAGAGACAUUGUGACAUUGUGGCAUUAGCCAGAGACAAUGUGAUUACUCGGAUAUGAAAAUUGGGAUUGGUAUUUUCCCGGAAUUGAUUACCACUAGUUGGUAGGGUAUCCUCGGGUUAGAGAAUUGGAUCAUACUCACAUUACGUCUGUUUUGCUUGGCGGUGGUCGCUCCAUCCAAGCGUGGUCUUCGAAGUACUUCACGGUAGGGAGUAACGUAGCUGUCCCGCAGAAGGUCUCGGGUGAGCGUAGUGGAUGCUCCUCACAUUGCGAGAUUGGUUGUGAGUCGGGGCUUAACCUUCGGGUAAGCCGGAAUGAUUGGGUUAUGGAAACAAAGGUAAAUGGCAUGCAUCAUGAGUAUAUUAGUUGCUAGUAUUUAUUUACCUUACUUGCUUAUUAUUCAUAUUGCAAAGGCAUAGUAGCAUGCUAGAAAUUUAUUAAUUGGCUAACCCUUCUACUUUUGCUUGUUUAGACCUAGUUGAAAAAUCGGCGGCGUCGGUAGCCGAACCCACUGGGAACUAUUAUUAGUUCCCAUCCCACUUUAUUGCAGGAUCGAGCUUAGGCGGACAGGUUGAGGACCGCGGUAAGGGCAUAGCGCCCUAGCUAGCUAGCGACCACCUAUGCAUUAGAGUUGGGUUCCAUUUUGAGAGUUUCAUGUAUUGAGAGACUUAUGUAUUUUGGGUGAGGUUGCUAGAGAUAUUCAUGUAUUAUGAGAAGAUGUAAACCAAAUCAUGAGUAUUGGUGGAAACAUGUAAGAUGAUUGAAUAUUAAAUGUAAUAGUUAGAUUCUUUCUUGCUCCUGCUUGUAUGAUUACUCACAUUGUUCAUGUAUGUUGUUGAUGUUGACCUGGGCAACUGGAUGUACAUGACGUUGUUGUUGAGCCUUGGGCGGAUAGGGGAGACUUUGUCCGUUUGGCGCCUGUUGGCGCACCCGAACCGGCCAAAUAGGUGGUUGCGGGGUGUGACACUACGCAUGCCGUCAUCAACCUCUACUACGCCGGGAUGAUCGCUUGUCGCCAUUCUUACACCGUUGCUGACUGCUAUUGCCCCGUCGUCAUUGAUCCCAGAGUGAUGCAUGUUCUCUUUUGCUGUUGUGGUGUCAUCAUCGACCAAGGAGGUGGCCAUCCGCCUGCUGUUGCUGCGCUGACAAUAAUGACGACGACGAUCUGCUUGACACUUCGCCGUCGGCGGUAAAGGCGGCAACGACAAUGACGGCGACGAUCCUCUUGACGCUUCGCCGUCGGCGGUAAAGACUGCGACGACAACGACGACGAUCCUCUUGACGCUUAGCCGUCGGUGGUGGAGAAAGGCUACAACGAUGACGACGAUCGUCCGCUUAACGCUUAGCCGUCAGCGGUAGGUGACGACAACGACAACGACAACGAUCCGCUUGACGCUUCGUCGUCAGCGGUAAAGGGGGUGACAACAACGACGGCAACGAGCGAUGGAGAAAGGCGGUGACGACAAUGAUGGCGACGAUUUGCUUGACGCUUCGCCGUCGGCUGUAAAGGUGGCAACGACAAUGAAGGCGAUCCGCUUGACGCUUCGCUGUCGACGGUAAAGGUGGAGACGACAAAAACGACGAUCCGCUUGAUGCUUCGCCAUAGGCGGUAAAGGCGACGACAAUGACGACAACAAUCCACUUGAUACUUGGCCGUCGGCAGUGGAGAAAUGUGGCGAUGACAAAGACAGCGACGAUCCGCUUGACGCUUAGCCGCCAGCGGUAGACGACAAUGAUCCGCUUGAUGCUUCACCGUCAGCAGUAAAGGUGGCGACGACAACAACGACGAUCCUCUCGACGCUUAGCCGUCAGCGGUGGAGGAAGGCGACAACGAUGACGACAAUCAUCCGCUUGACGCUUAGCCGUCAGCGGUAGACGACGACAAGAUGGCGACUAUCCAUUUGACGCUUAGCCAUCGACGGAAAGCUCCAAUCCAAUUAUUGAUUGCCGCUAUUUUUAAUUAGCUUUUGUCAAAAACAAGUUGUGCAUGAUGGAUAGUUUAUGUGCACGUGCCAAGUGUUAGACAAAAUGCCAAAAAGAAUUUGUGCAUAGCGCAUUGCUUAUGUGCGCAUGCUAAGCGUUCGAUGAAAUGCCAAAAAUUGGUGUGCAUAUAACAGAAUGUCAAAGGAAACUUGAGCAUGCUACAUUAUUCAUGUACGCAUGCCUAGUAUUCAAUGAAAUGUCAAAGACAGUUUGCACAUAAUGUAUUACUUAUGCGCAUGUCAAAUACUCGAUGAAAUACCAAAGAAAGCUUAUGCAUGAUGCAUGACUCACAUUGUUUAGAGAAAUACCUUGGCGAGGAACUAAUCAUAUGUUUGCGAUUGCUUGUAUUAAAGGAGAGAAGGAGAGAGAUGAUAAUUAUCACUUUUUCUUUUUUUCAGUUGUAUUUAUUUUUGUACACCGAUAUACAAGAAUAAAAAAAAAAGUACAUUCUGUUUUACUAUUUAUCAUUGACCACCUUAAUCGGAGGUUGUCUAAAUGCGAAUAGACGUAAUUAAUUAGAAAUCUUUAUGAUUCCUGAGAAGUAUAGAACCUUUAAUAUUCUAAUCCUCUCGUUUCAUACUACACUAUUUAAAUUUUUAAUGCUCACACAGUAGAAUUAACUAAUCCUAAGUAUAUGUAUUAUGACUUAGUUGGAUUUGAAGUAAAUUAACUCUAUUCAUAUUUAUUAGAUUCUAAUUUGGUUUAAUUGAAAUUUUAGUUUGAUUGAACUCUAAGGAUGUCUUAAGGCUCAAUUACAUAUACUUCAAUUUCACUCUAAGGUGAAACCUGGCUAAAUCCUAAGUACAUAUGUUAAGACUAGUCAAACUUAAUUCAAAUUAAACUCUAAUUAUACAUAUUAGAGUCUAAAUUAAUUUGAUUGAACUCUCUCUCUCUCUCUCUCUCUCUGUAUAUAUAUAUAUAUAUAUAUAUAUAUAUAUAUAUAUAUAUACUAGAGUCCAAUAUGAUUUGGUUUAAAUCGACCGUGAGAUGAAAGAUGACCAAGUCCCAAGUAUAUGUGUAAGGACUUGAUUGGAUAUGAUUUAAAUUAAACUCUAAUAUUUAUAUUAGAGUCUAAUUUGAUUUGACUGAACUCUAAUUAUAUGUGGUAGAGUCCAGUUUAAUUUGAUUAGGCUCUAUAUAUGUCAGAACCUAAUUAGGUUCGAGUCAUGGUUCAGAUUGUUUGGGUUUUUUGUUGAGAUUGAUAUGGUUUGGGUUGCAGGAGACACAUAUGGUUUAAAUAUAGUUUGGGUUCCGUAUAAGGCCCAUCAAGUUUGGGUUGAGUUAGGCUUAUGUGAUUCAAGCUCAAAUUUGGGUUGGAUUUGGAAUUGGGGCUUGGCUCAACUUCGGUCAAUCCGGAGUAAAUUGUAGGUUUCUGUUGGGUUUAUAUUUGGGCUUUGGCAUGAACUUGGGCUCAUGUGAGAUAACAUCAGAUUGGGUUGGGUUCAGAUUUAAAGUUUGGGCUGAGCUUGGGCCCAAUAGUGAUCUUGGGUUCAAAUUUGGAGUUUGGGCUGAGCUUGGGCCCAUAUGAUUGAGGUUUAGUUCGGGUUUUUAUCUGGGCUUUUAGUAUGAGAUUCAAAUUAAGAUGGAGAUCGGCCAUGGAUCUAACUUGGUUGGGCUAAAUUCCGGCCCAUAUAUUUUGGGUUUAGAAUCAAGACAAGUUUACAUUGAGACUCAUAUUGUGGGCUCGGACUAAAUGUGGGCUAAAAUAGUUUUAAGUUAAGGUUUAGAUUGGCUGUGGAUCUGAGUGUGUUUUGGGCCCAUGAACUUCGGAUUUAGUUUCCGAUGUGGGUGGGUUCAGGCUCGGUUUAGGCCCUUAUGGCCCUUAUGGCUAAAAGCCCAAAUGGUUGGUUACAUAAAGCCUUUUUCUUAGCAUAGGCUUAAUUUUUAAAUCUAAAUUUAAAAUUUUAAUUUAAAAUUUAAAAUUUUAAAAAUUAAAAUAUUAAAUUGAAAAUUUAUUAUGUAGAAUGUAAAUUUGAAAUUUAAAAUUUGAAUAUUUGAAUAUUUGAAUAUUUAAAAUGUAACACAUAAANUUGAAAUUUAAAAUUUGAAUAUUUGAAUAUUUGAAUAUUUAAAAUGUAACACAUAAAAUUUAAAUUUAAAUUCAAAAUUAAAAUUUAAAAAUUUAUUUUUUGAAUUCUAAAAAUUUGAAAUUCAUAAUUUAAUUUUAAAUUUUAGAAUUUAAAAUUUCAAUGUUUUAAGGUAAUCAGAAUUUACUCAGGUAAAAACUUAAGGUAAAAUUUAAUCAGAAUUGCUUUUAAGGUAAAAUUUAAUCAGAAUUGCUUUUAAGAUAAAAACCUAACUUUUAAGGUAAAAUUAAUCAGAAUUACUUUAAAGCUUUACCAUAAGGUAAAAAUUAAAUUUUGAAAUUCGUAACUUUGAAAUUCAUAAUCAGAAUUUAAUCAACAAUUUAAUCAGUAAUUAAUUUUUCUUCAAUCUUUCAGCAAGGAAGAGAGGAGACGAGGGAGCCGAGGCGACGACCACCAGCUUUGAUUCCUAGUAAUUAGGGUUUGUGUUGUGAAGCAUGCAUAAGCGUCUUUUCUAACCUUUAAAUUAGGAUCUGAUGGCUUGAUUUUUUUAUAUAUAUUAUAUUAUAUAAAAUUUUUUCGGGUUCAGAUUGUGAUUCUAAUUUUUUAAAAAAUUGUCACGCCCCGGAUAGCACUUUUUCCGGGCACGCUAAUAGAUCUGCCGUAUACAAGAAAUUUUUCCUGUAUACGAAGCAAUCACAGUAUCUGUAAACAAACAAUGCUACAAACAGUAGCGUAGAGCUGUAAAGAACUAAGCAGGUAGAACCAAAAAGAAAGCAUCUCAAAUGUAUACAUACUAUACAAAGUACAAACCACUCGCUCCAGCGAGUUCAGUAUCAGUAUGUACAUAAUAUCGAAAAAUAAAACUCUACUACCUGCAGCUGGGGAUCCUCUAGCACGGCGACUCGUCAGGUAGGGCUCUAACUCGCGACACCCUUCCCUCGAUCGAUCUCAGAAACUGCAGCCGCCGGAACAGAAGGCUCUGCAAAACACAGGGAGCAACUGGGCGUGAGAACUACUGUAAAAACAAGUAGUCCUCAGUGGGUACCGCCCUCAACAUCAUCGGCUUACCCACUAAGACUACAGUAGGAAAUAUAUAGGCUGGAAAAAGUAAAGCUGGAAAGAAAUCUUACAGCUAUAUCCACUGAUCCUAUCACUGUAAUCUAAUAUGCACUUGACCAAUCGCAUUUCAACUGAUUUUCCCACCAAAAUCUCAUUUGAGCUGUCGAAGAUAACCGGAUCACUCUGCCUGUAAUCAGCUAUGCUCUCACCACCAGCCGAACGUGCGCACGUAAUUCUAUUUACAGAAACUGCGCUACACCGAUCCGCCUGAAACAUCAUUGCCGGAAUAGCUUCGUGGGAGCGACCAACAGGUAUGUCAAUCUCAGGCUGCCCUAACAAGCAUAAGUCAAGCAAUGGUCUCACUGAAUGCCACUAACCACUAUCCACAUGCCGUCGCCCAAUCAAAUCUCAAAAUGAUCAAGAUCCGGGUACAACGUCAAACAAGCGGCACCAUAGUCCAGAACAUUCUAAAAUGACUAAAAAUAAACUGCGGCAUCCCAGCACGAGUGUAAAGUAAACUGAAACUACCUGGGGUAUCUCACAACCAGAAUACAACAUGAACGUAUAAAAAUGACACGGCCAUAAAGCUAAUCAGGUAAUUCAACUAUAUGUUCAGUUCCGAACGGGUUUUCUCCUAUGUUUUUAUCCAAGUCCACAUGUAUGAAUUAAUAACAACUAAUAACUGCUCCAAUUCAGUUUAUAUGUCAAACAUACUAGACUCAUGAAAUUGAGCAUAACAUAACAACUUUGUAAUAUUACAGAUACCAUAUCGAUGAACACUAUUGAUUGAGAAUAGGAUUCGAUGAUAACCCACCUCGUAUGCUAAUCCAACGGUGCGACGUCGAGAACAGGGAAACCACGCCCCUCCGCCGGACUCUGCGAUGCUACGACUGCAACCGUAUCCUCGAACGGCUCCUGCGGCCGAUGUCGACGUUGAAUUCCGAGCUCACCACGCACGUCCCCAAGAGUCCACCCUCGUGUUGGUCUCUACUUUAACGAAAGGAGAGAAAGAAAAACUAACUUAUUGAGGCCACCCUCAACCAAUAAGCAUGCAUGGGGAAUGCACGAUGGCAUCGCAUAGCCAUGCACACUUAGUCUAGGUCUUAAUAUAUAUACAUAUAUAUAUAUAUGAAGAAAGGAUACUACUGCCUCCCCCACUAUAAAAGUUUUCGUAUGCCUCUGGAAACUUAAAACAUACCUCAAAGGGCAGUAUCGAACAAGUCGGAGAUAGGAUCCCUCAUCACCGUCUCUGGCUCCAAGUCGCCUCCCGCUCCUCGCUGAUUGCUCCACUGUACUUUUUACAUACGGAUUGACCCGUUGCGGGCAAUUCUUUCGUCUCACGAGCCAAAAUCCGCUCGUGCCUCGUAUCUCAAGGUCCUCGGCAAUUCUCUAGUGGAGUGAAGUCAAUCACGUGAACAGAUCGAAUAGCAAUCCCUAAGCCGAGACGUGGAACACACAUGAAUCCAGCUAGUCGGGUGGCAGAGCAAAUCGGUAAGCACUGGUCCACUCGCUCCAAUACUCAAAGGGCCAACGCAAACGUGACUGACUUUCAACGCACUCCAAUCGCGAAUCCGCUCUGACGGCGAGACUUUAAGAAAAACAUGAUCUCCAACGCUGGAACUCUAAAGUCUCGUCUCCUGGUACGGCAUAGUCCUCUGUCGGCUCUGGCGUCAGAAGGUGUUCGUCGAACAAUUCUCACCUUUCUCCUCAGCCUCUUAAGCAACAACGUCGGCGCCAAGGUUCUCCUCUCACGCACGGCGAUCCUCCAAACACCCGGAUCGCCACUUGCGUCCAUAAAGACGUUCAAACGGAGCCACUCUGAAUGCUCGUUUGAUAGCUGUUGUGUACCAAACCUCUACCUCAAGUGUCGAUACCACCAUCCUCCAAAGAUCCAGGACACAUGCUCUCAGCAUGUCCUCUAGAGUCUGAAUUGUCCGCUCUGACUGACCAUAUCACCGUCUCGUGGGUGAAAAUGCUGUGCUGAAAUGUAACUGAGUCCCAAACUUCUGUAACCUCGCCAGAAAUGAACACGAACCUCGUUCGGUCUGAUACAAUCGAUGGGCAACCACAUGUAGCUGACAUCUCAUCCGAGAUAAUAGCUGUGCGAGGUCUCCACUGGCCAGUGGUCUGAACUGGUAGGGAAGUGGGCAGACUGGUCAGUCUUGUCCACAUUAUUACCCAAUCGCAUCAUAACCACACCUGUGCUGCCUAGGCAAUCCCUACAACAAAAUCCAUCGUGACUUCUCCCACUUCCACUUCGAGGCACUGCAGACUCAUAAGACUUGCCAGCAGGUACCUGAUGCCGCCUUCACCUUUGGCAAGUCAAUACCUGGCCACGAUCUACAAUAGUCUCCUCUUCAAUCAGCCACCAGAACUGUGCCUUUAAAUCCUUAUACAUCGUUGAGCCACGAGGUGACCGUAUAGUGGAGACACAUGCGCUCUUCUUCAAAAUAUCUGCUCGAAUAUCUGAAUCACUGGCAACACAUCGGUCCGUGUACCGUAGUACUCCCGAACUGCCAAAGCAAAACUCCACUGCCCCCUGUCUAGCUGGCGUCCUCGUAAUAUCCUACAAGUAACGGAUCUUCAGAACUCUGUUUCCCUGGAUACUAUCCAACAGAGUGGGUCUGCAAACUAGAGACCGUCAGCCCGUCGCGUAGACCAGGGGUACUACCUCACGUCCAGCCGCUGCAGGCUCCUCGGUAAAAGGGUUCUUGCUGCGUGUAAUCAAACUCAGGCUCCUGCGCUGACUUCUGCUCAACCAUCUGCCCACUACAAUUCGCCUGCCGGGGUAUAUUGAAUACUAAUGUCCAUAAUCCUUGCCAGCAAACUCCAACCACCCGAGCGCUCCUAGUUCAGCUCCCUCUGAGUGAAACAGAUACUUGCGGACUUUUAGUGAUCAGUGAAACCGGUCGCAGUGGCUCCGGUACAAGUAUGCCGCCAUAAACUUCAAAGAAAACCCACCGGGCAGCUCCAAUAGUCCAUGCGAGGGUACAUUUUUUCUCAGUAAUCCUUUAACUGCCGUGAAGCAUAAGCAAUUACAUAGCCAUGGUGCAUCAGCACACAAACCAAGUCCAUCCGGUGCGAUCAAUCACUACUAGAUCACUGAACCUUCACCAUCACAGGAAGGGCAAGGAAGGGAGCUCGACGUUAACCCUCAAGUCUCAACUCGUCAAAGACUCCUCUCGACAGUCCGUCACUGCCCCAAACAAAUGAAUCCCCUUCCGCGUCAAGAGGAGGUGCUGGAAGCUUCGCAUAGCUCUCCACAAACCGACGUAAUCCACCCGCCAGUCCCAGAAAACUCGCGUAUCCUUCAAGUCCCGUCGUCGUGCUAGCCAACUCGAAUCGCCUCUAAUCCUUUCGGAGUCCACUUGCUGACGCCCUCAGCUGAAGAUCACGUGCCGCAAGAAAGCACCUCCUAAACCAGAUAAUCCACUCUCUUUAACUUGGCCAUUACAGUCUUCUUCUCUCGCAGAAGCUGAGCAAAUCCUCCAGUGGGCUCCUCAUGCUCAGCAUUCACUCCGGGAGAUACCAUCGAGAAAUGAUUCGUCCGAUGAAGACCUACCCACAAACUAUCCAAAACGCUGACAAUCACUCUGUUCAUCUCAAAUCCAUGAAUGCGGCGAGGGCAUUCGCAUCCAAAAGCAUCACUGUAACUCAUAAGUGCCUAGGUAUCGAGUCCGAAAAGGCCGUCUUGGAACAUCCUCAAGCCCUCCACUCCUCAAGCAUGUGUGUAAGCGGACUGGAGCAUCACAGUCUUCGAGAAGACUAAGACUGCAGUUGAUCAAACAAAAUCAUCAAUACGCGCAUGGAUACUUGUUCUUGGAUGGUCACUUUAUUAAGCUCCCCGUAUUCCACACAAUAACCUAAGCGAACCAUCCUUCUUCUUUACAAAUAACACUCGCGCUCCCCAAUGCGACACACACUGGUCUACAUUACCCCUUAUCCAUCAGAUCUGAAGCUGCGCCUUUAGGCUGCUCUCAGCUCGCGCCGGUGGCCAUCCGAUAAGGUGCUCCCCCCCGCCCCCCCCCUCGAGAUUGGUCAACGUUCAGAGAAACUACUACAAUCACAACUCUAUCUCCCUCAUCCGGUGUAGACCAACGCUCAGGGGAAACACAUCCUGAAAACUCGCGACUAACAGGAUUAUCUCCUCGAGUCUCGGCGCCGCGCAGAACCUGCCACAACUCGUCGCUAAGAAAAGCAAUACAUCCACUAUCAGGCAUUUCUGUAAGCCCUCGCGAAGAUAUCCCAGGUGGCAAACAGUGGUAUCCGCGCAGUCUGAAAAGUGAACUCCUCCUGGCCUGGUCGCGGAACUGUCCUCGUCCUCGGCCUCACAAUCAAUAUAUGCAUUAGUACCGCGCAAGCCAACCAUACCGAGCCACGAACGUCGAAGUCCUUGCACUGCCAUAAAACCAGUAUAAGUCUGCGGGCAUGAUCGCACCAAUCACACUGCACUGACACUGACAACAUACACUCGGCACCCUGUAAAAACAUGGUCUGGGAUCUGCACGUCUCGUGCUGAGACAAGCUCCUAACUACUAGACAUGCAAUAAUCGAAUGCCGCUCAAUAAAAGAAUGAGAUGCUCCGUAGGUCAAAAGGGUAACGAGCUCUAAUGCCGUAAAUCAAAAUAAAUACCGCCACCACUCGUGUGCCGCUGUAGAUCCUCCACCUGGCUGCAUAGACCCUGGACCUCCGAGCCUGCUUGUCGCCGCUUCACGCCUGACGCGGCGUAGAUGCCUGUCCUCCUGGCGGUAGCUCUGGGCGGGCUCCAAAAGACUGCUGAGGUGCCGAUGAACGCUGAUGGCGGUCGAUGUGCUGGUGAUAGCUGCUCGGGACAAGCUGACCUCAUUGCCCUGGCUGUCCACAUUCCAAAACACCGACCCUCACGCUGCUCGCACUGCGCGGCCCAGGUGGUCCCGCCCAUAUCACGGCACGGUGGUAACCCUCUGAUGCUCUGGACUGUCGAGAUCCCCCGAACCGCUGACGUCCCGAGAACCCCGACUCUGAGAAACGCGGAUCGUGGAGGUCCGUGGCGGACGCCGCUGCUCAACUGUCCACCAUCGUCUGGACCUGGCGCGCGUUACCUAUCCUACAUCUUGCCCCCUGCCUGAGUCCCUCUCACGAAUGGAUGUAUCACGGUCCGCUCAACACGUCCAAAGUGCCCUGCUCCAUCGACGCGUCCAAGGUCCUCAACCUGCGCGCCCCCCUGGAAGACCAACCGAAAAAUCUCGGCCUCAACCCUUGCUCGAAAGAGGUAACAGCCCUUGUGCCUCGUCUCUAGCAAAACGGCACACAGUCAAAGUCGCGAUCAACUCCCGAAUGUACUCCCUGGACUGUCCUGUCUCUUGCUGAUUCCUCUUCAGGCUUUCUCGAGUUUCAUGUUUUCAAACUGUUGGAAAAUACAUCCCAUACUGCAUUCCAAGAACGUCGUCCAUCUCAUCUGCAAAGUCACCAGUCCGUAAUCUCGUCUUCACUCUCCGCACCAAAGCAAGGGCUACGCCUAUCAAGCAGUGCACCACCCAGAUGUCCUGCUCCCGCUCACGAAUGAAAAGCAUCCUCAAUAAUAACUUCGCCCAUCGAGCUAACCGCAGUCUCUGAGCAACCCAGGCCUCUGAGCAUCUUGCCCAUCCAAUAGUCGUGGAUCGAAACGAUGACAAGCGAGCUAACCUCUCGUCUGCUCCCGCUCCUGCUCGUCCUCUGUCAUCUGAGCCGCGUCCUUCUAGCAGGCGGACUGGCGCUGCAGGAAUCAUCCACUGUGGGGAUGGUUGUGCUGGUGCUACCGCUGGAGUAGUCAGGUGGUGAGCAGUCUGUCUGUGCCAUUCGGUUACUGCAGCUCGGUGUCUGAGCCCACCUCUUCACACAACCUCCUGCACACACACUUCCCCUGCUGCCCUCACUCUGUCACCUGCGCAGCACUGAGUCAUCAAUCAGCGAGGUGCGCUAGCUCAGUCCGCGCAACGCUCCACAACAGGGGUGCACUCGCACUCCGCUGUCUCCUGUCUAUCCUGCUCAGGUCUCUCAGGAGGUCCACACGAUCCCGCGCCAACAUGGGGCACCUCCCCGCAAGCGGUCGAACCUCGCGACGAUAUCACUACCAAGAACAAAUGGGGUCAGAUCAGAACAACACUAUCGACCCAACAACGAAAGUCUAAGAAGGCGGUCCUGUUUCCGCUCCAAAUAUUAUGUCGUCUGCAGCCAAAACAUAAAUUUCUCAGGCCAAAACAGAAACUCCUUCAUCACCACUCCACUCUAGGGGAGAUUAGAACGAAUAAUCAUUGACUUGUCGCAAAUAAUUCUGCCUCUCGCUGUCUGCUUUUCUAGGUUCGCUACAAACUUAAGUUUCUAGGUCCCANNNNNNNNNNNNNNNNNNNNNNNNNUUAAUAAUAAAAAUUAAAAUAUUAUAAAUUUUAAUUUUAGGGGCCAAAUUAAUUUUUUUAACAAAAUUUGUGUCUCAAUUUUUUUUCGAAUUUCUUGGUCAUUUUCCUUCAACUUUUACAGUCUUGUUCCUUUUUGGCAUAUUAUCGUUAUCUGUGAAUCUGACAAUUUUUUUUUUUUUUUACUAUUCGAGAUCGAAUUUUUUUUCUAUCAAAUCUAAAUUUUGGCCCCCCGAAUUUUAAUUUCUGGCUUCUUCCCUGUAUGUAUUUAACUUUUGAUUAUCGAAUCCAAGAAUAUAAUAGGAUAAAGACAAAUAGACAAGCGGCAUACUUGUAGGUGAAUACAUCUGGUGGUGUAGGCAAUAAGUUUUCUUCUUGUAUUUUUUGUUUUUUUUUUUUUACAAGAUCAAUUCUACCCUCCGUUUUCUGAUACCGGCCAACUGGUACCGGCGCAAAUAAUACCCAACUGUUGCCCGUUAUGAUUGGUUGGCAAAAAAAUCUUGACCGUGGAUGCUAAAAAUUUGGAUGGUUAAAAAAAUAAACAAAUACUGAAACAUUGCUCUAAAGUAAAAAAUAUAAAAAAAUUAUAAUUUUGUAAUAUCAAUUCUUCAAAUUACAUAUAAGAAAGUAAAAAUAUAAACAAACAACUUAUACUCGCACUUUAAUUAAAAUUUUAUUUCUAUUUAUAUUUAGAAUUCAAAAUUAAAUUUAAAUUUUAAAUAAUUAAAAUUUAUAAUUUGAAUUUAAAUUUUAAGUUAUAACUUAUAACUGAAAUUAAAUUCUAAAAUAAAAGUUCAACAUGAAAAUUAGAUCAUUUAUUCAAAUCUGAAUUCACAAUUUGAAUUUAUAAUUUGAAUCAUAUUUUAAUUUAAUAUUUUUAAAAUUUAAGAUUUAAAAUUUAAAAUUCAAAAAUUAAAAUUUAAGAAUUUAACUUGUGAAUUCUAAGAAUUUAAAAUUUGUAAGCAAUAAAAAUUAACUUUACGGUUUCACAGAAUUUAACUUGUGACUUCUAAAAAAUUUAACUUUUAAGUUUCAAAAUUUAAAAUUAAAAUUUAAAAUGUAAAAUUUUAAAAUCUCAAAAUUUAUAUUAUGUGGAAUUUCAAGUCUAAAAUUUAAAAAUUCGUGAUCAGUAAAUUAAAAAAAUUAAAAUAUUUAAGAUCAAAAUGUUAAAAUUUAGAUUUAAAUUUGAAUUGAAUCAGUGAAUUUUGAAAUCUUAAAAUUCAAUAUAGAAUUAAAAUUUAAAUUCAUAUUUGAAUUAAAUUUAAAAUUUAAACCUAAAUUAAAAUAAGAAUAAAAACUUAAUUUAAAAUAUUUAGGAAAAAUACCAAUAUAUAAAGAAAAUUAAAUCGCUAAUUAAAACUCCUAAAAAAUAUUUUGCAGAAUAAAAUCGUAAGAAAAAAAAUUCUAGAAAAACACAAAAACUAAAAUUAAAAUAUUUUGUGAAAUAAAUUAAUAAAAAUAAUUUAAUGUUGAGAGUGGGAUUUAAAACUUAUUGUACCCUUAGAAACAACGUGGGUCCCAGAAUCCAGAUCCACUUAUAUGGCUAAAUGCCAAAAUAGAAUGAAAUGAAAUUCUUUACCUAACAUUAUUUAUUUAUAUAUAUAUAAUUAUAUUAUAUAUAUAUAAUAUAUACUAUCCCUCCCCAUCCCAUUCACGACGUUCCGGGCCAUCAUAAUUAUAUUAUAUAUUAUAUGGCCCCCCCCGAAGUCUCUGCCUGCUCUCUGGCAAUUGGCUCAACGUGGCCUGCUGCCAGUCCUUGGCCUUGCUUCUUCCGCAGUGUAAAGAAUCUUCACGAGCCACAACACUUUUUUUUAAUAAAUUUAAAAUUAAAUUUAAUUUAAAUUUAAUUUAAAUUGAUAUAUAAAGUUGAGAUUUAAGUUUUAAUAUUUAAUAAAAAUUUACCACGUACACAAAUUUACGAUUUAAAAUUUUAAAUUCUAAAUUGAAUAUAAAAAUAUAAAUUUUUUUGCUCUGGAGUCUAUUUAACAAUAUUUGUAUUGAAAUAAAAGUAUUAUAUUUAAUUAUCAUAAAUUCUAUAACGUUUUAGUGUUAAAUUAUAAAAUAAAGUAAAUUUUUUACCGAAUAUUUUUUCACACGACACUGAAUUUUUUCAGCAACAAAGUUUUGUGGACCAACACAACUUGAAGUGAAAGUAGUCAUACAUUAUACAGCGUCAGAAUAUUAAAUAAUUAAACUUUCAUUAGAAAGUUUUUGCAAAAUAAAUUAGAAUUUGGUGUGGGUGGAGAAUAUAUGAAUAAUCGAAGGGAAGAAUGAGGUUGGGUGGGUGCAAUCUCGGUAGAUUGCAGUGGAUUGAAUUUAUGUAUAACGUACCUUGGUUACCGGAAGUUCCGAAUUUGCUGUACUCUGCUACAAGUGGGACCAGCACUAUGUGGUCUGUUGUGUAUCAUACACACACAACUCAACAUUUUAUUAUGGAAAUCGUGCCUUGGUUGAGGGAAAGGGAACGUGCUUUGCUGUGGUCCCCGCGGGUGGAGAGGAAAUGAUGUGACUUCCCCCUCGGCCUUCACAUCUUGGAAAGUGUCGCCCUGCUGUCGGUGCCCAGUGGAGGUUGUGGCCUGUGAGGUUGAAAUGAUGGUGAUUGCUCUUCCUGGAGAGAGCUUCCAGAUUCUGCACAAAGUAAUUACAGCUUCUUGAGAGCUUUCUUAAACGUCAUAACCCCCCCCCUCAUGCCUCAAGAAAUCUCUUCCGAGACUUCUUGGAGGUUUCUUUGAAUUCUAAAAAUUUUAUAAUUUCAAAUAAACAUAAAAUUUAAAUUUGUGAAGUGUUCAAAUUUUUUAAAUUUUAAGAUUUAAAAUUUAAAUUGUAAGCUAAAAUUUAAUUUUAAAUUUUAGACAUUAAAAUUUGGUCUUGGAAUUUAAAAAUUAAAAAUAUUGUAAUUUAGAAAGUCUUGUUUUUACCACACUACAUAGUAUAGUGCACGUUAAUAAGAAUAAUUAAACUUUGUAGAAAAUAUUUUGCUAAAAAGAAUUACAGGACAAAAAAAUAAGAAAGAAUCCAAAAAAACAGCAAAAAAUUGCUGAUUAAAUUCUUAAAAAAAAUAUUUGCCAAAUAAAUGUAUAAAAAAAUUAAUUGUAAUUAAAGCUGGUAGGAAUAUUUGGCAAAAUAAAUACAGAAAAAAAUUCUAGAAAAAGAACGCACGUAAUUAUAAAUCCUAACAUCACUCAUUACACCGUAAAUUCUAGGUCUUAAAACUUAUUUUUUAAUAUAUGCGUAUCAUACUUCAAUAAUAUAGUAGGAUCCAAGCACCUAUGUAACCUACUAAUUAUUUUUUCUUCUAAAAUUUAUCCAUCUAAUUAAGAUUUUAAAUUUUAAUUUUUUAUUUUUAAAUAAGCUUUAUAUUUAAUUUGUACUAUAUAAAUAUGAGAUUGGUUGGGUUGAUGUUAUUAAGUGGGUAGGUUUUAGGAUGCAAAUGGCGGGAUCUGGGGGCGGGGCCCCGCCGCCUCCGCGCCCGACUACAAAAAGUCUGCCCCGCCUCCCACCCGAAUCCGUGACGUGGUUGAAAAUAGUUAUUCCAUAAUUCGCCAUGCGCUAAUAACAUUGCUUCCGCCAGGUCCCGAAUCCGCCCAGCCAAUAUAGUAUUUGUUAUAAAAUUAUAAUAUUAUUAACAUUUUAUAAAUAUAAAUAAACAAAAUUUUUAAUAUUAAUUGAUAAUAUUAUCAAGUUAUAUAUAUUAACAAUAUAACUAUAAAAAUCAAAAAUAUCAAUCACAACUCGCAACAAAUUAAAAUUUUAAAUACAUUACAUAUGGAAAGUAUUAAAUACAUACAUUCGGGGAGCGGAUCAUGGCGAGGCGGAUAAAAUUUUUUCCGUUUCUGCCCGAAUCCGCCACGGAUCAUAAAAAUGCCUGCCGUUUCGCUGCACCGAAUCGAUUAUUUCCUUCCGUUUACUGUCCCAUUCGGAGCGGAUUGAGACGGGAGCUCCACCACCUCGGAUCCAUUUGCAUCCUAGUUGGUUCCCACGACGUUCACAUUGCCCAAGAAAAAGUAAAAGGGCAGAAGAGUCUUUGUCUUUUUUCAUUUUCGGGAAAGCCCAACUCUCAGAAAAGUAUAAGUGAUGUAAAAUGUCUCUAAAAUUCAUUUUCAAGUGAUUAAUUCUAGAGAAACUCGCACACUUUUUUUCAUUUUAAAACUAAAUUUAAAAUUUUAAUUCAAAUUAAUAUUUAAAUUUAAAUUAAAAUUAAUAGUUAAUAUUUAUUAUUAGAUUUAUAAUUUAAAGUUUAAAAUUUUAUUAUUUGAAAUUUAAUAUGAAAAUUAAGAUCUAAAUUCAAAAGUCAAAAAUUCAAAUUGAAAUUAAAGAUUUAAAUGUUGAAUUGAAAAAUUUUAAAAUUUGUAAUUUGAAAAUUAAGAUGUAUAAUUCUAAUCUUUUAAGUUUUAAAAUAAUUAAAAUUUUUAAAUUUCAAAUUUAAAAUUUGAAAUUUAACUUUUACUUUGAAUUUAAGAUUUGACGUUGAAAAUUAAAAUUUGAAACUCAAAAUUUGAGAUCCAAAUUUUAUAUUUUAGUUUAAAAUUUAAAAUUUUAAAGGAAAUUUUCAAACCUUAAAUUUAGAUAUAAAAUUUAAGAUUUAAUAAUUUAUAUUUGAAUAUAAAUUUAAAAUUUAAACCUUUAAAUUACAAUAAUAAUUUAAGAUUUAAAAUUUAAAAUUCAUAUUUCAAAAUAUUUUAAGAAUAAAUGCAUAAAUAUUAAAUUGUUAAUUAAACUCUUAAAAAAUAUUUAGUGCAAUAAAUUAAUAAAAAGAAUUUCAAAUAAGACCUCCAAAAAAAUAAAAUAUUUUACAAAAUAAAUAAAUAAGAAAAGAUGAAAAAAAAAAAUAGUUUGCAAAAAUGACUGAAUGAAAAGACUUUUUUUUGUCAGUAGUAUUUGAAACCACUUUUUGGUAUGUAGACUUUAUUACGGCACUUUACACCAACUCCGCCAGCAUUGUAAAUUUUUAACAAUGAUGAACGUAAAACUUUGUUAAAAACUUUUCUGUUUACUUUAGCUAUAAUUUUUUUAAUUUUAAAAUUUUAAUAAAUAUAUGCGUAUUAAUUAAUUGAAAUACUAUCUAUCCACUGAAAAGCAUGUGCCCUACACUAGCACCCAUUAAAAAAAAAUAAAACAAAAAUUUUCUAUUUUUUUAAAAAAGAUAAUUUUAUCGCCCAAUAAGAGAUUAAGUUAAAAAAUAAUUAUUUUUUAAAAAUUAAUCUUGUAAGCGCGUCAUAUUGUUUAUUAACAUAAUUAAUUUUUAAAAUUUAAAUUUUUAAUUUAAAAUUUCUAAAAUUUCAAAAAUUUAAAACUUAAUCUAUAAAAUUUUAAUUUUUAAAUUUAAAAUUUAAAAUUUUUAGGACGCAGAAUUUAUUUCAGAAAAAAUACUUUUUAUCUAAACUCAGCCAAACGGUUUAGAAUUAAUUUUUAAAUUAAUUUUUUCAUAAUUUAAACUAAACAGGUUAUUGAUAAAGCAUUUGGCAGUUUUAUUUUUGAAAUCUGAUUCUAAUUUUUAUAAUUAAUUUUUUAAUUUUAAAGAUCCACAAUUAAAAAUAAUAAAAAGAUACUGUUGAUAACCGCCAUGGAUGAACGCCACGUGGCAUUCGGACGUCCCGAUGGGUGCCGCGUAAUCCACCAAAUUAUAUUAUGUGGGCCCCACUUUUCGUCAUAGUCAAUAAUAAAUUACUCUGUUCUAUUAUAAACUGUAUAUAUUAUUAUGAUGUGAUGUGAGUUUGGUUGCUUGCUCGAAACUGAGAGUUGCCCUGUGCUACGGAUUCGAAUUCUGACAGGUUCACGGGUUCAAUAUACUGUGCUGCAUCAAAUUAAAAUCUGGUUGAUUUAAAAUUUUAAAAAUUUAAAUUUUACAUUAAAUUUUAAGUAAAAAAGUUAUUUUUAAUUUUAAAUUUAAAAUUAGAGUCUUAAAAUUUAAAAUUUAAAGUUUAAAAUAUGAGAUCCGAAAAGCGUGCGUGGAGGUUACGUGGCUGACAUCAGAGACAUCCGGAUGCCACGUGGCAUCCAUCCAAGGCGUCCCAAAUAAUUUUCUAUGGACUUCCAAAAAAUUUUUGCCGCAACAAGUGGGGCCCACUUUUUUACUCACAAUCAACAAUAAAUUAUACUGUUCCAUUAUAAACUGUGUAUUUUGAUGUGAUGUGGGGUGUUAUGGUUGAUGUUAUGUGACAUGCUACAAAGAUGUGACUUGCUCUGGUGAAGGUGUCCAGCGUAGCCAAAUAUAUUUAAAAUUCACAAUUGAAAUUUAAAAAUUUAAAUUUAGAAAUUUUAAAAAUUUAAAAUUUAUAAUUAGAAAUUAAGAUGUAUAAUUUAAAUUUUUAAAAAUUUAAAUUACAAAUUUAUAUUUUUCCAUGAACUUCAAGUUAAAAAUCUAUAAUUUUGAAUUUUAAUUUUAAAAUUUUAAAAUGUGAGUCUUAAAAUUUAAAAAUUAAAAUUUAAAAAUUUAUAAUAUUCAAAAUUUAAAUGUAAAUUUAAAGUUUAAAAUUUUAAAAGUUGAAAAUUAAAAGUAAUAUUCGAAAAUUUAAAAUUCAUGUAUAAAAUUUAGUGUUAAUAUUGGAAUCUAAAUUUAAAAUUUGAACAUAAAAUUAAAAUAAAGGAUUUAAAAAAAUAAAUAUAUUAAUAGCAAAAUUGCGAGUGGAAAAGGUCAUCUUUCGACCCUAAUAUAAACACCCCCCACUUCCGCCUUCCCUCGUCCCUACUACUUAAAUUACAACCCGCCGCAAUCCCCUUUUUCCAAACCAACCCCUGCUCGCACCCCGCCCCUCUUCCUUCACCUCAAUCUAAAAAUCCAGCUCUCGCAACAGCUGCAACCCGAUUUGUGGCAGAGUGCAUUACCCUCUCUUUCUCUCUUUUUCUUUUUUUUUUUUUGUUCCCUCCUCUACUUUCGAUCAUUUGCUUUGUCAUUAGAAGUAAUAUAUAUUAAUAGUCUUCUACUCUCACCUUACUCUAUUUUAUUUGUUAAACCGAUCGAUCGACUAAUAGUUAAAUAUGAAUUCAUCUUCGAUUAUUCGUAAACUUUUUGUUUUUCUUUUUUUUUUCCUCGCUAACAGCAUAUUUUUUUUUAAAAUUUUAUAUAUACUAAAGUCUACUCUUAUCUCAGACGAUAUAGAUCAAAAGCGCUGACUCGGAUUGCGAAAGAUGUAACUGAGCUAUGUAACCAACUGAGCGUGUGGUUCGCCAAUUAAUAAAAGAAAAUAAUGAGAAUCGAAAAUUGAGAGCCGAUAAUAAUGAAAAAGCAGGGUAGUAUAGUAAUUAAGGGGUUGUUUACCGAAUCGUCCCUGACAGCCCGUAUUGUGCAAGAUGUGCAGAAGAAAAGGCCCUCCGGAUAUAUCUGAAGCGCGAGAAGUGCUAAUCUCUUAAUGACGACUGGGCUUACUUUUUUGUAACUGCUUGCUUAUGUGUUUUUUUUUUUUGGCCCCACAUAACUCUAAAAAUUUCUGGCUUUAUUUUUGUUCCUAAACUAGUUACAUAAUCCGGAUUUGUUGUUGUGCGUUGUUUUUCUUGUUAAUUUCGACUAAUCCUAGAAUAUUUUAUACAUAAUUAUGAAAUAUCUCCGCGACAUACACUUUGGUGGAGCUGCGAACAUUUUUUAUUUUAUUUAUGUACAAUAACAGGUGGUCGAAUCAGAUAACAGGGAGGAAGAUCAGCGCUUGAUGAUCUCACGCACCGACCAUCUAUUGCAUGCACGAUCAUCCGUUGCUGUCUCACACCCUGCUGCCGCCUGGAAUUUCGCACUCUUGUUUUUUUUUUUUUUCUUUUUGGUGUGUGUUGGUCAGUCAACCAACAGCCCUAACAAUCCAAAGGAUUGAAAUUUACAAUUGUAUCAUCCCAAUUAAACGUCAAGCUCCUUCGUUCUAUCAAUUUUACUUUUUUAAAGGAAAUUUAAAUUCAAAAGGGCGGAAAUACAUCCUCACAAGAAUUUUAAUUCCACAUCUUUGAGCCUAUAGAUUUGUCAUUUCCUUAUUUCUCCUCACACAUAAUUAUGAAUGGUACGUACAACCCAAAAUGAGUAUGUAACCAUAUACCCCUCUCAUCCAACUAAACAUAUUGUAAGGACGAACGGUGCAGCGGGACCGAAAUGGAAAACUGUUGAGACGUUUACAGUGUAGCUCAACUCUCAGUGAUAAUAUUUUGUUGUAAUUAAUACCAAAACACUUCAGUCAAAUUUCGGUGAAGAAAAGAGUUUAAAACGAAGAUUAACGCCGAUUCUUCAAGUUUCACCUUAAAGUAAUAGUAGCUUACGAUUCCGGAACCACGUGGAAGUUGCUCACGGCUUCGUAUCGGAUUCUCUUCCUAGGCGUCCAAUCACAUCGUUCGAACCGAUUCAGCUGUUUAGGAACUAAUGGAGCUGCCGACGUUGAGCUUCGAGCACGGAUCGACGAAAAUCCAAAAAUACAUAUUCUAUAGAUUUAGUGUGUUUUCUUCUAUUGGAUAGAAGGGUUGGAUUGUCGUGAACCGUGGUCGAUCGAGACGAAAAAAACGAAUCGUAGCUUGUGUCUUCCGUCGUGCUGAUCGCACUGGUGACUAUCCGUUCGCUGAAUCUGACGACGGAUCUGCGCAUAUUGCAAUGCUUUUCAGGAAGGCUCGGUCGGGCAUAAGACGUAUUUCGAAAGUCGCGAAUAAGUUUAUGUACCGUCGCGGGAUCCGCACGUAAGGGCUUCCGUGUUACCCACGCUGGAGGGACAGUUCUAAAUACUAGUUCGUGGCUUAUUGCAAGUCACCCUUUUAUUAAGCCUCUAGGUUGAGCCUCAACCCAAUCUCUACCUUACAAACCCCCUGCCGCCUCCAUCACCGCUCCUCUGCACCUGCCUACUCUGCCCUGCCCCGCUGACCGACCGCCGGAACUCACGUUGUGUGGGCGGCAUCGCCACCACUUCCUCUCCAUAAUCCCUCUCCUUUCUCUCGCCCUCUCUCCUCUCGGUGGUGGAGGCUCGGGCCGCCACCUCUUCAGACCUUCCACCGGCGUCGCCGCGUGCCUCCGGUCGACAUUCCCCACCGCCGCGUCGCGCCAGCCUGUCGCUGCUGGCCCUGCAUCAACAUACGCCACCAGGUGGGUUGCAUCUGCUUGCCGCCGUCGCCAACCGCUGGGACUUCUCCCCCGACGUCCCUAGACGCAGCACACUUCCCGCCAGUCCCGCCCCCGCGCGCAUCGCGCUCGGCCGCCGGAGCCGCCCAGCCGCCGCUCUGCGAGGCGAGGUGCGACGCUCCCCGCCGCCGCCGCUGGUCCCACCGGCCGCUUCGCCCGUGGAAGCCUCGCCUCCGCCGUCCGGACUCCCGGCGCCGCCGGCCGCUACGCACCGGAAAACCCGAGCCCGAUCUAGUCGCGGGCUCAACGUGCUCCGCCGACGCCGUCGCAGCUUGCCCGCACGCCAACCGAUGUGAGCUUGUGUUCGCUCACCCACCUCCGCAUCGACCCUGGCCCCGCCGCGUGCGCCGCCUGUCGCCAGAGUCCGGCCGAGCAAGGUCUCAGGCCAGCCCGAAUAGGGUUAGUUUAAGAGCUGUUUAGUUUGUCGGCUUUCCGACCUCCCCCUACGGAAGGACACGAUAUUCUCUGGCAACUUCUAUCAUCGUGCUCACCUAUUUCUGUCGGCGAGACUCAGUUCCGCUUUAUUUGCGUGUCUGAACCGGGAGCCUUUCUUGUGGCUUUGUUCUGUGUUGAUGCGUACUCUUAUUCGGGCGAUCCGAGGCUGUUCUGAUAGCCGUCGGGUGACCACUGGGACCGCUGUCAUGCUGAUCAGUGCUCACCUAUAAUGGACAGAAGUGUCCGGUCCUGUUCUGUCGGCGGUUUUUCGUGGCUGCGCGCUAUCGCGUGAACUUUCGGGUUGCCCCGGCUUCACAGCGUGUCGCGGCCCCUUAUCAGUGAGCACGGCCUCCGUACUCGAGACCUGUUGGUUACUUGUCUCUACGGACUCAGAAUUCUCGGUCUGCGUGCCGACGCUGAACGCUGCAAAUACAUAAAAAUGAAUUUUAUAUAAUUAUAGGCCUUUUAGCUUUGUGCUGCGCACUGUGGCAUGGUGGGUAGUUGUAUAGACCGUCUGGACGAUUGUCCAUAGUCCUUAGUCUGUGGCGACCUCCAUCGGUAGUCGAUUCGUGCGUUUUUCGAUAAUUCGCCAGAAAGAACGGUUCGGUUCGGAUUUCUUCGACGUGGUUUGGUUUCCUGUUGUGUCGCUGACCCUUUUUGGGUAAGUCACCAAUCAUACAUUUUGUGUUGGAUGAUGAGGUGAUCGACGGUGGGUCCGGUGUCGAAAUAAGACACUUUUCGGGAAACUCGGAUUCGUACAAAUAUCCGGCGAUAAUGGUAUGUGUUAUCUUGUGUUUGCGCCAAAACAUCCAAAUGAGUUGGUUGCUAGCAGCCGAUCGUGACACGAUCGGUAUUCGGGACACUUAGUGGUCGAUGGCGGUCCGGGGUUUCGGGAUUCCGGUUACGAAAUCGAAUAUUGGGAAACCGAUCUCAUGAAUUAUGGAGUGUGGAUAAUGUGAUUAUUAUUGGUCUAGAAUACUAACCGGGAACUUCGAUAGUCCUGUCGACAUUCUUGCAGUCAGAGACACCGCGACAGUCUUCACGGUGGGUAUCGAUCGCGACGUCGACAGUGUCACCUUGUGAUGGUCUUAACUUACUGCUUCUUGUUACAUGCUAAUACUAUUGAGCUUCACCCUUUUUAUUCUUAUAAACCUACUCGUUUUUGCAUACUAUACAUCUGAAGUAGGAGUAGAGUAGUCACUUCAUGUAUCGUUGCCAUUGUCGUUGUUUGCAGCUCAGUCCUGUUGACCUAGUGGUCUGUGGGCGUUUAGUAUCAUGUUGACCUAUUUGCGGUUAGCAUUCCGUAUCUGUUACCUGUGGUCGUUCCGACGCUUUUCGGUGGCCUGAUUGGUCGUUCCGUACAUCGUUCGAUGACACCUCUGAGUCGGUAUACCCUACCAGGGGGGAUUGUCGUUAGCACUCGGACAAUGAUAUAUUAUAACACAGUUCCACUAUUUGCAUAAUUAUGUUAACCUACGCAGUCACUGUCGUGAGUCCUGUCUUUGAUGAACCUAGAGGUCCGGGUGUACCCUAACGUUGGAGUGUCGCUAGUGCCACGGUAAUCGAGCAUCUAAUGAUAUACUCGCCUAUCGUCAGUUCGAUGCAUAUGUUAGUUUGAACUUUUAUGUAGAUCAGUGCUUGAACCUGGAGAUUUUACCUUUCCUUCUUAGUACCUAUAUACGUUUCUUGUGCUUCUAUAUAGUUAUGACCUAUGGUUCGUUUGCCCGAGGCGGUGAUGGCGGCUGAGUGCCGACAUUUGCUCUUAUCAUACCGCAUGGAUCGCACACAGCUCGAGUGCCCAUUCCGUACACCAGUCUGGUUGAUCCCACCGAAAGGGGGUCGUUUUCCGAAAUUGGUCUACAUGCCACCGGAUCCCCCUCUAGCGGUUCCUUUUGCUAGGUUAAUGCCGGGCGAGCGUAGUGCUUUGCCAUCUGAGGUCCUUAGACGGACACGGCUGUUUAGAUCGGUACUUUGCUCACUUGUCCGUGGACAUCAGUAUAACUAAGUAGCAGGCACUUGUAUAUCUCAGUUCUUCUUACAUUUGUCUCUACUAUAGUCUUGUUACAUGUAUAAAGUUAGUUGUGCAUUCAUAGCGGUAGUUGUACUUUUUUUCAUAUAUAUGUCUCUUUCAUUCACUUGUUAUGCUACUCUGUAUUCUACUCCGUACGUUGUUUACUCAUCCUGAUGCCGUGAGUACUCCCUCGGCCUUCAUCGGCUUGCGCCCACUGCGAGGCAACAAUUUUACAUAUGUUCCUCACCUCCCACCCCAUUUCAGAUUUGCAGGGCGAUGAGUUGGGACUGAGACGUGAGUACUUCUAGCUCGGUCGAAGAGCUUCCGACCGCCAGUUAUAGCGAUUAUUUUAUCCUUACUAUUACGUUGGUUCUUAUUUAGGUUAGUCUAUAUGGUUCAGUAGCAUGAUCAACUUGAAGUUGAUGCUUGAGCUUUGAAUUUGUAGAAUUAGGAUUUGGUUAAUGAUCUUCAGUUGAGAUGUUUGUAUACCUUUGUGUUGCUCGGAUUGACUGUAUGAUUUACGCAUCGUGUUCUCCCCUCGAGGGAGUGCGGAUAUUUCAAAAUCGAGUUUCGUGUGGAUAAGUCUUUUUAAACGGUUUCAAAUGUUUUCAUGCCUAAUAUUAAGUCAUAACAUAAAAGCUCUGUGUGGGAGCACUUUUUAAAUAGAUGUUGAUGUAUGUGCAUUGCAUCAUCCCGCUUAAGGAGUGCUUAUUUAUGUGUCAUCAUCUAUAGAUUGUUAGCUAUAGUGGAAAUGCAAUCAUGAAUUGAUUGCUGAUUGGUAAAUUAAGGUUUUUAACCUGUUGUAUCCGUGGUAUCCCAGAACAAAGAAGACUCGACCUGAUGGACAGAGAACUUUGUAUUUGUGGCGUCUGACGCACGUGGGCCAUUUAAAAAAAAAAAAAAUUGUACAUCUUCCGCACUCUGAUUUUAAAAAUGGUAAUGGCUUUAAAUCGCUCCGCGGGCGUGAACUAGGUUACAAAUCUUUAUUUAUUUUCCUACUUAAAACUCCCAAUUAAAGAAUUGAAAAAACCCGAUGAACAUGGAUUUAAGGAUUAAUGUUUAGAGGUAACAACAAUUCUAUAGUAAAUAGAAUUCUCCAACUUAUUCUAAGCCUAUGAGAGGUAGCAAGACUGCCCUCAAAAAACUAAUAUUUAAAAUUAAACAUUUUAAUAUUAUAUUAUAUAUCGCACAGGCCCAUAAUUUUAUAUAUUUUAUUCUAGUUUAUUUUAUCCAUUAAUAUAUUUUAAAUUUUUAUUUUUAAAAAAAUUUUGUAUAGUUUAAUUGUCUUGACAACGGUUCAAGCCAUAAAAAAAAAAUAAAUCCUUCAUGUGUUUUUAGAAAAUAAGCAAACUAUUCACAAUGCGCUUACCCUGUAAUAUUUGUCCAAAAAUCUAUCAUAAUUAUAUAGAAAUUAAUAAAAAUUAAAAACUAGAAUAAUUAUAAAGAAUUAACUAUUUAAGUUUUCGCCAUACAUCAAUCCAUGUAUUAUUAAACAAAUUUGAAAAAAAACAAAAUUUGAUAUUGCAUAAAAAUUUUACACACAUUAAGUAUUCUUAUUAGUAUGUUGUUUCUUAUACUCUUAUUUCAUUAAUGGAUGACCGAAAGUCCGUGGUGAAUGGAAUAUAAGGGGACUCACAGAAUAUCAAAUUCAUCAUCAAUAUCUUCAUAUGUAUAAUAUAUCGAUGCUAAUAAAAGAGAAGAAAUUUACCAUUUCACUAUUUGGGGUUGCCGCUUCAUACCAAACCACUUCGAAAGAAAGAUUGGGCUCCGAUCGUUAACCGUAUAGAGAUGCGCAUUGAAGGAUGGAAGGCAAAACUCCUCUCACAGGGGGGAAGAUUCAUCCUGGGUAAUUUGUUUUCUAUGUUUGCUUGGUUUUUCUUUGUUUAUUUCGUUUCACUAAUCCGAUUUCUUCGUCGUUCCUAUUUAUGCCGGCUCGGUUAGGAGGCCCUAACUGCUUCCAUCUUGUACGCUAAAUUCAUCUUGCUUUAUGAAUGAAGCAUGUAAUUUGCUACCUAGUUCUCAAAAAAAAUAAAUAAAAUAAAAGAGAAGAAAUAAGAAAAAUCUUAAAAAGGAAAAUCUAUUAGAGAAAAAAAAAAAAACUUGGAGACUUGGAUGUUAAGAUUAAAUUUGAUAUAUUAUUUAAUCUAACAUCCCUCUUUUCUCUUUGUUUUCUUUUUCUAUCUCUAUAUUAUUACAUAAUCUCGUUAUCUUUUAAAAAAUUAAUUUUUACAAUUAAAAUUAUCAUACCCUAUAUUCCAAUUGAAUCAAAUAUUUAAUUACAUUCAAAAUUUUUUCAAUAGUGAUACAAAAUUAAUGUCUAAAUUAGAGAAAUUUCAAAGUUCCUUAAUCAUAUUAAGUAUGUUGAAUUAAAUAUCUAGUUACUUUCAAAUUUUUAAAAAUAGUGAUAUAAAAUUAAUGUCUAAAUUAGACAAAUUCAAUAAUUUCUUAAAUAUAUUAAAUAUCUUGAAUUUAAAUAUUUAGCAGCAUUCAAUUUUUUUUUAAAUAAUAAUGCAAAACUAAUGCCUAAAUUAGAAUAAUUCCUUAAACAUGUUAAAUAUAUUGAUUUUGAAUAUUUACCCUUUUUUUAUUAUUGAUAAAAAAAUUAAUGCCUAAAUUGCAAUUCUAAAACUCCUCAUAUCAAUGCCAAAAUUAGUGCAAAAUUAAUACCUAAAUUAUAAUUGUAACUCGAAAACCCCUUAAAUUAAUAUCUAAAUAGUGCAAAAUUAAUUCCUAAAUUUGCGGGAGGGGUAUCAAUUUUAACGUGCUAAAGAGUAUGGUACGUUUAUACUUUUUUAUUCUUUAUUGAUUAACGGUUAAUUUUUUUUAAUUAUUUAUAAAAUUAAAUGCCGAAUCAUUUCUCUAUAUGGGACCAAACGAAAAGAGGUCUCAACUUUUAAACUACUUAUUUUUAGCAAAGAAAUUUUUAGAAAAAAAUAGAAAUUGAAAUGAUCUUCAUUAUUCAAAAGCAAGUAGAAUAAGUACAUCUCAAAAGAUUGAGAGUUAGAGGGUGCAAAAUGAAAAAAAAAAAAAAAAGCCAAUGUAAGGAGGCAAUUUGAAAUCCCUAAGGUUGAGGGGGUGCACCAAGCUUUUGAAUCAGGGAAAAAAAAAUCACAGCUUUACUAAAAAAAAUUAUUAUAAUUAAAAUAAUAUAAAAUAUUAAAAAUUUGGUUUAUAUUUUAUAUUAAAAUUGUAAAAUUUAUGAGAAAAAAACUAAAUACAGAUCAACAAUAAUAUAUCGGGCGAAAGGAGUGAUUAAACAUACUUUAAGAUAUUAUUUGGUUCGGGGAUAAGCAAAAAGUAGGUAUUCUAGAGAUAGCGAUAAAUUGAGGUAUAAACGGAGAUUAUAUUAAUUUUUCAUUUGGUUGAAAAUUAGGUUUUUUCUGAAAAUGAGAAAAUAGCGUUUGGUAAAAAUUAAUGAUAUUAUUCCUUUCUUUAUAUUAGAAUUUAAAUAUUUAUAUUUUAUAUUUAUAUUUUAAAAUUUAACAUAUAAAUUUUUAAAUUUUAAAAAUCAAAAUAAAAAUUUAAAAUUUUUAAAUCUAAAAUUUACAAUUUUAAAAAAUUAAAAAUUAAAAUUUUAAACUUUAAAUUUAAGCUGUAAGGACUGAGAUUUUUACAGUGCUACUAAACUCUCUGUUGAUGAUAUUUAUGUGUGUAAUUUAAUUACAUAAGCACUCGUCAAGUUUCAGGAGAAAAUGAGCUAAAACGGAGAAGUUACGCGAUUAUUAGUUUUCACUUAAGUGAAUAGUAACUCCGGUUUUUCGGUGAAGCCACGGAGUAGAGUUGGCUUUCGGCGCGUAUCGGACUCCGUUCAUAGCGAUCCAAUAGAUCGUUUUGAUCGGUUUAGCUAUUCUGGAACCAAUGACACUGUCGGAUUUCAGAUCUGAUGCACGGUUUUCGAGAAAAAGGAGUUUUACCGAAAAUAGAGUUUUCGCUCUUUGCUUUUCUGGCAUUGUGAAGCACCUCGUGCUUUGGGCUCGUGACCGGGGGUCGGGUGAGAGUUGUUUCAAGUACCUACUGGUGGUAGGGAAUUCAAAUUCGAGUUUGAAUUAAAGGAUUUCGGGUUUCCACGUAGGCCUAUGUGUGAUAUAUGGAUUAGUCGGAGAGAGGACGGAUUUUGUCGCAAAUCGGCAAGCAAAUUGGAUGAAACAAGAUUGUAGUUUUGAUGCCCCCGACGUGCUGAACGCGCUGGUGCAAUCCGUUCGAAAAUCCGAUGGACGGAUCUGCGGAUAUCGCACGUUGUUCGAGGAGGAGUCUUUGUUGGCAAAAUGGAAUUUUCGCAAAAGUCCCCAUAUUUUAUGUACCGAAUUGCGCGAGAUCGAUUGUGGAGAUGAGAUUGCGCGAGAGUUACCCAUUGUGAAGGACUGGGUUUCAAAUUAAUAGUUUCGGAGGACUUUCUUGUAAUUUUGCAUGAUGACUUUAGGGUUUCAUAGAGAAAACCCUAACCCUAGAAGCCUUCUCCCUCAGCCAACCCCUCUGCCAUCACCUGAACCCCUCCCCGACCCCGCCGCGCGCGUCCCGGCCUCCGGCGAGCAGCUCCGACCGCCGGAAAAGCCAUCCCGACCUUAUAUUCACCUCCCUCUCUCUCCAUCUCCCUCCCUCCUUCUCUCUCUCUCGGGUUAGAGCUAGGCCGAGGCUACAUCACCUCCAGACCCUUCGCCGGCAUCGCCCCGUACCCCGGCGAGCCUCCCCGCCGGCCGGCGCCGCCUUCACGCGCCGCCGCGGCCGCCCCAGGUCUGCUCGGGCCGAGAUGACCCCGCACUGCCUCCGUGCGCCACCGCCGCCCUAGGCCGUGCGCGCCGCCUUCCCCUCGGCCUCCGGCGACGGGUCGUCACCGUCCCAAGCCUUCCCUGGUCGUCGCCGUGGCCGCCGCCACCCUGUGAGCCCGAGCCAAGCCCGCGAGAGCUCGGGUUGCUCCAGCACCGCCGCUACCGCCAUCCGCCACCGACCGGCGUGAGCACCCCGUCUCUUUGGUUGGCCGCACUCGCCCACCACCGGCGCUCCCGCCGCCGGAACCCUUUACUGGCCGGACUGGGCCCUUGCUCUCUACGGGUUUGGGAAGCUAGGGCAUCAAUGCAUGCCGUCGUCGCCGCCUCCCGUCGCCUGUUGACGCGAGCCCCGGCCUCCUCUGACCUGGAGCACCUUCCCCUGGCCGGCCUGCCCGCUGUCCGGCCGCCGCCGGCCACCCCGAGCCCUGCCUAGCUCCGGUAAGCCUUGUAUUGCAUUUAUUGUGCACUAUUUGGGGUUGUGUAUACUGUUUCGACGACCCGAGGUUGUUCCGAUGCCUCCAGAAGUGAGCACGGUGAUCGUUAGUCAGUGCUAAUCACAGUGCUCACCUCAAUUGGGGUUAGCGAGCCCCUGGUUAGCGAGAUAAGCAUGAUUUUCAUGCUGUGCGCGUAGUUUAUAGAAUUUCGCGUCGCUCGUGCGCUCCCCACUGUAGCCGGAAUUGAUCCGAAAGGUGAGCACGGCCUCCGGCACGUCGAGACCUGUCAGUAGGUGUCUCGGUUUGGCUGAAUGACUCCUAGUUUGUGUAGACGGACCAUAAAAGCGCCGAAAUCACAUAAAAUAAUGUGAUUUCGGGUAUUCGGAAGGGCUUUUAUGCAACUUUGUCCGUCGUGGCUGCUGUUGACAGCAAGUAUGGGCUGAGGAUAACCUCUGGACUGAUCGUCCAAGGCCCCAAGCCUUUGCAAGAAUCAGAAAGUGAUUUUCGGUGCGUUUCUCGGCGAAAUCUGCCGACGGAACGCGGGUUCGGUUCGGAAUUUUUUCGACGGUGCUUCGUGAGCUGAUGUGUAGUCGCUGAGCCUUGUUGGCUGGUCACUCGCGUCAUUUCGAGGGUUCGAAAAUGAUGGGUGAGCGACGGUGGGUUCCGGUGUCGAAAUAGACACUUCCCGGAACCCAGAUUAGAACGAUUAUCCAACGAUAAUCGUUUUGUAGUAAGUUAAGGUCAUUGCUGCCAAGUCACACGUAAAUUUGUAUUUAGGGCAGCGGAUGACUCAUAGUACGAGUCGGUGAGUUUCGGGACAGUCCGUGGGUCCCGGCAGAGUCUCGGUGCGAUUACGGGAUUUCCGGCGUAUUACGGCGAUCGGUUUGGGAAACCGAUUCUCGUGGGUUUAUUUGUGGGGUUCUGCACUUUAGGGUUUCUUAGUUGUGGGUUAGACACUAACCAGUGGACCCUCCUUAGGUCCGUUGACGUUCUUUUGUAGUCAGGAGUCGGGCGCGACAGUUGUACAGGUGGGUACUUCGAUCCGACGUUGGUACAGUGGUGCACGCUCGGUGAUGGUUUACCCUGUCUUUGUUAUUAUCCAUGCAUACAUAAUACGUUGAGCUUUGCACCUCUAUUGUUUACAUUACACCACGUUGUUUGAUUAUACUCUACUCAGAUGUUUCCAUUACUUAGUAUCAUGUGUAGGAGUAUAGUCUAUCUGUAUGUGAUACCAUGUUUCUUUGUUGCUCUACUUAGCUAUUCUUGACUUAAAUCCUGUUUCAUGUUUAGAGUAGAGCGGUUUCGUGAUUUCUUGUGAGAUCGGUGACCUAGUCGGUGUUCCUUGACUUCUGUGUGUUUGAUGACCGUUGAGGUCAGUAUACCCUGAGGGGUGGGGAUUGUCGGUUAGUUACCGACGGAUGAUUAUAGUUUACUCAUAUCUACUAUUUGACAUGUUUUGACCUAGUGAGUCAGUUCGUGCCUCUUGUCGUUUCUUGUGUUUGAUGACUUUUAGGUCGGUGUACCCUGAGGGUAGGAUUGUCGGCUAGUGACCGACGGUAGUUCUAGAUUAUAUACUCAGAUGACUUGUUGAUCGAUUCUCUGCAUAUAUACAGUAGUUGACUUAUUGAUUCAGUAUCUAUAUACUUUUGGUAGGAUGUUGAGUUGUUCCAUCCCAGUUGACUUGAUUAGUCAGUACUUGCAUACAGUUGAGAGGAUGUAGAGUCGUCCAUCCUAGUUGACCUGCAGUGGUCGGUUCUUGUGCUUCUUUACAGUCGAUGACCUAUACGGUCGGUGAGCCCUGUGGGCAGGAUUGUCGGCUGGUUGCGACGGUUGGCCUUUGAGCAUAUCAGCAUUGAUUCAGCCCGACUCGUCGCAUUUCACGAAUACUGGCGGUCUGAUCCACCACAAGGAGUGUUCUUUUCGGAAAAGUGGUUGCUUGUGCCAACCCGUGAGCCCAGCGGUCAGGACUGGGUUAUAUGCAGGUAGAGUCGGUAGUGGGCUUUUGCCUGGGUCCUUAGACCGACACGGCGGUUUAGAUUGGGUAUUUGGACUUCUUGUCCGGUUGACGCAUAUGUCUAUAAUUAGCAGUUGUUGCAUGCAUACUUACAGUUCUUUCUAUAUACUUGUUUUGCUACUAUAGUUUGAUACCCAGGUAUGUUUUAUAUUCUUCUUUACAGUAGCGGUAGUCGUCUUAUACAUUCUGUUCAUAUAUUAUUGUUGCUACUGUAUUUAGUAUAUCUGCUUAUUACCUUAUACAUCUCUUCGUUUACUAUUUGUUCCUACUGUAUUUUCACUGACCCUGUUGUUGUAUUAGCUCUUCUGAUCCGGUGAGUACUCCUCGCCUUCUUCGGCUUGCGGUACCCACGGAGGGGAGACAUGUUUACAUGUUCUCACCUCCCCCACUAUUUUUCAGGUAUCGCGGGCGAUGGAGUAGGUUGGGACGAGAUGUGAGGUACGUGUGUACCGGUCGAUAGAGCUUCCGACCCAGGUUAUUUCGGUAUAGUUAUUACCCUUAUUAUUUCAGUUGUUAUAGCUUAGAUAGUUUAUAUGGUUCAGUAUUUUUAUUACAUUUGAAAAUACGGGUUUUCAUGAAUGUAAUAAACUGGUUUGUGAAUUUUGUAAAAUAAAAGGUUUUCUGUGGAUUUUGUAUCUUAGUAUUUCAAAACCUGUUUCUGUGGUUGGAAACAUUUUAACUGAUAGAUGUAGAUUUAUGUUUAAAGAUUGAAUGUUAUAAAUGUGAAACUGUGGUGAAUGGUGUAUUAAUGUAUAACUAACUGUUGGUUAUUUGUAUGUUCAUCUGGUUGUGGUUGUAUCAUGUUUGAAUUCUUGUACUUAUGCGAUACCGUGCAAAUACAGGAGAGACUCUGUCCGUGUGAACAGUGGAUCUCCUGUAUUUGUGGCAGAUCUGGCAUAUCCUGGGGUCAGGUUUUCAAAAAAGGGAACCCGGGGCGUGACAUAAGAUGAAAUUUUAAUUUAAAAAUACAAGAUAUCAAAUUCUAAAUAUAAAAAAAAUUAAAAUAUCAAAAUUUAAAAUUUAAAAUUUAAAAAUAAUUGGCUUAAAAUUUAAUUUUUUAAUUUUGUAAUUUUAAAAUUAUAAAUUUUAAUUUCUAAAAAUUCUUUUCCUCUCUCUUUUCAUGUGAGGAACGAGGGUUAUCCCAGCUUCUUCCAACUUGGGAUGGGAACACUAAUUCCCACCCCUUAACGGGCUGCUGUGGUGACCCUGAAGUUUAGCAGUUGGGGCUUAUCGACAGCUCUGGAGAGUGUCGGGAUAAGCCCGAGUCGCAUUGGCGUGGAAUAGACGCAAAAUGGACUCAGUGCGACGCGAGAGCAGGAGGUUAGCAUGAAAAUCUGCAAAUCGUAGGUUUUCUGCUAAUUGUACUGGUACAGCAUCAUGGAUGUAUCAGUACAUUGCGCUUGUAUCGGUACAGUAUUGGGAAUGUACCGGUACAUUGCGCCAGUUUCUGCGCAGCUGCUCUCGGGUUGCUAUUUGUACCGGUACAACCACUCGUGUACCGGUACACCAGGGUAGGUGAGAGGGCAUUUUGGUCUUUCCAUGCCUCGUACGUGUCACCCUUCCCUCCCACUACUACUUAUUUGUGUAGAGAGGUUGAGGGAGAAGGUUUUUCACGCUUCUCCUCCUCUCUCUCCCUAGGCUCGACCGUGCGUACGAAGGAGCUUGGGUGGAGUUGGAUUGUUGCCGACGUCGCGCUGCGGUGCCGUUCGAGUGCGUGUUCAUCGUGGUAGCGUUGCAGGGAGGCCGAGCGAGGGUGUGAUUCUGCCAUUCUCGACAUCGCGCCGGUUUGGAGUAGCUUUCGAGGUGAGUUAAUCGUCGGUUGAUCUUUUAUGUAAAUAUAUAUGGUCGACAUGUAUUUGUUCCGUUGUUUCGCAUAUCGUAGUUGCUCGAUUCAUUGAUUUGGCAUGUUUAGAAAUCUGAAUUGGAGCCUAGUAUUUUAACUAUAUGCUUAUACAUGUUGGACUUGGAUAUGACUUAGGAGAAAAUCCGCGAAUAUAACCCGUCAUAUGCUUUAACUAUUAGAUUUAGCUCUAGGAGCCGUGGGUUGAUUGUAUCAUCGCAGUUUCAGAGCGGUGGAUACUUCAGGUAGUUUAGAGUACAGUUAAGCUCGUGCCGGGAGGCCAAGCCUAUUUUACAGUAGCGUUCAGACUGUUCUGAAUUGUUGGGUGUCGUCGGGGUUGACGGUGGACCCUGAUUGCCAUUUUGGCAUCAGAUUGUGCCGAGGGCACGUGACUUGUUGGUCGUUAGACCAGUUGGACCCUGUUUUCUUGACUUUAGCCUGUGAGAGCCUGAUUGAGCUCGACAGAGAUACGCUUGCAUACUCGGUUGGGUCGCGCCCACGAGUGCCACUCCGGAGUCAGGCUUAGUGCUUUUGCGUUGAUGUCGCUGAUUGGACUUCGUAUCCACGGACUGCUUAGCGUGAAGGUAGCGUUGGCUUAGACAGGCUGGGACGGGUGUGUUCACAGUCCCUGGGACGGGUAUGCUUACAGUCCCCAGUGAGAUUGGGUCAAGAUUGACAUUUACUUCAGAAUGUUAGUAUUAGAGCAUGAUAGUGUAGUGGCAUUUAGCUGUAGAUUCAUUCCAGCUUUUCCUACUAUCCCUGCUUUCUUCUGUAGACUUAGCAGGUGGACCGAUGAUGUUGAGGGCGGCACCCACUGAGGGCUACUUGUUUUUAUAGUAGUUCUCAUGCCCUGUUGUUACCCCUCUUUUGCAGAGCCCUCGGUUUCGGCUGCUGCAUCUUCUGAGACUGAUUGUGGUAAGGGCGUUGCGAGUUAGAGCCCUACCGACUAGUCGUCGAGUUAGCGGAGCCCCAGCUACAGGUAGUUGUAGUUUCUGAGUUCACAUACAUACUGUUGUUGUUGUAUCUCGCUUGACGAGCUUUUUGUUUUCCGGAUGUUGUAUGUAUAGUGAACUUUUGUUUUCUAUUUGGAUUUAUCAUUUCUAGCAGCUCUAUACUACUGGUUGUAGUAUUGUAUGUUAAGGUAUAGCUAUCGCUUUGUAUACAUGAAAAAUUUCUUUAUCUACGGCGGAUUUGUCGGCGUGCCCGGAAAACGUGUAAUCCGGGGCGUAACAGAUUAAGUUGGUAUCAGAGCUUAGCAUUAGGUUGUUGGGAUCUAGGAAUCCUAAGUUUGGCAAACCUUAGGAAGACAAGACGUAAGAGGCAUGAUUUAUCGCGAAAGUCAGUGAUUGAUUGUUCUAACUCCUCCUACAGUGGAGUGAGUGACUGAAGGAGUACCUGUUUUGGCCUAGAAAAAUUUUGUUGGCUGCAGACGACAUAAUUUUGAGGGAAAACAGGGGCCGCCUUCCAGACUUUUGUUCGAUUCGGUCGAGAGUGUUUGCGUUUAUCUGACCCUAUUAUGUUGCUUGCAGCUAUGUAUCGACGCAGAGGACGACCGUUGACUAGGGAUCGUGCUGCACCGCCAGAGAUGCCUCAGCAGGCAGAGCCGAGUGCACGACUAGAGGCGAGUGCACCCUUGAUCUGAGGGAGCAGAUAGCUGCCCUGACAGAGGUUACGAGGCAGUAGUGUGCGAGAGGCUAGCUAUGUCGCAGAGUACGACACCGAGCGCCCCAGAGCAGCCAGUUCCACCUCCCACUACUUCAGCCGCAGCACCAGCCGCAGUUAUACCCCACUAGUGGAUGUUCCCGCAGCGACAGUUGCGCCUUCUAGGGGACCAGUACCGAUGACCGAGGCCGAGCAGGAGCGGAUGACAGAGAGGUUUGCCUGCUUUCGCCGUUUUGAUCCGCCGAACUUUGAUGGCAGUUGUAUUGAGGCCUGGGUUGUUCAGGGCUUAGUCAGUGCGAUGGAGAAGCUAUUCGAAGACCUGUUCAUUCCUGAGAGGGAGCAGGUACAAUUGGGAGUUCAUUGCUUGGCAUGCGAUGCACACGCCUUGUGGAAGAGAGUGAGGCGAGACCAGGGACUGGUGGCGUUGCAGCUGAGGUGGGAUGUGUUAUGUGGAUUGCUGUAUGGGAUGUAUUUUCCCAACAGUGUGAAACAGAAGCUCGAGGAGGAUCUAAAGAGGAUUCAGUAGGGGGAUCGGCCAGUGCAGGAGUACAUUCGGGAGUUCACUCGAUUCCUGAACUGUGUGCCGUUUGUGGCCAAGGACAAGGCACACAGGGUUUAUUUGUUUGAGCAGGGAUUGAGACCCGACAUCUUCAGGUUUGUACGGCGCAGAGGUCGAGGACCCUGAAUACGUCCAUAGAGCAGGCUUUAUGGGUGGAGAGAGGUUAGGUGUCGCUACGGGAGCGGACUCAGGUACUGGGGGAGGGUCAGGACAAGAAGCGCCGAGCUCUAGAUAACGGAGGACAGUCGAGUAGCAGGCAUCCGCCGAGACCUCCACGAUCACGUUCUCAGGGUCGUGGGUCUUCAGGGCGUCAGCGUUUUGGAGGACCUCGACAGCAGAGGCAGUCGCAGGGGUCACUGCUGUGUGUGAUUUGUGGGGGACCACACUGGGCCCGACAGUGUGAGCAGCGUGAGGGCCGGUGUUUUGGAUGUGGUCAGCCCAGGCAUAUGCGGUCAGCUUGUCUUCGUGCAGCAUCUCCAGCACCCUCGACAGCAUCCGCACAGCCAGCACUUCAGCAGACUUACGGGACACUACCGAGUUACCGCCAGGAGGACAGAGCAUCUGUGCCGCGGCAGGGUGAGCGGCGACAGCAGGCUCCGAGUGGCAGGGUCUACGCAGCCCAGGUGAAGGACUCUUCGGCAGUCAACCGAGUGGUGGCAGGUAUCAUUUUGAUUUCAGGCAUUAGAGCUCACACUUUAUUUGAUACCGGUGCAUCACAUUCUUUUAUUAGCUGAAAAUUUCUAUUGUUGCAUGGUCUAGAGUUAGGGCCUUUGUCACAGGCAUGAGAGGUGCAGAUCCCCGACCACGUUACACAGGUUGCAGAGUGUUGUUGGUCAUGUCCGGUGCAGUUAGAUUCUUGGAUCAUGCCCGCAGACCUGUUGGUUUUAGGGCAGCUGCAGGACUUCGACGUGGUGCUCGGCAUGGGCUGGCGCGGUCCUAUCCUACUAUUGAUUAUGGAGCGAGAACUGUGACGUUCCGCGAGUCAGGCCAGGAGGAGUUCAUCUUUAGAGGCUGCAGGAGUACGUUGUUUGCCACUUCGAUUUCAUCGGUGGGGGCUCGACAAUUGAUGAGUAGAGGAUGCGUCGUAUUUCUGGCAACGGUUGUAGAGGUGCCUACGGCGACGUCGGGACUUGAAGAUAUUCCUAUAGUCUACGAGUUUUUGGAUGUGUUUCCCCCGGAGUUGACGACGAUGCCGCCGGAUAGAGAGAUCGAGUUUGUGAUUGAUGUAGUCCCUAGAACUGUACCAAUCUCGAAGGCACCCUACCGGAUGGCACCGGCGGAGCUGAGAGAGCUAAAGGCGCAGCUUCAAGAUCUGAUAGAUAAGAGGUUUGUGAGGCCCAUUGUAUCGCCUUGGGGAGCGCCGGUGUUAUUCGUGAAGAAGAAGGAUGGCUCACUUCGGUUGUGUGUUGAUUACAGGGAACUAAAUAAGGUGACCAUUAAGAACAAGUAUCCUUUGCCACGCAUCGAUGAUCUGUUUGAUCAGCUGCAAGGAUCUUGUGUCUUCUCGAAGAUUGAUCUCCAGUCAGGUUACCACCAGCUGAGGGUGAGGACCGAGGAUGUUCCCAAGAUGGUUUUUCGGACUCGGUACGGGCAUUAUGAGUUCACAGUGAUGCCUUUUGGAUUGACAAAUGCCCCUGCCGUAUUUAUGGAUUUGAUGAACAGAGUGUUCAAGCCGUUCUUGGAUAGAUUUGUGGUCGUGUUCAUUGAUGAUAUUCUAAUAUACUCCCGGAGUGACACCGAGCACGAGGAGCACUUGAGGAUUGUGCUACAACUUCUGUGAGAAAAGAAGUUGCAUGCCAAGUUAAAGAAGUGCGAGUUCUGGUUGUAGGAGGUUGCUUUCUUGGGUCACAUGAUUUCUGCAGAGGGAGUGGCAGUGGACCCGAAGAAGAUUGAUGCUAUUCGGGAUUGGCUUAGGCCGACGACGGUUACAGAGAUGAGGAGUUUCCUUGGACUUGCUCGAUAUUACUGUCGGUUUGUGGAAGGCUUUGCGAAGCUUUCCACACCCUCACUCGAUUGACGCGGAAAGGGAUUCGGUUUGUCUGGAGUAAGGACUGUUAGAGGAGCUUUGAUGAGUUGAGAUAGAGGUUGACGUAAGCUCCUAUCCUUGCCCUCCCAGUGAUGGGGGAAGGAUUUGUGAUCUACAGUGAUGCAUCGCACAGUGGACUUGGUUGCGUGCUGAUGCAGCAUGGUAGGGUGAUUGCUUAUGCUUCACGACAAUUAAAUGAUUACAAGAAGAAUUACCCUACGCAUGACUUGUAGCUUGCCGCAGUAGUCUUUGCCUUAAAGUUGUCGCGGCAUUACUUGUAUGGCGAGCACUACGAGGUUUUCAUCGAUCAUAAAAGUCUCAAGUAUUUGUUCACCUAGAGGGAAUUGAAUCUGAGGCAACGCCGGUGGUUGGAGUUACUAAAAGACUAUGAUAUUAGUAUUCAGUAUCAUCCCGGCAAGGCGAACGUGGUGGCAGAUGCGUUGAGCAGGAAGGCAGUGCAGAGCUUGAGUUUGAUGAUCACCCAGUAGAGGCCAUUACUCGAGGAGCUGCAGCGGCUGAGGCUCGAGAUUGUCCCCUGGGUCUACUGCGAGACUGAUGUCUAUGGUCUUGCAGCCCACUCUGUUGGAUAGGAUCCGAGAGAAAUAGAGUAGAGAUUCGCACUUGUCGAGGAUUCGAGAGCAGUAGAGAGGGGACAGGCCAAGAGCUUUGUGGUGGACAGUUCGGGAGUAUUACGGUACAGGGACCGACUGUGUUUGCCAGUGGAUUCAGAGAUCCGGGAGGACAUUUUGAGAGAGGCUCAUUGUUCACCUUAUACGGUUCACCCUGGUGGAACCAAGAUGUAUAAGGACUUGAAGGCACAGUUUUGGUAGACUGGAAUGAAGAUGGACAUUGGCAGAUUUGUGGCUCAGUGUCUGACUUGUCAACAGGUAAAGGCCGAGCAUCAGGUACCUGCUGGCAAGCUUUAGAGUCUGUCAGUACCCGAGUGAAAGUGGGAGUAGAUCAUGAUGGACUUUGUCGUCGGAUUGCCUAGAGCACAGGGUGGUUUUGAUGCGAUUUGGGUGAUAGUGGACAGACUGACCAAGUCUGCUCACUUCCUACCAGUACAGACUAUCUUGUCCAGGGAGAGACUUGCGCAGCUAUACUUGGAUGAGAUAGUAGGACUGCAUGGCAUGCCCACUUCGAUUGUAUCGGAUCGAGACCCAAGAUUCAUUUUGCACUUUUGGAGGAGUCUUUAGACAGCCUUGGGUACUCAGUUGCAUUUCAACACGGCGUUUCACCCACAGACAGAUGGUCAGUCAGAGCGGACCAUUUAGACUCUAGAGGACAUGCUGAGGGCAUGUGUCCUGGACUUUGGAGGAGGGUGGCAUCGACAUUUGAGACUGACUGAGUUUGCGUACAACAACAACUAUCAAACGAGCAUCCAGAUGGCUCUGUUUGAGACGUUGUAUGGACGCAGAUGUCGAUCCCCGUUGUUUUGAAGUGAUGUGGGUGAGAGGAAGACGCUAGGGCCUGAGAUCUUGCUAGAGGCUGAGGAAAAGGUGAAAGCAGUGCGAUGACACCUUUUGACUGCCCAGAGUCGCCAGAGGAGCUACGCCGAUACCAGAAGACGAGACUUAGAGUUCCAGGUCGGAGAUCAUAUAUUUCUCAAAGUCUCGCCGUCCAGAGGGAUUCACAGAUUCAGAGUGCGUGGAAAACUCAGUCCACGUUAUGUUGGCCCUUUUGAGGUAUUGGAGCGAGUUGGACCGGUUGCCUACAGGAUUGCUCUACCUCCCCGGUUAGCCGGUAUUCAUGAUGUCUUCCACGUCUCGGCAUUAAGGAUUUAUAUUUUCGAUCAUUCUCACGUGAUUGACUUCACUCUACUUGAGAUUGGCGAGGAUAUGAGAUACGAGGAGCGACCGUUGCGGAUUCUUGCUCGCGAGACGAAAGAAUUGCGCAACUAGGCCAUCCUGUAUGUAAAGGUGCAGUGGAGUAAUCACGAGGAGCAGGAGGCGACUUGGGAGCCCGAGACAGUGAUGAGAGAGUCCUAUCCUUAUCUGUUUGAUGCUCUGCGAUGAGGUAUGUUUACGUUUCGAGGACGAAACUUUUUGUAGUAAGGCAGGAUGUGGUGACCUUGGAGUUUAGCAGUUGAGGCUUGUCGACAGCUCUGGAGAGUGUCGGGACAAGUCCGAGUUGCGUUGGCGCGGAAUAGACGCAAAACGGACUCAGUGCGACGCGAGAGCGGGAGGUUAGCAUGAAAAUCUGCAAAUCGUCGAUUUUUUGCUUGUUGUACCGGUACAGCAUCAGGGAUGUACCGGUACAUUGCACUUGUACCGGUACAGCAUCGGGAAUGUACCGGUACUUGCGCCAGUUUCCGCGCAGCUACUAUCAGGUUGCUAUUUGUACUACUACAACCACUCGUGUACCGGUACACCAGGGUAGGUGAGAGGGCAUUUUGGUCUUUUCAUGCCUCGUACGUAUCACCCUUCCCUCCCACUACUACUUAUCUGUGUAGAGAGGUUGAGGGAGAAGGUUUUUCACGCUUCUUCUCCUCUCUCUCCCUAGGCUCGACCGUGCGUACGAAGGAGCUUGGGUGGAGUUAGAUUGUUGCCGACGUCGCGCCGCGGUGCCGUUCGAGUGCGUGUUCGUCGUGGUAGUGUCGCAGGGAGGCCGGGCGAGGGUGUGAUUCCGCCGUUCUCGACGUCACGCCGGUUUUGGAGUAGCUUUCGAGGUGGGUUAAUCGUCGGUUGAUCUUCUAAGUAUAUAUAUAUAUGGUUGACAUGUAUUUGUUGCGUUGUUUCCCAUAUCGUAGUUGCUCGAUUCAUUGAUUUGGCAUGCUUAGAAAUCUGAAUUGGAGCCUAGUAUUUUAACUAUAUGUUUAUACAUGUUGGACUUGGAUAUGACUUAGGAGAAAAUCUGCGAAUAUAACCCGUCAUAUGCUUAAACUACUAGAUUUAGCUCUAGGAGCCGUGGGUUGAUUGUAUCAUCCAGUUUCAGAGCGGUGGAUACUGCAGAUAGUUUAGAGUACAGUUAUGCUCGUGCUGGGAUGCCAAGCCUAUUUUAUAGUAGCGUUCAGACUGUUCCGAAUUGUUGGGUGUUGUCGGGGUUGACGGUGGACCCAGAUUGCAAUUUUGGCAUCAGAUUGUGCUGAGGGCACGUGACUUGUUGGUCGUUAGACCAGUUGGACCCUGUUUUCUUGACUUUAGCCUGUGAGAGCUUGAUUGAGCUCGACAGAGAUACGCUUGCAUACUUGGUUGGGUCGCGCCCACGAGUGCCACUCCGGAGUCAGGCUUAGUGCUUUUGCGUUGAUGUCGCUGAUUGGACUUCGUAUCCACGGACUGCUUAGCGUGAAGGUAGCGUUGGCUUAGACAGGCUAGGACGGGUGUGUUCACAGUCCCUGGGACGGGUAUGCUUAUAGUCUCCAGUGAGAUUGGGUCAAGAUUGACAUUUACUUCACAAUGUUAGUAUUAGAGCAUAAUAGUGUAGUGACAUUUAGCUGUAGAUUCAUUCCAGCUUUUUCUACUAUUCCUGCUUUCUUCUGUAGACUUAGUGGGUGGACCGAUGAUGUUGAGGGCGGCACCCACUGAGGACUACUUAUUUUUACAGUAGUUUUCACGCCCUGUUGUUACUCCUCUUUUGCAGAGCCCUCGGUUCCGGCUGCUGCAUCUUCUGAGACUGAUCGUGGUAAGGGCGUUGCGAGUUAGAGCCCUACCGACGAGUCGUCGAGUUAGCGGAGCCCCAGCUACUAGUAGUAGUAGUUUUUGAGUUCACAUACAUACUGUUGUUGUUGUAUCUCGCUUGGUGAGCUUUUGGUUUUUCGGAUGUUGUAUGUAUAGUGAACUUUUGUUUUCUAUCUGGAUUUAUCUUUCCUAGCAACUCUAUACUACUGGUUGUAGUAUUUUAUGUUAUACAGGUAAGCUAUCGCUUCGUAUACAGGAAAAAUUUCUUUGUCUACGGCAGAUUUGUCGGCGUGCCCGGAGAACGUGUAAUCCGGGGCGUGACAAUUUUAGAAUAGUUCGUUACGAUCGGAAUUAGUAUUCCCACCAACUUUUUUUUUUGUGUUUAGGAAUAAGGAUGGAAUAAAUCUUUUAUCCCAUUCUUAACCCCCAACCAAAUAUGGCAUAACCUUAUGUAUUUGAAAUAAAGUUUAAAUAUUUAAAAUACUUAAAAUUGAAAACUUUAAAUGUGAUGUGAUGUAUGAUGUGAUUUGAUGUAGUAGAAUAAAGUGAUUCCUGAGAGAGGCAGAGUAGAAUUCUGAAUUGGAAGACUUAAAAUUUAAAAUUUAUAAUUUAUAAUUUGAAAAUCAAGACGAAUAAUUAUAUAUUUUAAAUUUAAAAUUAAAAAUUUAAAUUUUAAAAUUUUAAAAUUAAAAAUUUAUAAUUCCAAAUUUUAAAUUUUAUUUUGGAUUUUAAUUUUAAAAUCUAAAAUUUAAAAUGUGAGGCUAGGAAUUUUAAAAAAUAAAUUUAAAAUUUCAAAAUUUUCAAAUUUAAAAUGUAAAUUUUAAAUUUUAAAUAUUGAAAUUUAAAAGUAAAUUGGAAACUUUAAAUGUGAUGUGAUGUGUGAUGUCAUGUCAUGUGAUUUGACUGGGUGGAAUCACGUCAUAUCUGUAGUGUUCCUGAGGUUUGGAUUGAUUUGGCUACAGUAUUAGUGACUGGUCGACACAUUUAGAGAGUGUCGGACUGAGUCGUAGUCGUUUCUGCACGAAAUGGAUGCAAAAAUGAACUUGGCGCACUCAAAUAAGCAAAACUGAAGUUUUGCCAGUUUAGGGCGCCCGGAAAUGGAUUUAGGGCGCCCAGAUCUUGAGUGUUGUUUUGUAUUAGAUACUGCAGCUAUUUCGGACCAUGUUUAGGGUGCUCGAAAGUUGGAUCCGAAAUUUUACAUCGUGAAUAUCAACUGUGUUGACACGUGGGGUGUGGUAGGUGAGAUCCGUCGGAACCAGAUAGCGGUGUAGCAGACCGUCUGAUGGAGAACGCGAGGUAUUGUUUGUGCAGGCUGGAAGUUUUGGGCGCCUAGAACUGGGUUUAGGGCGCCCAGAUCUUGAUUUUUCUGCAAAUAGUGCAGUUUAGUAGCAUUUGUUCCUGAGGCUUUUUGGACCCUUCCAACACACUAUAAAUAGGGAGAAUUCGACCCCUGUGAUCUCUUUUCUCUCUCUCUUCACAGUGAAGGCUAUUUUGCAUCCAAACCCCUCUAAUUUCUCCAAAAUUGCUCAAGUUCACCAAGUUUUCAUUGAGGAGUGUUGUUCUAGCAGUUUUCCAGCAGUGACCGUCAGUGUUUCGGCUCGUGUGUGACGUAGGAUGCCCCGUUUUUCACAAAACUUAGUUUGUUGGAUUCUAGACUUCAAGAGAAAUCCGUGGAGUCCAAUUUGACAGAUUUUCGUUGAGGUUAGCUGGGUCAAUUCCUCGUUUUACUUUGCUGCUGGCAGUAUUGAGCUGAAUGUAUGAUUUUUGAAUUUUCUUGAUGCUAGUUUUGGAGGAAUUGAUAUUUUGAACCAGAGAAGCUUAUUCCAACAUUGUUCACUGGAUUUGAGACCUUCCUCACCUGAUUUGAAGGUGAUUAGGUGAGUUUUGACAUUGUAGUUGGUGGAUGUAAGCUUAAGUGCUGAAAUUUGGGGUUAUUGAUGCAAAUUUGAUGUUUUUGUAUUUAGAUCUUGGGGAAUAUUGGUUUUGGACCAGAGGAUAUUAUUCCAUCUUAGUACACUGCCUUGGAAGCUUUUCUCACCUGAUUUGGAGAUUUGAAGGUGAAAGUAGCAUUGCAAUUGAGCAAAAAGUAUGCUUUGGGGCUGAAUUGCAUUUGAUUGAUGGCAUUGAAUAUUUUUGGUGUUUAGAGCUUUGGAGAAGUUUUGUUGUUGGACUUGAGUGAUCUCGGCUGAACUUGGCAGGAUCUCGAGCAAACUGGUGACCUCCUCGCUGCCGGGGAUUAGAGCUAGAGGCAGGUUAAUUCAUCGGGUUUUACUCCUAGGCAUUGAAUAGUCGACAUGUAUAAAUUCAGCAUUUGUAUUUCAUGUUUUAGUUCGAAUUCAUUGAGUAGUCUGUUAAAUGAAAUAUGAAUUUCGGGCAUGCUGUAGUAAUUAGAUAAAUUAUACAUGUUGGACUUGAAAUUUUGACAUAGGAGAAAACCAGCGAUAUUACCCCGUCACAUGCUUAAACUAUCUGAUUUAGCUCUAGGAGCCGUUCUUUGUUUGUAUCACCGCAGUUUCAGAGCGGUGGAUACCGAGGGUAGUUUAGAAUGCAUUUACGCUCGUACUAGGAUGCCGAGCUUGGGUAAUAUUCAACUAUAGGUUCUACACAGUCUUUUCUAUAAACUAUCGGUUAGCUCCUUAAACUUUUGUGCUUCGUAUCCACGCUGUUAGUGCGCAUUUGAUACUUAGAUAGCUCUGAAGCCGUUGUGCCUAGUAUCCACACUGUUAGUGCGCAUGUUGUCACGCCCCGAUCCCCGCCGAUUUGGUCGGGUUCAGUCACGUCAACAGACGCCGAACGGACAGGGCCUUCCCUGCCCGCCCAAGGCUCUAACCACAUGUAUAAUAAAGCAAAUCAAACAACGAGAUGAGCAAUUAUACAAGGCUUGCACGAGGGCAAGCAACAACGGAAACGAAAGCUCUAAGCUAUAACAUACAACAUACAUGAUACUUGAUUUCAUUUGAACCAAAUACAAGUAAAGUAAACUAUUACAUUCUUUUUCCAUUCAUUCAUCAUUUCUUUUUACACUUUAGCCAUCCACCAUUUACAUGAUCGUUUACUACUUUAAAACUAUAAAUCAACAAAAGAAAGUUGAUACAUGUAUACCAAAGGGGAAUGACUACAAAAUAUUUAUAAAGUCCCGGUGGCCGCUAUCUACGGCGCUAAACCCUUGCCUCGGUCCUCCGCCGCCCCGCUCGUGCUAAGACCUGUAGGGUUAGUGGUAAUGAGAACUAGAACGAAGUUCCCAGUGGGUUCGGCAACCGACCUCGCCGACUUACCCACUAGGUCUAUUCAGGCAUAAGUAUUUCAAGAAAAUGGAAAUAGUAACCAUACCAACUAAUGCAUCUAAUACUAUGCCUGCAAAAGAAUGUCAGUGGAUAUAUGUAAUCAAACAAUAUUUAGUAUGCAUGCAUACAUAUUCUUUACUUUACUUUUCUUUCAUUACCCAAUCUUACCGGUUAACUUUGUUAACCCCAAUAGCUCACAAUUCCGUUUUCCAUCUACCGGGGGAGGCAUUUAGCACUACCACCUGAGGGAUCGUCGACGGGGCUCUUCCCCGUUGGUGUCUACACUCUGGAGUACACCGCUUGUGGAGGAGCGACCUUCCACAAGCCUAAGUCCACGUGAGCCUCGAUCCAAUCCUCAUGUUGAGGAUACAUCUCUACUAGUCACAAUGUCGAUGUCUUGAUAGGUUCUUACCUAUUGUUCAUGUCAUGUUCUGAGUCAUUCUCAAGGCCAAUCAUGUUUCUAUUGUCAAUGUCACCCUUGUUUACUACAAUCAAGGUCCAAGUCUCACAUUCAUACAUGUUUUAGGGUUCUACAUACAUGUCCGUUAGGGUUCUUGUUCAAUCACUACGUUCAUCUACGUCAGGAGCAUAAUAUUGAAAUUCUAACCACUAACACAUGUAAUUAUGCCUAUCAUGCAUGAAUGACUAUAUACAAUAUGCUCAAAUAUAAAGUGACAUAGACAUAGAAGGGAAUCCAACGAUUCCGGAAUGCACCCCCCACCUCUAAUGGUCGUGUAGGUGUAGAAUAUGACGACUCUCGAACUUUGCGAAAGCCGAUUCCACGUCCUAUAACCAAAAUAGUGCCAUAUUAGGCCUUUUUGUACAUGAACUAUACUUAAACAUUUUCGUAACGUCGAACGGAGUUGUCCAACGCAUUCAUUUGACCCCCAAUUAGGUUUCUACGAGAUCAAUUUGCCUCGAAAAAAUUCUAGGGCAAAAGCCCCAAUUUUCAAACCCUAACAAUGCUCUACAUAGAAUGCUCCUAGAUUGAUCUCAUCCCUAAGUAAAUGAUAGCUUGGAUUCACUUAUGAAGCAUCCUAACCAAUAUCCUAAGCCCUUGGAACCAACCCUAGCGCUUCUAAUGCGAACCCUAGUGAUCCACCAUGAGAGCUCUACAAGGAAACCAUGGAUUUCAUAGUUUCUUAGCUCAACAAGGUUUCUGAAGCUAGGAAUAAACUCAAAACUUCAAAACUUAGGGAUCAAAACCAAACCCUAGACUCAUUUGUGCAAAUACCUCACCUUUGCCCAAGUUCUGCCAAGCUCCUUCUUGUAGGUGAGCUUGCUAGAUCCUCCAAAGCCUCCAAGAUCACCUUCUCCAAGCUUCUUCUUCUUCCUCUCCAAGCUCUAGAGGUGUUUCUAGAGAGAGAAAGGAGAGAAGGUGAGAGAGGGUGAAGUGGUUGUGAAAGGGGAGAAGGGAUGGGCCAUAUAUCAUGUUGCAACAUUUGCAACUAAGCCCCCCAACUCUUUUCUCUGUGCACUGCCCAGACUCGGCAUUUUUCGCAGUGAGGGACCGGUCUCCCCGACCUGGGACCGGUCCCCGAGAGCUUCUCCCGCGGACUGAGCAGGCUGCGCGCGAUGCAACUGGUCUCCCUCAAUGGGACCGGUCUCGGGGGACCAGUCUCUCCUCGCAGGGACCGGUUUUCGAGAGUUGGCUUUUCAGGACUUAGCCGAUUUUUCCCUCUGCUCGGCUACUGCUCGUGCGUGGACCGGUCUCUCCUUCAGGGACUGGUCCCCGAGAGUCCAAAUUCUGGAAAUCCACCAGAAUUGCAAUUUCACUCUCUAGGGUCCCUAUUUACUUCAUGUAUAGGCUCCAAUGCACUUAGGGCCUAUACCAACUCGUUCCACUCCGCGUUCCGCUCGUUUCGACGAAACUCAGAACGAUUUACGAGGGAUGUGGUAUGUUACACAUGUGAUACUAGGAUAGCUUCUGAAGGCAGAUGGUAUCCACGCUGUUAGUGUGCAUUUGAUACGCGGAAAGCUUAGGAGCUGUAGUUUAUUUGUACCACCGCAGUUUGUUAGCGAUGGAUACCCCGGAUAGUGUAGAAUACAUUCACGCUUGUCCUAAGAUGCCGAGCUUAUUUUUAUAGCAGUGGUUAGGCUGUUUCGGACUAUCGGGUGCCGUCGGGGUUGAUGGUGGACCCAGAUUGCUGUUUUGUCAUGAGCUUCCACGAGUGCCACUCCGGAGACGGGCGCUGUGCGUUUGCGUUGGUAUCGUUCGUACAGAUUGGACUUGCUCUCACGGACUGUGUAGUGUGGAGAUAGUUGUAUAGUUGUAACCGGUCGGGACAGGUGUGUUCACAGUCCCUUGGACGGGUAUGUUUACAGUCCUUAGUGAAAUUAGGUCUAGUUGUAUAGUUGCAACCAGUCGAGACGGGUGUGUUCACAGUCCCUGGGCCGGGUAUGUUUACAGUCCUUAGUGAGAUUGGGUAUGAGAUGGCAUCGUUCUACAGAUAGCAGUGUUGGAUUAUGAUAGAAUAGUGGCAUAUAGCUGUAGAUUUAUUCUAGGUUUCCUUUCUAUCUUUGAGCUUUUAUCCGUAGACUUAGUGGGUGAAUCGAUGAAUUUGAGGGCGGUACCCACUGAGGACUACUUCAUUUGCAGUAGUUCUCACGCCCAGUUGUUACCCCUGUUUUUGCAGAGCCUCUUGUUCCGUCUGCUGCUUCUGCCGAGACUGAUCGUGGCAAGGGCAUUGCGAGUUAGAGCUCUUUCAGACGAGUCGCAGAGCUAGAGUACUGUAAUACACUGGACUUUCGCAAAUUGUAGAGUUCGAGUGUGUGGAAUGAAGUGUGGAAUUAUUCUACAUGUUCUAAUUGACUUGGACAAGUUUUUGAACAAGUUAGAGAGUGGUUGGAGGGUUAAAAGCAAGAAAGUGCAUUGAACUGGCGAAAAUCAGCCUUUUCUGCUUGCUGUACCGGUACAGACAUUACCUUGUACCGGUACAAGCUGGCAGAUUCGUGGCAGCAAAGUUAGUUUUGUAAUUUCACACUUGAUCCCUAUCUAUAUGACCCCUGCACGACCCCAGGAGCUCAGUGGAGUAUGCUGGAGCUCAGAGAAAGGUUCUCCCACCUUCCUUACUCUCUCUCUCUAGGGUUUUUCUCUCUCUACAAAGAAUUCGCCGAUUUCGCUCGUUUUCGUCGCAACGUUGGUUCUUCGCUGUUCGCAUGUGUCGCAGAGCUUACAUGGACGCGUGAGAGAGUAUCUUGGAAGGCGUUUCGCAGCCCUGAACCAGUAGCUCACUGGUGGGAAGUCUGAGAAGGUAAUCGGCUCAACUUUUCCGNAAGGGAGUCGCGUCUAGCUAGACUUUGCUAGGAGCGUGCUAGUCGAUCACCUUGCUACUCGGGCUACGGCCGAGGGUGAUGUCCUUUGUAUAGAGAGACCACCAUUGUACCUAUUUUUGUAUACUCCGUGAUAUAUAUUUACUGUUGAUCCCGAUAUUUCUGUUGUGAUACUUGCUCUUUAGUCGAGAUUUUGGAUUGUACAUUCCUUGUUCUUUUGUUGAUAUUAUAUCGACUCGUACAUUGCUCUGAUAUCAGGAUAGGACUUUCUUUGUUUUACUCCCUAUCGACUUGCUUUCUUUGUAGACGCCUUAUAUACUGCAGGUGUAUGGCGGGUCUGCGCACGUACCGGAUAUGCUUCCGCUGGAAUCCGGGCGUGACAAGUACCAGCUACAAAUAGUUGUAGUUUUUGGUCCUUUAUAUAUAGAUGCUGCAUCUCGCCAGAGUGAGUAUUUGUGUAUCCUGGAUGAUAUGUAUGUAUUGAACCAUUGUUUUUAUAUAUGGUUUAAUUUCCUAGCAGCUCUAUACUACUAUUUGUAGUAUUGUAUGAUUACAUGUACUGUUACUGUUUCGCUUCGUAUAUAGGAGAAAUUCCUAUGUAUACGGCGGGUCUGUUAGCGUGCCCGGAGAAACGAGUAAUCCGGAGCGUGACAGAUUAAGUUGGUAUCAGAGCUUAACAUUAGGUCGUUGGGACCUUGGAACCCUAAGAUUGGCAAAUCUUAGGAAGGUAAGACGCGAGAGACGUGAUUUAUCGCGAGAGACGUGAUUUAUCGCGAAAGUUAAUGAUUGAUUGUUCUGACUCCUCCUAGAGCGGUGUGAGUGAUUGAAGGAUUGCCUGUUUCGGCCCAGCAAAAUUAUAUUGGCUGCAGACGACAUAAUUUUGAGGAGAAAUAGAGACCGCCUUCUAGACUUUCGUUUGAUUGGGUCGAGAGUGUUUGUGUUUUAUUUUACCUUGUUUUGUUCCUUGCAGCUAUGUAUCGUCGUCGAGGUCGACCGUCGACCAGGGAUCGUGCCGCACCGCUUGAGAUGCCUGAGCAGGCAGAGCCGAGUGCACGACCAUAGGCGAGUGCACCCCCUAAUUUGAGAGAGAAGUUGGCUUCCUUGACAGAGGUGAUCAAGUAGCAGGGUGUACUAUUAUAGUGGAUGUGCAAGACGGUCACUCAGUGGGCGAGCGUUGAGCUAGGAGUAUCUGGGCAGUAGGCACUCUGGGCGGAGCACAGAGUUAUAUCAGUUUAGGAGCGGACUACGGCAUUGGGGUAGAGUCGGGACAGGAAGUGCCCUUUUCCAGAUGACGGAGGACGGUCGAGCAGCAGACGUUCGCCGAGGCCUCCACGAUCACCCUCUCAGGGUCGUGGGUCUUCGGGGCGUCAGCGUGCAAGGGGAUCCCGUCAGCCGGGACAGCCAUCGAGGAUUGCGCAGUGCAUUAUUUGUGGUGGACCGCACUGGCGCCGACAGUGUGAGGAGAGAGAGGGCCGGUGCUACGGAUGUGGUCAGCCCGGGCAUAUGAGGUCAGCUUGUCCUCGAGCAGCAUCUCCAACACCAUCCAAUGCAUCAGCGCAGCUACCAUCCCAGUAGUCUUUCGGUGCAGCACCGAGUUACCGCCAGGAGGACAGAGCAUCUGUGCCGCGUCAAGGUGAGCGGCGACAGUAGGCUCCGAGCGGCUGGGUUUAUGCAGCUCAGGUGGAAGACUCUACAGCAGCUGACCGAGUGGUGACAGGUAUUAUUUUGAUUUUCGGCAUUCGAGCUCGUACUCUUCUGAUACCGGUGCAUCGUAUUCUCUUGUUAGUCGAGCAUUUGCAUCCUUGUAUAGUCUAGAGGUAGGGCCGUUGUUGUAUGCAUGAGAGGUGUAGAUCCCCGACCAUAUUUUACAUGUUGCAGAGUGUUGUUGGUCAUGUCUGGUGCAGUUAGAUUCUUGGAUCAUGCCCGCAGACCUGUUGGUCUUAGGGCAGCUGCAGGACUUUGAUGUUGUGCUCAGUAUGGAUUGGCUGGUGCGGUACUAUGCUAUUAUCGAUUAUGGAGCGAGGACGGUGACGUUCCGCGAGCCAAGCCAGGAGGAGUUCACUGUUAGAGGCUGCAGGAGUACGUUGUUUGCCACUUGGAUAUCGUCGGCGAGGGCUCAAUAGCUGAUGAGUAGAUGAUGUGUUGCUUUUCUGGCGACGGGUGCAGUGGUGCCUACGGCGACGCCAGGACUCGAGGAUAUUCCUAUAGUUUGAGAGUUUCCUGAUGUUUUUCCCCCAGAGUUGACGACGAGGCCGCCGAGAGGGAGAUUGAGUUUGUGAUUGAUGUAGUUUCUGAAACUGCACCAAUCUCGAAGGCACCUUACUGGAUGGCACCGGCAGAGCGGAGAGAGCUAAAGGCGCAGCUUCAGGAUCUGAUGGAUAAGGGGUAUGUGAGACCAGUGUAUCGCCUUGGGGAGCGCCGGUGCUAUUCGUGAAAAAGAAGGAUGGUUCGCUCAGGUUGUGCGUGGAUUACUGGGGGCUGAAUAAAGUGACCAUCAAGAACAAGUAUCCGUUGCCGCGCAUUGAUGAUCUGUUUGAUCAGCUGUAAGGAUCUUGUGUCUUCUCAAAGAUUGAUCUACAGUCAGGUUACCACCAGUUGAGGGUGAGGGCCGAGGAUGUUCCCAAGACGGCUUUUCGGACUCGGUACGGACAUUAUGAGUUCACCGUGAUACCUUUUGGAUUGACGAAUACCCCUGCCGCAUUCAUGGAUCUGAUGAACAGAGUGUUCAAGCUGUUCUUGGAUACAUUUGUGGUAGUCUUCAUCGAUGAUAUCUUGAUAUACUCCCGGAGUGAUGUCGAGCAUGAGGAGCACUUGAGGACUGUGCUACAGCUUCUACAAGAGAAGAAGUUGUAUGCCAAGUUAAAGAAGUACGAGUUCUGGUUACGGGAGGUUGCUUUCUUGGGCCACAUGAUUUCUACAGAUGGAGUAGCAGUGGACCCGAAGAAGAUUGAUGCUAUUCGGGAUUGGCCCAGACCGACGACGGUGACAGAGGUAAGGAGUUUCCUGGGACUUGCUGGUUAUUACCGUCGAUUUGUGGAAGACUUUACGAAGCUUUCCACACCCUUCACUCGAUUGACUUGUAAAGGAAUUAAGUUCAUCUGGAGUGAGAAUUGUCAGAGAAACUUCAAUGAGUUGAGACAGAGGUUGACGUCUGCUCCUGUCCUUGCCCUUCCAGUGAUAGGGGAAGGAUUUGUGAUCUACAGUGAUGCAUCGCACAGUGGUUUGGACUGUGUGUUGAUGCAACAUGGUAGGGUAAUUGCUUAUACUUAACGGCAAUUGAAGGAUUACGAGAAGAAUUAGCCUACGCAUGACUGGGAUCUUGCCGCAGUGGUUUUUGCAUUAAAGUUGUGGCGGCAUUACUUAUAUGGCGAACACUGUGAGAUUUUUACUGAUCACAAAAGUCUCAAGUAUCUGUUCACCCAAAAAGGAGUUGAACCUGAGGCAAUGCCGAUGAUUGGAGUUAUUGAAGGACUAUGAUAUUAGUAUUCAAUAUCAUCCCGGCAAGGCGAAUGUGGUGGCAGAUGCGUUGAGCAGGAAGGCAAUGCAGAACUUGAGUAUGAUGAUUACACAGCAGAGGUCGUUACUUGAGGAGCUACAGCGGUUGUGGCUCGAGAUAGUGUCCCCUGGGUCUAUUGCGAGACGGAUAUCUAUGGCCUUGCAGCCCACUCUGUUGGAUAGGAUCCGAGAGAAAUAGAGUGGAGAUCCGCAUUUGUUGAGGAUUCGAGAGUAGUUAGAGAGGGGACAGGCAGAGGGCUUUGUUGUGGACAGUUCGGGAGUACUGCGGUAUAAGGACCGACUGUGUGUGCCUAUGGAUUUAGAGAUCCGAGAGGAUAUUUUGAGAGAGAUUCGCUCAGUUGUAUCUAGAUGAGAUAGUGAGAUUGCAUGGCGUGUCUACUUCGAUUGUAUCGGAUCGAGAUCCAAGGUUCGUUUCGCACUUUUGGGGGAGCUUUCAGACGGCCUUGGGCACUCAGUUGCAUUUAAGCACGGCGUUUCACCCACAGACCGAUGGUUAGUAAGAGCGGACCAUUCAGACUCCUGAGAACAUGCGGAGGGCAUGUGUUCUGGACUUUGGAGGAGGGUGGCAUCGACAUUUGAGACUGGCUGAGUUGCGUACAACAACAGCUAUCAAACGAGCAUCCAGAUGGCUCCGUUUGAAGCGUUGUAUGGACGCAAGUGUCGAUCCCCUUUAUAUUGGAAUGAUGUAGGUGAAAGGAAGACGCUAGGGCCUGAGAUUUUGUUAGAGGCUGAGGAAAAGAUUACAGCAGUGUGAUGACACCUUUUGAUAGCCAGAGUCAACAGAGAAGCUAUACUGAUACCCGGAGACGAGAUAUGGCGUUUCAGAUUGGAGAUCAUGUGUUUCUUAAAGUCUUGCCGUCCAGAGGGUUUUGCAGAUUUGGAGUGUGUGGAAAGCUCAGUCCACGUUUUGUAGGCCUUCUGAGGUAUUGGAGUGAGUUCGGCUAGUUGUUUACAGGAUUGCUCUACCUUCACGACUAGCCGGCAUUCACGAUGUGUUCCACGUCUCGGCUUUGAGGAGAUUUGUGUUCGACCCUUCCCACGUGAUCGACUUCACUCAGCUAGAGCUUGGCGAGGACCUGAGAUACGAGGAGCGACCGGUGCGGAUUCUGGCUCGUGAGACGAGGGAAUUGCGCAACCAGGCCAUCCCCUUUAUAAAGGUACAGUGGAGUAAUCACGAGGAGCGGGAGGCGACUUGGGAGCCGGAGACUGUGAUGCGGGAGUCCUACCCCUACUUGUUUGAGACUCAGAUUUGAGGUAUGUUUUAAGUUUCGAGAACGAAACUAUUUGUAGUGGGGGAGGAUGUAGUGUUCCUGAGGUUUGGAUAGAUUUGGCUACAGUAUUAGUGACUGGUCGACACAUCUGGAGAGUAUCAGACUGAGUCGGAGUCGUUUCUGCACGAAAUGGAUGCAGAAAUGAACUUGGCGCACUCAAAUAAGCAAAACUGAAGUUUUGCCAGUUUAGGGCGCCCAGAAAUGGGUUUAGGGUGCCCAGAUCUUGAGUGCUGUUUUGUAUUAGAUGCUGCAGCCAUUUCGGACCUUGUUUUGGGCGCACAAAAGUUGGAUCCGAAAUGUUAUAUCGUGAAUAUCAAUUGUGUUGACACGUGGGGUGUGGUAGGUGAGAUCCGCUGGAACUAGAUAGCAGUGUAGCAGAUUGUCUAACGGAGAAACCGAGGUACUGUUUGUGCAAGCUAGAAGUUCUGGGCGCCCAGAACUGGGUUUAGGGCGCCCAGAUCUUGGUUUUUCUGCAAUAGUGCAGUUUAGCAGCAUUUGUUCCUGAGGCUUUUUGGACCCUUCCAGCACACUAUAAAUAGGGGGAACUCGACCCCUGUGAUCUCUUUUCUCCCUCUCUUCACAGUGAAGGCUAUUUUGCAUCCAAACCUUUCUAAUUUCUCCAAAAUUGCUCAAGUUCACCAAGUUUUCAUUGAGGAGUGCUGUUGUCACGCUUUUCGACCUGCCUAUUUGGUCGGGUUCGGGCACACCGACAAACCGACGAACGGACAGAGUUUCCCCUAUACGUCCUAGGCAUCGCAAUCAAUACAAUGUACGAGGUUCCAACCAGGAACACAUUUCAAUCAAGAUUGCAUAAGAAAGUAUCAUAAACAUAAAAUGACUAAUGCUAUUACAAGUAUUCCCAUUACAUACAUUUUACAUCACAAUUUUCUUUUACAUUCAUUUUACAACUUCCAAGGCAAUCAAGUUAUUACAAUUAUUAAAAGUUUUAGUACAUCUUGAUCUUUUCCUUUUUCUCUACCCCUAGGCUAUGCCGACUCGGAGUGCCGCUAUCUCUGGUCUCGGAGGUAGGGCGCUAUCUAUGGAGCUACGCCCUUGCCUCGCACCGCCGCGCCGCUCACGUGCGAAUCUGUAACACCCCAAAACAACGUGGGGUGAGAACCAACUCCGUGGUUCCCAGUGGGUACGGCCACCCAAGGGAAAAGCUCGACCAAUAGGUCCAAGGAGGCACUGCAAUCAUGUUAGUCCAAAAACAUUUGAAAAUAUAUAUAUCAUUAUGUAAUUAUGCAACUAAUAGAUAUCAUGCCUCACAACAUGCAAUAUGAACAUUAUGCAACAACUAGUAGAUCUAUUGAUUCUACAUUCAAUUUGGCUAGUUUUAGCUCAUGUCAUUCAUCUCUAAGGUUUCUACUACCUUAGGUUCACAAUUCGAGUUCAACUUGCUUAUAAGGUCUCUAUUACCUUAUCUUUUGCCUCUAUCACUAGCUUAUAAGGUCUUUAUUACCUCACCAAAGCUAUCCACUCGACUCGGCCUCGAGUCAAUCAUCCGCGGACUACCGCGUACUGGCUACUCAACAGCCUACCGCCCUCCGUGACUUAGCCCCAUAGCGGCGAAAUCAUCGCACACGCUGAACAGGCUCAAGUCACCUGGCGGCCUGAUCCACAAAUCGGCUUAACCAUUUGGCGGCGAAAUCAUCGCACACGCCCAGCCAUGGUUCAAGCCUUUGGGUGGCGAACACUGUACGCACACCCAAUCCACCUUGGUAUCAAUCUCGGCUGCGAAAUCAUCGCACAUGCCCUAACGUUGAUACCGAGGCCAUCACAAGUCCUGGGAUUCCGGAAUCCACUUCCACAAGUCAAGGGUCCAUAUCCAACCCUAUGCUGUCGACCUAUCUAGGUUCGACCCAGAACAUCCUAGUGGCUACUACUGCUAUGCUCAACAACCUAGGUUCAGUGCCACUCUAAGUUUACUACGUGUCAUAACCUAGGUUUAAAUACUCUAGAUUCUAUACCAUUCAUGUCCGACCUAUGUUUAUUAACACCAAGUUCAAUGUCAUUCUUGUUCGACCUAUGUUCACGACACUAGGUUGGAUGUCACUCGCCUAGAUCUAUUUGACUCUAGGUUUAUUCACAACCUAUGUUCUUUAACACUAUGUUAGAUGCCACUCAUGAUUCACCCUAGGUUCAACAACACUAGGUUCGAUGCCACUCGAUCUAUUCGACAUCCUAGUUGUCUAAUCGAGUAUUUCGCGCUACUAUUUUCCAUUGUCGAGUUUUAUAUUCAUUCUAGAUUUAUCAAUGAAGUUCACAUGCACAUCCUCACAAUGCUAAUCAUGCAUUAAUGCAAUUAUCUAGCAUUUAUAUCACCUACUCAUCAUGCAUUCUAUGAUUUCUACAUCAUAUCAUAUGCAUCUACUUAGCAUUUACAUUAUAUCAUUAACAUGCAUUAUUUAGCAUUAACUACAUGCAUCAUCCACAUGUAUCACCUAGCAUUUAUAUGCAUCAACAUGGAUUCACAAUUCUCUCAGACAUAACGGGGACCUAGUCGCUUCGGUAAGCACAACCCACCUCGAUUCGCUCUCCGAUUGCUUGUCAACACUUGCAAUCGGCCUCCCGCGGCACACGUCACCCGGCUUGGCCCGAUCUUGCAAUCAAACUCCAACCGUGCGCCGAUUCGCGGCCUCGAAAAUUAUAGGUUUGCAGCUAGCCGCCGUGAUGCCCCAGAUCCAUUUUCGUGAUUUUUAGUCAUCGCCUCGGCCCUCAAGGCGGAAACGAAGCUAAAUCGUCCGUUUCAUCAAUAUCUUUGCACCGGCUCGACGAAUCGCCGAACCGACUUCGCCAACUCGUCGGAAUACCUAGCAAUUAGGUUUACGGAGGGUUAAUUUAGAUCAAACCCAUCUAUAUAUCAAAACCAUAUUUUGGAGCCCUAUAUGCCACAAUUGCAAAAUCCAUCUCUAGAUUCAUGCAUCAUCCAACUAUUUAGCAUCUUAGGAGUCAUCUAAAAUCAAUCGUAGAGUUUAUAAAUCAAACCCUAGUUACUUGCCAUUAAAGAGCAUCAAGCUUACCUCUAGAAGCUUGCUUUUGUGCCAAGGAAGAAGAUGAAGAGGAAGAAAAUCCACCUUCUUGACUCCUUCUCCACCAUCUUCUUCUCCUUGCUCCAUCUCUAGGGAGAGAGAAGAGAAAUCUAGAGAGAAGGAGGAGCUCCUCUCUCUAGCUCUUGUGUGAGUGUGUGUGCGUUUGGGUUGAGAAAGGAAGAAGAAGGGUUAAAGCCCUUCUUCUAGAAGCAAUCCCACCAAUUUACAAGAUUGCCCCUGCUCAAACUGUGCAUUUUUCGGGCUCAGGGUUCGAACCUUCAAGCCAGGGUCCGGACCCCGUAGGUCCAGAAAAUCAGCAUUUUCAGACUUAGCCAAAAUUUCAGCCUUUUCGCCAAUUUUUGUCCGUUUUCGCUCGUUUUCGCUCCGUGAGUCUCCGAUUCGUUUCAAAUCGAGCCGAGACUCUCGAAACAUGUUUUCGAGCGUGUUUUCAUCGUCUCUUCAUCCACGCUAAUGUCGGAUUUAGUUCAUGGUCUGACAUAGCCUUUCGGGUCUCGUUUUCGCGCCUACGCACUCCGAAAACACCCGAAUGCUUCUAACUUCACUGGAACCUCACCGCAGCCAUUCAAAUCGCUUUCCAACCAAAUGUACACCGUAACUUCAUAAUUUUAGAAGUCCGGUACCUUACAUCCUCCCCUCCUUAAUAAGAGUUUUGUCCUCGAAACUCAAAUAACUCCAACUCCAUUUCACACCUCAAUUCAACUUAUCAAGUGAUCGAGGGUUCUAAUGCACUUUCGCACUUCGGAGUGGCCUUUUACGCAUCGGGAUAGUCCAAAGGCCCACUACGAAGGACGUGAGACCAGAUUCACUCACAUUUGCCAAGUAUAACUCCAAAAGUGCAUUACCAUCAUGCAAAGAACCAUUCUUUGCAUUACACACUUAAUCGGGAAAUUCAUUCCGACUCGAUCACCGGCAUUGCUUAAAAGCAAUAACGUUGGUGCAUCGACCAAUUGCGAGUGCUCCAAUCCCAACCGGAUCCUUGCUCUAUCACGAGAUGGCACACUUCGGCACAUCUCCAAUCUCAAUCUACAAAAGAGCAUUAUCCUCCAACUCCAAUUCUCAUGUGGCUUCCAUUAGCUCAAUGUCUCACAAGAGCAUUUCAUCCUUUGCCAUCAUGAGCCACAACAAACUCAACUUCGUUGUCGCAACGAACUCACACAACCCUCUGUUCCCGGAUCCAAGCCAAAUUCAUCAAACGAGUUAUCGGCCAAACCGGUCACCUCGGUUUCCAUGGGUGGACCAAAGGUCACCAACCCUACGUCGGCCUACCGCCUAAACCUGUCUCAACUACACAUAGCGUCCCUCGCUCACUGGCAUAGACCCAAUGUGUACUGGGCGAAAUUCACACUUGGGAAUUCGCACACACUCCAACCAGGAGCAUCCAUGACCCCAAACCACGUCAAGUCCUCGGGUCGGGUUACUACACACUCGGUGUGUCCUCGAUCACAUGAUCCAACUCAUGGCAUUCCACGCCCCCGGGUCUAAGCUCGGACUACCGUCCUGACCAAAACUCAGCCCUACCUGUAGGUACUGGGCCGCUGUCACUCACAGCUGACUGCGCUUGCCCAAAGGGCCCAGGCUCCACAGUCCAAAAAUGGUCCAGGCACAGGUCGUCCCCAAGCAAUACCCGCCAACGUCGUCCUACAUGACACACUCUAUCGAGUCACACAUAUACCACUAUCGGCUCCUAUGCACCUAGUGCGAGCCAUCAGCCCUACGAGUGAUCCAUGGCUCGCUUCACACUUAGCAAUGCUACAAUGCUACUGCCAUCACACUCUCUAUCAGUUGAAUCAAAUUCGCACUCUACGAGUAACCAUACUCGAGCACUUUAUACGCCAAUAUCCCAGAUUAGGCGACUUUGCCUAAGCACACUAGCCACGCAAGUACGACUCAAUUACCUCGAUUCAAGGUACUACUAGGCCCACAAGCCAAACUUGGCACUAAGCAACCGUUUUCUCAAUAGUGAUUCCACUUUCAUUGUUCGAUCUACCGGACUACAUCCGAAAUUCCCAGGUUACUCGGGUAUCCACACGUAUCAUGGCUCGAUUCUCGCAAUCUACUAUCCAUUGCCUUGAGAGUCAAUUCACCAUUUCAGUUUUACCAUGAGUCCCAUUCCUCGUCCAAGAACCAUUACUACCCAUUUGCUAGUACCACUCGGCUCUCUACCUGUAACACACUGGACUUUCGCAAAUUGCAAGGUUCGAGUGUUUGGAUUUGAUGUUUUGAGCUUUUCCCACACUUGGUUGAGGGUCGUAGACUGUAUUCCGACCAAAAAGUUCGAAAUCUGAGUUUCUGGACAAGUCCUGAGAUUUUUACUCUCGGGGAUCGGUCCCUGGUGGGAGAGACCGGUCCCCCACGACGAGGCAACCGGUCCCGGCUGGAGAGACCGGUUCCCGAGAGCUGGUUUUGCGGGAUGGUCCCGAAGGACCGGUCCCAGCUGGGAGAGACCGGUCCCUCUGGGCGAAAAUUGUCCAGUCCGGGCUUUGCACAGGUUGCAAAGUUGAGGGACUUUUCUAGAUUUUGUUAUAAUUGAAGGCCUAUAUGGCCAUUUCACUUCUCUCUCUCCCUCAUUUCACACUCUCCCUUGCAUCUUAGAGAGAGAAGGAGAAGGAGGAGGGGAAGGAGAAGAAGGAAGAAGAAGAAGAGUUUGUUAGAGGACUUGGAGCAUCUUCCUCUCCCUCUCUUCCCACCUUGUUGGUGCUUGGAGGCUUGGACUUGGAGCUUGCUAGAGAGGAGAUCUUCACUCUUGGAACUUGGAUUAAAGUUUCUCAAGAGGUUAGUAGCUUGUUCCUCCCCUCUAGACCUAGUUUUGGUGGAUUUUGGGAGAUGAAACCCUAGAUUUACAUUUUAGGGUUUAUUUUUGGGGCUUUUUGUUUGGAGGCUUUUGGGGCUAAUCUAAUGGGAUUAGAACCUUGGUUUAGGUUGCUUUGAAAGGGAUUUGACUUCCAUUUGAGUUUUGAAGAGGGAUUUCUUCACUAUAGGUGAGAUUUUGGCCCUUUUGUCUAGUUGGUUAAUGUUUGAGCUUGUAGUUGUUCGUUUGCUUUGUGUAGCUCACUACUUGAUACUUCCAGGUUGCUAGGAGGCUAGUGGACACCUUCGUUGGAGCAAACGAAGGGUCACGCGAGUUUCGGUGGGUUUGACCCAGCCUACAAUAUGAGAAAUGCUCAUAUUUGGUGAUUUAUGCUUCGUAAAGUAAAAAUUCAUACAUUUUUAUGCUAAAUGUAUUUAUUGUGAAUUUUGGAAUGCUUAACAUCCCUAUGUCAUGUACGAUGAAUUUUCGGACCUCUAUGUAGUAGAGAGUUGCAUGUGAGGCUUAUACUAGCAUUUAGCAUUCUUAUGUUGGACAUGGGACCAUGUUUCUUACAAUGAAAAUAAGACUUGUAUUAUGAAUUUAAACCUAUGCCUAAAUAAGACAUAAGGGAUUUUAGUAAGCCAUAAAGAGGCUUGGAACUUGCACUACUCGCGAACUUUAGAGUUAAUGUUAUAAAGCGGCACUGAGCUCGGUUUAUUUGUGAAUCUGGUAAAGUAAUGCCAUAAAGAGGCAUAGAAUGUGAAGUGUGCAUGGGAUAUAGGAAUAUUUAAGUGUCAUCAAGAGGCAUUAAACAUAGUGUGUAUUGGAACUUCACUCGAGACAUAGAACUAGACUGUUGGGUUGCUAGUGGCUUAUUCCAUAUUAGAGACAUGAUUAUUGGAUACUUGAGCUAUUGACUACGCUUGCUUGCCAUUUGUGCUCAUUCGCACAUGCUUGUGAGGGUCGCUCCCUACAAGCCAGCUCUCUGGAGUUGGCCUACGCGACUUAUGUUCGCUCGUGCGGUAUCGAUAAACCUACGGGGUCGGGAGGGAUAGACUUAUUUCUAGAGUGGGAAUGCUGGAGCUACCUCCGACACUUAGGUGGCACAAGCUGGACUACACUUGUAAUAUACUGAACUUUUAAUUCAUGAAGUUACGAUGUAUGUUAGCUUAGAAAGCCAUUGGAAUCAUUCCGGCGAAAUUCGGGAGCAUUCGGGUGCUUCGGUGCGCAUAGGGCGCGUAAACGGGACCCGAAAGGCUAUGUUGGACCAUGGACUAAAUCCGGCGUUAGUGUGGAUGAAAAGAUGAUGAAAAUAUGCAUGAAAACAUGUUUAGAGGGUCUCGGUUCGAUUUGAAAUGAAUCGGAGGUCAAGCGAGCGAAAACGAGAGAAAACGGACGAAAAUUGGUGAAAAUGCUGAAAAUGCCCAGUCUCUCAGGACCGGUCCCUCAUCGCAAGGACCAGUCCUUGAAGGCUGAUUUUUGGACCUUCGGGGACCGGUCUAUCAGUGAAGGACCGGUCUCUCAGGACCGGUCCCUCAUCGCAAGGACCGGUCCCCGAAGGCCGAAAAUGCCCAGUUUGGGCUGUUGCGAGGGAAGCAUUGUUGAGGGGCUUAUGUGCAAAAUAGCACUUAUGAGAGUGUCACGCCUCGGGACCGAGCGGAAGCCCGCCCGGCGCGUGCCCAGACCCGCCAUACGUCUAAAACAUAUAAGGCGUCUAAAAACAACAAUAAAAUAAGCAAUAAUAAAAGACAUCUAGGAGUAUCAGAGCAUGCUAUAAGACCAAGUUCUACAAUAGAGUAAGGAACAUAAAGUUGAAAUCCACUAAUAAAAACAUAAGGUAGUAGAAAGGAAAUCCCAAAACAAGUGCUGAAAGUAAAUACAUAGGUGGUCUCUAUACAUGGAUACCAAAUCUCUCACUCUCGCAACUACCAAAAAGAAAGAGUAAACCACCUAGGCAAAGAACCGCUCUUCCCUAUCUAGCUAUGCGAUCCCCUUGCCACGAUCCCGUGCCUCCGCCGGUGCCGAAGGCUUUGAAAGAAACCACGAAAAAGAGGGCGUGAGAAUUAUUAAAAAUAGUUUCCAGUGGGCAAUUACUGACUUCAGUGAACUACGCCACAAGGCCCAAAAGCUACAAAGAAGAGGUCAGUGACAAAAUGGAAUAAAGCAAAAGGGAAGUAAAAUGUAACUCGCUAUGGCAUAAUGUCUCUACUUAGCAUGAUUUGCAUAAGUAAUAAAGUGACUGUAGCAUGAAUGUACAUGGAUGUGUAUAACAUGAAUAAGCAUAGGUAUGCAACCCUCACGAUGUCCACAAUGCAAAUAGUAAAGAUAUCAUUGUUUACUAUUCUAGCCAUUGUCCCGUCAAUAUACAAAGUCAUCAUCUGUCCACAUGUCUUAGUGAAGUACCCAAAAUCAAAAUCCAAAGAGACCCACCCGAAGGCUGUCUAUGGCCCUGAGACCCACCCGUAGGCUGUCUGGCCGGUGCCGAGCCUAAUGGCCCCGUGGUAGUCAUCAUCCCCACCCUAGGAAUGAGCCUGGCCCACGGCAAUCCACUUCGGCGCCCAAUCCCGCACGGCGAAUAUGAAUCGCGAUGGCUAUCUCCGGAGUGCCGGCUUGUAGGGAGCGACCCUCACAAGCAUGUGCGAAUGAGCACAAUGGCAAGUAGUCAUACGUCCUGUCACAAGUACCAAGUCCUCAUGUCUAAAAUAUGGAAUGUGUCGAAUGUCCCAAUCGCCUACCUCUAUGUUAUCAUGUCUCUAACAUGGAAUAUAGCAGAUGUACAAUGGCCUAUCGUUAUGUCUCUAUGUUGCAGUUUCAUAGUUUACUAGUUUUAAGUGCCCCUUGAUGACACUUUAAUCUACUAAGUCCAAGCAUAGUAUAGUGUUUCCAAUUACACAAAUAUGAGCUACUUUAGCAUACUAGACGAGAAUCCCAUUCGUCCACACGAACACUCCUCACAUGCAUAAAAAUAACCCUAAUUGCUCCACUAUAUAGAGUAAAGUUUAACUUACACAUAAGACAUGCAUUUUAAGUGUUCUAAAAUUCACAUCAAUUCCAUUUAGUAUAGAAAUGUAUUUAAAAAUAUUUUACAACAAGUAUAAAGGGGAUAGGGGCCAUUUUGCUCCGUUUCCACGAAGUCAAACCCACCAACGACAACGAAACCCUUCGAUUGCUCCGACGAGGGUGUCCUCCACUCUCCUAGUACUCUAAAGGUAUGGAAACAAGUGUCACAAGAACCUCACGAACAAUAGGUAGCUCAAACAUUAAGCUUUUCAAGCUAAAGUGGAGAAAACUCACCGAAUGGUGAAUAUCUCUCUUGAUCUCCAAAAGGAAGCAAGAAUUCUUCAAAACCAACCUAAAGGAAGGUUCUAAUAAGAUCAAUCAAGAUCAAAAAGCCUUAACUCGAAAAUUCCCAUUUCUAACCCUAGAAUCCAAAAUCUAGGGUUUCCUCAAGCAAAAUCCAAUAAAACGUGUAUCAAACAGAGAAUACAUGUUACAAAGCUCUUAGAUGGCCUCAAACCAAGUCCAAAAUCAGCUAGGGUUGGAGGUCUCCUCACUAACAAGCUCCUAUCAAAGCUCCAAGUCUUCAACCAGGGAGAAAACCCACAAAAAGCAAAGAAGAGGAGAAGGGAGAGAUCAAAACACCAUAAAAUCCACAAAAAAUGGAGGUCAAACAAGGGAAGGGGAUACUCACCUUGAUCUCCACUGGUUAGGGCUCAAAGAGAGCAGCUACGGGGGCUGGGGUCACCUAUAUAGGUGUUGUAACAAUUGCAAAUACACCCCUCCUCGAAAACAGCCCAGUUUGCAUCGUGUACCGGUACACGGGUUUGUGUACUGGUACACAACCUACGAACCAGCCCAACCCGAGCCUCGGGUUGGCGCACUGGCUGCCAGCGUCGAUGGCUUUACCGGUACAGCCAUCACCGCGUACCGGUACGCCACCCUGCUGACAGCUGCCCGAGAGCACACCAAUAAUUCAAAUUUUUGGGUUUUGGUGCCAAGUCUUGAACUUCAAUUCUCAAGACUCGAACCAUAGAUCGGAACACUAUCCACGACCCUCCACGAAGUGUGGAAAAGUUCGAAACACAAUUCAAACACUCGAACCUCACUAUUUGCGACGGUUCGGUGUGUUACAUUCACCCCUCCUAAAAGGAGUUUCGUCCGCGAAACUUGAAAGCAAACACCAUACCUCAAGACUCCAUCUGACAAAGAUGGGAAUAGCGCUCCUGUAUAGCGCUCUCAAGCUCCCACGUGGCCUCCCGCUCCCCGUGGUUGCUCCAAAGAACCUUCACAUACGGAAUUUCCCGAUUCCGCAGCUUCCGCACCUCGCGAGCCAAGAUCCUCACGGGUUGCUCCUCAAAGCUCAAGUCGUCCCGCAACUCCAAAGGUGUAGCAUCCAAUACAUGAGUCGGGUCGAAGAUGUACUUUCGAAGGACCGAUACAUGAAAGACGUUGUGCACGCCCGAUAGGUUCGGUGGUAGCGCAAGUCUAUACGCUACCGGACCUACACGUUCCAAGAUCUCAUACGGUCCAAUAAACCUGGGGCUCAACUUACCCCGAAUCCCAAAUCUCCUGAUCCCUCUAGUCGGCGAGAUCUUUAAGAAUACAUGGUCUCCAACUUGGAAUUCCAAGUAUUGCCGCCGUCGGUCGGCGUAGCUCCUCUGUCUACUCUGCGCCGUCAAAAGUCGUCCCGAGCAAUUCAAACUUUGUCCUCAGCUUCCUGGAGCACAUCAGGGCCUAAAGCGAAUCUCUCGCCAACUUCACUCCAAUAAAGAGGCGAUCUACACUUCCGUCCAUAAAGUGCUUCGAAGGGCGCCAUUUUGAUGCUUGCUUGAUAACUGUUGUUAUAAGCAAACUCCGCCAUAGGUAGGUGCUGCGACCAUCCUCCCUGGAAGUCUAUCACACAUGCCCGGAGCAUAUCCUCUAAAGUCUGAAUAGUGCGCUCCGACUGCCCAUCACUCUGAGGGUGGAAAGCUGUACUGAAAUCCAAACGNCGAGUGCCUAAGGCGUCCUGCAGACUCCUCCAAAAGUGAGACACAAAGCGGGUGUCUCGAUCAGAUACAAUCGAUGUAGGCACUCCAUGAAGUCGCACAAUCUCAUCAAGGUACACUUGUGCGAGCUUCUCUCCGGUCCAAGUAGUAUGAAUAGGUAUGAAGUGCGCCGACUUCGUCAACCUAUCCACGAUCACCCAAAUAGCAUCAUGCCCGGCCUGAGAGCGGGGCAAUCCUGUCACGAAGUCCAUAGUGAUCUUCUCCCACUUCCACACGGGAAUAGGCAAACUCUGAAGUUUUUCUGCGGGAACUCGGUGCUCAGCUUUUACUUGUUGGCAAGUUAAACAACGAGCUACAAACUCGCCAACAUUCUUUUUCAUUCCGGGCCACGAAUAAAGCAACUUCAAGUCCUUGUACAUCUUGGUGCCUCCCGGAUGUAUAGCAUAGAGCGCUCGGUGCGCUUCUUGAAGAAUAUCCUCUUUGAUUCCCGUGUCCGCCGGUACACAUAGCCGUCCACGGAAUCGCAUCAACCCUCGGCCAUCCACUAAGAAGUCACCGGUGCAACCAUCGACCAUUUUUUCUCGAAUCUUAAGCAACUCCAAAUCGAAAGCUUGCUUUUCUUUAAUUCUAUCCAAAAGAAUAGGUUGCACUACCAAGGUCAUCAACCUCAAGGGUGUGUCAGGAGUCACCACCUCCAACUCCAACCGCUUCAUCUGCUCGAUCAACUGCAGUUGAGUAACAAAUGCAUCGCUAAGUUUUCCGUUGAUUUCCUACUUAGCGCAUCCGCCACCACGUUAGCCUUGCCCGGGUGGUAAAGAAUAGUAAGGUCAUAAUCCUUGAGCAGCUCCAACCAUCUGCGCUGCCUCAAGUUCAACUCCUUCUGAGUAAACAGGUACUUCAAGCUCUUGUGAUCCGUAUAAUCUUCACACCGCUCGCCAUAAAGAUAGUGGCGCCAUAACUUCAAUGCGAAGACUACGGCCGCCAACUCCAAAUCAUGCGUCGAGUAGUUCCUUUCAUAUUCCUUCAGUUGGCGAGAAGCAUACGCGAUCACCUUGCCAUCCUGCAUCAACACACAGCCCAAACCGUUAAGUGAAGCAUCACUAUAUACCACAUACCCUGCUCUAGCUACUGGUAGGGUCAGGAUCGGGGUAGUAGUCAAUCGUUGCUUUAACUCUUGGAAGCUUCUCUCGGACGCAUCAUUCCAAAUGAACAUGAGUCCUUUAUGCAUGAGCCUCGUGAGGGGAGUAGAUAACUUAGCAAAUUCCUCAACAAAUCUCCGGUAGUAGCCGGCCAAUCCAAGGAAACUCUGUAUCUCCGUGGCGCUCGUCGGUCUCGGCCAAUCCUUGAUUGCUUCAAUUUUCUUAGGAUCCACGGCUAUACCUGACCCUGAAAUCAAGUGUUCAAGGAAAGCUACCUCUCGAAGCCAAAAUUCACAUUUCUUCAACUUGGCAUAAAGCUUCUUUUUCCGAAGUACUUGAAACACAGUCCUCAAGUGUUCCUCGUGAUCCACAUCACUUCGGGAGUAGACCAAAAUGUCGUCGAUGAACACCACGACAAACCUGUCUAGAUAAGGCUUGAAAACACGGUUCAUUAGAUCCAUAAAAGCUGCCGGGGCAUUAGUAAGCCCGNUGAACGGCAUAACUGUGAACUCAUAGUGUCCAUACCGUGUUCUAAAAGCCGUCUUCGAUACAUCCUCGGGCUUAAUCUUCAAUUGGUGGUAUCCCGACUGCAAGUCUAUCUUGGAAUACACGCACGAUCCCUGAAGCUGAUCAAACAAGUCGUCGAUCCUUGGCAACGGAUACUUGUUCUUGAUCGUGACCUUAUUAAGUUCAUGAUAGUCCACGCAUAGGCGAUGUGAUCCAUCCCUUUUCUUGACGAACAAAACGGGUGCUCCCCAAGGUGAAACGCUCGGUCGAAUGAAGCCUUUGUCCAAAAAAUCCUGCAGCUGUGCCCUCAGCUCCCUCAGCUCUGCCGGUGCUAUCCUAUAGGGUGCCUUUGAGAUUGGGGCAGUCCCUGGAACGAGAUCUACCACGAACUCAAUCUCCCUAUCAGGAGGCAUACCCGGUAGCUCAGCUGGAAACACAUCCUGGAACUCCCGCACCACCAGGAUAUCCUCAAUCCUAGGGGUGUCAUCCUCGCCCCUGAGCACAACACUAGCCAAAUAGGCUACACAACCUCUGCUGAUCAGCUGCCUAGCUUGAGACGAGUUGAUCGUCAUCGCAAACAGCGAACUCCGGCAUCCACUAAAUACCGCCUCGGUCUGCCCCGGUUCUCUAAAAAUAACCGUGCGAUUCUUGCAAUCAAUCAUAGCAUAAUACUUGGUUAACCAAUCCAUUUCCAAGACCACAUCAAAAUCCCCCAGCUUGCGUAAAGCUAGCAAAUCUACAGGUAUGAUCCAAUCUCCUACCCGAACAGGGCAACUCGGGCUAUACUCUCUAAUAUCCAAAAUGUGGUCGGGUACAACAACGUGUCCCGGAUACAAUAAAGAAACCAAAGGAAUGCCAUGCAACUAGGCAAACAACCGAUCUAUAAACGAAUGCGAUGCACCGGUAUUAAAUAAAGCACGAACUCUAAUGCCAUCAAGUAAAAUUAUACCUGCAACCACAUCCUCGGCUGCUGCCGCCUCCUCGGUCUGAGCGGCGUACAUGCGCCCACUUAGGGCCUGACGAGAUCCCUCGCUCUGGCGCUGGACGGGUGGCUCCCCAGGCUGGUACUGUGCCAAUGGAGUCCCCUGGCUGGCGGCCGGUAGAGCCGGUGCCGAUGCAGUGGAUGGUGCCGGUGAAGAACCUCUCGGGCACUCAGUACGGACGUGGCCCUCCUGGCCACACUGGAAACACCUGCCCGCCCACUGUGGACACUGCGGUGGGUGAUGGGGACCACCGCAGAUCACACACGGGGAAGGUCGGCGCCGAUCGGAUCCUCCUCGAGGUGCUGCUGAGCCGCGUCCAUGCUGCUGGCUCCUCGGAUGUUUCGGCGGCCUCCUAGAGUGCGUCUGGCUCGCACCCUCAGCCGCAGGCCUCUUGGCCUUACCCUUGUCCCUAGCCUCUCGCUGCUCUUGGACAUCCGCCGCGCCGCUCUCCACAAUGAGCGUGCGAUCCAUCACCUCCCGGUAGUUUGGAGGUUAGAGGAUUGCACGAACCGAAAGAUAGACGGUCUCAACCCUCGCUAGAAGAUGCGGGCCUUGUCCUCGUCGUCCCGCACAACGAAAGGCACGCAAUGCAGAAGCCGAGAAAACUCUCGCUCGUACUCGGCUACGGUCCGGUCGCCCUCGCGCAAGUUGCACAGAUCCUGCUCCAUCUUCCUGUUGACGCUGGUCGGGAAGUAAUGGGCCAAAAGAAGCUCCUUGAACCUCCUCCAAGUGAUAGCCGCCAAGUCAGUGCUGGGGUGCUCCUGGAGAUACAACCACCAGCGGUCGGCCUCGCCGUCCAAGUGGUGAGUGGCGAGCCAAACUCGAUCCCUCUCCUCCACGAAAGUGUCGCGGAAGAGCUUCUCCAUAUGCAUCAACCAUUUCUCCACGAUCCAGUGGUCGACCUUCUCGCCGUCGAAGACUCAGGGACUGCACCUCUUGAACUCAUUGAGGCGCUCCAUCAGUCUGUCUCGCUCUGCCCCCUCAACCAAGGUAGGGAAUGUAGCUCCUGCUGGGGGCCUCUGAACAGGUGGUGCCACCAAAACCUCCUCUUGGGGUGCGACCACAGGUGCCGCACGCGAAGAACUGGGUGCGGGGGAUGGCGCUCUCGGUGUGACGUUCACAACUGGUGCUGGCGAUGUAGGGGCCUGAGUCUCCCUAGAAGCUGCUGCCUGCUGCAAGAGUAAGUCCUCUAGGCGCUUCAUCCGCGCCUCCUGUCGGCGCGCCGUCUUAGUCUGCUGUCGGGCUGCCUCCGCCUGCUGAGUGACUAAAUCAGUGAGGGCCGCAAGCUGGCCCUUCAACUCACGGACCUCGCUGGAUCCGGAGGUAGCGGAGGUCUCGACCUCCUCGAAGUUCGCCGCAUUGUCCGCUCCGGCAGAUUGAGAGCGUGUAAUCGGCAUCGUCACUACAAAACAUAAAAGCGCAAGUUAGAAAAACCCACGCUAUCACAUCCCCGCUCAAUAAGCAAUACCCAAAUCAUGCGAAAGUAAAGAAGUGUUCUAUACUACUAACUCGCGAUGUUACGUUGUCGACCGCCAACGUAACCCUCCACGGAGUUAGAAGCCAUGCACUUCGAUCUAACUCUAACUUUUUAGAGUUAUCAAGAGACCCAAUCAUGGUACUUUCGCUCGCAAAUCAAAUAGACCUCGUCUCUCACGAGCCUAUUUCCUAUAGUCCAACCGGCCUAAGGUUUGCUAGGUCCCCUAAGACUCAACCCUAGGCUCUGAUACCAAAUUAAUCUGUCACGCCCCGGGACCCAGCGGAAGCUCGCCCUGCGCGUGCCCAGACCCGCCAUACGUCUAAAACAUAUAAGGCGUCUAAAAACAACAAUAAAAUAAGCAAUAAUAAAAGACAUCUAGGAGUAUCAGAGCAUGCUAUAAGACCAAGUUCUACAAUAGAGUAAGGAACAUAAAGUUGAAAUCCACUAAUAAAAACAUAAGGUAGUACAAAGAAAAUCACAAAACAAGUGCUGAAAGUAAAUACAUAGGUGGUCUUUUUACAUGGAUACCAAAUCUCCCACUCUCGUAACUACCAAAAAGAAAGAGUAAACCACCUAGGCAAAGAACCGCUCCUCGCUAGCUAGCUAUGCGAUCCCCUUGCCACGAUCCCGUGCCUCCGCCGGUGCCGAACGCUCUGAAUGAAACCACGAAAAAGAGGGCGUGAGAACUAUUAAAAAUAGUUCCCAGUGGGCAAUUACUGGCUUCAGUGAACUGCGCCACAAGACCCAAAAGCUACAAAGAAGAGGUCAGUGACAAAAUGGAAUAAAGCAAAAGGGAAGUAAAAUGUAACUCGCUAUAGCAUAAUGUCUCUACUUAGCAUGAUUUGUAUAAGUAAUAAAGCGACUGUAGUAUGAAUGUACAUGGAUGUGUAUAACAUGAAUAAGCAUAGGUAUGCAACCCUCACGAUGUCCACAAUGCAAAUAGUAAAGAUGUCAUUGUUUACUAUUCUAGCCAUUGUCCCGUCAAUAUACAAAGUCAUCAUCUGUCCACAUGUCUUAGUGAAGUACCCAAAAUCAAAAUCCAAAGAGACCCACCCGAAGGCUAUCUAUGGCCCUGAGACCCACCCGUAGGUUGUCUGGCCGAUGCCGAGCCUAAUAGCCCCGUGGUGGUUAUCAUCCCCAACCUAGGAAUGAGCCUGGCCCACGGCAAUCCACUUCGGCGCCCAAUCCCGCACGGCGAAUAUGAAUCGCGAUGGGUAUCUCCGGAGUGCCGGCUUGUAGGGAGCGACCCUCACAAGCAUGUGCGAAUGAGCACAAUGGCAAGUAGUCAUACGUCCUGUCACAAGUACCAAGUCCUCAUGUCUAAAACAUGGAAUGUAUCGAAUGUCCCAAUGGCCUAUCUCUAUGUCAUCAUGACUCUAACAUGGAAUAUAGCAGAUGUACAAUGGCCUAUCGUUAUGUCUCUAUGUUGCAGUGUAAUAUACCGAAAAUUCAAAAAAUAAAAAAAAAUGUCGAACUUUAGUCAAAUUGACCAAAGUGCGAGGACGGUACACUUCGGAAAGUCCGAAGGUGUUAAAACGAUUAAAAGCGAGUUACGGGAGGUUUUCGAGAGCUAUAGAAUCAAAAUCUGCAUUCAGCAGUCUUGAGCUCUCGGGGACCGGUCCCUGAUGGGAGAGACCGGUCCCCGAACGCGUAUGAAAUGAGACAGCCGAAAAAUCGGCUAAGUCCUGAGGAAUUAGCUCUCGGGAACCGGUCCCUGCCUGAGAGACCGGUCCCCGAGAGACCGGUCCCCUCAAAGAGAGACCGGUCGCAUUGCGCGCAGCAGCUCUGGCUGCGCUGGGAGAGCUCUCGGAGACCGGUCCCUAGUCGGGGAGACCGGUCCCCGAGCCCGAAAUCUGCCCAGUCCAGGCAGUUGAAUAAGAUGAAAGUUGAGGGGUUUAUUAGCAUUUUUGCAGCCCAAUGGUUAUGUAUGAGGGACAUGAGGGCUUUUCUCUCAUUCCACUCCCUCUCACACUCUCUCCUCUCUUUCUCUCUCUAGAAGACAAAGAAGGAGAAGAAGAAGACAAAGGAAAAGAAGGAAAAGAAGGUGGAGGAGAAGCCAUUGGAGUGAAGCCACUUCAUCUUCUUCCUCUCUAGUGCAAGUUAGGGAAAGCUUUGAGGUAAGCUUCAACCCUAAUCAUGCUAAAACCCUAAUGUGAGAGCCAAAUGACCUAGAAAUGGUUUUUAAGGAGCUUUUAGAGUAUGUGAAGCUUUUCUUUUGCUUCCUUUGAGAUCAAGACCAUGGGUUUGGUGUUGGAGGUAAAGCUUGAAGGAGAGCUUGACCCCUCUCAUGGUGAAAUCCAAACUAGGGUUUGGAAUGAGCUAGGAAUGGUUUAGAUGAACUCUUUAGAGUAUAUUGAAACUACUUUUGCUUCUCUUUGAGAUCAAACCCUAGGUUUGAUGAUGCUAUGGAGCUAGGGCACCCAAAUUGGGGCUUUUGCUCAUAGGGAUUUCUAAGUGCAAUUGACCCACUAGAAACCUAAUUGGGGGUAUUUCCGACGCGUUGGUGCGCUCGGAUUAAUGUUGCGAAAAACCAAUGUAAAGUUAUGGCCAAAUAAGCCUAAUUUGGCUUCGUUAUGCCGCAUGUAAAGAACGAAGGGUCUAAAAAUCCCAAGAAAAUCAUCGGAGCACCUUUGAAAGCCUACGAGGUGGGUGGUGCUUCUCAAACUCAUUGAACUUCUCUCUAUGCCUAAUGUGUCAUUCAAUUGAGCAUAUGUAUAUACCUUGUUGCAUGCAUUUUAGGGUAAAGCAACAAUGAAAACGUAAUGAUGCAUGAUUGUGAGUACAACUUGCAUAAUAUGAUGAAUGAGAACCAUGUGAUGUUGAAAACCCUAUGUGUACGCAUGAGAGAAAAGUGAGCACCCAAAGUGAGCAAAAGAACAGAGUGACACAAUGACAUAGAUCGAGUGGCAUUCGAAACGUAAAGUAAAGUGACACUAGAGUUAGUGUCAGCCAAAGAACCAAAGUGAUGUAAAGAAUGAUGAAAAUGACAUGUGUAAAGUUAAAGUAAAGUGGGGCAAUAAGAACGAGAAAUGUAAAGAACAAGAAUGCUAAGGAAAGCAAAAGUAAAAGAAAAGUAAAGAACAACGAUUGCUAGAGUGGCAACAUAAAGUGACAUAAAGAACACUAGAGCUAGCGUAAAGUCAAGAUUGACCUUAUAAAUCCUUUGAGCUAAGGAUACGAUCAUACUUGCUAUGAGUUCCGUGCUCGAGGGCGGUCGCUCCCCCUCGGGCGAUGCGCUCCGGAGUUAUGCAUCACGGGUUGGAGUAAACUCGAAGGAUGGUCCUAGCGAGUGAGUUCCUGCGAUGAUGGACUUAAUGUGAAGCAAGUUAAUGUGGCGAUACCCCCGGGUUAGCCUUGAGAUUAAAGAAUAAAGAGCAAAGAACAAAGUGCAAAGAACAAAGAACAAAGAACAAAGAACAAAGAACAAAGAAUUUGUAUAAUCUGCAUUUAUCUAAUGUUGAGCAUACUCCUUGCUUUAUUGUUCAGGCAUAUUAGCAUCAUGUAUAGAUUGGUUACUAUAUGCAGCUUAUUCUUUCUAUUAUGCUUGAGUUAGUCCUAGUGGGAAAGUCGGUGAUGUUGAGGCCGAAACCACUGGGAACUUUGUUGUAGUUCUCACCCCACUAUUUCCACAGAGCCGGGACCGAGCGAGCCGGCGAGCGACCGCGGUAAAGGUAUCGCACCUUAGCCAGAGGCCACCAAAGUUGGGUUUCAUUUUGUAGUAAAGUACCCUACGAUCCUCUUUUGUACAUGAUGGUAAAUGAUGUAAAGAAAAGAAUGUAAUAUGUAUUUUGAGGUAAAUGUGAUGUAAGAAAGAAAUGAUGCAAUGUGUAAUGAAGUACAAAGAAUCAUGAACGUAGAUGGAUGUAAUGUAUAUGAUCAAAAAUGAAUCAUAGUACAAGUGAAUGUUUAGUUUUUCUUUCUUUCACUAAUGGCUAUUGCUUACCCUCGUGUAAGCCGUUUGUGUAUGUUUCCGCUAGUGCUUUUCUCUAUUGAUGAAAAUGUACAUGUGAUGAGCCUUGGGCGGAUAGGGGAAACCCUGUCCGUUCGGCGUCUGUUUGACGUGCUCGCGUCGGGCCAAAUUGGCAUCGGUCCCGGGGCGUGACAUGCAGUUUCAUAGUUUACUAGUUUCAAGUGCCACUUGAUGACACUUUAAUCUACUAAGUCCAAGCAUAGUAUAGUGUUUCCAAUUACACAAAUAUGAGCUACUUUAGCAUAAUAGACGAGAAUCUCAUUCGUCCACACGAACACUCCUCACAUGCAUGAAAAUAACCCUAAUUCCUCCACUAUAUAGAGUAAAGUUUAACUUACACAUAAGGCAUGCAUUUUAAGUGUUCUAAAAUUCACAUCAAUUCCAUUUAGCAUGGAAAUGUAUUUAAAAAUACUUUACAACAAGUAUAAAGGGGAUAGGGGCCAUUUUGCUCCGUUUCCACGAAGUCAAACCCACCAACGACAACGGAACCCUUCGAUUGCUCCGACGAGGGUGUCCUCCACUCUUCUAGUACCCUAAAGGUUUGGAAACAAGUGUUACAAGAACCGCACGAAGAAUAGGUAGCUCAAACAUUAAGCUUUUCAAGCUAAAGUGUGGAAAACUCACCGAAAUGGUGAAUAUCUCUCUUGAUCUCCAAAAGGAAGCAAGAAUUCUUCAAAACCAACCUAAAGGAAGGUUCUAAUGAGAUCAAUCAAGAUCAAAAAGCCUUAACUCGAAAAUUCCCAUUUCUAACCCUAGAAUCCAAAAUCUAGGGUUUCCUCAAGCAAAAUCCAAUAAAACGUGUAUCAAACGGAGAAUACAUGUUACAAACCUCUUAGAUGGCCUCAAACCAAGUCCAAAAUCAGCUAGGGUUGGAGGUCUCCUCACUAACAAGCUCCUAUCAAAACUCCAAGUCUUCAACCAUGGAGAAAACCCACAAAAAGCAAAGAAGAGGAGAAGGGAGAGAUCAAAACACCAUAAAAUCCAUCAAAAAUGGAGGUAAAACAAGGGAAGGGGGAACUCACCUUGAUCUCCACUGGUUAGGGCUCAAAGAGAGCAGCUAAGGAGGUUGGGGUCACCUAUAUAGGUGUUGUAACAAUUGCAAAUACACCCCUCUCCGAAAACAGCCCAGUCUGCAUCGUGUACCGGUACACAACCUGCGAACCAGCCCAACCCGAGCCUCGGGUUGGCGCACUGGCUACCAGUGUCGAUGGCUGUACUGGUACAGUCAUCACCGCGUACCGGAACGCCACCCUGCUGACAGCUGCCCGAGAGCACACCAAUAAUCCAAAUUUUUGGGUUCUGGUGCCAAGUCUUGAACUUCAAUUCUCGGGACUCGAACCAUAGGUCGGAACACUAUCCACGACCCUCCACGAAGUGUGGAAAAGUUCGAAACACAAUUCAAACACUCGAACCUCACUAUUUGCGGCGGUUCUGUGUGUUACAGAGAGUGUAUUGAGAGGAUUCUUUCUCUCUUUCUCUCAUUUCUCUCACUUCCCCAUACCAUUUCAUCUCUCUCUUUCUCUCUAUCUCUCUAAAAAGGAAAGGAGAAGAGAAGAAGAAGAAGAGAAAGAAGAAGAAGAAAGGGAAGAGAAGGAGAAGCCAGUGGAGAGCUUCUCCUCCAUCAUCUUCUUUCUCACCUUGGAGCAAACCUAGAGAUGUAAGCUUCUAGGGCUUUAAUGGUAACUUUUUAGGGUUUGGUUUAUACACUCUAAGAAUGGUUUAGAUGGAAUCCUAGCAUGCCAAAUAUAUGGUUUAUGCUUGAUUCAUGAGAUGAAUUGAAGUAUUUUGCUAUAAUUGCAUCUAGGGCUCCAAAAAGGAGAUUUUUGUAAAUAGUUGGGUUUGAUCUCAAUUGACCCUCUGUAAACCUAAUUGGGGAUCAAACGAACGCGAUGAAACGCUCGGUUCGACAAUCCGACGAGUGUACGCGAAGUUAUUGACGGAAUGGUCUGUUUUGGUACAGAUAGCAGCAGCACGCAGGAUAGAUGCCCAAAAAUCAUGCAAACGGAUCUGGAGCAUCGUGGUAACGGAGAAGAAACUCCAGAAUAGACGGAUCUCGGAUUGGUGGCCGUUCGGGUGGUCGCACAAGAGUUCGGGCCAAACCGAGUCACGGGUGCCGUGGGAGGCCGAUUGCAAGUGACUAUAAGCAAUCGGAACGCGUUAAGAGGUGGGUUGUGUUUACCGAAGUGACUAGGUCACCUUCAUGCCAAAGUGUAGUGUAUUUCACUAUUGAUGUAUGGUGGUGGUAAAAAUGCUAAGUAAGAAUGCAUGAUAAAGAUGCUAAGAAAUGUAUGUAUGUGAUAGAUGCUAAGUAAUGCGUGUGAAAUGUGCCAAGUAAUGAACGUAUAAGUUGUAUGCUAAGGAAUGCAUGUGGUCAUGAUAGGCAUUGCUAAAAGAAUGUGUAUUGACAUAAUGUAAGAACACUAAACCAAUGCAUGUUGACAUGUUGUAGAAAUGUUAGAUGAAGCAUGGGUUAAAUGCUAAAGGCAUGUAUGAGAUGUAUAUUAAGUAAACAUAUGAGCUAGAUGAUAUACAAGUGCAUGAAUGAGUUACUAAUAAAGAAUGUAUGCAUGAUUCCCAAUGUGAGAAUAUGUUAGAAUAACAUGAAGGUUGAACUUGAGUCCAUGAACUCUAAGUAAAGUAUGGAACUCAAUAAAUGUGGCAUGCAAAAUAUCCUAAGUAUAAAUAACUAGGAUGAUGAGUGGCAUUAAAUCUAGUGUCAUUGAAUAUAGGUUAUUCACGAGUGGCAUGUCAAGUAUAAUUCCUAGGUGUGGACAACUAGGAAAACAAGAACAUGAGUGGCAUUGAACCUAGAGUCAAGUAAACUUAGGUUGUGAACAUAGUGACAUGGAACCUAGAGUCAAAUGAACCUAGGUGGUAAAGAAUAUUGGACCUAGUGUUAAUGAACCUAGGCUAAGAAGAUAAUGACGUUGAACCCAAUGUAUCAACUUAGGUUUGGUAAAGGCUUGGACCUAGAUAGGUCGAUACUAUAGGGUGAGACCAACCCUUGAGAGAUGUAAAGUGGAUUCCGGAAUCGCUGCUGCUACUACAGCGGCUGCUAGUGCAGCAUACAAGCUCGAUAGUUCUUGGCCGCGGGUGCAUGUGGCAUGUUCCUCUCCCACCGGAAGAACUUCGAGGCUUGUUAAUGAGCAAGAACAAUGAGCGCUAGGGUGCAUGUGGCAUGUUCCUCUCCCUAUCGGGGAUCUCGGCUGCGGGUGUAUGCGGCAUGUUCCUCUCCCACCGGGGGAUCCCUGACCACGGUGUACGCAGCUCUGUGCGACCUGUUGGGCGAUGUGGUUUGUGAUUGAAGGCUGAGGUGCAUGUGAGAGUUCCUUCAUCUUGAGCCGGACAGAGCGCGGACUAUCCGCAGUUAAUUGACUCAAGACCGAGUCGGAUGGCAUAGUUGGCUAAGAUAAAGUAACCUUAGGAAAGAAAGGCUAAUGUGUAUAAUAUCACUAAGGCGUGAGUACCCGUAGUAAAACGUAAAGAAUAAAGAAUAAAGAAUAGGGAAAGGCUAAUGCUAAAGAUUGGCAAGCAAUAAAAAAUAAAGAAAGGCAAAUGUUAAAGAAUAGCUAGUAAUGUAAAGAAUGGCUAAGAGUAAAGAAUGGAUAAGAAUAAAGUGUAGAAGCAAUUAAUCUACUUAUAUGAGUUGCAUAAUGUACAUGAUGCAUGUUGUGAGGCAAAAGCAUGGUAACGUUAGUUGCAUGAUUUAUGAUUUUAUAUUUAUCUAUUGGACUAACAUGUUGUUUGCCUCUUUUGGACCUGAUGGUCGAGCUCUUCCCUUGGGUGGCCGUACCCACUGGGAACCAUGGAGUUGGUUCUCACCCCACGUUGUUUUGGGGUGUUACAGGUUCACACGUGAGCGGCGCGGCGGCGCGAGGCAAGGGCGUAGCUCCGUAGUUAGCGCCCUACCACUGAGACCAGAUAGCAGCACUCUGAGUCGACUUCUUAGGGGUAUAAAAUGCAAAGAACCAAGAGUAUGAUAAUUGUAAGAACAAUGUUGUAAUAACUAUGUUAAAGUUAGAUUGUAUUUGGAAGUAGAAAUCAAGGAAUCAAAUGUGAUGUAAUCUAAGAAUGCAAAAAUGUAAUAUGUGAGAUGAAUGCUUGUAAUAGCAAGUAGAUUUAUGUUUUUGAUACUUCCUUAUGCAAUCUUUGGUUGAAAUGUGUUCCUGGUUGGAACUUCAUACAUUGUAUUGAUUGCGACGCCUUGAAUGUGCAGGGGAGACUCUGUCCGCGGUACAGGAGAAACCUUGUCCGUUUGGCGGUCUGUUAGCGUGCCCAAAUCCAACCAAAGAGGCGGGCUCGGGGCGUGACAACACUUGUGUAGGUCCCAAAUGAGAUUGAACCGUGACAUCAACUUACAAAGGUUAAUCAUUACCAGAUAGGGUAUAGUAGUCGGGUACUUGGACAUGCUUACCACAUAGUGGUGGAUAUUGAGAUAGACUCAUAGUACACUUGAUAGUAUUAUUCAUUAUAUUUAGUAUGCUUGUUGCCAUCAUGGAACAUUCGAGCCAUGCAUUGGGCUUAUUUCAUCUUGAUAGAAUGAUUACAUAUCAUAUAUCUUGUGGCAUAGUAGUAUUGCAUUUCAUACAUACUUUCAAUUCAGCAGCUUACUAUUGUUUAAUAUUAUCGUUACUUACCCCUUUUCUUUGGGCCUAGUGGUGCAUCGUGCUGAGGUCAGUAAUUGCCCACUGGAAACUAUAAAUUAUAGUUUUCACGCCCUCAGUUUCAUGUUUUAUUUCAGAGCCUUCCACACCGGGCAAGGCUAGGGACCGUGGUAAGGGUAUCGCCUCGAGCUAGCUUGCAGGCGAGGGACGUUCGAUAGGUGGUCUACCUCUUCUUCGUUUUUCUUUUUGGGAGAGGUUGAGAGUUGUACCUUGUAUAGAGACCACCCUUUUUGUAGUACUUUGUGAUAACUCUUGUACUUACUUUACCUUUAUGUUUAGUAGUUUACUUUCCCUUUUCUCUACUUGUUCUUAGUAUUUAGCUAUUUAGUUGCUCUGAUAUCUCUAAUAGCUUUAUUUUCUCUUGGCUUCCAUUUAUCCAUUGUCAUAGACGCCUUAUAUGUGAAGGCAUAUGCGAGUCUGGGCACGCACCGGGCGGGCCUAUGCCGGGUCCCGGGGCGUGACACUACCUGCUCCAGCAGGCGCCACACUUUCAAAAUGCAAGCAUGCCCGGGUAUCUCCAUACCCAUCCAAUAGGUCUCUACUAUGCAAUGUAUAAAUAGCAGCAACAUACCACUCAAUGAAAUGCAUGCUAUGCAUCAAUUGGAUAUCAAAUAGCAGCAUAUGCCUGCUUUAGCUAACUCAUACCUGCCAUGAUGUCAUCAGCAGCGGCAGGCUCGACAACUCGGGUCGCGUAUCCAUGGCCACUUGGCACUCGUCGCGAACCCUCUGGUUGCACCAUCCUCAACGGCUGCUCUCCCGACCAUACCGCAGGUGGCAUACCUGCAGGCUGUCCCAGAGAGGAAUAGGCCGUCGCCAGUGUCAAGGUCCGGCUAUCACCUUGCGGACACUCGUCCCGCGUAUGGCCCGACAGCCCACACUUGAAGCACUUGUUCUCUCGCUGCCCACACUGCUGUGGGUAAUGAGGGCCUCCACAAAUAACACAUCUCGCCGAGGACCGAAUGCGGUAUGUCCCCAGGGCUCGGGAUCGCGAGCGCGAACUCAUCGAAGUCCGUUUGGAACUUGACUGACCACCGGAUCCACUCGUUGGUUGUCCUUUCCCCUUUUCCUUAUAAUACGCCUCGCGCUCCUCCCGCAGAGAUGCAUCGCCUUGUUCUAUCCACAAGACACGAUCCAAGACUUCGGCAAAAGUCUGUAACUUAAGUAUCAGCACAGCCUUGUAAAGAUCCGACCAAAGUCCACGCACAAAACAGUCUGCUCGGUCCUUGUCAUCCCGCACCACGUUCGGAAUACAAUGUACGAUAUGGAAAAACUCCCGCUCGUAUUGCCUGACCGAGCGGUCUCCUUGCCGCAGCUUCUGGAACCUUUCCUGAAGCUUUCGCUUUUCACUAUAGGGGACAUAGGCAGAAAAUAUCAAUCCCCGAAACUCUUCCCAAGUCACAGGAGGGAGACUAGGCGAUCGAUCCCGCUUGACGCCUUUCCACCACACCUUCGCUGACUGUUUCAGAUAGUGCACGGCUAGGUUUACCUUGUCCCGCUCCAACGUGUAUAGAUCCUCGAAGAGCGUUUCCAUGGAAUCAAUCCACAUCUCAACGAUCCACGUUGCAUCCUCUCCAUCAAAGGUAGGCGGAUCAAACUUCUUGAAAGCCAUGAGGGCCGCCAAAGCUCGUUCCCUCUCCGCCUCCACCUCUGGACUAGUAGGAGUCGAAUUGCCCGACCCAGACGGAAACAUCUCCGCCGCCACUCCCGGCCGUCCUCGACAAGCCAUAGUUGGUGCUGUCACCAGCUGAUCCACCGUUUCUUGGAGCCUUUUCAUUCGCUCUUCCUGGCACAUUGCAGUAUCCUGCUGACGCUGCACCACAUUAGCUUGUUGCCUCAUCACUGCCACGAGUAUGGCCAACUGAUCACGAAGCUCCGAGUCUCCGCUUACGUCGGUUUGCUUAGGGGCACCACUUGUCCCCUCCUGCACCGAUCUGGACGAAGAUCGCCUAUGCGGUGCCAUCGCUUCGUGAAACAGGACAACCUCUAACAUCCGUUUUAGAGGUUUACGGCACAACCCAAUCCAUUAACCUUGCGCCACAAAUCACAAGUUCUCGUCACUCACGAGCCUUAUUCUCCUAUGGUUUACUAUCCUAGGGUCUCUUAGGUCUGCCUAAACCAUUACCAUUCUUUACUUUAUGCUUUGAUACCACUCUAUCUGUCACGCCCCGCGACCCGCCUAUUUGGUCGGGUUCGGGCACGCCGACAGACCGCUAAACGGACAGAGUUUCCCCUAUACGUCCUAGGCAUCGCAAUCAAUACAAUGUACGAGGUUUCAACUAGGAACACAUACAUUGCAUAAGGAAGUAUCAUAAAUAUAAAACGACUUAAUGCUAUUACAAGCAUUCCCAUUAUAUACAUUUUACAUCACAAUUUUCUUUUACAUUCAUUUUACAACUUCCAAAGCAAUCAAGUUAUUACAAUUAUUACAAGUUUUAGUUGUCACGCCCCGGAACCGAUACCAAUUUGGGCCGGCCCGAGCACGUCAAACAGACGCCGAGCGGACAGAGUUUCCCCUAUUCGCCCAAGGCUCAUCACAUGUACAAAUUCAAACAAGAAAUGCACUAGUGGAAACAUACACAAAUGGCUUACACGAGGAUAAGCAAUAGCCACGAGUGAAAGAAAGGAAAACUAAACAUUUAUAAGUACUAUGAUUCAUUUUUGAUCAUAUACAUUACAUCCAUCUACGUUCAUGAUUCUUUGUACUUCAUUACACAUUGCAUCAUUUCUUUCUUACAUCACAUUUACCUCAAAAUACACAUUACAUUCUUUUCUUUACAUCAUUUAUCAUCAUGUACAAAGGAUGAUCAUAGGGUACUUUACUACAAAAUGAAACCCAACUUUGGUGGCCUCUGACUAAGGCGCGAUACCUUUACCUCGAUCGCUCGCCGGCUCGCUCGGUCCCGGCUCUGUGGAAAUAGUGGGGUGAGAACUACAACAAAGUUCCCAGUGGGUUCAGCCUCAACAUCACCGACUUUCCCACUAGGACUAACUCAGGCAUAAUAGAAAGGAUAAGCUGAAAUAUAGUAACCAACCUAUACAUGAUGCUAAUAUGCCUGAACAAUAAAGAAAGUAGAGCUCAACAUUAAAAUCAAAUAAUGCAGAUUAUGCAAAUUCUUUGUUCUUAUCUUUACACUUUGUUCUUGUUGUUUGCUCUUUAGUUCUUUAUGUCUUUUAUCCUUUAAUUCAAGGCUAAACCCGGGGUUCCGCCACUUAACGCUCACAUUAAAGUCAUCCAUCAGCAGGAACCACCGCUAGGACGCGUCCUUCGGGUUUACUUCCCAACCCGUGAUGCAUAAUCGCGGAGCGGCAUCGCCCGAGGGGGACGACCCGCGCCUCGACACUUGAACUCAAGCAAGUAUAUCAUAUCCUUACAUCAAAUGGAUUAUAAGUCAAUCUUGACUUUAAUCACUCAAACUCUAGUGUUCUUUACAUCACUUUAUGUUCUUAACUCUAGCAAUCAUUGUUCUUUACCAUUCAUUACUCUUGCUAAAACUCUAGGCAAUUAUAUUCUUACAUUCUUACUUUUUGGCUACCUCUACAUUUGCAUGUUCUUGUUACUCCGCCACAAUUACUUAACUUCAAAGCAUGUCUUUCAACUUUAACUUUUCGAAAUGCCAUUCGAUCUAAAUGUAUGUGUACUCUGUUCUUUUGCUACCUUGGGUGCUUCACUUUUCUCUCAUGCAUACCAUAUAGGUGUUCGAAUUCAUAGGGUUCUUAACCAUAACUUAUCAAGUUGUUACUAUCAAUCCAUCAACAUCACAGUUUUCAUCCAAUCAUACUUACCCUAAAAUGCAUCAACAAUGUAUAUACAUAUCUCAAUUGAAAUGACAACAUUAAGGCAUAGAGGGAAAGUUCAAACAGAGUUGAAGACACACCCACCUCGUAGCUUCAAGGAUCUCCGAUGAUUUUCCUAGGGAUUUCAACCUCCCGUUGCUUUACUCGCGCAUAACAAGCCAAAUAGGUCAUUGUUGCCAUAUCUUUACAUUGCUUUUCGUACUUAAUUCCGAGCGACACGCAAUUCGCGUCGGAAAUACCCCAAUUAUGUGGUUUCUAGAGGGUCAAUUGCACUUAGAAACCCUCAUGAGCAAAAGCCCCAAUUUGGUGCCCUAGCUCCAAUACAUAUAUCAAACCUAGGGUUUGAUCUCAUUGGGAAGCAAAAGUAGCUUCAAUAUACUCUAAAGAGUUUAUCUAAACCAUUCCUAGCUCAUUUCAAACCCUAGUUUGGAUUUCACCAUGAGAGGUGGGUUGAAGCUCACCUUUGAGCUUUUCUAGGUUUUGAUCUCUAAAGAAGCAAAAGAAAGCUUCAAAACUCUUCAAACAUUCCAUUAAAACCCAUUUCUUGGUCAUUCAAAACUCAUUCUAGGGUUUUAUUAUAUUUGGGAUCAAAGCUUACCUCAUAGCUUUCCCAAAGUUGCUCCAAGGAGGAAGGAGAAGAGGUAGGUUUACUACUUGAUCUUCUUCUUCGCCUUCUUUUCCUUCUCUUCCUUCUUUUCCCUCCUUUCUUUCUUUCUUCUUCUUCUCCUUUGCCUUCUAGAGAGAGAGAGGGAGAGAAGAGAGUGUGAGAGGGUGAGGAAAUGAGAGAAAUAUCUCAUUUGCCCUCAUACAUAGCCUAUUGGGUUGCAAAAUUGCAUCUAAACCCCUCAACUUUUACUCUUUCACACAGCCUGGACUGGGCUGUUCGCGCAGGCGGGGACCGGUCUCUCCUUCAGGGACCGGUUCCCGAAGGCUCUCCCAGCGCAGCCAGAGCUGUUGCGCGCAGGGCAACCGAUCUCUCUUUGGGGAUCGGUCUCUCGGGGACCGGUCUCUCGGGCAGGGACCGGUUCCCGAGAGCUGCUUUCUCAGGACCUAGCCGAUUUUUCGGCUGUCUCAUUUCAUACACGUUCGGAAACCGGUCUCUCCCUCCAGGGACCGGUCCCCGAGAGCUGAAAAUCUGCAGUUUUGCAGAAUUUGAUUCUUUAGCUCUCGAAAACCUUCCACAACGCACUUUUGAUCAUUUUAACACCUUCGGACUUUCCGAAGUGUACCAUCCUCGCACUUUGGUCAAUUUGACUAAAGUUCGAUAUUUAUUUUCUGAAUUUUCGGUAUAUUACAUUCUCCACCCCUUAAAUAAUUUCGUCCACGAAAUUACACAUACCUUAGCUCGUCGAUUCGAAUAGUUGUGGAUACUCUCUCCGCAUUGACUCUUCGAGCUCCCAAGUGGCUUCUCGCACAGCAUGGUUGCUCCAUUGGACUUUUACAUAUGGAAUCUUGCGACUUCGCAAUUUCUUCACUUCUCGAUUGAGGAUGCACACCGGGUACUCCUCAUAAGACAUAUCUUCACGUAGCUCCACGGGCUCGUACUCUAAUACAUGUGUCGAGUUGCGAAUAUACUUUCGAAGAUUCGACACAUGAAACACAUUGUGAACUCCCGCGAGUCUCGGUGGUAGUGCGAGCUUGUAUGCCACCGCACCCACACGCUCUAAUAUCUCAAACGGCCCGAUGUAUCGGGGGCUUAACUUCCCACGGACCCCAAACCGUUUUACUCCUCUCAUCGGCGAUACUCUUAAAAACACACGGUCUCCAACCGCGAACUCUAGAUCUUUUCUUCGCUUGUCGGCGUAACUCUUUUUCCAAGAUUGCGCCGUCACCAACCGUUGACGGGCAAGGCGAACCUUCUCUUCCGCCUCCCGCACUACAUCCGGGCCAAGAGCCAUUCUCUCGCCCACGUCGCUCCAAUGGAUAGGAGAACGACACUUUCUUCCGUAUAGUGCCUCAAAAGGCGCCAUCGCUAUACUUUGUUGGUAGCUAUUAUUGUAGGCGAACUCCGCCAUAGGCAAGAAAUCAUGCCAUCCUCCUUUAUAAUCUAGCACACACGCUCGAAGUAAAUCUUCAAGGAUUUGUAUCGUUCGCUCCGACUGUCCAUCACUUUNUUCUUUACUCCCCACAUUACUUUAACUUCAAACAUUGUCAUUUCACUUUAACUUUAUCGAAUGCCAUUCGAUCUAUGUCAUUGUGUCACUCUGUUCUUUUGCUCACCUUGGGUGCUCACUUUUCUCUCAUGCAUACGCAUAUAGGGUUUCGACAUUCAUAGGGUUCUUAACCAUAACGUUAUGCAAGUUGUACUAACAAUCAUGCAACAUCACAUUUUCAUCAUUACUUUACCCUAAAUGCAUACAACAAUGUAUAUACAUAUGCUCAAUUGAAUGACAUAUUAGGCAUAUAGGGAAGUUCAACGAGUUUGAGAAGCACCACCCACCUCGUAGGCUUUCAAAGGUGUUCCGAUGAUUUUCUGGGGAUUUUCAGACCUCCCGUUCUUUACCGGCGGCAUAACGAAGCCAAAUUAGGUCAUUUUGCCCAUAUCUUUACAUUUGCUUUUCGUAACAUUAAUCCGAGCGCACCAACGCGUCGGAAAUACCCCCAAUUAGGUUUCUAGAGGGUCAAUUGCACUUAGAAAUCCCCAUGAGCAAAAGCCCCAAUUUGGUGCCCUAGCUCCAAUACAUAUAUCAAACCUAGGGUUUGAUCUCAUUGGGAAGCAAAAGUAGCUUCAAUAUACUCUAAAGAGUUUAUCUAAACCAUUCCUAGCUCAUUUCAAACCCUAGUUUGGAUUUCACCAUGAGAGGUGGGUUGAAGCUCACCUUUGAGCUUUUCUAGGUUUUGAUCUCUAAAGAAGCAAAAGAAAGCUUCAAAACUCUUCAAACAUUCCAUUAAAACCCAUUUCUAGGUCAUUCAAAACUCAUUCUAGGGUUUUACUAUACUUGGGAUCAAAGCUUACCUCAAAGCUUUCCCAAAGUUGCUCCAAGGAGGAAGGAGAAGAGGUAGGCUUACUACUUGAUCUUCUUCUUCACCUUCUUUUCCUUCUUUUCCUCCCUUUCUUUCUUUCUUCUUCUUCUCCUUUGCCUUCUAGAGAGAGAGAGGGAGAGAAGAGAGUGUGAGAGGGUGAGGAAAUGAGAGAAAUAUCUCAUUUGCCCUCAUACAUAGCUUUUGGGUUGCCAAAAUGCAAAUAAACCCCUCAACUUUCACUUUAAUACACUGCCCGAACUGGGCUGUUCGCGCAGGCGGGGACCGGUCUCUCCUUCAGGGACCGGUUCCCGAAGGCUCUCCCCGCGCAGCCAGAGCUGCUGCGCGCAGGGCAACCGGUCUCUCCUUGGGGGACCGGUCUCUCGGGGACCGGUCUCUCAGGCAGGGACCGGUUCCCGAGAGCUAGUUUCUCAGGACUUAGCCGAUUUUUCGGCUGUCUCAUUUCAUACGCGUUCGGGGACCGGUCUCUCCCACCAGGGACCGGUCCCCGAGAGCUGAAAAUCUGCAGUUUUGCAGAAUUUGAUUCUUUAGCUCUCGAAAACCUUCCACAACUCACUUUUGAUCAUUUUAACACCUUCGGACUUUCCGAAGUGUACCAUCCUCGCACUUUGGUCAAUUUGACUAAAGUUCGAUAUUUAUUUUCCGAAUUUUCGGUAUAUUACAUUCUCCACCCCUUAAAAUAAUUUCGUCCGCGAAAUUACGCAUACCUUAACUCGUCGACUCAAAUAGAUGCGGAUACUCUCUCCGCAUGGUUUCCUCGAGCUCCCAAGUGGCUUCUCGCGCCGCGUGGUUGCUCCAUUGGACUUUCACAUAAGGGAUUUUGCGACUCCGCAACUUCUUAACUUCUCGAUCGAGGAUGCACACGGGGUACUCCUCAUAGGACAUGUCUUCACGUAGCUCCACGGGCUCGUAUUCCAAUACAUGUGCCGCGUUUCGGAUAUACUUUCGAAGAUUCGACACAUGAAACACAUUGUGAACUCCCGCGAGUCUCGGUGGUAGUGCGAGCUUGUACGCCACCGCACCCACACGCUCCAAUAUCUCAAACGGUCCGACAUAACGGGGACUUAGCUUCCCACGGACCCCGAAUCGUUUAACUCCUCGCAUUGGCGAUACUCUUAAGAAUACACGGUCUCCAACCGCGAACUCCAAAUCCUUUCUUCGCUUGUCGGCAUAACUCUUUUGCCGAGAUUGCGCCAUCGCCAACCGUUGACGGGCAAGGCGAACUUUCUCUUCCGCCUCCCGCACCACAUCCGGGCCAAGAGCCGCUCUCUCGCCCACGUCGCUCCAAUGGAUAGGAGAACGACACUUUCGACCAUAUAGUGCCUCAAAAGGCGCCAUCGCUAUACUUUCUUGGUAGCUGUUAUUGUAGGCGAACUCCGCCAUAGGCAAGAAAUCAUGCCAUCCUCCUUUAUAAUCUAGCACACACGCUCGAAGUAAAUCCUCAAGGAUUUGUAUCGUUCGCUCCGACUGUCCAUCACUUUGAGGAUGAAACGCUGUACUGAAGUCGAGCCGUGUGCCUAGCGCGUCUUGCAAACUCUUCCAAAAGUGGGAUGUGAACCUGGGGUCGCGAUCCGACACGAUCGACACUGGAACCCCAUGAAGUCUCACAACCUCGUCGAGAUAAACUUGAGCUAACUUGUCUCCCGACCACGUAGCAUGUAUCGGCAAGAAGUGUGCCGACUUUGUCAAUCGACCCACUAUCACCCAUAUCGCAUCGUGUCCACCUUGUGAUCGAGGCAAACCAGUAACAAAGUCCAUUGCUAUAUCUUCCCAUUUCCAAACGGGUAUUGGUAGACUUUGUAGCUUUCCCGCCGGAAAUCGGCGCUCUGCUUUAACUUGUUGGCACGUUAAACAUUGCGCCACGAACUCCCCAACAUCUCUUUUCAUACCCGGCCACCAAUAAUGUUCCCUCAAGUCCUUGUACAUUUUAGUGCUGCCGGGGUGUAUGCUAUAAGGGGAUUGGUGCGCUUCUUGCAUGAUCGCCCUUCGUAACUCAUCAUCCUUGGGCACACACCAUCGAUUUCGAAAUCGAAGUGCGCCACCAGCUCCAAUGCUAAAAUCCUCGGCACUACCUUUUUCAACUUCGCCUCGUACCUUCUGAAGAUAAGGAUCCGAAGCCUGGAGAUCCUUGAUUCUUUCCAAUAGGGUCGGUUGCACAACUAAUGCGGCAAGUAUAGCCGGCACUCCCAGUGCUACCACUUCCAACCCAAAUCUUUGCAUUUCCUUUUGUAGCAGCGGUUGAGGCGUAAUUGUCGUCGCUAAGUUCUCCGCCGAUUUUCUACUUAAAGCAUCGGCCACAACAUUGGCUUUCUCGGGGUGGUAUAGUAUAGUGACAUCGUAGUCCUUCAACAAUUCCAACCACCGCCGCUACCGCAUAUUCAACUCCUUCUGGGUGAACAAGUACUUUAGACUCUUAUGAUCUGUGUAGACUUCACAAUGUUCACCAUAUAAGUAAUGCCUCCAAAGCUUUAGCGCGAAAAUCACCGCGGCUAACUCAAGGUCGUGAAUCGGGUAGUUCUUCUCAUAACUCUUUAAUUGGCGCGAUGCAUAUGCAAGGACUCGCCCAAUUUGCAUUAAUACACACCCGAGACCAACAUACGAAGCAUCACUGUACACUACAAAGGUCUCCCCCGGAGUCGGCAAAGCAAGAACCGGGGUUGACGUCAAUCUGCUCUUUAACUCUUCGAAGCUCCGAUUGCAAUCGUCGCUCCAAACAUACUUUACCCCCUUAUGCGUGAGGCGCGUUAGUGGAGUGGUUAUUUUGGCGAACCCCUCCACGAACCGCCGAUAGUAGCCCGCUAGUCCAAGAAAACUGCGGAUCUCCGCUACUCGUCGCGAGGCCAAUCCGGUCUAUUGCCUCUAUUUUCUUCGGUCUACGACACUCGUCGCCCGAUACCACAUGGCCCUGCGUCAUGAUGUACCUCCUUUGCAGAAGUCAACUCUUUAAUUGUGCAUGAGAGUUUCUCUUGUUUGGUAAUUCAAAACAUUCGGUAGCGUCGUUAUGUUCCUUCUCACUCUUGAACCUAAACCAACACGUGUCUAUCAAUACCACGAGCAUCGAUGCCAUCCAACAAUGGCUAAAGACUGAUUCAUCAAGUCAAAUGCUGCCGGGCGGUUAGUAUGCCAAACGACAUUACGUGAACCAAAUUGGCAUACCGCAUACGGUCGCGUUGGCACAUCUCGCCGAUCUUAUGGAGGAUUACCGCUGGAGAUCAAUCUUCGAUAAACCUUGGACCCUUGCACGAUCGCAUUAAAUGUCAAUCCUUGGCAAGGUACUUGUCUUGAUCGAACUUUGUUUAACUCGCGAUAAUGCUACGCUAGAGUCGACCAGUGUGCCUCCUUCUUCUUCACAAAAGCACCGGAGUCUCCCAUGGUGACACGGUCGGCUACGAAACUUUAUCGAGCAAGUCUCUAGUUGGCCUUAAGUCCUUAGACACACGUGCCAUUCUAUACGGAGGCUUCGAAACUGGUCCGCCACCCCCACCCCGGGAAUCAAGUCAAUAUGGCAAACUAACUCCCGGUCGUGGCUGAUCCCUGGGUAAUCCGCCGGAAACACAUCGGAAACUCGCAUCUACUCGAAUAUCUCCCAACUCUGGGUACUCCUUUGUGCAUCCACCAUGGUUGCCAAAUAGGCCUUACACCUCCUUUGAUCAUUUCUCUCUCACAGGACUUAUAGUAGUCGCCGAAGCGCAUACUUUUUGCAGCUUGAGACUAAUCUUCUUUGUUCGGCUCCGAAAAGGAUACCUUUUGACAUUUCACCGCAAGUAACUUGGAGAGCCAGUUGGGUUCCCAAUGUUAACAUCGAGAUUCCCACAUCUGAUCUAGCAUAGUAGAUCAAUCGGCAUAAUCCAACGCCUAUCUUGCACUGGACGCCAAACACCGUUAUGAACUUGAAGGAGUUCUGGGGCUUGUUACCCACAGUAAUCCUCAUGGUAAUGCACGACUCUUUGCAUGUGACUUAGAAAAUGAAUAGGUGCUAAUAAACGAAUGGAGAUGCGCCUGUAUCAAACACCUGUCUAGCUUGUGCCUUAUAUUACCAUAUACCUGCCAACGUCGGGUGCUGCAGGUUGUUGUCCUCAACCUGAAGCGGCAAAGACUCGGGCUAGGCCUUCUGAUCCUCCGGCGACGCCGUGCUUACGUGUGCCGCCAAUGCUGGGGUAACCGCAAGCGUCUCGGAUAGACGUGUUGAAGCCGCGUUGCCAAAAGACGUCCACGUCGGGCCCUAUCACCGAAUAAGAUGGUUCCGUUGCACACUGAAACUUGCCAUCCGUUGCGGCACGUCGACACUUGUGUCUCCACCCAAAUAACAAUCAAGUGGUCUCAAUUCUCGACUGCUGUCGGUGAUACGAGGGGUUUCUUAGCAUUUGCGGCCCCGCACCACGCCCAUUCCUCUUUCCCUUGCCUUUCGACUCGGCAAUGCUUCUCGCUCCUCGACUGACGGUGCGGUACCGUGCCGCCCAAAGCUCGAUCAAAGACCCGAAAGGCUAAGCUUCAAACCUUUUACUUUUCACUAUAUCCGGGCGAAGUCCUCGCAAAACCAAUCCCCUAGAUCCGUUCAUCAGUACAACUGCGGGGACGCGAGUAAUGAUUUGGAGAAUUUUGCCAUAUUCUCCCAUCGAUCGAUCGCGACUAUCUCAACUUGCUGAACUUUUCUUGUACGCUUCCGCUUCACGGUGUCGGGAUAGUUCGCGUAAACCGCUCUCUUGAACUUCCCUGCAUGAGCGGGAAAUCGGUAGGUCGGAUCCGCUUUAACUCGCUGUUCCACCACACAUCGCCGCUUUUCCUAGACAUGUGGUGGAGGUACACUUUGUCUUUCCGACUCAGGCUAUUUGGUCCUCGAGAGUCUCCUCGAUCAACCACGACUCACAACCGCCGCCACCAACCGCCUGGAGGUUAGUGGGUCGACUUCUUGAACCUGACAUGAGGCCGCAUAAGUGUGUGUGUCGCGCAUCUACUGCGCCUAAGGGAUUCGAAGUUCCGACCGGCCGGUACUACCGGAUGGAACACGCUGCCGCCGGCCGCCCUCAACAACACUCGCUACUACCACAGGGCGCGACGAUGCUGGACAACCCGCCGGGCUUCCGACCGCCUGCUGGCGCUCAGGUCUCCUGAGCGCUGAUCUGUCCACUUGCGUGGAUGACUCUGCUUGUUGCGCACUACGCAAUAAGCGGGCGCAUCUGUCCCUAAGCUCUCGGCGCCUUGCCGAUUGCUCGCACCGCAUCGGUUCCGGCUCGACUUGUCUGCGAUCGAGCGUCGGUGCAGUGCUUUCCUAAAAGACGCAUCGCAUGUCUGCCAACAUUCUCGCAUAUCCAUUAGCGAAAGCACAUGCACAUUCAUCUUCUCGACGGGUCAUGUCGGUCGGCCGCCCGACACAACACUGAAGUAGAGGAUAAACGAAAUAAUGCUUUCUAAUACAUUAGGAUGACGUCCAAACUUAACCCAAUGCAAUGCUUCGCAACUGUUGAUCCCAGUCAAUCCAUGUUUCCUUAGAUCCUUAGGCACUUCAAUCCUUUUUAAAUUUCUAUCUAUUCCUAUUCUUUACUCGUUUUGGCUCUGAUACCCACCGCUAGUUGUAUGCCCGGGACCGAUACCAAUUUGGCCGGCCCAGAGCACUCAAAGAGCCGAACGGACGAGUUUCCCUAUCGCCAAGGCUCAUCCACAUGUUUACAAAUUAAACAAGAAUUGACUAGGAACAAUACACAUGGCUAACCGAGGGUAAGCAUAGCCGAGGGAAGAAAGGAAAGAAUAAACAUAUAAGUCGUGAUUCAUUUUGAUCAUGUAUACAUUGCAUCCAUCUACGUUCGGCUUUGUACUAGUACACUGCAGUCAUUCAUUUUUACAUCACAUUUCUCAUACACAUAUACAUUCUUUUUCUUUACUUCAUUAUAUCAUACAAAGGUAUGAUCAAGGGUACUUUUACUACAAAAUGAACCCAACUUUGGUGGCCUCUGACUAGCGCGAUCCUUACUCGAUCGCUCGCCGGCUGUGCUCUGGGCCGGCCGUUCUGUGGAAAUAGUGGGUGGGACUACACAAAGUUCCCAGUGUUCGCGCCUCAACACACCGACUUUCCCACGGACUAAUAGGCAUAUAGAAAAGGAUAAGCUGGAUAUUAGUAACAACCUGAAAUGAUGUAAUAUUGCUGAACUAAAUGCAGAAUAUGCCAAAUGAAAUAAGCAAUAUUAUGCGAAUUCUUUGUUCUUCUCUUAACACUUUGUCUUGUGUCUUUCUUUUUCUUUAUCUUUAUCCUUAAUUCUCAAGCUAACCCGAUGGUUUCGCCACUUACUGGCUUCAUUUAAGUCCAUCAUCGCAGGAACUACGCAGCUAGAACAUCAUUCGGGUUUACUCCAACCCGUGAUGCAUAACUCCGGAGCGCAUCGCCCGAGGGGGAGCGACCGCCCUCGAGCACGGAACUCAUAGCAAGUAUGAUCAUAUCCUUAACUCAAAGGAUUUAUAAGUUCAAUCUUGACUUUACACUAACUCUAGUGUUCUUUACAUCACUUUAUGUUGCUAACUCUAGCAAUUAUUGUUCUUUACCAUUCAUUACUCUUGCUAACUCUAGCAAUUAUAUUCUUUACAUUCUUUACUUUUGGCUACCUCUAGCAUUUCAUGUUCUUUACUCCCCACAUUACUUUAACUUCAAACAUUGUCAUUUCACUUUAAUUUUAUCGAAUGCUACUCGAUCUAUGUCAUUGUGUCACUCUAUUCUUUUGCUCACCUUGGGUGCUCACUUUUCUCUCAUGCAUACACAUAUAGGGUUUCGACAUUCAUAGGGUUCUUAACCAUCACAUUAUGCAAGUUAUACUCACAAUCAUGCAACAUCACAUUUUCAUUAUUACUUUACCCUAAAUGCAUGCAACAAUGUAUAUACAUAUGCUCAAUUGAAUGACACAUUAGCCAAAGAGGGAAGUUCAACGAGUUUGAGAAGCACCACCCACCUCGUAGGCUUUCAAAGGUGCUCCGAUGAUUUUCUGGAGAUUUUCAGACCUCCCGUUCUUUACCUGCGGCAUAACGAAGCCAAAUUAGGUCAUUUUGCCCAUAUCUUUACAUUGGCUUUUCGUAACAUUAAUCCAAGCGCACCAAUGCGUCGGAAAUACCCACAAUUAGGUUUCUAGAGGGUCAAUUGCACUUAGAAAUCCCCAUGAGCAAAAGCCCCAAUUUGGUGCCCUAGCUCCAAUACAUAUAUCAAACAUAGGGUUUGAUCUCAUUGGGAAGCAAAAGUAGUUUCAAUAUACUCUAAAGAGUUCAUCUAAACCAUUCCUAGCUCAUUUCAAAACCUAGUUUGGAUUUCACCAUGAGAGGUGGGUUGAAGCUCACCUUUGAGCUUUUCUAGGUUUUGAUCUCUAAAGAAGCAAAAGAAAGCUUCAAAACUCUUCAAACAUUCCAUUAAAACCCAUUUCUAGGUCAUUCAAAACUCAUUCUAGGGUUUUACUAUACUUGGGAUCAAAGCUUACCUCAAAGCUUUCCCAAAGUUGCUCCAAGGAGGAAGAAGAAGAGGUAGGCUUACUACUUGAUCUUCUUCUUCACCUUCUUUUCCUUCUUUUCCUUCCUUUCUUUCUUUCUUCUUCUUCUCCUUUGCCUUCUAGAGAGAAAGAGGGAGAGAAGAGAGUGUGAGAGGGUGAGGAAAUGAGAGAAAUAUCUCAUUUGCCCUCAUACAUAGCAUAUUGGGUUGCAAAAUUGCAGCUAAACCCCUCAACUUUUACUCUUUCACACAGCCUGGACUGGGCUGUUCGUGCAGGCGGUGACUGGUCUCUCCUUCAGGGACCGGUUCCCGAAGGCUCUCCCCGCACAGCUAGAGCUGUUGCGCGGAGGGCAAACGGUCUCUCUUUGGGGGACCGGUCUCUCGAGCAGGGACCGGUUCCCGAGAGCUACUUUCUCAAGACUUAGCCAAUUUUUCGGCUGUCUCAUUUCAUACGCGUUCGGGAACCGGUCUCUCCCUCCAGGGACCGGUCCCCGAGAGCUGAAAAUCUGCAGUUUUGCAGAAUUUAAUUCUUUAGCUCUCGAAAACCUUCCACAACGCACUUUUGAUCAUUUUAACACCUUCGGACUUUCCGAAGUGUACCAUCCUCGCACUUUGGUCAAUUUGACUAAAGUUCGAUAUUUAUUUUCUGAAUUUUCGGUAUAUUACAUUAGUACAUCUUGAUCUUUUCCUUUUUCUCUACCCCUAGGUUAUGCCGACUCGGGAUACCGCUAUCUCUGGUCUCGCGGGUAGGGCACUAUCUAUGGAGCUACGCCCUUGUCUCGCGCCGCCGCGCCGCUCACGUGCGAACCUGUAAUACCCCAAAACAACGUGGGGUGAGAACCAAUUCCAUGGUUCCCAGUGGGUACGGCCACCUAAGAAAAAAGCUCGACCAAUAGGUCCAAGGAGGCACUUCAAUCAUGUUAGUCCAAAAAAAGUCUGCAGAUAUAUAUAUAUAUCAUCAUAUAAUUAUGCAACUAAUAGAUAUCUUGCCUCACAACAUGCAAUGUGAACAUUAUGCAACAACUAGUAUAUCUAUUGAUUCUACAUUCAAUUUGGCUAGUCUUAGCUCAUGUCAUUAAUUUCUAAGGUUUCUACUACCUUAGGUUCACAAUUCGAGUUCAACUUGCUUAUAAGGUCUCUAUUACCUUAUCUCUUGCCUCUAUCACUAGCUUAUAAGGUCUCUAUUACCUCAACAAAGCUAUCCACUCGACUCGGCCUCGAGUCAAUCAUCCGCGGACUACCGCGUACUGGCUGCUCAACAGCCUACCGCCUUCCGUGACUUAGCCCUAUAGCGGCGAAAUCGUCGUACAUGCUGAACAGGCUCAAGUCACUUGGUGGCCUGAUCCACAAAUCGGCUUAACCAUCUGGCGGCGAAAUCGUCGCACACGCCCAGCUAUGGUUCCAGCCUCCGAGUGGCUAACACUGUACACACAUCAAAUCCACCUUGGUAUCAAUCUCGGUGGUGAAAUCGUCGCACACGCCCUAGCCUUGAUACCGAGGUCAUCACAAGUCAUGGGAUUCCGGAAUCCACUUCCACAAGUCAAGGGUCCAUAUCCAACCCUAUGCUGUCGACCUAUCUAGGUUUGACCCAGAACAUCCUAGUGGCUACUACCACUAUGCUCAACAACCUAGGUUCAGUGCCAUUCUAGGUUUACUACGUGUCAUAACCUAGGUUUGAAUACUCUAGGUUCUAUACCAUUCAUGUCCGACCUAUGUUUAUUAACACUAGGUUCAAUGUCAUUUCUUUUCAACCUAUGUUCACGACACUAGGUUGGAUUUCACUCGCCUAGAUCUAUUUGACUCUAGGUUCAUUCACAACCUAUAUUCUUUAACACUAGGUUAGAUGCCACUCAUGAUUCACCUUAGGUUCAACAACACUAGGUUCGAUGCCACUCGAUCUAUUUGACAUCCUAGUUGUCCAAUCGAGUAUUUCGCGCUACUAUUUUCAAUUAUCGAGUUUUCUAUUCAUUCUAGAAUUAUCAAUGCAAUUAACAUGCAUAUCCUCACAAUGUUAAUCAUGCAUUAAUGCAAUUAUCUAGCAUUUAUAUCACCUACUCAUCAUGCAUUCUAUGAUUUCUACAUCAUAUCAUAUGCAUCUACUUAGCAUUUUACAUUAUAUCAUUAACAUGCAUUAUUUAGCAUUAAGUACAUGCAUCAUCCACAUGCAUCACCUAGCAUUUAUAUGCAUCAACAUGGAUUCACAAUUCUCUCAGACAUAACAGCGACCUAGUCGCUUCGGUAAGCACAACCCACAUCGAUUCGCUCUCUGAUUGCUUGUUGACAUUUGCAAUCGGCCUCCCGCGGCACACGUCACUUGGCUCGGCCCGAUCUUGCAAUCGCACUCCAACCGUGCGCCGAUUCGCGGCCCCGAAAAUUAUAGGUCUGCAGCUAGCCGCCGCAAUGCCCCAGAUCUAUUUUCGUGAUUUUUAAUCGUUGCCUCGGCCCUUCAGACGGAAAUGAAGCUAAAUCGUCCGUUUCAUCAAUAUCUUUGCAACGGCUCGAUGAAUCGCCGAACCGACUUCGCCAACGCGUCGGAAUACCUAGCAAUUAGGUUUACAGAGGGUUUAUUUAGAUCAAACCCAUCUAUAUAUCAAAACCACAUUUUGGAGCCCUAGAUGCCACAAUUGCAAAAUCCAUCAUUUAGUCUCUAGAUUCAUGCAUCAUCCAACUAUUUAGCAUCUUAGGAGUCAUCUAAAAUCAAUUCUAGAGUUUAUAAAUCAAACCCUAGUUACUUGCCAUUAAAGAGCAUCAAGCUUACCUCUAGAAGCUUGUUCUUCGGCCAAGGGAGAAGAUAAAGAGGAAGAAAAUCCACCUUGUUGACUCCUUCUCCACCAUAUACUUCUCCUUGCUCCACCUCUAGGGAGAGAGAAGAGAAAUCUAGAGAGAAGGAGCUCCUCUCUCUAGCUCAUGUGUGAGUGUGUAUGCGUUUGGGUUGAGAAAGGAAAAAGAAGCGUUAAAGCCCUUCUUCUAGAAGCAAUCCCACCAAUUUACAAGAUUGCCCCUGCUGAAACUGGGCAUUUUUCGGGCUCAGGGUCCGGACCUUGAAGCCAAGGUCCGGACCCCAUAGGUCCAGAAAAUCAGCAUUUUCAUACUUAGCCAAAAUUUCAUCAUUUUCGCCAAUUUUGGUCCGUUUUCGCUCGUUUUCGCUCCGUGAGUCUCCGAUUCGUUUCAAAUCGAACCGAGACUCUCAAAACAUGUUUUCAAGCGUAUUUUCAUCAUCUCUUCAUCCACGCUAAUGCCGGAUUUAGUUCAUGGUCCAACAUAGCCUUUCGGGUCCCGUUUUCGCGCCUACGCGCUCCGAAAACUCCCGAAUGCUUCCGAAUUUCACCGGAACCUCACUGGAACCAUUCAAAUGGCUUUCCAACCAAAUGUACACCAUAACUUCAUAAUUUUAGAAGUCCGGUACCUUACAGCUGUUCUAGCAAUUUUUCAGCAGCGACUGUCGGCGUUUCGGCUCGUGUACGACGUAGGAAGCUCUGUUUUCCACGAAACUUGGUUUGUAGGAUUCUAGACUUCAAGAGGAAUCCGUGGUGCCCAAUUUGACAGAUUUUGGUUGAGGUUAGCUUGGUCAAUUUCUCGUUUUACUUUGCUACUGGCAGCAUUGAGCUGAAUGUAUGAUUUUUGGAUUUUCUUGAUGCUAGUUUUGGAGGAAUUGGGAUUUUGAGCCAGAGAAGCUUAUUUCAACAUUGUUCACUGGAUUUGAGACCUUUCUUACCUGAUUUGAAGGUGAGUAGGUGAGUUUUGACAUUGUACUUGGUGGAUGUAAGCUUAAGUGCUGAAAUUUGGGGUUAUUGAUGUAAAUUUGAUGUUUUUGUGUUUAGAUCUUGGGGGAUAUUGGUUUUGGACCAGAGGAUAUUAUUCCAUCUUAGUACACUACCUUGGGAGCUUUUCUCACCUGAUUUGGAGAUUUGAAGGUGAAAGUAGCAUUGCAAUUGAGCAAAAAGUAAGCUUUGGGGCUGAAUUGCAUUUGAUUGAUGGAAUUGAAUAUUUUUAGCGUUUAGAGCUUCGGAGAAGUUUUGUUGCUGGACUUGAGUGAUCUCGGCUGGACUUGGUAGGAUCUCCAGCAACCUCGUGACCUCCUCGCUGCCGGGCAUUAGCGCUAGAGGUAGGUUAAUUCAUCGGGUUUUACUCCUAGGCAUUGAUUAGUCGACAUGUAUAAAUUCAGCAUUUGUAUAUCUUGUUUUAGCUCGAAUUCAUUGAGUAGUCUGUUAAAUGAAAUUUGAAUUUGGGGCAUGCUGUAGUAAUUAGAUAAAUUAUACAUGUUGGACUUGAAAUUUUGACUUAGGAGAAAACCAGCAAUUUUACCUCGUCAUAUGCUUAAAGUACCUGAUUUAGCUCUAGAAGCCGUGGUUUGUUUGUAUCACCGCAGUUUCAGAGCGGUGGAUACCCAGGGUAGUUUAGAAUGCAUUUACGUUCGUGCUGAGAUGCCGAGCUUGGGUAAAAUUCAACUAUAGGUUCUACACAGUCUUUUCUAUAAACUAUCGGUUAGCUCCUUAAGUUUUUGUGCUUCGUAUCCACGCUAUUAGUGCGCAUUUGAUACUCAGAUAGUUCUGAAGCCGUUGUGCCUAGUAUCCACACUGUUAGUGCGCAUGUGAUACUCGGAUAGCUUCUGAAGCUGUCGCGGAUGGUAUCCACGCUGUUAGUGUGCAUUUGAUACGAGGAAAGCUUAGGAGCUGUAGUUUAUUUGUACCACCGUAAUUUGUUCGCGGUAGAUACUCAGGAUAGUGUAGAAUACAUUCACGCUUGUGCUGAGAUGCUGAGCUUAUUUUUAUAGCAGUGGUUAGGCUGUUUCAGACUGUCGGGUGCCGUCGGGGUUGACGGUGGACUCAGAUUGCUGUUUUGGCAUCAGAUUGUGCCGAGGGCACGUGAGUUGGGUUGUUAGACCUGUUAGACCCUGUUUACUAGACUUUGGCUUGUGAGAGCCUGAUUGAGCUCGACAGAGAUACGCUUGCAUACUCGAUUGGGUAGCUCUCAUGAGUGCCACUCUGGAGACGGGCGCUGUGCGUUUGCGUUGGUGUCGUUCGUACAGGUUGGACUUGCUCUCCACGGAGUGUGUAGUGUGGAGAUAGUUGUAUAAUUGCAACCGGUCGGAACGGGUGUGUUCACAGUCCCUGGGACAGGUAUGUUUACAGUCCUUAGUGAGAUUAGGUCUAGUUGUAUAGUUGCAACCGGUCGGGACGGGUGUGUUCACAGUCCCUGGGACGGGUAUGUUUACAUUCCUUAGUGAGAUUAGGACUGAGAUGACAUCGUUCAACAGAUAGUAGUGUUUGAUUAUGAUAGAAUAGUGGUAUAUAGCUGUAGAUUUAUUCCAACUUUCCUUUCUAUCUUUGAGCUUUUAUCCGUAGACUUCGUGAGUGAACCGACGAGUUUGAGAGCGGUAUCCAUUGAGGACUACUUUUGCAGUAGUUCUCACGCCCAGUUGUUACCCCUGUUUUUGCAGAGCCUGCUGUUCUGGCUGCUGCUUCUACCGAGAUUGAUCGUGGCAAGGGCGUUGCGAGUUAGCGCCUUUCUAGACGAGUCGCAGAGCUAAAGGAGUACCAGCUACAGGUAGUAGUAGUUUUUGGUCCUUUACAUAUAGAUGUUGUAUCUCGCCAGAGCGAGUAUUUGUGUAUUCUGGAUGAUAUGUAUGUAUUGAACCACUAUUUUUAUAUAUGAUUUAGUUUCCUAUCAGAUCUAUACCACUAUUUGUAGUAUUGUAUGAUUACAGGUACUAUUACUAUUUCGCUUCGUAUACAGGGAAAAUUCCUAUGUAUACGACGGGUCUGUUAGCGUGCCCGGGGAAACGAGUAUUCCGGGGCGUGACAAUGUCACACCCCGUGAUCUCCUUUUGAUUUAAAAGUAAAGCGGAAGUACCCAAAUUAUUAUUAUUAUUAUUUUGAAAACCUGACUGUCACGCCCCCGCCCCGAAACCUUUACCUAUUUGGCACGGUUCGGGCGCGACGAACGGACGCCGAACGGACAGGGCCUCCCCUGCCCGCCCAAGGCUCAACAAUAGAUCGAGUACAAGAAUUUACCUAGGAAUUUCAAUUCUAAAUGUACACAAUCAUAAGGGCACAAAUAGUGCGAACAAUAAAGAGCAAGAAAUCCACAAGAUAUACGAGUGAAAUAAAGAGAGUACUUUACUAACUAUUACAUCACAUUUGCAUUCUUUUUACAUUUACAUUUUUUCCAAAAUGAAUACAUGUUCAUCUCAAAGUACAUAGUUCUCCAAAUCCUCACCUACAUGAAUCUCUCUCAAAUACAUAGGUGUACUAAUGCAAAAGGAAAGCUACUACUCUACCAAGAAUCCUCACUGGUCGGGCGCGAUGCCCUUGCCGCGGUCCUCGCCCGGCAAACCUGUACCUAGAACUGGAAAUAGAGUGGGGUGAGAACUAUCUUCCAUAGUUUCCAGUGGGCUCGGCCGCCGACUCCGCCGAUCUCCCCACUAGGUCCAAGUGGGCAAAGUAACAACAGAUAGAUAGAUAGAUAGAUAGAUAUCUAAAACGGUAAAUGACAUAAUAGGAAAACUUUGCUACUAUGCCCAUAAUCAUGUAUAAUGAAUGCAUGCAUCAUAUAGUAAAAGUGUAUUAUCAUGCUAUCAAGUUCGAUCAAUGUUCAACAAGUAAUUGUUCAAUGACAAUAUCAACUUUUCAUUUACCCAAUCUGUGGCAAAAUUCCUGGGUUUGCCUACGACUCACAUAUCCAUCCCAUUGGGAAGGAGGCUCCAUGUGCCCCUGAACCCGGGACUGUCUGCGGACAUCAACUCUGUCCUAUCCCUCGACACUCCAGAGUACUCGACGACCAAUCCUUUUUAUGUGAGGAUAUGGAUGGCUAUACCACCCCAAAUAACAGACCGUGUGUAACAUAUGGAAACUUGGAGUUGUGAUGUCAACUUUGAUCUAGGGGGAUCAAAGUGAGGAUUGAGCUAGUUGGACAUCAUCCCCGAGUGAUUUAUGAUGUGUGGGAAUGAGUUUCAAAGAGAAAUAACUGUUUCGGCGCAAAUUGGGCGCGAAACGAAAUGUAUAGAGAGUAAAGAGGAUUUUCGGAUUUCCGAUGCUAAGUUUGAUUAAAAGAAUUAAAGUGAGGAGUGAGGAUAAAUUGUGGUAUCUCCGAAUCAAUUGUGAAGCUUUGAAAAAGCCAGGAGUGUGUUUUCAAAGGGUUUUGAAGUGUUCAGUGCGAAGUGAUAGUGCAAAAAGGAGAAAUUUCUGCCGUGUAAUGAAAUUGGAGCCGAUUCUAUUGCUAAUUCGGCUCAAAUAAUGUCAAAAUGAAAAGAAAUUGCUUCCAAAUUAAAGUGGUAGCAUGUAAAGGUCCCUUGGUAUCUUUUGGACAUGUUUGGGUGAAAUCGGAGUGAAAACGGAAAAUUUAGAAUUUUCUGUAAAGAACGGGACUGAGAAAAUUAGCAGAAAAUGCACAGUGUCAGAAAAUUAUGAAAAUUGGCAGAGAUGUCAAGAACAUUGUUAUAAGGCUAGAUUUGAAGUUUCAUAUUUUUCUGACACCUGUAGAGAGAGAAAUAGCAUCUGGAAGUUAUCUGAUAAAGAUUACAGUUCGGGACAGUUCGCAGUGGCCAAACGGGGUCGAAACUGAAAUGUUAAAAUUUCAGUGGACUUGUUAAGUAAAAACGAACAUUCCUGCCAAAUUUGAGCUCAAUCGGACUUUUGGAAGGCCCUGCGAAAGGUAUCUGAACCAAGGUCGCUAAAUAGUAUUAAGUCGAGGGGCAUUAUGGUCAUUUGUACCAAGUUAGUGGAAUUCCACUAACCUGCAGCAGGCUAGCCUCCAUCCUUAUCUGCACCUCUGCACCCUUCAUACGUAGAGAGAGAGAGGGAGAAAAGAAGAGAAAUAGAAGAGGGGAAAAGAGAAGAAGAGAAGUAGAUGAAGAAAAAGGAGAAAAAAAUGAAAGAAAGGUAUUCCUUUUUCUCCCUCUCUUUGCUGAUUUUCUCCCUCCCUCUUUUUCUUUUCCCUACUGCUGAAAACAGCAGCAGCAGCACCAAUCUUUGCUGCUGCUGCAAGCUAGAGGAGCAUCAGCAGCAGCCCCUGCUGCUAAUAGCUUAGGCAGGAACAGCAGCAGCAGUUAGCAUCAGCAACAGCAGAAGCUCAGCCUGCUGCUGUGCAUCAGCAGCUGAGCAAUCAGCAGCAGCAGCUCAGCAUGAGCUGCUGAGCAAUUAGCAGCAGCAGCAGCAGCCUGCGCAGCAGCCUAAGAAGGAACAGCAGCAGUAGCUCAGCAGUAAUAGCAGCAGCAGCAGUAGCAAUAACAGCAGUUGCUGCAAGAGAGAAAAGAAAGAAAGGAAAAAGAAAGAAAGAAAGAAAGAAAUCUGCUGCAGGAAAGAAAAGAAAAGAAAAGAAAAGAAAAGAAAGAAAGAAAAGAAAAGUAAGAAAAGCAAGAAAAGCAAGAAAGAAAGAAAGAAAGGAAGUGAGAAAAAGAAUGAAAGAAAGUAAAUGAAAUAGAGAGAAAGACGGAAUUGAAGUAUUUGGGCAGAUUUCACUAAUCAUUUUGAGGGUCUUGAGCUAGUAAAGAGUUGAAUUACUCUCUUGAACUGUAAAAUUGCAUUGAAAUCGGUUUUUGUGGAAAUUGACCCCGAUAAUGCACUUUUGCAGGAUAAAAAUCCUAACGUGAAAUUGACCGCGUACAAACCAAAUUGGGGGUAAAAGAAACGCGUUGGCGAAGUCGGUUCGGCAAUCCGUCGCUCCUACGCGAAGAUAUCGCCAAAAGAGCGUUUUCGGCACCGAUAGUUACGAGCGCGGGUCGCGGUUCUCGGGAAAGUGCGAGAAGCGGAUUUCUCCCAUUCCGGCAUCAAAGAAAGGUGGGUUGUGCUUACCGAAGUGAUUAGGUCACUUCCAUGCCAAGUAUGAAUUCCCCCCAUUGACGAUAUAUGCUGUAGCGAUUUUUAGUUUUGAAUUAUGAUUAUGGACUGAAGCAUUGAGUUAUGUAAGUUGUUAUCAUUAGAUAUGUAAUGAAUAUAGUGUAAUUGUAUGAAUUAUUUAUUAGUAUGUCCUAACUAGAGACAUAUGAAUGCGUGACUUGUGAGUGCUAGUUGCAAAAAGGGCUAAAUGUAUAUGAAAAUGAACGCGAGAGACAUGAGAAUGAAUAUAUAUAUGAACGGGAAAGCCAUAGUUAUGCUAAAUUCAUAUGUUCAUGAUAUAUAAAUGUUGAACUUGUAAAUAUCAUGUUAAACUAAAGCCAAGGGCAUAUAAGUUGAAUGGGAAAUGUGCAUAGAAAUGCUAUAUGAACAUCGCUAAUUCUAGUUGAUGUAAACUAUGAACCUCACGUGAAACCCUAAGUAUUGGGUAUAAAUCGACAACUCCAAUUGAGUAGAAAUCUGGACGGUAACAAGAUAAAUGAAAAUGUGCAAAUUAUAACCCUAGUUGUGGAUGACUAGGAUAAUGAAUAGAUCGAGUGGCAUGAACCUAGUAUUAUUAAACAUAGGUUGGACAUGAGAUGAACCUAGUGUUAUUGAACAUAGGUCGAACAUCAACCUAAUGUCAUUGGACAUAGGUCAAGUAAGUAAACCUAGAGUUGGGAUUUAGGAGAAAGAAUAUAAAACCUAGUGUAAAUGAACCUAGGUUGUGAUGUAAAGAAACGCUCAGUAAAAGUAAAUCAAGUUGUGAAUUAUAGUGGCAAUAGGACCACUAGAAAGUGAAUAGUAUAGACCUAAGAAGGUCGUCAACAUAGGGUCAGUGAGUAAACCCUUAAGUUGUGAAAAUGAAUUCCGGAAUCCCUAGGAUUGGUGUGAUGGCAGAAACAGAAUCUUAACUACGGGAUUGACGGUUCUCCUCUCCCGGUAGUGAUUCAACGGGAUUGACGGUUCUCCUCUCCCGGAGCUAACGGGUUUGACGGUUCUCCUCGCCCGUUGAGCUUGAGCGACAUAGGGUCACGGGGAUCGACGGUUCUCCUCUCCCUGUGAUGGACCUAGUGUCGCGUGGACUUAAGGCUGAGGUGUUGUGAGACGUCCUUCACCUCGAGCCUGACUUGACGCGGUACUCCGCGGUUGAUUGACUCAAGACCGAGUCGAGUGGCUAGAUGGCUAAGGUAAAGUAACCUUAGGAAAGAAUCGCCAGUGAGUACAAUAAGAAUAAAGAAUAAAGCAUAAAGAAAAGAAUAAAGAAAAUAGCUAAUGAAUGAAACUAGCUAAGAAAUAAUAGAACGACUACAAGUAAAGAAUGGCUAAUAAUAUAAAGUAGAAUCAAAUAAGCUACUUUCAUGAUUUACAGGUAUUGCAUAGUGCAUAGCAGCGAGGCAAGGUAUGGUUCUAUUUGUUGCAUCGUUAAAUAUCUAUCUAUCUAUUUGUUGAACUAACCUACUGUUGCCUCCUUUGGACCUGGUGGGUCGAGCUCUUCUCUUGGGUGGCCGUACCCACUGGGAACUAUAUUUAUAUAGUUCUCACCCCCGUGUUGUUUUGGGGGUAUAGGUUGCACGUGAGCGGCGUGGCGGCGCGAGGACAGGGCGUAGCUUCGUAGAUAGCGCCCCACCACUGAGACUGAGAUAGCAACACCCUGAAGAGGUCAAGUUCAGAGUUCAAAUUGAAAGAAACAAAAUUGUAGUAAUUUGUAUAAGUUUUGUAAUAAUUUAAAGGCUUAUGUAAUAUUGUAAAUGUAAAAAUUCUGAGAUGAAUGCUUGUAAUAGCAUAGUUUGCAUUUAUGUUUUUGAUACUUAUGCAAUCUAUAUACUUGCUACAGUUCCUGUUUGGAACCUCUUGUGUUGCAUUGUUUAGAUUGUUGACGCCUAGAACGUACAGGGGAGGCUCUGUCCGUUCGGCGGUCUGUCGGCGUGCCCGAAUCCGACCAAAUAGGCGGAGCUCGGGGCGUGACACCGUGAGCUUGAUCUAUCCUCUCCAUGUGAGGAUACCCUACGAACUAGGGCCAACAUUUACGCCGAACUAUCUAUUCUGACAUUCAUGCAUAAUUACUUAGCUAUACUAAGUUCACUGUUCUCAAAUCAUUCACUAGAGAAUCCAUCUAUUCCUAAGUUCAUGAACCUCUAGUGUCAAGUACACUACAUUAAUGCCACUCUCUAUGUUCUUUAAAUAUUUAGAUGCCACUCUCUAUUUCACUAAAUAACCAUCGAGUUCAUCUCUCCACUUUAGCACUAUAGGAUCCAUGUUCCGACCGAAUUCUUACCUAUCCAUUUCACCAAGUAUUCCAUGUACACUAGGUUAACAUUCAGAAGCAUAAGGAAAAGGUACUACAAUGCAAUCUUACAAUGCAACAUGCAAGAGAUGAGAUUAUAUGUUAUUCUAAGACAUAAUAAAGAGUUCGGUUGCUUCGGGAUGACACCCCCCACCUUUCUCGAUGUAGAGGUUCUAGCAAUGCUUCUCACCGAACGUUACGACGAGGUCUCGGCAUCCUUGGUCCAAACAGUGCUCAAUCGGCUAUAUUUUGCCGAUAGCUUUUCAUCCGCUCGACGAAUUGUAAAUCUGACUUCGCCCCCGCGUUUAGACACCUAACAAUUAGGUUUACAAGCUACUAAAUAAGAUCAAUCUCAUCACUUAUCAAAGACCCCCAUUAGGAGCCCUGGGUUUGCACCUAUAGCAAACCACCAAUAAAUCCCUAGCUUCUAGCUUUAAUCCACCAUUAGUGGUGCUAGAGGUCCAUUUGACUUCAUCUCAAAAGCCAAAAACCCAAAAACCCUAGAUUUACAUGUUAGGGUUUAGUAGCUUACCUCUUGAGCUACAUCAAAGAGAUGAAGAGGGAGAGAAAAAGGUGAUGGAGAUGAUCUCCCCCAAGCUCUCCUUCUUCUUCUUCUUCUCCUCCUUGCUUUCUUUUCUUCCUUCUUCUCUUUACUUUCUAGAGAGAGAGAGAAGGAGAGAAUAUGAGAGAGUGAUGGAAAUGAGAGACCGGUCUCUCCAUGCCUGGGAUCGGUCCCUUGGGACCUUCCCAAGUUUACGCAUUCGGGAACCGGUCCCUCCAGCCCGGGGGACCGGUUGGCUGCGCCCUGCCGCAAUCCUCAGUUCGGGGACCGGUCUCUCCCUGCGAGGGACUGGUCCCCGAGAGCAAAAUCUGUCAGGUGCAGAUUUUUGUGUUUUUUGCUCUCGUGGACUCAACUACAAAGCACUUUUUGUGUUUUGGACACCUUUAGCUUUUCCAAAGGAUACCCUCUCGACAAAUAGUCGAUCCUGGACGAAGUCCAACUCUCGGAUUUCGAGAAUUCACUUCCUUACAUCCUUCCCUCCUUAAAAAGAGUUUCGUCCUCAAAACUAACUCAAUUCUUGACUUUAACUUAAACUCAUACCUUAUUCCUCAAACAAGUAAGGAUGAUGCUUUCUCAUCAGACCCUUGAGUUCCCAGGUGGCCUCGCGAUCAUCAUGAUUGCUUCACCGAAUCUUCACGUAGGGAAUUUCGCGAUUUCUCUGUUUUCGCAUCUCUUGAGCAAUAACCAUCACCGGAAACUCCUCGUAGCUCAAGUCUUCAAGGAGUUCCGGCGGCUCGUAUAGCAUCGCGUGCUCAGGGUCAUGAAUGUACUUGCGAAGGUUGGAGACAUGGAACAUAUUGUGUACAUCCGCGAGCUUCGGCGGCAAGGCAAGUCGAUAGGCCACCGUGCCAACUUGCUCCAAUAUCUCGUACGGUCCAAUGUAUCGGGGACUUAACUUUCCUCGCACUCCAAAUCGCUUCACACCUCGCAUCGGUGAAACCUUCAAGAAUACGCGGUAACUUACUGCAAAUUCUAUGUCUCGACGGCGCCUAUCUGCAUAGCUUUUUUGUCUCAACUGCGCCGUGAGCAAUCUCUUGCGAGCAAGGCGGACUUUCUCCUCCGCUUCUCGCAACACGUCUCGGCCGAACUCUGCACGCUCACCCACAUCGCUCCAGUGUAUAGGAGACCGACACUUCCACCCGUAGAGGGCCUCAAACGGUGCCAUCUCUAUACUAGCGUGAUAACUAUUGUUAUAGGCGAACUCGGCCAUCGGCAAACGAUCACACCAACUUCCUUUGUAGUCGAUGACACACGCUCGCAGCAUAUCCUCCAGAGUUUGAAUUGUUAAGGAUUUUAUAGGUUGGGGAAUUUCGUAAAGUUGUUUGGAGUCUUGAAGAGUUGAUCGCAGAAGUUUUUGAGAANNNNNNNNNNNNNNNNNNNNNNNNNNNNNNNNNNNNNNNNNNNNNNNNNNNNNNNNNNNNNNNNNNNNNNNNNNNNNNNNNNNNNNNNNNNNNNNNNNNNGAUCCCCGUAAUCGGUUUCCCAAAACCGAUUACCGUAACUCACCGGAAGUCCCGAAAACCACGCCGGGACGUCGUCGGGACCCACUAAGUGUCCCGAACUCACCGACUUGUGCCACGAGUCACCCGCUGCGCCAAAGCACUCCAAUUUGGAUGCCUUGGCAACGAACACGAGUUAACACAACCAUACGAUCAUCGUCGGAUAAUGGUACGAAUCCGGAUUCCCGAAAAUGUCUAUUUCGACACCGGAACCCUCCGUCGCUCACCUAUCAUCAUCGAACCCACAAAAUGAUGAUGGUGACCGGCCAACAAGGCUCAGCGACAAAACACGAAGCAACCAAACACCAUCGGAAAGAAUUCGAACCGAAACCGCGUUCUUUCGGCGAAUUUCGCCGAAAAACGCACCGAAAUCGACUUUUCGAUUUCCGCAAAGACUAUUGGGUCAUGGACAACCAGUCCAGAGGUCAAACACACUCAUACACAUUGCCCACAGUAGCCACAAGGUGCACAAAUGCAUAAAAGACCCUCUAAUUACAUAAAAUCUCAUCAUUUUAUGUAAUUUUGAGCGAUCAAGCGGCUCGUUCACGCAAACCGAGGACUUCCGAAGUCCGCAGGGACACGUACUAACAGGUCUCGACGUACCGGAGUCCGUGCUCACGAUCCGGAGCACAGCGGCUCGCUGUGGGAAGAGCGGGAGCAAUCCGAAGGUUCAGCGAAUAGCGCGCAGUCAGGGAAGAUCGCGCCGAACAUAACUAACCGGACACUUCUGAUCCAAGGGGAGGUGAGCAUUGUGAUCAGCACUAACCAGCGGUUACCGUGCUCACCUCCGGAGGCAUCGGAACAGCAUCGGAUCGCCGGAAAAACAAGCACAACCCCGAAACAGCAGCCAAAAAGGCUAAAACGGAGCGACAUCGCCAAAACAGCGGAACGGGGCCUUCCCGACAGAAACCAAGGUGAGCACGAUGAUCAGCAACUUGCCAGGAUCAUCGUGCUCCCUUCCGUAGAGAUCGGGGAAGCUCGGGAAGUCCAGAACAAGAAACCUACUCAAAUAAGCCCUAUUUCGGGCUUGGCCGGAGCAACCUUGCUCCGGCCGGCCUCCGGCGGCACGGCGGCGCGCGCAGGGCCCUGAGUCGGGUGAGGGGGAGAUGAGAAACUCCGUGCUCACCUCGGUUGGCGACGAGAAGCGACAGCGGCUUCGGGGAAACAAGCUCAGCCCGCACGAGCUCCGGCUCGGGUUCCACGGGCAAUGGCGGCCACGGCGGCGGCCGAGGAGCUUAGGGACGGCGUCGGGAAGGUGCUGGAGGCCGGAGGGAAGCUUCUGGUGCGGCCCCAAGCGGUGGCGACGCAGGGAAGGAGACCCGAGCUCGGCUCGGGCCGAGCUUGCCCAAGGAACCCGCCAGGCGNNNNNNNNNNNNNNNNNNNNNNNNNNNNNNNNNNNNNNNNNNNNNNNNNNNNNNNNNNNNNNNNNNNNNNNNNNNNNNNNNNNNNNNNNNNNNNNNNNNNNNNNNNNNNNNNNNNNNNNNNNNNNNNNNNNNNNNNNNNNNNNNNNNNNNNNNNNNNNNNNNNNNNNNNNNNNNNNNNNNNNNNNNNNNNNNNNNNNNNNNNNNNNNNNNNNNNNNNNNNNNNNNNNNNNNNNNNNNNNNNNNNNNNNNNNNNNNNNNNNNNNNNNNNNNNNNNNNNNNNNNNNNNNNNNNNNNNNNNNNNNNNNNNNNNNNNNNNNNNNNNNNNNNNNNNNNNNNNNNNNNNNNNNNNNNNNNNNNNNNNNNNNNNNNNNNNNNNNNNNNNNNNNNNNNNNNNNNNNNNNNNNNNNNNNNNNNNNNNNNNNNNNNNNNNNNNNNNNNNNNNNNNNNNNNNNNNNNNNNNNNNNNNNNNNNNNNNNNNNNNNNNNNNNNNNNNNNNNNNNNNNNNNNNNNNNNNNNNNNNNNNNNNNNNNNNNNNNNNNNNNNNNNNNNNNNNNNNNNNNNNNNNNNNNNNNNNNNNNNNNNNNNNNNNNNNNNNNNNNNNNNNNNNNNNNNNNNNNNNNNNNNNNNNNNNNNNNNNNNNNNNNNNNNNNNNNNNNNNNNNNNNNNNNNNNNNNNNNNNNNNNNNNNNNNNNNNNNNNNNNNNNNNNNNNNNNNNNNNNNNNNNNNNNNNNNNNNNNNNNNNNNNNNNNNNNNNNNNNNNNNNNNNNNNNNNNNNNNNNNNNNNNNNNNNNNNNNNNNNNNNNNNNNNNNNNNNNNNNNNNNNNNNNNNNNNNNNNNNACCCGGUCGAAACGAGCUAUUGGACUGCUAUGAACAGAGUCCGGUACGAGCCAGAAGCCAACUUCUCACCGCGGCUUCUCCAGAAAAUCGAGUUACUAUUCAUUUUAAGUGAAACUUGGAAAUCGCGUAGAAUUUUCGUUUUAACUCGUUUUCGCCCGAAACUUGACGAGUGCUUUUGUAAUUAAAUUACACACAAAAACAUCAUCAACUGAGAGUUUAGCUACACUGCAAAAAUCUCAGUCCUUACAACUAUCAAUAGUACCAAGUUAUUGGUGGUAUUGAAUUUUUAGCUCUUGGAUUGAGAAAUAUGCGGUUAGGAUGAUGUGUGCCCCAUAGGGUUGAGUGGGUGGUUGGUUUAAUAGUAUAAUCUAACGGGUAAACAUAAUCAAAGGGAUUAAUCUAACGGCAGAAAACUUGAUAGCACCAAGCCCUUGGUGCUAUCAAUAGCAUAGCAGCCAGACUAUAUAUAUAUAUAUAUAUAGAGCUAGGCUCUUAUGCUUUCGAAAGUACGGGAGCCUACGAACUUGUAAGUUGUUUUCAAUAAUCGGAUAUCCGAUUCGGCGAUCGGUUCCGUUAGACAUGAUCUACGCUGUUGGAACUACCUAGAAACCAAAUUUCAUAAUUUUUUGAUUUCGUUUGUCUAGUAAACGAGUAGCCUCAAAAUGAACGGCUGAAAAUGAAAAUCUCAUAAAAAACUGUGAUAAAGGACUCAAAUUUCAAAUCGGAAGUAUUGCCCUUACUAUUGACGUUAAGUAGAAUUUUCUAUUAAAUUUUUAUCUAAUUUGGAUACUUCUACACCAUUGAACUUAAAAACGUGCCACAUCGGCAACUAAAAUAGUCAUUUUUUAAACCUUUUGAUCGCUUGGUAAAUGAUGUCAAAAAAUUAUAAAAUUUGGUUUCUAAAUAGUUUUAAUAGGGUAGGUUAUACUUAACGGAGCCGAUCAUCGAAUCGGAUUUCCUAUCAUCGAAAACAACUUACAAGUAUGGAGGUCUCCGUACUUUCGAAAGUACAGGAGACUUACUCCUGCUCUCUCUUCUCUCUCUCUCUCUCGUCUCUCUCUCUCAUAUUAUAUAUAUAUAUACUCAUAUACUAUAUAUAUUAUAUACUAGUUUGAGGUCACGAUGCAAAUAACACGUAAUAAUUAUUUAAUUUAUUUUAAUCAGUAAAAAUAUUCUAGUAAAUUAUUCUUAUUAUAAAAAAUUUAGAAUAAAAUAUUUUCAUUAAAGUUUACUAUGCUUAUAUUUUAUUGAAAUCAGUAUUUUAAUAUCACAUUUCAUUUAAAUAAAAUAGAUUGAUAUGAUUUGAUAUCCAAAUCAAAAUUAAAUUUAAUCACGAUUUAAACUCAAAUUUUUAAAUUUUUAAUGCUUAAAAAUAGAUUGAUUGAGAAUCUAUUGUAUAUUUUGGCCAAAAAUUUGGAUUAAGCUAUGAAUUUUUUUAUUUUUGGAGAUAGAAAAAAAUUAAAACAAUUUUUGAAUUUAAAGUAUUAGGAAUCACAAUGAGGAUAUCUUUUGUUUGGCAAUUUGAAUAAGUAUAUUAUUUUUUUAUUUUGGGAAAGAUAAUAUUAAAAGUUUAUUUUAUUAUGUGUAUUUAUUUUUACGUAACGGAAGAUCGAGGCUGAUCAAAAUUUUUUUUUCCCUAAAAUGCGGGUCUGCGAAUUAUCAAAUUAAAUACGUGAAAUAGUAGUAUGAUAUUAUAUAGUAUGUUAGAGGAUAAAAAAGAAUUAAAAUAAAAUUAUAUAGUAGACAUUUCAGCAUUGCGUAAAAAUUUGGGAUAGUAUAAAUUUUUUAUCUGUUGCGCAGUUCAGAAAUUCAAAGGAUGGAAAUAAAAGUUUGUGUUAUUUCUAUUAUUUAUUUUAAUUAAGGCAAUAGAAUCAUUUUUUCUUUUCCCCGCCAAAAAAAUGAGUCGUAUCGACAGAGCCGAAAUUAUAAAAUACGUGUUAUAUAUUAUAUAAUAUAUCAUAUGGGCCUAUUACGGGCGCUUCGUCUCGCCAUUUUACGAAAGAUUAUUAGGAGUAAAAAGAUAUCUGACGAGAUUCUUAUUCCCUAUUCAAUCCUUAUUACUAGAUAAUGUAGCAUUUUAUGGUAUUUGCGUUUCGUAACGGUCAUUAUUAUUUAGUCAUGUUAUUUAAGAUUACGAAAAAUAUAUAAUUAAUUAAUUUAAUUUUAAAUAAUAUUAUAAAAAAUUUCAACAUCUUUUUUAGAAAAAAAAAGAGAGAAUAUAGGUUAGAAAGAGAGAGCAUAAUUUAAAAAAUAGGAAGAGAAAUAGAGUCGAGAUUAGAGAGAAUAAGAGGGUUGAGAUUUUAGAAAAAGAGGAGGAGAAAUAACUUAAUUUAGAGAGAGAAAAAAAGUUGAAGUUAGAGAGAAAAAGAUAAGUUUAGAGAGAAAUAUGAGGUUAGAGUGUAAAAAAAUAAAUAAUAUCAACUAGCCGGCGGGUGCCAAAAAAAAAAAAAAAGAUUAGAUAUAUUAUCAUUACUCCAAUCCAUUAAUAUAAGGAUACCUACUCUCCCUCAAAGGAAUGAGAUUAGUACUUUAGAAUGCAUCUCAUUACAAAGUAAAUCCAGUAUUACCAACUAGAUUACUUAGUGCGUUUAGCCAAACACCGUCAUAUUUUUUUAUUCCUAUUGGAUUACUAGCAAUCUUAAAACGAUAGCGCGAACCAAACGCACCCUUAGGUCUAAAUGCCAUUACGCUAUAUCAUCAACUCCACAUGCAUGUGUUUUUGACAGGCAGUUUGUAAGAUCAUGUGUUUAAGUAGUAAAUAGGACACAACAAGUUAGUUCAUUUCAACUGCUUGGGCUUCUAUAUUUACUCAGUCCUUGACUUGUUUGUUUGAUGAUAUAGAGUGCGUCUGGUAUGCUUCUGGAAGCACAGAGCGCUCCGUGCUUCCAAGUUGUUUUCGAUGUUCGGACUUUCGAAUCGACCAUCGCUCUGUUAGACUUGAUCUAAAGCAUUUGAAGUAUCUAGAAAAUAAAUUUUGCGAUUUUUCGAUAUCAUUUGCCUAGUGAUCGAAGUGGCUCAAAAUCAAUGGCUGGCAAUAAAAAUCUUACGAAAUAUGAUGAUAUGACAUUAAAAUUUUAGAUCAAAGUUAUUGAUUUUAUUUUAUAUGGUAUAAAGAAUUUUCUAUCAAUAUUUUAUGUGAUUUGGAUAUUUCUACACCAUUAAACUUGCAAACGGCUCACCACGGCCGUUAAAAUUAUUGAUUUUGAGCCUUUUCAAUCACUAGGCAAAUGAUAUCGAAAAAUCACAAAAUUUAUUUUCUAGAUACUUCAAAUACUCUAGAUCAACUUUAACGGAGCCGAUCAUUUAUUCGAAAGUCUGAACAUUGAAAACAACUUGGAAGCACGGAGGGCUUCGUGCUUCCAGAAGCAUACCAGCCCACUCUGAUGAUAUAUGUUUGUUUUUACCAUCUUUUUGAGUAAAAUCUGCUGUAAUAAUAUAGAUUAAUAUCAAUAGAGACUUAGUAGUAUUGUCAGAUAAAUGGCAUAUAAUAUAUUACAAGCUUUGAUAUAUCUUGUGAAAUAUAUGUUUUUUCUAUCAUAUUUAUUGGUAAUGUCUCCGGUAAUAAUACAGAUAAAUUUUGGCAGUAGAGACUUGAAGAUCUUGGUGAUUAAACUAUCAUAUAUCAACCGUAAUGUGUAGUACUUCUGUAAAGUAUAUUCAGUUUCCAGAGAAGUUCAAAGAAUUUUGGUACCACGUGAUGUAAUAUUGCAAAGAAUGAUCUUUGCCAUUCUACCAUAAUGUGUAGAUACUUUUGCUUUCGCUACUUGCAAGAUUUGAGAAGGAAUUGUUUAAGAGGCAAAAUGAAGAGAAAGAAGCUUAUUUAUGGUUCGUCUCCGAUAUGUUACACGCUCAGUAUGCUACCAACCUACCAGAUAAUUCCUUGGAUAUUUGCACUAUAAAACUUCUGCUGCUAUCCUGGAAUAUUGUUGUUUUGUGUAAAUUGUUAUCAUUCUUGCAAAUUUUGCUGUCACCUGAACAAGCGAGAAAAGUUCUUCUUCCUUUUUGAUAUUCAUAGUCACCGAUUGUGUUUCUACACGACAAAAAUCUCCUGGUUUCGGGAGCGGAGAGGUAUGCAAAAUUUUUACUCUUCGCGGUUUGCAAAUUUGGAUAACUACUUUGUAAUUUUUGAUCGUAUGUUUAGAUCAACUAUACAUGAAUAUCAUGUAAUCUUUUGCUCUGCUUAGCACUGUACUAGUAUAUUCAGAUUCUUUCAAGAAUAAUAGAACUUUCACAUGGUUGGAUCGUUUUGUGAUGCUAACUAGCUAAUAAGCAAUUUUCACAUGGCUGGAUCUUUUUGUGAUGCAUGCUACCUAAUAUUCGGCGAUCAACUUUCUCGUGAUAUUCAAGUUGUUGCCUUUUGCAGUAAUGAACCGUCGUGCCUCUGUCAUUGUCGCAUAACAGUUGCAACUACUGGGUUAUCGGGCAGAUGCUUGCAUGCUUAGCUAAGUUCUCAUUUGGUACUGUUGUAAUUUCUUCUGCUUUGUUAAACACAGCUUUUAAGCAAUGGAGCUUCAGGAUGGAUGGCCGAGUACGCCAAGCACUCGUAGUCUACACAAUAACCGAUGUUUGUUUGGCAAUGGAAAAGGCUAAAACUUAGGCCUCGAUAUAUAUAUUUUUGUUCUUUUUUAAGCAUUUUAUAUAAAUUUGUACAUGAGAUGUAUAGGAAGGAAAUGCUUGAUUGCUUGCAAUCUUUAUAUCCUGUUAGGUUUAGGAAAAGAAAAAAAAAAAAAAAAACCUUGACAGUAACCAUUUUUCUGUUUUGUUUUGUAUUUUUGUAUUUUUUUUUUUUUUUUUGCUUUUAAGAUAUUUUUUUAAAGAAGUUGCAUCUGUCGGAUGCAAAUGGGGUAGAUCUUAAUAUGGAAGAUCUGCUGUCUCCAGAUGUGUGUCAUCAUGACAACAUGAAAAAGGAGAGCUAGCUGCCUUAUCUGAGCCAUAUUAUGAAAGUCACCUCCAAUGCAACAGUUUGCCAAGCUUUAUAAGGAUGGUGAAAUAAUGAGCCCUUAACUUCUUAAUUAAAGAUGGAGUUCGGUUUUUCAAGCAGAGAAUUUAUUUGCCAGAAGAUGCCAAACUCAUUCCAAUCAUUAUGCAGGAAUUUCACCAACGCAUACCAACUCAAUUAAUAUGACUCGCAAUAAAUGUGUUUCAACAGGAAGAAUAUAUAGCAACAUUUCGAAGGUACAAUUAGAUCAUGCCAUGUUAAAAGACAGAGAAAUAGAACUGAUUGAUCAUAUUACACCAUAAAUUAAGCCUUUUUCAGCCCUUUCCUAUUCCGCCGCAGAUCUGAUCAGACAAUUCCAAUCAUUGCUUAUUUUAGUGGAUUAUUUAUCAAAAUAUGCCAGCUCCGUGCCCUUAUCACAUACAUACGCAACACUAUUUGCGGCUCAAUUAUUUUUUAAACACAUCUUCAUACUCCGCGGCAUAUAUAUGCAUGCGAUCACGACUCAACCUUCGCUAGUGCAUUUUCGAAGGAACUAUCUAUCUAUAUAACUCUUGAAUCGAGAGUUCCUGCGGCGCGCUCCCCGCGUUUUGCGGGGGCCUCGCGCGAGAGAGAGAGAGAGAUAACAGAGGGAGAGAGAGAGAGAGCAGGCAGAGAGAGAGAGAGAGAGAGAGAGAGAGAGGGAGGCCUGCCCUCUCUGCGCGCGCGGGGGGUGCGGGCCUCCCGAACAUGCCCCCCCCUCUCACUCUCCCCUCUCUCCCUAGCGCCCCCCCNNNNNNNNNNNNNNNNNNNNNNNNNNNNNNNNNNNNNNNNNNNNNNNNNNNNNNNNNNNNNNNNNNNNNNNNNNNNNNNNNNNNNNNNNNNNNNNNNNNNNNNNNNNNNNNNNNNNNNNNNNNNNNNNNNNNNNNNNNNNNNNNNNNNNNNNNNNNNNNNNNNNNNNNNNNNNNNNNNNNNNNNNNNNNNNNNNNNNNNNNNNNNNNNNNNNNNNNNNNNNNNNNNNNNNNNNNNNNNNNNNNNNNNNNNNNNNNNNNNNNNNNNNNNNNNNNNNNNNNNNNNNNNNNNNNNNNNNNNNNNNNNNNNNNNNNNNNNNNNNNNNNNNNNNNNNNNNNNNNNNNNNNNNNNNNNNNNNNNNNNNNNNNNNNNNNNNNNNNNNNNNNNNNNNNNNNNNNNNNNNNNNNNNNNNNNNNNNNNNNNNNNNNNNNNNNNNNNNNNNNNNNNNNNNNNNNNNNNNNNNNNNNNNNNNNNNNNNNNNNNNNNNNNNNNNNNNNNNNNNNNNNNNNNNNNNNNNNNNNNNNNNNNNNNNNNNNNNNNNNNNNNNNNAAUUUUAAAUUUUAAAUUUUAAAUUUUAAAUUUUAAAUCUAAUUUAUAUAUAUCUAAUUUUAUUUAUAAAUCUAUAUUUAUGUACUAUAUAUAAUUUUUAUAUUUAAUGUUUUAAUGCUUAAAAUUUUAAAUUAGAUUUAAAAAUUAAAAUAUUAAAACUAUUAUUUAAAAUAUGUUAAAAAUUACGUAAUUAAAAUAUUAAAAAUAUUAUUUAAAAUAUGUUAAAAAUUACGUAAAUUUUUCGCCGCGAAGCGCGGCCCUACACUAGUUUAAAUUAAAUGGAAACAAGUUUAGGUAUAGUUCUUCCAAUCAUCCUCAAAUGAACGAGUCAGAACAAAUGCAGUAAAUCGAACUUUAGAUAUAUAUAUACUUAUGUUUUGCCAGAUCUGAACCACAAGAUUGGAUAAAGCGGGCUCUGAAUACAGCUGUAAUACUAGUAAUACUAGUAAAAUUAUUUCACUCUCAAAACGCCCUUUGAAAUUACUUAUGGGAGAUAUCCUCCCACACACUACUUUCAUAUGUACCAGGAACAUUAAGAAUUACAAGCAGGAGAUCAAGUUCUUAAAGAGCUAAAAGAUCAACUCCAAAAGGCCCAAGCUCGGAUUAAUCAGAUUUAUGAUCGCAGGUGAGCAAAUGGAAGAGUUUAGGAUUGGUGAUUGGGUCUUUUUCAGUUAGCAGCCCUAUAGCCAAAUCACAGUUGGAUUCAAGCAUACUCACAAGCUAUUGCCAAGACUCUAUAUAGGCAUUACCAAAUUAUAGUGUACUAGUAAUAUAUACAUGAUUCAAAUGGACAAACAAGGUGAAAUGAAAAAAUGCAACAAAUACAAAGUAAACAGCUGAGAAAGGAGGAAGAUGCAAAAUGUAGAGCGAACACCAUAGCUAUUGUUUAUAUAUAUAUAUAUAAAUUACUUACAACCACAUUGCUAGAAUUUACUUUUCAGAUUACUUAAAACAUAAUCAAAAUUUAGCUGAAAAAUUUACAAUAGCUUGCAAUUUUUUCCAGUCCGACAAGUUUGUCAUAUAAAACAACAUAUCAAAAGGAGGUGAGAUAACUGAAGAAAGCAGAAAAGAGUAGAGUUCAGGAUAACAGGACAUUGCCGAAGAAUUCAGUACAUAUACAAAAUGUCCAGUUAGCCAGUUUUGAACAAUUUAAAGCAACGAUUUCAGUACCUGAUGGUAAUAUUUGUACAGAGUCAUACACAUCUGUAUUGCAUUCUAUACUUUGCGAUUUCUUUUUUCCUGUGCUUAUUUAACAUAAGAGAUUUCACCCACAAAAAUUGCAUGUACUUUCAACAUAACUGUAGCAUAGUUAAAUUCAAAACACAACACAAAAAAGAUACUAGUACGUGUAAGAAGUACAUUAAGAAAAAUAAGGGAAGUUCCUAUAGCAGUUAGCCACAAUGGCACUGCCGGGAACAAUUUUGGUUGAGAACCCUACUAAUCAGCUAAGUGAGUGAAGGAAGCAGCAACAUGGUGGAGCGAAAGUUUCCGAAAAUUGCAAGCGGAGGGAGAGAUGGAUAGAGAAAGCAAUAAUUGCAAUUAAAAACCAUAAUGAUCUAUAUAGAACUCGAAAAAGAACUUGAAGGCCAAGAAAGCAAACUUAAUAGAAAAUAUCACGAAAUCAAUUUUUUAAACUGGGAACUCAUGUAUAACAGCAUCUACCAAGCAGCUACACAGGGUGCAAAAUCCUAAAUAGGAAAACCAUUAUUUGACAGGUUCCAGUGCAGAAAGCCCCUCUUUGCGCGGAUAAGGAAUAUAACCGCUCCCUCUGGCCUUUAUAUUAUAGUGAGUGUUCCGUAAGUGGGUUCUCGAUUUAGGCGGGUGACGUUCUUCCUUAUCGCACUUACCGGAGACUGAUAUUUUCUUUGAACCUUAGUUUUGGACCUUUGCAAGAGGAUUUCCCCAGCAUGUAUAUAUAUAUUCUCAAAGAGACUCUGCCAUAUAUUUUGUUGAAAAGUUGAACAUCUAAGUGUUUACCCUAUAUACAUAUAUAGGAUGAUAUUGAAUGUUGCUCCGAACGUUCUGUGUGGAACGUUGGGAGUGGCGCGCGAAAGGUGCUCGCGCGUGUGGAACGGGCGAGCACACGAGGCGCGAUCUUAGCGAUCUCAACAUCCGUGCUAUAACGGAUAUUAAAUAAAUACAUAAUUAAAAUAAUAAUACAGAAUAAUAAAUUAAAUAAUUAAGUAAAUUAAAUAAUAAUAAUGAUUAGAGGAUUAUUAAUUUUUACAUCAACAAAAACUUAGUCAAAUCCGCGAUAAGUCAAUAUAUCAUCUAGCAUAAAAAUUUAAUGAAUCUUCCAUAUACAAUUAGAGGCGGCAGUCAAAAUAAAAUAUAUACAACAAGCUAGUCAUCUGUAGAACAAUUGGUCAGCUUUUGAUGUGCCCCGGCUGAUGUGUCAUGACAUCAGUUUGCAGAAUACAAGGACGAAAACAAAGUUGGGUUGUUUUUCCUUUAUUUAUUUUCUUUCGUUCCCAAACAAAAUCCUUGGCAGAUGGAUUGCAAGCAAGCAAUCCAUCAUCCACCAAUUACACUUCAUCACAUCGAAUUUGAGCUAAGGAAAAAAGGGGAAAAAAAAUGAUAUGUGUGUAACCAAACGAGGCGUAAAUUUUGAUACAUAUGUGGUGUCAAAAAAGCCUAGUAUAUGAAAGGUUCAAAGAGGUCUGAUUCAUGCAUGGAUUAAAAUCCUAGAGCUUCAUGUCCAAAAAUUCAAAGGGUUAAGUGUUAGAUGUAUGCCCUAGAAGCCAACCAGGCCGACACAUGUAUUCUUUCUAGGACAUAAUUUUGUACUUGAUUUUAAAAUAUUAUGAAUAACUUUGGGUUUUUAUUUCCAUUCAUGUUGUGUAUGUGUCCAUGAAUCGUCCAAGGAAUUAAUAAGAUGAUGACAUAUAUUCUCAAGUGUUGAGAAUUUGAGACAUGUGUCAUUGGUGAUUAAUUCCUAAAUGCUCCCGAUCAAUGGAUCAUCACGGGGACGGUGAUUGAUCCGAUGAGAUUGGUGCAUAAGUCGCUUCCCUUUUGAGGGUAGACGAGUUUCGAGUCGACAGUGUGGGGACACUGAAGCAAAUAUGCAUGUGGUUGUUAGAGAACAAGGGUACCGAGCGUGACCAACGCGAGAAGUCACUUGGAUGUCUACUCACUCGUCAGUGACUUACUCAAUUGUUGCAGUAGUGUGACUGGUCCUUUGACCUGCGGUGCCUCGGCUAUUCACAAUGAGGUUACUGUAGUUUGACUGUACAUACACUUGGUCCCUAGCCAUUCGGGUCCUUGCGGUGCAUGUUGGCUGCAGUAGGUUCAUUGUAGGAAUAGGGUGCGCACUCAGAUGGAAUCUAUCUCCCUUGGUAGAUAGGGGUGUUAGUCCUAUGUGAUUUAUGAGACCGAGUUUAGAAGACCUUGGCCAGGGCAGAAUAAAUAGCGGAAAAGGGUUUCCGAUAUUAGAAACUCGAGUCGAAUAAAUUUAACAUAUGACAGACGAUGGGGUUUGACGAGUUAUUCCAUAACCUCCGUCUAGUCGGGACUCAUGAUAGAAGGAUUGUAUCACACGGUAACUGCACCAAGAGGUUCAGUAUUCCAUUCUACUGGAAUGCCACUACAUGCUGCUAGGCGUCACUGGUGGAUUGUGAGACUCAUGAGAAUUAUCUAGAUGAUCGAUAAUUCUCAUUGGGCUGAGUUGGAAUUGUUCCGAUCCACUGAAAGGAGUUUCAGUGAUAUUGUUGAUAGUGAUCAAAAUAUAUCUCACUACCAGAUAGAAUAGAACCUAUGGGGUCACACACAUAAGAGGUUGUGAUUGAUCGGAUAGCUAGAUCGCGAUUAUUGAAUCGCCGGAGGACCUAAUUGUCAAUAUGUUGAUAAUUGGACUAAUUUGUAAUUGUUACAAAUUAGUGGUAUUAAAGUGUAAAUGUUACAAGAGAGGACUUACUAAUAGUUAGUAAAUUAUAAGAGGACUUAUGUGCAAAUGUUGCAUUAUUAAUUUGAUAAGAUCAAAUUAAUAUAAAAUUCAAGUCGAAUCAAAUUAGGAUUUGAUCGAUCUAACCAAUUAAGGAAAAGAUAAAUUUAAAUCUAGAUUUAUACUUAUCCUUAAUUGUCAUUAUAUUAUUAGGAAUAGGAUUAUAUUCCUAUAUAUAAUAUACGGGAGUUUUUAGAAAACCCAAGCCGUCAUCUAUCCUCUCUUCUCUCUUCCAUCUUCUAGCAAGAAAGACGUCCUUUUGCAAGGGAGCUAGCACCCCGGUGAGGACAUCGAUCAAAUCAAGAACCUCGUGUGGAUACCUAUAGAGGCCGGACGCGUGUGCGGCUUCAAGAGAACCGAAUUCCACGAUCAUCAAAUUGAGGGGAAGAUCUAUCCGCGAAAAAGGUAAAGAUUCGAUCUUGUUUUUCUUUUUUAAUCUUAAAACAUGAGGGAUCCUAAUUGCGUGGUUUUUGAGAUUAGAUCUCGAAAGUUUUUCAAAAUCAAAUUUGUUUGAUUUCUUUUUCCGCUGCGUUUUACCGUACGCAAUUUUCUAACAGUGGUAUCAGAGCCAUCCUCAUGUUUUUAAGAUUAAAAUUAUGAUUUUUGGGUAUUCUAAACCGUUUUUUUGCCGAGAAAACGAUUUAUCGAUCGUUUUUGGCUAAUUCGAAAAGAUCAAAGUGAUCAAUAAUUUAAUCGAACGGUUUCUUGUUUUCAAGCAACAUAAAAAAAAAAUAAUAAAAAAAAAAAAUUUACUGUAGCACCGUACGGACUCUACUGUAGCAUCCGUACGGAUUACUGUAGCAGUCCGUACGGACGUUACUGUAGCAUCCGUACGAAAAUCAGAUUUUUUUUAUUUAACUAAAAGAAGAGGAUCUAAUUUGAUUAGAUCAAAUUUAAAUCUUGAUUAGAUCAAAUUGUUUUGGAGGAUUAAAUUUUUGAUCAAAAUUAUAAAGAUCAAUAAGAUUGAUUGUUAUUAGUGAUUUAGUCACUAUUAUCUUUCGAAUUAUCGGUNGGGAGUUUUAGCUGUUGUAAACAAGAGGGAAACAUUCGGAGGUUUAAGCAAUUACUUUCUAGCGCGAGGUUGCAACAUAUACAUAGUGGGGAACUGGGGAUCCGAGAGGUGUGUGUAACGGGUCGGAUCUUAUAAAAUUAUUCAAAAUCCUUAUUUAUUCCAAUCGUAAAAAUUUAUGUGAGGUUUAGGAAUUAGGUGAGGAUAAUUGUUAAGGUAUAGUGUGGUUCGCAUAUAACAAAAAACGACAUAUUUCAGGAAUAGUUAUAAGUUCAAAUAUAAGUAAAAAAGUAUACUAAUUUUACGGUUGAAUGAAAAUUAGGUUGUUCCUAAAAAUAAGAAAAAUAGUGCUUGAAUAGAUAAGAUGGAAUAAAAGAAUAGUGAGAGUUAUAUAUAUAGAUAUAAUAUAAUAUAUAUAUUAUAUAUUAUAGAAAGAGAGAGAGAGAGAGUGAGCUACUAUCAGCGAAAGCACGGAGCCUUCCGGCUCCCACUCGUUUCGAUUUGCGACUUCAAAAUCGUCGAUUCGGCUCGUCCGUAAAACUUGAUCUAAGUAUUUGGAGUGCUAGAAAAUAAAUUUAUUAUUUUCGAUAUCAUUUGGCCUAAUCAAAAUGGCUCAAAAUCAACGAAAUUCAAUGCGUAGUCGAGCCGUUUGCAAGGUUAUACGGUGUAGAAAUAUCCAAACUAGCAUCGUGAAAUAUUUGAUAAGAAAAUUCCUUUAACAAUAUAAACAAGAUCAAAUCUUUGAUUUAAAAUGUUAAAUGUCAAUUAUAAUAAUGUGUAAUUUUAUUUUCAGCCAGUGAUUUUGAGGCACCCUUCGUUCACAUAAGCCAAAUGAUAUCGAAAAUCAAAAAUUAUUUUCAAGGUACUUCAAAUAUCCAGAUCAAUACGGGAGCCGAUCAUCGAUUCAAAAGUCGCAACAAUGAAAACGAGCUGGAAGCCAAAGGCUCCGUGCUUCCGAUAGCAUAACCUCAUCUAUAUAUAUAUAAUAUAUAUCAUAUAUAUAAUAGAUAUAAUAUAUAUUAAUAAUAAGAUAUAUAUAUAUAUAUAUAUAGAAAUAAAAUACCAUCUCCAUAAAUUUGAAAUUUGAAAAUUCGAAAUAAUAUUUAUAAUUUUAAAUUUUAAAUUUUAACUUUAAAAUUUAAUUUAAAAUUAAAUUUUAAAUUUUAAAAAUUUUAAGAUUUAAAUUCAAACUAAUUUAAAAUCAAAUUUAAAUUUAAAAAUAUAAAAUAUCAAAUUUUAAGACAUGCUAAUACUAUAAUACUAUAAUACAUAAUUAACAUGUUAAAAUUAACAUCUUUAUACCUCUAAACAGUAAGUACUAAAUUUUGUUUGGACACUUGUGUAAAUCCUUAAUUGGGAAUGGAAAACAAUAUUGAACAAUAAGUGACAAAUUACUACUCGAUAGUAGGUUUGGUUGGACAUCUUUGGGCACCUGUUGAGCAUAGUAGUAUACUUGCUAACCAUGCUUGAUGUAUAGUAGUGUACUUGAUAAUCAUACUUGCUGCAUAUUUAUAUACAUGUGAACAUGUUUAGAGCAUACUAGUAUACAUGUGGAAUAUACUUGUUCAUGAUAGAUCAGUAGUGUACAUGUUGAUAGCAUGCUAAACUUGAGGCAUUGUAAUUUAGCCAAGUUAACUGUUGUAUUUCAUACAUAUUUUUUGUUGUAGUUCAAUUGCUACUUAUACCUCUUUAGCCUAGUGGAGUAUUUUGCUGAGGUCGGCGACUUGCCCACUGGAAACUAUUGUUCAAUAGUUCUCACGCCCUCUGCUUUGUUAUUUUUACAGAGCCUUUCACUUCGGGUGACGCUAGGGAUCGCGGCAAGAGUGUCGCUUCGAGCUAGUUAGCGAGGGGUCGUGCUUUAGGUGGUUCAUUUCCUCUUUUUUGUUUUAUUUGGAGAGGAUGAGAGUUUUAUACCUAUUUGUAAAGACCGCCAUUUUGUAUACUUGGUACUAUGUUUGGAUUAUGUUAGUUAUUUAGUUCUUUUACUUUUUCUCUUGUCAUUAGAAUUUAGUUGUGCUCAUACUCUGAUAUCUCUAAUUGCUUGUUUAUUAUUGCUUUAUUCAUCGCUUUGUUGUAAACGCCUUAUAUGUUGCACUUAUAUGUCCCGGGGCAUGACACCUACAGUGUAUAGACACGUGAGUGCGGGUUUGGGCUUGAGUCCCGGUGUGCGUGUCGAGUUUGAUAAACUCGAUGUGCAUGGUUAUGUGAUGUACGUGUAACACACUGGACCUUUGCAAAUUGCGAUGUUCGAGUGUUUGGUUUGUGUUUUGAGUUUUUCCAGAUUUUCUGGAGGGUCAUUGAUAGUGUUUCGACCUAUGACUCGCAUCCCGAGAAUUGAGAUUUUUAAUUUAGCGCUAAGGUCUCCAAAGAGGAGAACUUAGACUGCUCUCGGGUUGGAUUCUGCAAUUUGUUGUACCGGUACAAAUACGGGUGUGUACCGGUACAGGAUGUUGUACCGGUACAAAUUGGGUUUGUACCGGUACAUUAAUACAAAUAGGAAAAGCUACUAACUAUUAGGGCGCUAUGCCCUUACCGCGGUCCUCGCUCGGUCCGCACGAACUCUGCCCUGCAACAAAGUGAUGUGAGAACUAUAUAAAUAUAGUUCCUAGUGGGUUCAGCCGCCGACUCCACCGAUCUUCCUACUAGGCUUAAGCAGGUAUAAGCAGAUAGAUAGAUAAGUAGCUAUGAAACAACUGUAAACAUAGUAAUAAAAUUUGCAAAUAUACUACUAUGCCUCAAUCAAUUGAAAUGAAUGCAUGAACAAUAUAGUAAUGAAGUCCGCUAUCAUGAUACUAUGUUCAAGAAAUAAUGCUAUUCAUUGAUUACCCAAGCACUUGACUAACCCAAAGGUUUGCCCUCGACUCACUAUGCCAUCUCGUAAGGUAAGGAGAUGCACCUCGCUCACAAACCCAAGACCGUCUGCGGGACAACUACGUCUGCCCCUCAGGUGACCACCUCCGAAGUGCACGGCUUGUGUGGAGCAACCACUUCAAGCUCUAAACAGACUAUGUGAGUAUGAUCCAAUCCUCGGCACUUAAGGAUACCCUAUCAACUAGGGUUAACGAUCACUCGGGAAUCCACCUAUCCCAAUAUCCAUGUUCAAGUGUUUCAUCUACACUACAGUUUUAUGCAACAUAUCAUAGCUAGGGAAAUCCACCUAUUCUCUAAGUUCAUUAUGUCAUAAGUGUUUCCUUUACACUAAGUUUUAUGCCUGUGGUAUCCCUGGUGUUCACCCUUUGAGGCUUGUCGACAGCUCUAGAGAGUGUCGGGACAAGUCUGAGUCGCGUUAAUGUGAAAUAUACGUAAAACGGACUCAGCAGGGACGCGAGAGCAGGACUUGGCAUUGGAAUCUGCAAACAGCAGAUUUUCUACUUGUUGUACCGGUACAACCAUCAAGGCGUACAGGUACACUUUUUGUACCGAUACAACAUCGGGAGUGUACCGGUACAAUUCGACAGAUUUUACGCAGCUGCUCUCGGGUUGCCAUUUGUACCGAGACACUUGCUCGUGUACUGGUACACCCGGGUAGGUGAGAUGGCAUUUUGGUAAUUUCUCACCUCGUUCGUGUCACCCACUCCUCUCCACCGCUUAUAUGUACGUAGAGGGUUAGAGAGAGAUGGAUUUUUACUGCUUUCCUCUUCUCUCUCCCUAGCAUCGGCCGAGCAAGAAGGAGCUCCGAUGGAGUUGCCGUGGAGCUCGGACCGACAUCGACGUCGCGCCGCGGUGCCGUUCGAGCGGGUGUUUGUCGUCGUAGCAUCGCUAGGAGACAGGGCGAGGGUGCGAUUCUGCCUUUCUCGACGUCGCGCCGGAUUGGAUUUAGCGUUCGAGGUGGGUUAACCAUCGGUUUGUCUUCUAAGUAUAUAAAUAUGGUUGGCAUGUGUAGUUCUAGCUUGUUGCAUAACCGGUUUGCUCAAUUCAUGGAGUUUAGACAUAUGUAUAUGUAGAAUCUGAAUUUGGAGCUUAAUGUUGUGACUAGAUAUUGACACAUGUUGGACUUGAAUUUGACUUAGGAGAAAAUCGCAAAUAUAACUUGUCAUAUGUUUACACUACCUGAUUUAGCUUUAGGAGCCGUUAUUAUUUUGUAUCGCCGCAAUAUCGGUGUGGUGGAUACCCUAGGUAGUGUAGUGUACUGUUACGCUCGUGCUGGGAUGCCGAGCCUUUUUUUCUUAUAGUAGCUUUCGGACUGUUUCGGACUGUUGGGUGCCGUUGGGACUCACGGUGGACCCGGAUUGCCGUUUUGACAUCAGAUUGUGCUGAGGAUACAUGACUAUUUGGUUGGUAGACCAGUUAGACCUAGUAUACUUGACUAUAGCCUGCGAGAGCCUGAUUGAGCUUGACAAAGAUACGCUUGCAUACUCGGUUGGGUAGCACCCACGAGUGCCACUCCGAAGUCGGGCCUAAUACUGUUGCGUUGGUGUCGUUGUGUCCUGGUUGGACUUGCUCUCCACUAACUACCCUGCGGGGGUGGUUAUUAGUGUUACUUCGGCAGGCGGGACGGGUGUAUCACAGUCCCUGGAUAGAUUGGGUCAACAUUGAUAUUUUACUACAGAUGAUUAGAGUAGCGCAUGAUAGUGUAGUGAUAUUUAGCUGUAGAUGUUUUUCCAGCUUUCCUACUAUCCCAGCUCCUUUCUGUAGACUUAGUGGGUGGACCGAUGAUUGUUGAGGACGGCACCCACUGAGGACUACUUGUUUUUACAGUAGUUCUCACGCCCAGUUGUUACCCCUCUCUUGCAAAGCUUGCUGUUCCGGUUGCUGCUUCCUCUGAGACCGAUGGUGGCAAGGGCGUUGCCGGUUAGAGCCCUUCCCAGUUGCGGCAGUUCGAGAGGAUACCAGAUUCAGGUAGUGGUUUUGUUUCCUUUGCAGUUCAUGUACAUACAGCUUUCGUAACUCGCCGGAGCAAGUUUUUUGUAUCAGGAUGUUUCGUAUGUAUAUAGAACUGGCUUUUGUUUACCAGCUUUAUUUAAGCAGCUCUGUACUACUAUUUGUAGUAUUGUAUGUUUAUACAGGUACAGCUAUCGCUUCGUAUACAGAAAAAAAAAUUUUAUACACGGCGGGUUUGUCGGCGUGCACGGGGAACGAGACAUCCGGGGCGUGACAAUGCCACUCACAUAUUAUCAAUCAUUGUUUACAUGCCAUUCGUUAUGUCACUACAUAACCCUCAAAUUCACCUCUUAUUUCGACAUUAUAGGAUUCCAAUGUCAAGACCCAAUCCUUACCUAUCCACUAUAUCAAGUAUUCGCCUCACACUAUGAUAUCAACUAGGAAAGCAUAAGGAAUGGAAAUGCACAAUGAUAAUCCUACAAUGCAUGUUAUAUAAGAGAUGCAAGAUCAAUAAUGCACUAAGACAUAGGAAGAAGCCCAACUGCUUUCGGAUGACACCCCUCACCUCUAGGUGAUGUCGCGAUGCUAGGGAUCCGUUUUCGUGAUUUUAGGAUGUUGCGUCCGCACUCCAGGCGGAAACGAAGCCAAAAAUAUCCUUUUCAGCAAUAUCUUCUCGUAGGCUCGACGAAUCGCCGAACCGACUUCACUAGUGCGUCAGAAAACCUAACAAUUAGGUUUGUGUAGGGUUAAUUUAGAUCAAACCCAACUAUAUAGCAAAACUCCAUUUUGAGCCCUAAGAUGCAUCUAUAGCAAAAUACACCAUUUAGCUUCUUGAUUCUAGCAAUAAUCCUCUAUUUAGCAUCUAAGGGUUCCAUAAUAACCAAUUCUAGAGUAUAAAACAUGAACCCUAGAAUUGCUCCAUGAGCUUACCUCAAACAAGCUCCUCCAACUCAAGGAAGAAGAUGAAGAAGGUGAAGCUCCACUCCUUAGCCUUCUUCUCCACCAAUCCUUCUCCUACUUCCCACCUUGAAGAGAGAGAAAGAGAGUUUACAGAGAGAGGGGGAGAGUUAUUUAGGUCUAGGUUGAGAGAAAUGAGAAAAAGAGAGAGAGGCAACCCUUUCUUUUAAUUUCCAUGUGGCAAAAUUGCAUCUAGACCCCUCAACAACUCAAAUAUGACACAGCCCGAACUGGGCAUUUCGCAGCUACGGGGUCUGGUCCCUGGGGAGGGUCCGGACCCCGUAAGCAUGAAAAUUCUGCAUUUUGCAGAAUUUCAUACUUACGCUCUCUAGGGUCCUCUAUAAUGCACUAAACGCAAUUUUGACGCAUUCGGCCUUUCCGAAGCGUUCCGAACUCAUCUUCGAUCAAUUUUGAUCGAAGUUCGGAUUCACACUUCGCAGUUUCAUUUCCUUACAAUCUCCCUGGGCAUAUAACCGAGCAAAUGACCGUUAAGCUCACGGGUCGAAUGUACGACCACUUUUCCGAAAAAGAACACCCUCUUGCAAUGGAUCAGACCGCUAGUGUACGUGAAAUGCACAUGAGCCGUGGUGAUCGAUAUAAUAUGCUUAAUAGCCCACUGUCAGCGGAUAGCCAAGGUAAAGUCCAACAAAGAGUAACCGACCAACUAUGUCAAGCUCUAUCUCAAGGUUAGAAUAUGUAAAUUUUGAGGAGCCCAAGGAUCUAUUUAGAUUGUAUCCAACACCUAGAGGGGGGUGAAUAGGUGAAAUAGCCAAAAACCUCAAAACUCAAUGCGAUAAAAGUAAAUGCGGAAAAAAAAAAUCACACCGAGAUUUACGUGAAAAAACUCCAACUUAGAGUAAAAAAUUCACGGGACCAGCAUGCAAUAACAAUCCAUUAAGAAUAAAAGAUUAUAAGGUGAUUUACCGAAUCCACGGACUCAAACCUCUCUUCUAUCUUCUCCGGAUCUUGCGCACACCAACGGGUUGUCCACGCCCUCACGUCCGACUGCACGAACGCCACAUUCCGAAUCCACGAAACGCCAACACUUCGAAUCCACAAAGCCUCGAUCACGUCGAAUCCACGACGCCCACUUGAAUCCACGAGCCCAUGAUCCGAAUCCACGAAACGCCUUCAAUCACACUGAAUCCACGACGCCGUUUAUGAAGAGCAUCAUGAGUAUGGCGAUCCUUCGCUUAGAGUAUCGAUGAAAACUAGGAAAGUAAACUCCAAGCGGAGAAAAGAUCAAAUCGAUAUAUAGAUAUCGAAUUACAAUAUCUCGAUUUGACCUAAAAGAGGCUAUUAUGAAGAAAAUAGGUUUUUGUUGAAUUCCGAGCCUCUAGGGUUUCUCAAAUAUGUAUUUUCGUGAUACUUCCUGAGUUAGAGAACCCCAAUAGCUUAUUUAUAGACUUUAGAAUCAAUUGGAGUCAGAUUAGAAAGUUUUCAGAAUUUUACAUUGUGUACCGGUAUAAAUUUAAGGUGUUACCAGUUACACAAGGACGGAACAGAAAACUAUUAAAGCCUCGAAACCGGUUACAAGGUUAAUGUUGUACCGGAACAUGUUUUGUACUGAUACAAAACAUGUUCCGGUACAAAAUUCAGUAUUCAAAUCAUAUUUUUGAAUAAAAUAAAUUACCUUUUAAGAAUAUACUUGUCAAGGCUUAAAAGAACAAAAUUCAAGAUCAUAAGUUUCAAUUACAUAAAAAGAUAUUCAUACCGAAUAAGUUAUUAUUGGAAUCGGAUAAUUUAUUCUGACAUUUAAACAAAGCCUUACAUAGUUAGUCUCAUAUUUGACACGAAUGUAAAUUUUAGUCGGUAUGAGAAAGUUUACUAUCUUUUUAAAUUUUGGAUUUGGGUCAGAGCUUGGUACCCACAUCCCUUGCGGCCCAACUUUCAGUUUAUCUCUCUUUCAACCCAAUUUUGCUUCACUAUUUUUAUUUACUUUCGACAAUCCUUCGGAAAAAAAAAAAUUAAAAAAAAAAAAAAAAUCGAUUUCAUUUUGUUCUCAUCCAGCAUAAUCCAGUUCCUUCAAUCAACUGUGUAUUCAUGUCAUCCUAUUCUAGAGCCGAGCAUGUGUUAAAGGGCAUCUUAAAAAUUAAUAUUAUAAUAAAAAAUUAGAAUCCUUUUGUGCGUAAAAUGUGAAAAAUUGCUCUAUCAAUAUCAGAAUACACAGUAAACUUAUUCACGCUGGUCCACCAUUCAUGCUGUUCUUUUAUGCCAAUGGCCUACAACAAACUAUUGCAAAGGCAGUCACAAUGAAUACGCCAGCUUUGGUUUGUCACUUUCUAAUGGAUUCAAAAGAGUCAGAGUCAGUGCAGCAGGACCACUCCAUCCUCGCUUUCAAAAAGACCAGCCCUUGGCAGUAAGCUUUGUUAUUGAAAAAGCAUUAUUAGUGAAAGUAAAACUAACAGGCACGCAUGAGAGAGAGAGAGAGAGAGAGAGAUCACCACCAUCCUGAUAAUGCUUGAAGAUUCAAACCAGUGAUUCGAUCGACGGUGGUGAUUCUCUGUCCUUCCAUUGAGGUACAACUCACGAUGUUUCUUAAAAUUCCUGAUAUGCUGGCGCAUUAAUAUGUCAUCUACAAAAUAGACUUGUACGAUACAAUACAAACCGACACAUCAACAAAUUCAAGAGUAUCGACAGAAGCAUUCCUUUUCUUCUUUUUUUUUCUUUUUAAGGACAUUUGAAGUGGCAGCACAUCAACAAUAUAAUAAAGAGACAGCAUUAUAGGGUUCCUAUUGCAGUUCUCUCCUCUUGGAAAAUGCACGACCUUCAUAGAAGCGACAUGAAACACCUGACGAAUUACGACAGCUUAACUACGAUAAAUAACAACUACAACUGCAGGCAUCCAUCUCCACCUCUCAAAGACCGAAAAUAGAUACAUCGCACUUUCUCCCUGGAGGGAUCCAACAGAUAGAACUACAUUAGCAGCAUGCAUUAGCAUUACAUGACACAGAUCUAGGUCCUUCAGAAAAGGACAGCUAUAUGAUCCAGAUCAGUAGUAGUUAGUAACAACAAUUGCCCCACAUUACCUACAAACAAAAUACACUGCAAAACUCCUCAGCGGAGGAAUUUGAACUUUAAGGCCAAGAAGAUGGCAAAAUCCACCCUUACCUCGCUAAGAUCAGCAGCUGCUUCCUAGCUGCUGAAGCACCAUCUCCAUCGUCGGCCUCUGGCUCGGAGAUUCGCUCGUGCAGAGUAAUGCGAUUCCCGCAAACUUUGCCGCCUCUGGUUUGGAGAAGUUGCCUUUGAGAUUCUGGUCAAGAAGCUCUUCGAGACUACCGUGUUCAGCACUGAGUCGGAGAUGAGAGACGGUCCUUUUUCCCGUGAGGAUUUGGAACACGAUGAUCCCGAAGGCAUAGACAUCGCUUUUCUCAGUGAACCGGCCGGUGGAGGUGUACUCGGGAGCUAAGUAGCCCAUCGCGGCGCUGGAUUUGAGGGUUGAGAAGACGACAUCAUCAGCCAAGAGCUUGUGCAGGCCGCAACCAGAGAGGCGAGGGGCAAAAUGGUGAUCGAUGAGAACCUUCUCUGCCGAGAUAUUUUGGUGAACAAGAGGGGGCUUGCUCGGCCUGCUGCUGUGCAAAUACUCGAUGCCUGGACAUCAAAGCAAGAAGUAUAAGCUUUCCUGUUAUAAGCGGAGAACAAUCAAUUAGGAAGGACUAUGCAAUCCAGCAUGCUAAAACUACCAAUUUUUCUAAAAGGUACACUCAUAUCCGUGCUUGGAGACUUUCAAACGAUAAUUCCAUGUGAAGCAACAAAUUCCUAUAAAAGCUUAAACUGUUUGAGAUGUAUCAUGUAGGUUAUUUUCAGACGCUAACGUCAUAUUUUAGACUGAACAUGUGUACGUAUAUGAAGCGACAACGAGAAUUAAAAGGGUUAUUCAUCGAUGAUGGUCACAUUUGCAAUCUAGGCAUCUGAUCUCCUGGACCAACCCGCACACUGUGGAAUAGUUGCUACUCCAGCAAUAGUAACAAAACAACUAAGAGUCUGAAAAUUUUGGCAUUAACUAAUCUACACACUACAAGUGAAGUAAGUAGAAAGCAUCAAGCAAAACUAGCGAGCUGCGGUGAUUCACUAUGUAACAAGGAGAAGUAUAUCUCAAUACCUCUAGCAAUGCCCUUGAUUAUGGAGACCCUCGUGAUCCAAUCGAGAGUCCGGCCAUUCGCACCAUCCUUCACAUCGAGAUACUGCGACAAGUUCCCAUUCGCCAUAAAAUCAUACACAAGCAAACACUCCCCUCUUCCCCGCGAACAGCAGAACCCCCUCAAAGAGACGAGAUUCUCGUGCCGCAGCAAAGUAAGCAUCUUCAAUCCCUUCAAAAAAUUGGCCUCCUCCGAUUUACAGCUCAUCUUACUGAUGCUCUUCACCGCCACCACACUCCCAUCUCUAAGUAUCCCUUUGUAAGUCGCGGCAAAGUUGCUCUUUCCGAGAAGGUUAACGUCCGAGAAGUACUGAGUAGCGCAUUCCACCUCUUCCAGAUUGAAUCGGAAGCUUUGAGAAACUUCUUGAGAGAAACCAGCGCCACUCCUUCCAUCGGAUAAAGGAUCCCAACCAUUUGAGUACUCGAUAUUGAUCAGCGGGGAAGCAUUUUUCCGGUACAAAUCUUUCGGCUGCAGGUCGGUGCUAAGCCGGCUAUCCGAGACCUCAACGGAGCUACUGAUUUUCUGCUUCUUGCGGCGGUACCACGAGAAGGCGAAAAGCCCGCAAAUUGUCCCUCCGACAGCGACCGCUACUACGCCGAUAAUUACGGUCCCCGCAUUGGAUUUGGACGAAGCGUUCGAACAACGACGGGCGGUGUCAUUGCAACGCACAUUGAAGUUGGCUGAUUGGGGAAUCUGCUGCGGCUUAAGAGUGGACGAGCCCGGACCGAAUGGCUCGGGUUUGUUGGGUUUGAGGGUAUCGUCGGAAGGGCAAACGCUAAGCGAAUCGAACCCAACUCCGCAUAGACCAGUGUUGUUCCCAUACUGGAAUCCUUUGUUCAGCCGCCGUAAGCCUUCAUACAGAUCAAAAGAAAUAAUUAGAGAAGACAACUAUUGUUAUGGGCGGCGAGGAGAUGGAAAGAGAGCGGAAGUUACCGGAAGGGACGCUGCCCGAGAGAGUGUUGUUCCGGAGGUCGAGCACGGCGAGGAGAGGGAUCUGAGCAAGCUUAGUGGGUAUCGAGCCGAAGAGCUGAUUGAAGCUCAAAUCCAACCGCAUUAACUGCGAGAGAUCCCCCAACGUCGCGGGGAUCGCUCCGGUUAGUUGAUUCGAUUGCAGGGCGAGAACGGUGAGCUUCUUCAGGAGACUCAGCUGGGUGGGUACACUCCCUGUUAGUUGGUUGUAGCACAGCUGCAAAACUACAAUAAAAUAUAGGAGGAACCAAGCCAAUACAAGUUAAAAUAAGCAAAUUCAAAAGUUCAUUGGAAACAAAGAAUUGUAGCUUUUCACUUGUUAGACAACUAAUAUACCAAAUCAACUGUAUAUCUUGGGGAACUCAAUAGCAUAGCUGGAUUAAUAAAGGGGGAAGAUUCUUCCCAACAAAUGUACUACUUAUUUCUAACUCUUUUUUCAACAUUAAAUGGCAACGGGAUAUAGAGGAUCUUUAGUAAAGCAGCUACAAUAAUAAUAGGAAUGGGAAACUAAAGGCGAAGAAAAGGGAGGGUUUAAUAUAGUCAAAAGCACAACCGAGAUGCUACAGAAAUAGAAGCUUCAAAACACCCAACACCCAUCAUAUAAUAACAUAAUAUAAUGGGUACUUAACAAGAAGUGUUAAUACAUUCGAGUAAAAUGCAUGCGAAACAAAUCGUUAAUGAGUCGAACCAAAAUCCAAGCUUUUUUUUUUGGUCUUUUCAAACCGAAAAAGAAAAAGAAAAGAAAAAAUCAAAAUACUAAUCGAAAAAGAACCAAAAAAGAAACAAAGAAAGAAAAACUCACCUUGGAGACUAGCCAUUUUCCCAAUCUCCGCAGGGAUGGCCCCGGAGAGGUUGUUGACGUUGAGGUAGAGAUCGGUGAGGUCGGAGAGGUUCCCAAUCUCCUUGGGUAUCUCCCCCGUGAGGGCGUUGUAGUGGAGGUAGAGGCCGGAGAGGCACCGGAGCUCGGCCACGGCGGGGGAGAUAGUUCCGGCGAGCCCGCGCCCCUGGAGCGAGAUGUUCGCCACUUUGCCGUGCUCGUUGCACGCCACCCCCUCGAACUCUCCGCCGCCGCCGCAGGGGUCGCCGUCGCUGGUCCAGGAGCCCAGCACGCGGCCCUCGGGGUCCAAAGACGACUUGAGCGCCAUGAGCGCGCGCACCUCCGUGUUGCCCCGCGCGAAGCGGACGACGACGAGGACGAGGAGGAGGGUGAAGGGGAAUGGAGAGGAACCCAUCUGUUGUUGUGGGGAAACCGGAGAGGAGAGGUGGGGAGAGGGGAGGAAAAGAAAAAGGAGGCUUUUUUAUUAGUCUCUGCUCCACAGUUCACACUCAAAAAUGGCUCUUCUCUCUUCUUUUCUUUUCUUUUCUUUUCUCUUCUUUAAUGAUUAUUUAUUUAUUUAUUAUUAUUAUAGUUGUUGCUGAGAAUGGGGAGGAGGUGGGGAGGAGGAUCAAGGACGAGAGUAGCAAAAUGCCAAAUUAGAAGAGAAAAUAAAUAGGAGGGGGAGCAUGUCUUUGUUAGAGAAUUGAGGGGGUUAGUUUCAAAAAUAAAAUAAUAAAGAAUAAUAAUAUUUUCAAAAGAUAGUUUCCAAAGUACUCUUGUAAUAAUAUAACCUAUUAUUUGUAAUUUACUUUAUACUUUUGUAAUAAUAUAAUCUAUUAUUUGUAAUUUACUUUAUACUUUAUAUAUAUAUAUAUAUAUUAUAUAUAUAUAUAUAUAGAGUUGAGGCUAGAUACUCUCGAUAAGUAACGGAGGCAUUUUUAUAUCGAGUUUUUUUUAUGAUAGAGCUUCCAAAUUGAGAUCGCUCCGUUGAACAUGAUCUAUACCACUUAAAGUGUUUAGAAAAAUCAAUUUCAACUUUUCGACAUCAAAUUGCUAUGAUCAAGGUUUCAAAAUUUGUAUUUAAUGGUGGAUAAGAGACCUUUUCACUGAUUAAUACGGUAAAAUAUCCAAGUCAAUUGAAUUUUUGUUAGAAAUUUUGUAAACUAUUUAAAACAAGAUCUAUACUCUUGAUCUUGAUUACAAGACUCUAUUGUCAUUUUUUAAAGAAUAUUCAUUUAACCAUUCAUUUUCUGUUCACUAGAUGGAUAAAGAACUAUAUCGAAAGUCGCGUGAAUUUGAUUUCUAGUAGUUUAAAUGGUUUAGAUCAUAUUUAACGGAGUCGAUCGUCAUUUGGAAGGCUCUAUCAUCGAAAACAACUCGAUAGUAAAAUGCUUCCGUUUACUAUCGAAAGUAUUCUAGCUCAACUCUAUAUAUAUAUAUAUAUGUAUAUAAUAUAGUAUAUAUUAUAUAUAUAUCAAAACAUACUGCAUUUAUUUAACUAUUCAUUAUUUGAUUGGGAAAAUUAAUUUUUCAAAAUUCUAAUUUUAGUAUCCAAAUUUUUUUAAUUUAUUUAAUUUGAAUCAGUUAACAAUACUUUGACAUCAAAAUUUUAAUACGUCAUUUAUUUUAAAAGGCUUAGCUUAAUAUACUUUACGUAAUUCUAGCAAUUAUCAAUUCAUUAUAGUAAGUAAUUAGUUUAAAAUUUUAAACUCAAAUUGUCGUUGACGGACACAAAUCAAAUAAAUUGAAAAAUUAGAUAGUAAAAUUAAAAUUUUGGAAGAUUGAAUAGUCGACUCGAAAUAAUCCAUAGUUGAUGUAAGUUCUAUACAUUUAUUUUUAUCUAAUUUUUAUUUUUAUUCUACUAUAACUUAGUUCAAUAUUUAUAAAUCAGGUAAUAAAAUGAGUACUUUAUUACUGCAUUAUUUAUAUUUUAUCAUCCAAAUUUACCAAAAAUACAAGAUAUUUUAAAUUUACUCAAAAUGCUCCCUUUAUCGGUUAUUAAUGUAUAACCUAAUCAAUACGACACUCUUAAUAAAAUUUAACUCGGAUGAAAAACACACUAAUUAGUCAAAAAAAAUUUACAUAAUAAAUAGAAAUACCUUUAUAUUUCAAAUGAGAUAUGGUGGUAAAUAUGAAUCCUUUUUAAUCAUAUAUAUAAUUGCAAUUAUACUUUUCACUACACAUUUUUGGUAAAUUGCAAAUACAUUAUACCAUAACGGGCCUUUUGGAACUUUUCUCCAAUUUAAAAUCUUGAUGGAGUGGAUGCAUAAAUUUCAAAUUCAAUACGCUACUCAAUUAUCUCUUAUUAAACAAAAAACCAAAAAAAAAGUCACUAUCCAACAGAUCACAUGAUCUGAACCGUCCAAUAUGAUGAUCUGAACCGUCCAAUAUGAUGAUUGGACCUUUCGAUAUUUUUUUCCCGUUGGGGAUCAACAACAUUUUGGUGGGUUUUAAACUUCUCCGGGAUCAGUGGUAAUUUCGUGAUUUUGUCGCUUCAUUUGGCCUCUUUUAUUAACGCAUACCCACGGAAUAAAAAAAAAAUUAUUUGAACAUUAAUAUCUCCAUUUCCAAACAAAAAGGUAACAAGUAGAAAAAGUCUUAUUAACAAUAAUUACACCACUUAAAAUAUAUUUUGAAACUAAUUAUAUUAUAUCAAGGAAUGGAAAAAUGAGUUUAACUGGAGCAAUAUGAUUAUUAUAUAUUAAAUAUAAUAAAAUAAGUGUUGAAGAGACAAGAUAAGUGUUGAUAAGACAAGAAUAUUAAAAUAAUUCAUAAAAUUUAUAGAUAUAUAUAAGAUUCAUUCUUGAGAUAGCUAGUUAUUCUAGAUGUAAGAUUUGAAUUUAUAGAUGUAAGUUUCAUAAAUAUCCUACUAGAAGGUGUGUGCUACAUUUUUAUAGAAAGAAAAUUUUUUGGGUGUCCAACAUCAUCUUUUUUUUUUUCUUUUUCUUUUUUUUUUUCCAAAGUCCGGAUCUAAUCUUUUUGUUUUCCCCAGUGUCCAGUGUCCACUGCAGGUGCAGCCUUAAAUGCUUUUUAUACUCUACUUUUCUCUGCAAAAGACUAAGGCUGACUCAUUUACUUUAUUACCCCUGCAUGCUACGAAUAUUACGGAAAUACCCUUCCCAUGGUGCCACGCAUGUUCCAUCUCGAGCUGCCCGUCCAAUUGAAAAUUAAUUCCCCAUUUCAAAUUUUGAAUCUGAUGACUCCCUGAGACUUCACUGCUGUACCUACUCUACAACAAAAUACCAAAUUACAUUAAAAAUUACCAGCACCUACGCCCCAUGUAAUGGACGAAACCUACAGUAUCACACUUGUACUGUAUCAUUAAAUAAUAAAUCAAUCAUUUUUUUUAAUAUAUAAUAAAAAUAUUUUUUUAUUAAUCAUAAUGGAACGUGUGAAUUUAAAAAGUACAAUUCUAUUGGUUGAGAACGCCACGUCAAUAAUAUAAGUAGUGCAUUUUAAAUUUUUUCCACAUAAUAAAAAAGUAAAAAUUUAUGUAGACUGUACCCACCGCCUGAAAUAGUGCAUUGAAAGGCCGAUUUCAAAAUAAACUACAGUUGAGAUAUUUAAACUCUAAAAAGGAGUGUAGAUCUUACAUCCGUCAAUUUAGGAUUCAUAAAAAUCUAAAAAUAGGUUUUCGUGAAAUACAAAAAAAUUGAUAUGAUAAAUAAAGAAUUAAUAACUGUUAAAUAGAAUGGGUGAAAAAUAUUAUGCCUUGUUUUGUAUUGUACCAGAUAGCAUCGCUCUUGUAAAGUAAUAAGAUGAGUACUACUACAUGUGAUGAUAAUUCAAAUGAUACAGCAUUUAAUAUAUAGACAUGCUUAUGUACCACAUCGAAAUAAAUUUUUGAUACGGUCGAUUACCACAUAUCAGUAAAACUAAUGUGGUCAAACAACUGUGCAAGGGGAGCAAAAUCUAAAGUAUUCCAUCAAGCCUUGUUGAAAUUUUCUUUGAAACAUAACAAUUUUCAUGCUUAAAAAUAUACUAAAACUGCUAAAGAUGUUUUAGAAUAUACAUAUCCAAUGCUAAAAAAAAUGGUGGUGUUUAUAUUGUGAAAAACUCCGCUGAAUCAAAAACCAAUCAUUACAGUCAGAAAACUUCAACGUUCCACCACUACUUUAAACAUCAGUGAGCAAAGAUUCUAAAAUUAUAUCAAAUUUUUUAUUUAUAUUUUUAAAAGAAGAUAGCGUGCUUUUUGUUUUGUUUUUUUUUCAAAAGAAAAUAAAUAAGACUGAAAAAUACUGUUAUGAGUAAUAAAAAAAACUACUUUUUAAAUAGUUGAUUUUUUGAUGUACAAUUAAGAAAAACGCUAUUUGUAUAUUUCAUUACAGGAUGUCUAGAAGUCUAGGGUUUAAAAAUUUUUGGUUUUUAGAUUCAAAGAAGUUGAUAAAACAAAUAAGUCAAUCCUAUUCUUUGAGAAAACACCCAUAAUCUAGAUGUAUAGAUAAUAUUGCUCGACAGUUAAUGUGUUAAUAAACCCAUAAUGAAACCUCUAGAAUCACACAAUGGGGCACAACUCACAAAUUCAAAUUGUUUAAUUAUAUUUUCCUAAAAAAAAAGGUUAAUUAUGUAGCAUCUUUGUAUUCUUUUAGGAAAAAAAGAAGAUAGAGGCAUAAUUAUCGUUUACAAAUAAUAAAAAUUCUAUUUGUACACUCCGAACGAGGAGUGUCGAUCUUAUAUUUUUUUUAGACUAAAUUACAGAAAAUCCCCCUGUAAUAAUCCGCUUUUUCACUUUUCCCCCCUGACAUUUAAAAACCUACACUUUGCCCCCUUAUAAAAUGAAAAAUGUUCACAGGGGGGUUACGGUGUGUAAAAUGACCAUUUUGCCCCUCGCAAUUGUUGUCUUCUUCCUGAGCUUCCUCGGCAGCCCCUUCGAUCCGCUGCUAUUUCCACCUCAAUCGGCCACGAUUCCUCUCCAAUUUCUUCUCCACCUGCUCCCCUUCUCCUCCUACAUCGUCGCCGCCCAUCAAUUUCGGCGACUGUAGGGAGGAUACUAAGAUGGGUGUUGAUGGAGAGAUAGGCAGAGACAACGUGGGCGAAGGCGAGGCGGCGGAGGAGGAGAAGGGGAUGUGAGCGAGGGCGAAGCAGUGGAGGAUGGCGAGGCGGCGAGGCGGCGAAGCGGCGAGCCGGAGGGAGCGAAGCAUCAGAGAAGAGGCGGAGGGGUAUUUUCGGUAUAAAAAAAUAUUUUUUAACAGAACCCCUAACGGAACCCUAACGGUAGGAGUGAAGUGCACAUUUUUUAUUUUACAAGGGGGCAAAGUGUAGGUUUUUAAAUGUCAGGAGGGGAAAUUAAAAAAGCGGGUUAUUACAGGGGGGUUUUCUGUAAUUUAGCUUUUUUUUUAUUCUAGAGUUCGCAAAAAUUUAAAUAAUUUUAGUAUAAAAAAAUAAUAUGCUAAGUAGAAAAUUAAUAGUCUUUAAAUAAUGAAGGCGUAAGUUGUAUAUAAUAGCAUUAUUUUUUAAAUAAUUAUAUUGAUAGGUUCCAAAUUUGAAAACAAAUGAAGGGUGGAAUUGGAGUGUUGGGCGGAAGAGUUGCGAAUCUGCAAAGAGACAGAUGAGGCCUUUGACAUUCUUUCCCGAGCGAAACGGGAAACCCCCUCCUCACAUGGAUUUAUUUUUUUUAUAGGGUUUUUCUUUUAAAAGUCACGAGGGUUAGGAACUUAGGACCCUGUCCACACCACAUCUAAUAAGCAACGGUUGAAAAAAUCAGAGCCGUCGGAUUUGAUAUGGGAAUCAUGAGAUGGCCGUUGGACGCGUCGGUCGUCUCCAUCCUGGGGCCCAAAUUGAAUUCGGCUCCGUUAGCACUAGCACCUAACUAAGGAAUCUUAUCAUUAGUUUUCAGAAUUAGAAAGAUUAGUACGUCACAAAAAGUCCACACCCACCAACUUUAUUGGGCAAAAUUAUCUCCUGCACCAGGCGUAUUAGUAUAUUACAUUUUAAAAUUUUAUGUAUAAUAAUAUUUUUAUAAAACGGACUAUCACGCUCCAAAUCGAAGACAUGACAGACGCCGGAUUUCAACAAUUAGUUUAUUGUAAAUAUACAAGGUUACAAAAUAAAUGAUAUCAAAUUUAAGCUGCUCACAAAAAUUGAAAAUUCACAACUUUUGACUUAUCAACUUAUGCUCAAAACUUACAGAAUUUAAAAAAUAUGAUAAUUAAAUAUUCACUGCAAAUUCGACAGACUAACUAUAUAUAUCUCUUUCUCUCUCUCUCUCUCUCUCUCUCUCUCUCUCUCUCUCUCUCUCUCUCUCUAUAUAUAUAUAUAUAUAUAUAUAUAUAUAAUUUAGUCUCGAGACGCUUUAAAUUCUUUAUAUCAAUUUUAACGGUUGGGAUUAUCUCUAGCUGAAGUCCUCACUUGAAGCAAUUGGCCUCGCUCUUGUCAUUCCGAACCAUAUACGGAAUACAAUUGACCAUAUGAGAGGAUUCCCUCUCAAACUCUCUCACGGUGCGGUCUCCCUGCCGCCGCUUCUUGACGAUACACGAUGCGUUGCUACAAGCACCCUUGUCGCAGCCACUCCACUCAGUCACAUUAAGUGCACUGACUGGAGACACAAAUGGCUCUUAGCCCAUUCAGGACACAGCCACUUGUCGCGCCAACAACUUAUGGAGCUCCUUAAUCCGUGCCCCCCCCAAUGCUGCACUACUCCUAUGAGCACAGCCAACAGUCCACGGAGUUCUACAUCUCCGCUCACUCCGGACUACUCGGGGCCAUCGCCGAUCCCAUCAGAGGUCACCCGUACAAUACCAUGACCUAGGUCAAAUCCUCGACCUUCAAGAUCAAAUACAAAAUGACAUUCAAUACCGAACUAAAUUAAGCGAAAGUUACACAAGGACGCUUAUUCUCAUCACUCGGUUUCAUGUUGUGAGCAGCCAACAUAACAUACUAAGUUGAGAAUAAACCACAUCUUAAAUCUACCUAUCAUCGAAAACAACUUAGGAGACGAAUGCUUCUGUCCUCCUAAACAAAUAAUAGCCAAAUUAUAUAUAUAAUUAGGUUGAAAUGCUUCUAAUCGCACCAAGUCAUUGGUGCAAUUAUAUUUUCGGCCCUUAGAUGAAGAGACGUACGGUUAAGAUGAUAGUGGUCCAUUAGGGUUGAAUGGUUGGUUAGUUGAAUAGUAUAAUCCAAUGGAUGGAAAUGAUUAAAACGGUAAAUGUAAGGGUGGAAUACUUGAUAGCACAAAGUGCUUGGUUGUAACAACCCAGCCCACUAGCAACAAUAACUCGUUAGGCCCAACCGCCGGCCCAAAAUGCUUAAGCCCAGUUAUUAUUACUAGUGUCUAAGUCUCUUAUAUACCCAAUCACAUCCCCAUUCAUAUCCGAUGUGGGAUUAUUGGGGUGUGACAGACUCCCCCCAUUAAGGCUCUGACGUCCUCGUUAGUCCAAUCACACACACAGCCCAAGAUCACCAGGCGAUGUGAGACUCGUCUCGCUAGCCUUGUCAUCCAGACCCUGGCAUAGCCGAUCACCUUGUCAUUCAGACUCCGGCAUAGCCUAUCACCCUGUCUUUCAGACUCUGGCUCAGCUGAGACUCGCCACACAUUUCUGGCUGGUGAACUGGCUCUGAUACCAAAUGUAACAACCCAGUCCACUAGCAACAAUAACUCAUUGGGCCCAACCACCGGCCCAAAAUGCUUAAGCAUAGUUAUUAUUACUAGUGUCUAAGUCUCUUAUAUACCCAAUCAUAUCCCCAUUCAUAUCCGAUGUGGGAUUAUUAGGGUGUGACAUUGGUGCUAUUAAAAGUACCCGAGCCGAGCUAUAUAUAUACACAUACUAAGCUAGAAUACUAUUAAUAGCACAAAGUCAUUAGUGCUAUUAGGUUUUCGGCCUUUAAAUGAAGGAAUGAGCUGUUAGGAUGAUAGUGAUCUCCAGGGUUUGUGGGUGGUUGAUGGAAUAGUAUGACCCAAAGGGUGAAAAUGGUCAAAAGGUAGAUCUAACAUCAAAAAUUUGGUUGCACAAGGUGCUUGGUACUAUUGAUAGCAUUGUGUGUGUGUGUGUAUAUAUAUAAAAUUGAGCUCUUAUGCUUUUAAAAGUAUCGAGUCAUUAGUGCUUGUAGGUUUUAGCCCUUGAAUUAAAAAAAUGUGCAGUUAGAAAGAUAGUGGUCCCUUAGGGUUGAGUGGGUGGUUGGUAGAAUAGUAUGAUCUAAUAUGUGAAUAUAGUCAAAGAGGUAGAUCUAACGGCGGAAAGCUUACAAGCACCAAGUGCUUGGUGUGAGGGCUAAGAUUUUUUUUAAUAGUGUAAAUUAGUGCUUUUCAGUGGGUUAUUAUAGAUACUUCUAUUUUUGAAAUUUCUUGUUUAAUUUCAAAGAUAAAUGAGUUUUUAUUUGAGGC